rnacentral:lncRNA from 1 species
UGAGCCUCAGCUCAAGGCACAAGCAAUAAAUGCUCUAAAAUAAUUUUCAAGCAAUAAAUCUCUAAAUCGUAGUUCAAGCCGUUGGUGCUCAGUACAAGACUUCCCAAGAACUCAUUGAAACCAAAUCAUGUCAUAAACUCGUAUGCAAGCACGCAUGAUAUGCAGUUGAGUAAAUAAUGCAAGAAACAUUUCAUAAGAAGCUUUAACAAUAGUUUGGGGUCACUCACCUCCACGGUUCAGAACCCAUCCAUCAUAUAACAUUGCCUUGCUCAAAUCCAAGUCUUAGAUCAUAAACUCAAAGCAAUCAAACCCUUUAAAACUUCGGACAGCACUUCCCCUAAAUUUGCUUAUUUUCCCAGCCAUCAUGGCUUCAUUAUUUCUUCAGCUAGUCCCAAAGGUACACACACAACAACAAGUUCAUCCAAAAGCCAUUCAGCAAGCUCCAAGUAGCACUAGUACAAGUCAAGUUAGGGAAAAGUUCGGAAAUGAAAGUUAAGCUCAAAACCAGAAAAAUAGCUUUUGACAUCCUUUUGCGGUAAUGGCCCCAAAGGCACUACGAUUGUCGGAUGAAAGUGCAAGAUACACUGUUUCGAAACUAAGAGAUAGGGCUACAAUAUUACAGAAGGUCACUCAACCCAGUUUCGAGUGUAACAAGGUCAAAAAUGCAAGAUACUACACCAGAAUCACAAAAACAGAUUCACAGAACGCAAUCUAGCGGAAACAUCAUAAAUCAGUCUACCUAAGUCCAAAUCCAGAAAUUCCAAAACCAGCUGAAAGCUAAGAAACAGAGCUACAUUUCAUCAGAAGGCCUCAACAACCAAUGCCGAAGCAAUUCCAGCCAAAACAACCAAUUACAGGCGCAAUUCUUACAUUAGGGUAAAACCAGAACAGCAAUAGUAAUUUCAACUUUUCUCAUUCUACACUACUCCGAUUGACCUGAAAUUUUGUAUGCACCUCUAAAAUGUCAUUCCCUACAACUUUCAUGUUUUAAUCCAAGGCCAAUUCGGCCUCUAACUAGGAGCUAAAAAUUCGGGCAGAAUGCUCCCUCAAGAACCCUAAUUUUCUGAAAUUUCUUCCAAACCAGAAAUUGGUAGCAAUUAAUCACUUUUUCCACCUCAUAGAGUCCUUAAACAUCAUUUCCAAUCAUCAUACAUGACCCCAUAAUCAUAUCCAUAUGAAUACAGAAAAAUCCUCAAUAAUUAUAAAACUUCACCAAUUCAACCAAAAUCAAGAUAUAAUCCAUAAAAGUGCAUCUUAUACCACCACCAAUCAUGAAUUGAACAUCAUUAGAGGAAGGAGAGGGGUCCUUCACAACUCACCUUAGCAAUACAAGAGAUAGAGCAACUAGCCACCUUAACUUUCCAAACCACUCCACAAAACACCUCAAGACCACUUAGCAAAGAGAUUUUAUGGAAUGAUUUGGAGUUUUAUUGGUUGGAUUUGAAGAUUGAGCAAGAAAUAGAAGGAAGAAAUUGAUAGCUUUUCUUUCUUUUCCUUUGAGAGAGAGCCGGCUAUGAAGCUUUAGAAAUAAGGAUGAUUUUUGGUAAUUUUUUGAUUUAUUUGGUAAAGUAGGGAAUAGUGUAGUCAAAGUCCAAGACUUAAUCUUAUGGUGACACUUGUCACCUUUAGGUUUAAAACUUAUCUUUUUGUCUCUCCAAUACAAAUAUCUUAACACCUUGUAAAAUAAUCUCACUUAAUACAAAAUUCCAACAAGUUGUCAAAAAUAUAAUGCAUUUACCGCACUAGCGGGUCCCACGUCCAAAAUACGCUUUUAAUUUCUCAAAAACUAACCGAUACUAGAAAAAUCAUUUUAAAACUAUCUUUGCUCAUAAACUUUAUCUGGGAAAUUUUUCUAAUAAAGAAAUUGUAGAAAAGGCGGACGAUUAAAUAAAAUAAACCGUAGAAAAUUAGAAAAUUUCCGGGUUCUCACUCUCAUUCUUUUCGGGGUGUCACAAACUCCCCUCCUUAAAAGAAUGUCGUCCUCGACAUUCCAUCUUAUACCAAUCAAGUCGAGAUAUCCCGCAAGAAUCACUAAUAUUGCAAACCAAACCCACAGUCCGGCAUUUUAAACUUCAAGCCUAGGAUACACUACAGAGAUCUGAAACCUAAGCUCUAAUACCACCUGUGACGGCCCGACCUCCCCCUAGGGCGUACCCCAGGGUUCGGCGGGUCGCCUGCCCAACUCUCGCCGGGACUCACUCACUCACUACAGACCCCAAAAAUAUUUUUAUUCCCCUCCACAGGGCUCGUGACGAAGGAAAGGCUUGUAGUACUUACUCAUGCGACUGGAUGGCUUAUAUUUUGUACAGUUUUGAUUUGGAAUUUCCUCUGUAUAAUAGUUGGUAUCAAGGAUCAGAGUGGCGCAGCGAAAGCGUGGUCGCUUCGCUUUUGAUAUGUAAUUCUUGGAUAAUUGAUGUAUAUUUGAGAUUUAUAUUGUAAUUUGUUUGAGGUCUGUAGUGAGUGAGUGAGUCCCGGCGAGAGUUGGGCAGGCGACCCGCCGAACCCUGGGGUACGCCCUAGGGGGAGGUCGGGCCGUCACAGAUUUAAUUUCUCCAUACGAAAUGAUUUAUUUUCCAUAAAUCAUAGUAUUGUGAAAAUAUCUAAAAGACUGGGAAGUGAACACAAAAAUAAUAGGGUCAGAUCCUUAUCAUCAAUUUUUGAAUUUAUAUUCUCCAAAUUCAUAAUAAUUGAAUCAAAUUAAUCAAGAUAUGAGAAUAUAGAUGUACCUUCAGUAAUAUGAAGCAUAUACAGACUUUGUUUUAAAUAAAAUCGAUUCUCAAUUGUCUUUUUCACGUACAAAACUUUAAAUUCGUCCCACAUAACCUUUGUUGAAAUUUUAAUGGCUACCUCUCGCAAAACCUCGUCAGAGAGAUUUAAAAUAAUAUUGGAUCGAGCCUUCUUAUAUAUUCAUCUUAGCAAAAUUUGUAUCUGUCAAACUCUCUGGCUUUUUCUCAACUCCCUGUAUCUCUAAAUCAAUUCCAUUUUGAACCAAAAUGACCUCUAUCUUGAGCUACCACAUCCUAAAAUUGACAUUUCUGUUGAAUUUCUCGAUUACAACAUUUGUUAUUGGCAUUAUUGCCACGAAAUUCAAAACUUCUUUGAAAACGUUUUGAUACCAAUAUGUUAGGUCUGGUCCUAGAAAAUUGACGAAAGGAUUUUUGACAAUCCCAAAAGAUAAAUAACAAAGCAAAAAUAAAUAAAACAGAAACUCAGAAAUGUACGUGGUUCGAUCAAAUUGAUCUACGGCCACGGACGGAAAAGGAGAAAAUUUUACUAUGAAGAAGAGAGUACAAAAUGCUUUAAAAAAGUGUUCUUAAACCCAAAAUACCUACUAUUUAAAACACAAAAGCAUCCAUAAAUAUUUUAAUAAACAAAAGGUUUAAUGAUCCAAAGGCUCAAAUCACCCACUAAAAUUCUCUUGGCUUGGCGUACUUAAUCCCAUCAUAGGCCCACUCUAUUUAUAGACAACUAAGGAAAAACUCUCUUGUGCAAGAAGUUGUAAACUAAGAAAAAAGGGAGAGAAAAAUACUCUUCUUCAUAUCUUUGGACUAUACAAUAUACAAAUAUCUAUACAUAAGUGUAACCUAAUUUAGAUUCUAAAAUUAUACUAAUCUAAAUCAAUCUACUACCUAAUUAAUAUAUGAUACUGUAAUCAUAUGAUACCUAAUUAAUACAUGAUACUAUAAUCAAAUCUUUCCUAAUAUUUACAAUAUCAAAUCUUUCCAUAAUAUCAGAUCACAUAUCUUCAACACUCCCCCUCAAGAUGGAGCAUAGAUGUUUAUCAUGCCCAUCUUGCCACAAAUGUAAUCAAUUCUCAGACCAUUUAGAGGCUUAGUGAAAAUAUCAGCUAACUGUUCUCCAGUUCUCACAUGGCUGGUUAAGAUCAAGUUUCGCUGAAUUUUUUCACGAACAAAGUAGCAAUCAACUUCAAUAUGCUUUGUUCUCUCAUGAAAAACUGGAUUUGAUGUUAUAUGAAGGGCAGCUUGAUUGUCACACCAUAACUUCAUUGGAAGUGAAUUAUUGAUUCCCACCUCACGCAAUAAUUGAUGUAUCUAUAUAAACUCACAAGUGGAUUGUGCCAUAGACCGGUAUUCAGACUCUGCACUAGAGCGAGAUACUACACUUUGUUUCUUACUUUUUCAUGAUACCAUAUUACCUCCAACGAAGACACAAUAUCUAGUUGUAGAUCUUCGAUCAAUUUUAGAACCUGCCCAAUCCGCAUCUGAGAAGCAUUCAACAUGAGAAUGACCAUGAUUACCAUAUAGUAUACCACGUCCUGGAGCUCCUUUAAAAUAACAUAAGAUUUGCUCUAAAACUGCCCAAUGGGUGGUUCUUGGUGAGGACAUAAAUUGACUCACAAUACCAACUGGAUAUGCAAUAUCUGGACGAGUCAUAGUAAGAUAAUUCAACUUUUCUACUAAUCUCCGGUACAUUUCAGGAUCUGAGAAUAACUCCCCAUCAUCUGUUGUAAGUUGCAUGUUGGGGAUCAUUGGUGCACUGCAUGGCUUAGCACCUAGCUUUCCUGUUGCUUUCAAAAGAUCAAGAACAUACUUUCUUUGGCAUAAGAAGAUACCUUGUUUACAUUUUAUAACCUCAAUGUCUAAAAAGUAUUUCAACAUACCUAAAUCUUUUGUCUGAAAGCGCGAUUGAAGAAAAUUUUUAAGGGCUGCAAUACCUGCAUUGUUACUACCAGUAAUAACAAUAUCAUCAACAUAAACUACUAAUAGGAUAAUACCAACUUCAGGUUGUUGAUAAAAGACAGAAUGAUCAGAAUUAUACUUCUUCAUGCCAAACUCUUGAACCACCUUACUGAAUCUCCCAAACCAAGCACGAGGACUUUGUUUUAAACCAUAUAGUGACUUUCGGAGUCUAUAAACCUUAUCAGACUCCCCCUGAGCAACAAAUCCAAGUGGUUGUUCCAUAUAAACUUCCUCUUGCAAAUCCCCAUGAAGGAAUGCAUUCUUAACAUCUAACUGGUACAAAAGCCAAUUAUUAGUAGCAGCAAGGAAAAUAAAUAAUCGAACAGAUGUGAGUUUUGCUACGGGAGAAAACGUGUCUGAGUAAUCCACCCCAUAUGUUUGAGCAUACCCUUUUGCAACAAGACGAGCUUUGAGGCGAGCAACAAAACCAUCAGGAUUGACUUUUACAGCAAACACCCAUUUACAACCAAUAGGUUUCUUACCUGUCGGUAGAUGAACCAAAUCCCAGGUACCAUUAUUAUUUAGGGCCAUCAUUUCUUCCUCCAUAGCAGCCCGUCAACCAGGAUGUUCCAAAGCCUCAGAUAAGUAUUGAGAAAGAGAUAUUGAAUCUAAGGAAGCAGUAAAAGAACGCAAAGAGGGAGACAAAUGGUCAUAUGAAGCAAAUGAUGAAACUGGGUAAGUGCACUGUCUUUUACCUUUCUUAAAGCAAUAGGCAAAUCAAGACUAGAAUCUAGAGACUCAGGAAGCAAUAGAUCAGGACUCGGAUCUGUAGACAGAGAAGGUAGUGGAGGAUGUGAGUCUAUGUGUUGAGAACGACGAGAAUACACUUGAGUGAUCGGUGGUUUUGUAGGAAUAGUUGUUGUAACAGUGUAGACUAGAAUAUCAUCUCCCUCCCCCUGACUACUAUAGACAUUAGACUUAAGAAAAAAUGGAUGCGUCUCAAAAAAUGUAAUAUCAGCAGAGACUAAAUAACGAUUUAAAUUUGGAGAAUAAUAUCUAUAUCCUUUUUGAAGACGUGAAUAACCCAAAAACACACACUUGAGAGAUUUGGGAUCUAAUUUAGAGACCUGAGGACGGGUAUCACGAACAAAACAAGUACACCCAAAUAUGCGUGACUCAAUGGGGAAUAAAUAUUGGGUUGGAAACAAAAUUGAAUAAGGAAUCUCACCAGCAAGCACAGAAGAUGGAAUGCGAUUAAUUAAGAAACAGGCUGUUGAAACCGCAUUUGCCCAAAAUUGCUUAGGAACCUUCAUGUAAAAUAGAAGGGCUCUAGCAAUUUCUAAUAAGUGCCUAUUUUUCCUUUCAGCAACAUCAUUUUGUGGUGGUGUGUCAGGACAUGAAGAUUGGUGAAGGAUUCCAUUUUCUAACAUAUAUGAAUUAAAGGGUUUAGAAAAGUACUCUUUUGCAUUAUCACUUCGCAAAAUACGGACAGGCACAUUGAAUUGUGUUUUUAUUUCAGAACAAAAGGAACAAAAGAUAUUAAAUAAAGCUGAACGACUUUUCAUUAAAUAUAACCAAGUAACACGAGAGUAGUCAUCAACAAAGGUGACAAUAUAUUUAAAACCAAACUUAGAUACUAUUGGACAAGAGCCCCAUAUAUUUGAGUGCACUAAUUCAAAGGGGGAUGAAACCCGUUUAUUGACUCUAGGCAAGUAAGACAAACGAUGAUGCCUAGCAAAUUGGCAUGACUCACAAUCUAAAUGGGAUAAAUUCUGAAAACUUGGACACAACUUUUUCAAAGUGGAAAGAGAUGGAUGAUCUAAACGACAGUGAAUUUCAAGCAGAGUCAAGGUGGAGGAACAUACAACAGGUUUCGGCACUUUCGAUGAUGGGGUUUCAAGUGUAUACAGGCCGCCAAACUCGCGUCCUUUACCAACAAUCUUCCCCGUCAUAAGAUUCUGAAAAACACAAUAUCCAAGAAAGAAUGAAACAGAGCACUUGAGAGCUUUUGUAAUUUUACUGAUUGAGAGUAGAUUAAACGAAAAAUUAGGCAAGCAUAAGACUGAACAUAAGGGGAUAGAUGACACAGGAAUUGCUAUACCAGAACCCACAACUGAAGCACAUGACCCAUCAGCCAAAGUAACAUUCGGAUGAUCUUUGUUAGGAUUAAAAGAGGAGAGGAUACCUUUAUUACCGGUCAUAUGAUCUGUUGCACCGGAAUCGAUUGUGAAAAUCUUGAAAUUAUAAAUAUACAUAUAUAUAUACAUGUACGUGUUGCAUGUGCAUUUUAGACUUUUAAUAAAUUUUAUUAUUGUUGGUUCUUAAAUAAGUGUGUAAAAACAAUUUUAAAGUUGUAAAUAAGUUAAUUAUGCAAAAUAUUAAAUUAUUUGAAUUUUGUUAAGAUAAAUUCAUAUUUCUUGAUGUAGAUUAUUGCAUUGCUUUAAUAUUAAUCCUUUGAAUUCCGAUAGCUAAUUCUAAGUGUUAAUAACGUUAAGUGUCAACGGGAAUCUAGAAUUAAGAUGAAAUCAUUUUAGGAUAAGACUCGUUCUAAUUAUUCUUAGGAUUUUGAAUUUCGAUAAUUUAAUUUUGCGAGAUUAAUAUGCUAGUAGGCUAUCGAAUUUCAUUUGGAGUGAAAUCUAGGAAUUAGUUCACAAAUGAGAACUUGAGUGAAAGGUCGAACAAGAUGUUAAAAAACCGAAAUAGCCUUCCUCCAUUUCAAAUUCACCAUGCAGCCAUGGAACAUUCCAAACACUUCUAAUUUCCAGCCGGUUCCAUUUCCUUCAUAUCUACUCCACCAUUCCACUAACUAUAAUGUCGGUUCCUUUCUCCACUAUCCCACUCCCCUAUAUCAUUUCCAAUCCGCUACAAUAUCAUUUCCAAUCCACUACAACAUCACAUUUCCAUUUCUUUUCCUGCCGCAAGCUGAGCCGUGAGUGACCAGCUCCUUAGGAGUUAACGACCGAGAGGAAAAAUAAGGUGAGACUUUAGCUUAACUCCUAGCUUCACCUUAAGACCAACCGAGAGAGAGUGAGCAAGAGGAAGGGUGCGAACCGUCUGUCCUCACCUCCACCACCACUGCCGAGUUGCCAUUUCCUUCUUCGUCCUCCAUCAGCUGAGCUCAACCAGAACCACCAACUCCACAGCUUACACAAACCGAACUCAGCCCAGCCAUACCUGAGUUCUAUAGCAAGCCGAGAAAAAUUUUUUUGCAGCUGCUUGUCGUGUGAGCUAAGCCUUAAGCUGAGGUAAUCUCUGGACUUAAACUAGUUGAUUAUGGGUUGAUGAAGCCGUUUAUAAGCAUGCAUGUGGGGUUUGUGCAGUUGGAUGACAAAAUUAAGUUACAAGAAAUCUGGUUGUGAAGGAAUUGGAAUUGCUGAGAGCUUGAGCUGGAAAUUUCAGCUUUAAUUUGUAAAUUUGUGAUGAUCUGAGCUUGGUUGUGUGUUUAGCUAAUUAAUAGCUGGGUGAUUAUGCCUUGCAUGAGAUUAAUUAAUUGUGAGUAAGUCAGAAAAUUGAAGGAAAACAAAAGCUGCUGGCAUGCAAGCUAACCGAGUGCCGACUGGGAUGAAUUUCUGGUCGGUUAGUGACUUUGGUGCUGCUUGAACUUGGUUUUGGAUCAAAUUUGAUAGAUAGCUGUUUAUUUGGUCAUGCAUGUAGCUGAUGAUCCGUGAAAGAGGAAAAUGAAGAAAUUGAGGGAAACAGUCCUGUACUUAACUGCCGAACUGCUGGAAGUUGCAUUUAGUUGAGGACAGAAUUAAUUGUUGCUUUUGCUGGGAUUAUUUGCUCAAAUUACAUGUUAUUUGUUUUAGUUUAGGUAGGACAGAGUGUAUACUGAGUGUUGAGUGUUUUAACCAAGUAAAAUAUGGAACUUUGUUGAAAACCUUGAGGUAAUGUUGCUGGAAAUCUGUUUUGUCGGCUAAGAGAGGGGGAAGAUGAAGCUCUUAUGAUAUUUCGAAAAAUUCCAGGAUGAUUGGUUGUAACCUUGUAUAAAACAUCUUAUAACAUCUUGACCCUAUCAUUCACGUCCAUUUUAGUGAAUUUGAGACCUGAAAAGCAAAUGAAAUCUGAGAGAAUUUAAACAACAAAGUUGAUUGGAAUUUGAUUUGGCCGAGAGAGAAGAAAUGAAAAGUUUUUCCAGUUCUACUCUUUUAAGUGGGAUUGAAAAUGAUUUAAUCUUAGUUUAACUAUUUCACAAGACUUUAAAUUCGGUGUAUUUGUAUAUAUUCGUCAUUCUUAGUUAAUAAACUUAACAAAUCUUGAAGAGAAAUGUGAGAGAGAUUGUUGGAAUUUCGUAUCUUGUUUAAUAAGCUAAGAAACAUGGUUUCUAAUAAUCUAAACUUUAAAUUUGGUGAGUGAUUAGUGGCCGGAAAUCAAGUUAAAUGGUUGAAUUGGUAAUGAGAUGAAGACUUAUAUAUUGUUUUAGAAACUUUAAGGUAAUUUGUUAUGGCUAUAUACAUGAAUGGCUCCUAAUCACUUAAAUUAGUUUUUAUAAUAUUUAAGAGACUAUAAAACUUGAGAAGUUAAGGUUGUGAAACAAAAUUUAAUUCACAAACAACCUAGAGCUUAGUUAGUUUUAAAAGGGAAAAUGAAGUGUCUAUAAGCCAUAAUUAAUACUGGAUUGAGAAAGUAUAUUAGUUUAAACAUUAUACAAGUUUAUAAACUUGGAAUGUAUGUGUAUUUCUUUGGGUUUCUGUUCAAAUUUGAUGCUUGAAUUAUGUUAAAAUUGCUGGUAUGAAUGUCAUACUUAAAUGUAUGGAUGGUUUGAAUAAAAGUCUUAUGGUUUUAAAAGAGAAAAAAAAAAGAGAUUUUCACAAGAGAAAAAUGAGUUUCCAGAUUUUCGGAUUUCACUGACCAGUCCCAGUAAAAUGCUUAUAUCUUGGUGUAGGAAAAUCCGAUUGAGGUACCGUCGGUGGCAUUUGAAACUAGAAUCAUGAGCCUUUGUUCUGUAGAAAUUUCAUAUUUUUCCUCCAUGUGUACUGCUGUCCGUGACUCUUCAAAGUUUUACCCUUUUAACAAGUUACCUUAAUUAAAGCGGUCAAGACUUGUACUUAGCUUUUAGCCACCAUUUCUGAAUUUUCAAGUGAAGCUUACAUGCUAAAAUUGUCUUGUGUGUGAAUGACAUUGAGCCUAGUGAAAGACUAUUAUGGUAAUCUGAGUUUAGAUGUGCAUCUAGCUAACUAAAAUCUGGAUUUCUAGAGUUAAUUAUGAGUAAGCUAGCCGUGACUUCCUUUUAUGUUUUUGAGUUAAAAUUCUGGUUGAUUGUUGUAAGGAAUGAUUGUUUGUCGUCAAGAGCUAAUGAUUGAUGAAGCUCUUGGUCAUUUGAGUAAUUUUUGCAAGAGUUAAAUCCUUGGUGGAAUUGUUUAAGUGGUUUGGCCGAAAUUCUCCACUAGUUCUCCUGAUUGAUCAAUUUUCCAUUGUGAACUGGUGAUCAAUCAAGACAUGUUUCAUCCUUGAUCAAUCCUGAUUGAAAUCCAUGUUUCAAUAUGUAUAAGUAAACUCUUGAUUGAAUUCGCUGGCCAGUUCUCCACCAGACUUCGUGAAUUCAAUAUGUAUAAAGGAUUGGUUUCACAACAUGACUAUAAAGGAUUGUCUAGCUAUUUUAUGCCUCUUCUCACGUUCUUCCUCAAAUCCAUGUUGUAAAUGACUAUGUGUGCUUUAAACAAGCCGUAGAAAAAUUAAAUUCACGAACGGAAGCCACUGCAACCAGCAUCAUUCUUCACUCUAGAAAUAAAGUUAGAAUUCCUUCGUUGCUUAACCACUGCAUGGAAAUACUUGGAAUUAGCAUCUCCAACCUGAAGCCAUUUAACUACCGCCUAUCACUACAAGAAAAUUGGUCAUCAGUGACAACUUUUCUCUGUGACGAAAAAAAGUUGUCACAAAAGUGGAUCCUUUAUUGACGACUUUCUAACUCGUCACAAACCUCUAAUGGGAGCCAACUCAUUUGUCACGACUUUCUAAGUCGUCACUAGUAAAUUCCCGCCAAGUUUUAGCAAGAGCGCGGGAGUGUUUAGAACACACAAUAGUGACGACAUUAAGAACAUCAUCACUAUUGCUUGGCCUAUUUACGGACGACUUUUUGUUGUCGUCACUGAUCACUAAAAAAAAAAUUUAUUAGUGACAACAUUUUUGAGUGAUGACAAUAAGUCGUCACAAAAGGAGCUUCUUUAGUCGCGACACCUAAAGUUGUCAUAAUUGCAUCAAAGCAACUAAAUGUUUAGUGACGACCCGUUAUUUUCGUCACAAACUACACUGCAAGAAAUAUGGUCAUUAGUGACAACAUUUUUUAGUGACGACAAAAGUCGUCACAAAACGUGGUUGUUUAGUGACGACAAGGAAAGUUGUCAUAAUUGCUCAAAGCAACUAAGUCUUCAGUGACGACCUUGAAAAAGUUGUCACUAAAAUGAUCUAUAUAGUGACAACUUCUAAUAUCGUCACUGUCACUCUACCGAUUCGGAUUUAGUGACAAGAAUUAAUCGUCACUGUUUAAAGUACUUAUUUCUAAGUCACUUUCAUUAAUUCUACUGUGCCACCCUAACUUUUGCGAUUUAGCCCCAAAUGUUGUAAAAAAUUCCAUUAAUUCCAUUAUGAUACCUUAACUUUUACAAUUUAGCCCCAUAUGUAGUACACCGAUUUCUUUAAUUCUAUUAUUACUCCCUAACUUUUGUAAUUUAGCCCCAUAUGUAAUUCACCAAUUUCAUUAAUUCUACUAUGGCACUCUAACUUUUGCAAUUUAACCCCCAUAUGUAAUACACCAAUUUUAUUAUUUCUAUUAUGGCACCCUAGCUUUUACAAUUUAGCCCUAUUUUUUUAUUAGGAAAUUGCGAAUGGUAUCUUGAUAAACUAUGCAUAAAUAUUUUAUAAUUUUCUCAAACUUAAGUAAUAAUUUGUUAUAAACUCUAAAGAUAUAUCUUUCAUUACAAUAGUUAUAAGGCAGGCAGGUCUUUUUAUCAAUGGAAUAAGAAAUUUAUGCCAGAUUUAUCCUUUGUACUACAUGCCAAGUAGUAUUAGCAAAGGAAUAACAAAGUACUACAAAGUAAUUAACAAAAUAGCCUUCAGGGAGUGUAGUUUAUGGGCAAAUGAGCAUUAUCUAUUCAAAGUACCAACUUUUUAUGGGCAUUUUACUCUCAAACAUAUAAUUUAUGAUAAAUUUAUAAAUGUUUGUAAGUAAAAUUCAAAAAGUGUUACACUGAUUUCUUACAAAACGAAAACUGGCAGGUUAUCUUUUCAACAUAAAUUAAAUUUUUUUAAAAAAAGAAAUGGCCCAUAAAGUACCAACUCUUUGUGGGUUUCCUCCAUUACAUGAACAAAUAUUCUGCUCUUUAUGGGCAUUUCACUCUGAAUCAUUUAAUUUAUGUUAAAUACAUAAAUGUUUGUAAGUAAAAUUCAAAAAGUGUUGCACUAAUAUUUUUAUGAAAGGGAAACUGGUAGGUUUUGUAUUUAACAUAAAUUAAAUAUGUGAAAGCAAAAAAAAAAGAAAUUACCCAUAAAUCUAUGUCUUGCAAAUCUAUACUAGUAAAAUAGUUUCAAACAAAAUUAAACAUUAAAAUAAACUGUAAUUUAUACACAUUAAAAUAUCUGUAAUUUAUACACAUUUUGCAACUACUACUUUGUGUUUUCUCUGUAAUGAAUUUUUUAACUAUUGAGAACUUAAGUUUUGUUUUGCAAAUCUAUACUAGUACAAUAGUUUUAAACAAAAUUAAACAUUAAAAUAAAUGUUUGAAAAAGAACAAAAGUACAUUUAUCACUUGCAGUAAUGUAACAAAAUUUUCUCAACCAUUAUCAAUAUUUUCACAAAAGUAUUAAAAACUAGCAAUUGACAAUAUUAAAAACUAGCAAUUUAAUUAGUGACGACUUUUCUUGUCAUUAUAAUCUUGAAUAAAUUAGUGAUAACAUUAUGUCAUCACUAAAUUUUCUUUGAUUUUGACUUAACAAUAAUGUCUUAUUAAUAGCAUUUGAUUAUUUUUAAUGAAAGUCUGUUAUAACCAUAGAAUUUGACUUUCGUUAUUUUCAAUUAAUGAUGUACUUUAGUGCUGCAAUUAUAAAAAAUUGCAGGGCUAAAAUAUUUGCAAAUUAUAAAAGUAUAUUUUCACUUAUAUGUAAUUAACAAAUUUUGCCACCUAUAUUGAUGAAAAUUUGUGUUUUUGUACUAAAAAAUAAAGAAUAAUACUAUAGCAAUAAAAUCUAUGCUUCAAACCAAAUUAAAAAUAAAAAAAGCAUGAUGAUUGGUCUCAAAUGUUGGGAAAAUGAUUAUUUUUAUUGAAACUAUGUUAUAACCAUAUAAUUUGAGUUUAAUUAUUUUCAAUUACAUGAUGUUCUUUAGUGCUGCAAUUAUAAGAAAUUAGUAUAAAAUAUUAGCAAAUUAUAAAAGUACAUUUUCAAUUAUAUGAAAUUAACAAAUUUUACCACCUAUGUUGAUGAAAAUUUUUAUUUUUUGCUAAAAAAUAAAGAAUAAUACUAUAGCAUUAAAAUCUAUGGUUCAAACCAUAUUACAAAUCCAGAAAAAAACAUGAUUUUUGGUAUCAAAUGGAGGGAAAAUGAGUGAAGUCAAAAUUUUGAUCAAAUCAUAGUGAAAGUGCCGCGCAACAAAAACAAUAUCCAAAGCAAAGCACAGACCAAAGCAGCGGAACACAUUCUGAAAAGAAAAGCAACGGAACACUUGGUCUGAGUUAAAGCAACGGAACACUUGAGCAACACAAACUUUCACCGAGCUGAAACAAACAAGCUUCUGCACUGAGCACAAAACAGAGCUUCCGCACGGCACCUGAUACCUUCACCCACACAACAAAUCUGUUCUCUGGCUUCUCACUAGAAUCACCAUGGCUGUCCAGCAUUAAAGGGCAAGGUUUUCAUUGGAAAUGUUCGUUUUUCUCUCUCCUAUACAUUUUCCCCAAUUUUUCCAAAUCCCUAAUAUUCUACAAUAUUUUUUGCAAAUUUCUGCCCAAAAUCUUUUAGCUGUCGAGGAAGAAAAGGGGGACGUCGGCAGGGGAACGAAGGAAAAGACUAAAGUUUCAUUUGGGGGCUGGUGAUUGAGGAAGUGAAACCAGAAACAGAGAAAGGUCUUGGCCUAGAGGGGACACAAAGAAAAUACAGAGCAACAGCCGCUCAUCGGCCAUCGCAGCGCGCAAUCUCCAUAGCUGCCGUCACUCUGCUCUCAUCCAAUUUCCGCCGCCUCCAAGUUCCGCCACGGCACCUCCAUUUCGUGCGCCGCCUAGCUGCCUGACGCAUCUCCCCUUCCCGCACGGCCUUUCUCUCUCACUGUCGCUCCUCGAUUUCAUGUUGCCACCCACCACUGGCGCCCAGCUCCAGCGCGGCUACCAUGGCAGCUACAGCCGCCUGAUCAUUCGCACCUUCCUUCGACCAUCACCAUCACCUGCAGACUUCGCCAAGCAAACGCUGUAAGCCGUCUGCCUUCUUUGAAUUUUAGUUUUCCAUUUUUAGUAUGAACAUUGAAAAGUCUCAAAGCAUGUUUGCCGUGCGUUUGUUCAGUGCCAACUUCAUGUUGAUUGCUAACGAUUUUAGAUUGUAUGCUAUUGUAUGUUGUUUGGACUGAAAUCUCUUGUGUUUUGACAAAUUUUGGGGGGCUAAUUACAGUCCCAAUUGAGCAAAAAUUGCUGGAUCCUUCUAUGCCCAUGUACUGUUUGUUAAAAUGCCCGAGUGAAGGUCUAAAUAGAAGAUUGAUGCCUAAUCUGCUUGGGGAAGACGAUCGUUUGCUUAAAUUUGCAAUUCCGGUCAUUCCAUCAAAUAUCAACUGAACUGAAAGAGGCCUCUAAUUAGUUGUCGUUUUUAAGUGAAUUUCUUUAGAGUGCGCGCGCGAUAUCAGAACCUAAUUCAGGAUUUUAAAAUCAAUUUACUAGAAAUUGGAAUUAGACGGUUGAAGUACACUACACACAUGCUCCUUACAGAUUGACGCAGGCAGUUUAAAGUUUUAAAACUUCAGAGUCUUUGCUUUGUAGUUUGACUUCCACAAUGGUGCAUAUAUCGUUUAGACAGAUGGUUAUUUUUAGUCGCUUUUUUAUAAGUGAAUUCAUUUGAUUAUUAAUAUUUUUUUUUUAGUAAACUAAAUAGUUUCAUGGCCGCUACGCGAAACUCUUAUACAAACCUUUGAUUUAAAGGUGGGUUUUUUCACUCUCUCUUCCCAUGGCUUUGGAGUCUAGCUUUGUUAAUAUUGGAUCACUUUACGAGAUGUAAGCUGGUAAUAAUAAUAAUAAUGUAUCACUAGACAGUGGUUCUUUUUUACACUCCAUUAUUCAAUCUAGUAGGAUUUCAUUGGUGGGUGCAUUCUUUUUGUUGGUUUCUUUUAUAAACGUGUAACUCAGCCACCUCUUCGAUUCCAGAAAGUUGUCUGACCCUCUGAGGAGGUUAAAGAACGUCGUCAUGGAUAGGCCUGUUCUUAACCCUUUUUUUGUAGUAGUAGUAGUGUAUUUUUCCGAAUACGACGAUUAUUCAAAAGUUGCCGUCUGGUGUUUUAGCUUCUCUCCCACUAAAUUGCUAAAAUGACGCACAUUUAUUUAUCCCUUCCCUUGACUGACUACAUAAAGACACUUCUUUACUGGUAUUAAUUGACUAUGCCUUGAGGAGAUCCAAUCUUCUGUCGGAGCUCGCCAACCCCUUUUUUUUUUUAACGAUAACUAUUGUUUAGCUUCUUCUCGUACAGAAACAAACAAAACCGUAGCUUAUGAGCCCACGUCACGAAACGGCACAGUAGACUGGAAAUACGUAGUAGUUUAAUCACAAAUUACUGUAUAAAAGUAUGUUUCGUGUACAACUUCUUUAGGGAAAUUCCAGUUGAUUUUUGCUAUUGGUGCAAAUUAAUAAUUGAUGUUCUUUCAUUUAUGUUACAUGAUUGGAUUUAUUAUUGACAUUAUUAGUACAGAGUCUCUCUCUUAUUAUGAUGGAAUGGAACCCACUAAUUGACUCGGUUAUCUUUUCAAUAAAAAAAACUGUUUGUAUUAUUGGAAAGCAUUAAGGAUAUGUCUGUAAAUUGGUUGGAAAUGAUUCAAAUUAGUUCUCUCCAAUUAAGCCAAAAAGUAUAUCAAUUCGAAAUGAGCCAAAAAACAAAGAGUUAUUAUCUGCCACGCCCUCCUCACGUAGCAAGUGACUAAAGAUUUUUAGAAUAACUAUUAUAGGAUCUUCUUUAAACUAACUCAGUUCGCUAAUUUGAUAGGUACUAUUUGAUACUUUCAAAGCCAUUUUUUAGCAAGGAAGGAUUGGGAAGGAAGAAAAAAGGGAGAUGGGAAAAAAAACCAUUAACCACUAGGCUAUCUAUCAGAUUGUUCUUCGCAGUUCAUAUCCUUCUUCUGUUCCUGCACUGUUUGUUAGUUUGAUACUUGAUGUUCAUUUCAUUUUCUUGAAAUUAAAUGAGUUCUUAUUUUUUCCACUUGUUCUUGGGAUGGUCACCACAAUGUUUGAGCAAGCUCUUCGAACUCUUCAAUCCCACGGUUGCUCGAGUAAUUGUGGAUUUCAUCAUGAGUGUGGAAUUGCUUCAUCCUGCAGUGUUUUAGUUUUUUUCUCUCAAAAACUAUACAUAAGAGUUUUACUUUUUCCAAUAAUAUUUUUCGGUGCAAAAGGCUGUCUAUCUACAAUUUCCAUCACCAAAGAAUAAGCUGCAAAAUUGGGAAUAGUCAUUGGAAUAGAUCUUGGAACUACCUAUUCAUGUGUUCAUAUUUACAAAAAUGGUCAUGUUGAAAUCACAGCAAAUGACCAAGGAAUCGUAUUAAGCCAUCAUGGAUUGCAUUUGCUGGUAGCGAAAGACUGAUUCGAUGUUAAUGUUGAAAGAACUAUCUUUGAUGUCAAGAGACUUAUUGGAUGAAAGUAAGGCACACUCGUGUAUUUAUCAUUUUUGCUGGAACAUUUUGGUGUGUAUACAUAUGCUCACUGAAGUCUUAACUGUUAUAUAACAGGAUUGAGACUAAUGAAGUUUAGAGGGAUAUGAAGCUCGUUCCUUGUAAGAUUGUGAACAAGGAUGGAAAACCUUAUAUCUAGGUGGAAAUUAAGAAUAGUAAGGUUAAAGUCUUCAGUCUUGAGGAAAUUAGUGUAAUGGUUUUAACUAAGAUGAAAGAAGCAGCUGAAGCUUUCCUUGCAAAGAAAAUUAAGGAUGCUGUGGUAACUGUUCCCAGUAUAGUUCAAUUUCUAGAGUUACUCGUUGAAUCAUAUUUUACUUCAAUGAUGCCCAGAGGCAGGCAACAAAGAAUGCAGGUAUUAUUGCUGGGCUGAAUGCUGCUAGGACUAUCAAUGAACCCAGAGCAGCAGCAGUUGCCUGUCUAACUACGAAUUAAAAAAGUUUAUCUAACUACACUAAUUAACUGUUGAUUUUGCAAAAUAUUGAACAAUGAUUAAAGCAACCAAUUUCUUGUAUAAGUUUUAUUAGUUACAUUUCUUAUAAAAAGCUUUCAUAUGGUUCUAAUUGCUCUGUUUUAUUGUAGGCAAAGGCUUUCAUCAAAGGAUUAUAGAAUAUUUCAUCAAGUUGAUUAACAAGAAACAUGGAAAGAACAUCAGCAACCACAAUAGACCACUUGGAAAACUGAGGGAAGCUGAACGUGCCAAAAGAGCUUUAAGCAGCCAGCAGCAAGUUAGGACUCAUGCUUGAUUUGACGAGUUGAACAAUGACCUCUUUAGCAAAAACAUGGGACUUGUCAAGAAGGCUAUGGGGGAUGCUGGUUUGGAGAACCACCAGAUGCAUGAAAUUGUUCCUGUUAGUGGGGCUACCAGGAUCCCAAAAGUCCAAUAACUUCUCAAGGACUACUUUGAUGGAAAGGAACCCAACAAGAGUGUAAAACCAGAUGAAGCAGUGGCUUAUGGGGGUGGUGUUCAAGGAGGUAUUCUAAGCCGGAAAGGUGGUGAUGAAAGCAAAGGUACUUUUUAAAAUUUUUAAUGGACAUGUAAAACUUGAUAUUUUGCAAACUUAAGAUGCAACUUGAUUGUCUCAAGAAAGUUGAAACUGUUGGUAUUGAAACUGUUGCUGUGGUAAUGACCAAGUGAUUGGUACUUGUGAAUUUAUUUUGCUGCUUCAUAAUUUAUGAAUUCAUUCCUUGUGAACCCAGAACAAAAAAAAAAUUUGCAUGUGACCAAGUUGUAGCAAUAUCUUGCUACUUCCAUUAACUGUUACUGCAGUAAUGACCAAGUGAUUGGUACUUGUGAAUUUAUUUCAUUGUCAUCUGAGUUGUUGUUACAUGUUAAUGGAAUGUAUUUGAACGUCAAAGGAGCCUCUUUCUUUUGAAUCAUCUAUACUAAAUUACUGCUGUAUAUGUAAAUAUCAUGCUUUCCUUUUUCUUGUGAAUCAUUAUUACUGCAUUGGCUGUAUCCUUUGUAUUAGUACAUGACUACUCUUUGAACUAAUAUAUUUUUGACUAAUACUCCUUUUCACUCCCAGCCCAAGUUCACGAUACACACCACAUCACUCUUUUCAUCAUCUAAAAUAUUAAAAAUAUUACAAUAACAAAUACAACCUUACUAACAGGUCUAAAGUUCCCACGCCUUGCGUGGGAAGCAAUCACCUAGUUUUAAUAUAUAAACAACCAAAAGCAUAAACAUUAAACAAUAAUUACUGUGGGAGUCCAAUUUAAUUGUUCAAUAAGUUGAGCUAUUUAAAGAAGAAGAAAGAAAAUUAAAAAAAACUAUUUUAGAGAGCUCUUUAGUUGAGCUUAUGCAGUGUUGUAUUUGUAUAGAUUGGACUGUGAUUUCUAACUUCUUGCUGGUGUUGUAAUAUGUGGGCCCAAAUUAUAUGAGGUUCUUAAUGAAUUGUAAUUUUUGUCUUAAUAAUCUAAGUCUCAUUACUUGUUCUUUAUUAUUGUACUCCUCCCCUUACCUACUUCUUUUACUCUUUUAUGACAGAUAAAUGCUAUUCAUACUAGCUUUUGGAAGAUAUCUAUGGUUAUGGUUGAACAAUGUUGAAGACAAAAUUGCCUUUUGCUCAUGGAGUGGUUCAUUUAGAUGUUCUUCAAUUUCUUAAACUGUGAUUGCUUUUGUAAAUGUACCUUAUGUACAAGUGAUAUUUUGGACAAAUGUUAUUUUUGUAGGCAUUAGUUGGGCAAUGUACACUUGAAUUUGGCAUUUGAGAAUGCUAUAUUAUUACCAUAUAAUCUAAUGCAAAUACUUUUGGUUAUCAAUCGUUCAUGUUUAUUUGUAUGGUUUGUUUAAAAUCAAUGAUUUAGCAAUGAUUUAGCAAUGAUUACAGGCCAAAUUAUGACUAUUAAGCUAUUAUGAAAUUAUCUAAUGACAAAAAAAAGUUGUCACAAAAUAGAAAAUAAAAACUCCUUGUCACAACAGAGACUGUCACUAAAUCUAAGUUACAUUUGUGACGACAAUUGUUGUCAGUAAAAUAGUUAUAUACAAUGGCUUUCGGUGCUUUUUAGUGACGAUUUUAAGUAGACCAUUUUUGACAAAAGGUUAAUUCGUCAAUAAAACACUUCCAGAUUGUCGUCACUAAUGACAACUAUUUAGUGACGACCAAAUAGUUGUCACUAAAUAGUUGUCAUUAGUGACGACAAUCUGGAAGUGUUUUAUUGACGAAUUGAUCUUUUGUCAAAAAUGCUCUACUUAAAGUCGUCACUAAUGAGAACUAUUUAGUGACGACCUAAAAAUGUCGUCACUGUUUACCUUUACCGACGGGGAUUUAGUGACGACUUUGUGACGAUCAAAAAGUCGUCAAUAAAAGGUAUUUGUGACGAUAUUUGUAUGUUCUGUGAUGACUUUGUGUUGUCACUGAUGAACAAUUUUCUUGUAGUGUAUGUCGCCAAUAAUCAGGACCAUAACACCAUUUGCCCCAAGCUCACCCCACGCAGAGAUCAUGCGAAGUAGCUCUGAUACCACCUGUGACGACCCCACCUCCCCCUAGGGCGUACCCAAAGGUUUGGCGGACCGCCUGCCUAGCUCUCGCCAGGACUCACUCACUCACUCACUCAAUCAACUUUCAAGAUUAAUCAUUCAAGCCUCCAAAAUAAUAUUUAAGUUCUAUAAUUCAACCAAAAUGCAAACUUAUUUACAACCUAAAGCCAAACGUAUGAUACAACGUCAAAUGUCAAAAUACAUCUUAUCAACCAAGAGUACAAGUACAAGAGGGUUAUACACUCUAGGUCAUACUUGAUUGCUCCAGACCUCCACUCCUGUAAGGAAAACAAAAACUAAAGGAAUGAGCUAAAAGCCCAGUGAGGUUCCCAAACAAGCAAUCAGGUAGAGAAACCAUAGAAGUAUGGUACUUAACAGUUUGAACACUUUGCACAAUAAUAAAUAGUCAUUCAAGAAAUAAACAUUCAUUCAUAGGAAGGAUACGUGCUUACUUGGAGCCAUUCAUUCAGUCAUUCAGUCGCCAACCUUUUCCCUUAUUCCUCCAUCAUUUCGAAACAUUUAACAGUGAAAACUCCUUCAGUAUUCAUUGUCACUCAUUCAUUGAUUUCAUUGCAUUGAAUUCACUGGCCAGUUCUCCACCAGACUUCGUGGUAAUACCAGCCGCCCGACUGAGUCCUCUUCUGACUUGAGUCAACUGGCAACGAAGGGCAAGGGUCCAGUUCAGCCAAAGGCUUACAUUCAUGCACAAGUAACGUUCAAUCACUUGAUCAUUUUAAAUUCAUAUUCAUUUAGGUUGAGUGUGAUAAAAUACACACACGCCCAUUGAAAAUCCAUUUAACAGUUAUUGGAAAGCAUUUAACAUUCAAACAAUCACUCACAGAUAUUCACAUAGUCACUUAUUGCACAAACAUGCAAGGAACACUCACCACGGUACAAGUUCAAGUGUUCGCCUCAAGUGCACUUCCGACCUCACCUCCUCGUCCUAAAUCACAUUUUAAAGUGCCAUGAGAUCCACUAAGCCCAGUCACAUUAUUCCAAAAGAAAAAUCAAGCUCAAAAUGGUUCAACAACUCCAACUUGAAGUUGGAAGUGAAAGUAAGGAGAGCUUUAAGAAAACAGAAUUUUUCCCAGUUUUACACGAUGCUAUUUGAAAAAUCAUAUUUCAAGGUUCUUAAGUCCAAAAUUUAAAAAAUUUAUACCGUUGGAAAAUAGAUUCAAAGGAUUACAAUUUCUCAGAAGACCUCUUUGCAAGAUUCUGUCCACAAGUUAGUCAAAAUCCAAUCUAAAGCGGCUGCUUUAUCCAGUAGAAAGACAGAAUAGGAAUGGAAAUUCAGUCAAUUUUGGAAAAUCACAGAUGUUCAUAGAAAUUGAGAAAAAUUCUAAAAUUUUCACGGUCAAAAUAUCUAUAAGUCUAGUUUCCAAUGCAACAAACGGAACUCAUUUUGAAUUUUUCUACACCUAGAUGUAAUAGAUUUCCCAAGACUGCUCAAGGUCUCCUGCGGAGAAAUUUUCGGCAGCACUUCCCCUUAUUUUCCCUAAUUUCCAGCCAUUUUCAAGGCUAUAAUCUCAUAGUAUAACAGCCCCAAAUCAAGCUCACAAAUUAUAGGAGAAAAUUGGUACGUAUUCUAGAUAGCAAAGACUAACCAAAUUCAACAUAUACUUGAUAUAUAAACAAAUAUACCCAAGCUGAAAUUUUGAAACCCUAAGCUGGAAAAUUCUACCAACUUCACAAAUUCAUGAUAUCUUCCAUAUUCAAGUCAUCUAUCCAAUAAAAUGCAACAUAAGAAAGGGAAGGAGAGUUUCUUAGCUUAAUACCUUCAAACCUCAAGGAAAAAUACAAAACCAAGGCUGCCUAUGCAAAAUCACUCCACCUCAAGUUUCCUUGUCACCUUGUUGCACCUUUGUUCGGAUUAGAUUUGUAGUUCUUGUUGAUUUCUUAUUAAAUCAAGGCAAGAUCAAGAUGAUUUGUGAAGCUUUCUCCUUUAUUUUUUCUCUCUAAGGGUUGGCCAAAGAAGGAAGAAAAUGAAUAGGUUUUGAGGAGAAUUUACAAGAUAAAGACUAGAAUGGUCUUCGGUCAAAGUUGGCUUGAUGGCCAACACUUGUCGCUCUACCAUUUUUCCUCUUAUUUUUGUUCUUUUUCCUCUCUUUUUUGGUCAAUAAUUUUGGCCAACCAUAGGGAAAAUUUAGGGAAAGAAAAAUGAAAGAAAAAUAAGAUGAUUAAGGGAAAGAAAGUCUUGGUCAAGUGGUGUGCUCAACCGGUAACAAACGGCACACGUUAGUUCAAGCCUAUUUCUUAACUCUCUUAUACUUUUAUCUUAACUUAUGAUUCACUAAUUUACUCUUAGCACUUUUUAACCACAUACUUCCUCUUACUAAAUACCCGCUCUUAUCCACCAAAUUUAGUGCACACACCUCACCAAUCAAUCACACUACCAAAAUGCAUCAAAACCCUACUUACUCUAACUUUAAAUGUAAAAAUAAAACUCUUGACUCAACUAAUGAAAUCACCAUGAAAUUUAGGGCUAGUAAAUAGUUAAAUAAUCAAGUAAAUAAAUAUAGAAGGAAAUAUAAAUUAAUGUUUCAAAAAUGGGAGGAAAUUCUAAAGGAAUUUUCGGGUCCUCACACAUGGCCCCCACUGUCCCCCUUAAAUUCCUAUACUACCCAUAGAAUUUUGAUAUAAUCUUAAGUGUGUCUCCGGAAUUUUCUUAUGAAGGAAAUGAAAGAAUUACGUGGUCCUCUAAGUUAAUUCAUGAACUAAUAUUCUAAAAGAAUAUAUGGGCCACAAAAUUGCAUUUGAAGUAAGCUAAAAACAGGCUUUUCAUUUCAACUUGUUAGUGAAUAUUUUUUUUUGCUUAAAAAAUUAGAAAAAGAGUAGGUAAACAAUUUUAGUAUUACUUUUGCCCUUACUGAGAAUUUUUUUUGGCUCCGCCACUGUUACCAUUAUCUAGAUUAUGAACUUCUAUCCUUUUGGGGAUAUUCGUUAAUUGGAACGAUUCUGAACUCCUCAAAUGAUAGGUUUUCUACUAUGAACCUUUGGAAUUAACUCAGGUUCAUCAAUUAUUACUUUCAACACUUGAUUCAUUCUCAUCAUUCAUUGCUUUUCUAUAAAUUAGUCUAGCUUAUUGGUUUUCGGUUAUAAAAGUACUAUUACAAUAUAUACCUCACACAUAAAUAUACCUAGCUUCUCAUAAGUUACUACUUCUAACAUUUUUUCCCUCUAAAAUUAAAAAUUAUAUCCCAAAACCCACAAAAUAUUAAACUUAUACACUUAUAUUGUAAAUCCAAAAGUACGGAGUUUCACAAUCGAUAUUUGUCGUGUUAAUAUCUACAACUAUUAGACUUAGUGUCCAUAUUAUAUUAUGGACUUGAAACUGAUUACUAAACAUGCCCUGAAUUCGUAGUUUGGAGUUUGAACAAGAGAAUUGCAACAGAGGAUAACGAUCACGAGCUAGUAGACGUGGUUAAUGAAAAUACUAGGCAUUGUGCCCCGCGAGUUUCGCGGGGUGCCCAUUAUUGACUGUUUAAGAGUAAUGUAAGAUUUAUUUAAUAAUUAAUGUUUAGAGUGUUUUAUAUGAUAUUAGGGUUGAAAUAAUAAAUAGAGGAACAAUAUAUUGGAUUAAUAUAUUUAUAAAUAGAUAUAGUAAUAUUGUUGUGAUUUGUAUUUAAUUUUUUAAGAGUAAUAGGAGUAAAUAUUAUUUAAAUUAAUGGAAUGUAAAUAAUUUUUUAAGAGUUGAGAUAAAUUAAUAAUUCGAAAUAAUUUCGAUAUGUUUAUUUUUAUAUUGUUAAAUAUAAGUGGAAGUAGAAUAAAGAAAAUUUAGGGAACAGAUAAUUGCUAUGUGCAAGAAGCUGUAGUGGACAUGUUUACUUAUGAUUGUUGGAUAAAGUCUCUGCUGAUGAGCUACAGAUGAUAAUUGUUUUCAUUGAGCAAGGUGAACAUGAUGACACUUCCUUCAUGUAAGAAGUGUUUUUGUGUGAAUAUUGGCCAACAUUUUGUUAUUUCUAUUCCUUCUAGCUGAAAGAUCCAUCGAGUUAUAGCAUGAUAGCAAUUGAUGACUCACAUGUUGUCUGUUUGUAUAUGCGAUGGUAUAUCACCAGUGAGUACCUGAGAUAGAAAAUAGGGAAAAAAUGUAGUUGUAUUAUGAAAUGAGAGUAACAAUGUAGUGUAUGAAUUAUAUUGAUUGGAAUGUAAUUUGUAUGAAACUCACCAAAGAUUCAAAAUCGUGUGUUAGAUAAUGGAAGAGUUUAGUAUUAGAAAAACUAAAAGAAAAGAAAUAUAGUGAAGCAUAUAAAUUCAUAAAUAUAAUAUAUACAAAUUAAGGAUUUUUAACAAUUUGAAAUUAUAAAUUUAGAAUCAUAUAUUUGUAUUUAUUGAUCGAAUAAUUGUUUUUUGAAUCAAUAAAUAUUGGAUUGAUUUAUUUUUAAGUUUAUAUAUAUUAGAUACAUGUCAAGUACAUAUGAUUUUCAUUCAUUUGUAUUAAUAUGAAAUAGCAUAAUCAAUUUGUAUAUUUGACUGGAUACACAUAGAAUUUGUAUUCAUUUGCAUAUAUUAGAUGCACGUAGCAUUUUUAGCGAUUUGCAUAUUUUUUUCAUAUUUAAUAUUUUUGCUAAUAUAUACAUUUUGGAGAAAAUUAAUUAAAUUUAUAUACAUUAGAUACAUGUUAAGUAUAUAUGAUUUUCAUUGAUUUGUAUUAAUACGAAACAUCAUAAUUGAUUUAUAUAUACUGGUUGGAUACACAUAGAAUUUUUAUUCAUUUGCAUAUAUUAGAUGUACCUAAGAUUUUUAGGGAUUUGCAUUUUUUUCAUAUUUAAUAUUUUUGCUAAUAUAUAUCUUGGAGAAAAUUAAUAAAUAAGCGAAAAAACAUAAAAAGAAGGCUAUUUUAUGUAUUAGAUGUGCAUAACAUUUUUAGCGAUUUGUGUAUUUUUUAAUAGUUAAUAUUUUUUGUCAAUAUACACACUUUCGACAAAAUUAAUAAAUAAGCGAGUUAAUAAAUAAGCAGAUAAAUAUAAAGAAGGAGAGAAAAUUAUAAAUAUAGAAAUAGUCUCGAAAUUAUAAUUAUUUGAUAUAAAUAACACUUAUUAUAUGUUAAUACAAGGCAGUAUUAUUAAUUUAUAUAUAUUAGAUAUAGGUUAAACACAUAUAAUUUUCAUUGAUCUGCAUUAAUACAAAAUAAUAUAAUCGAUUUAUAUAUAUUGAUUAGAUACAUAUAGAAUUUUUAUUCGUUAGUAUGUAUUAGAUAUACAGAGGAUUUUUAGUAACCUGCGUAAUUUUUUGAUAUUUAAUAUUUUUUUCAAUACACACACUUUUGACAAAGUUAAUAAAUAAGUGAGUUAAUAAAUAAGUGGAUAAAUAUAAAGAAGGACGAAAAAUUAUAAACAUAGAAAUAGUGUCGAAAUUAUAAUUAUUUCACAUAAAUAACACUUAUUAUAUGUUAAUACAAAGUAGUAUUAUUAAUUUAUAUAUAUUAGAUGCAUGCAAAUCAUAUAUGAUUUUCAUUGAUCUGCAUUAAUACAAAACACCAUAGUCGAUUUUUAUAUAUUGAUUAGAUACAUAUAGAAUUUUUAUUCGUUUGUAUGUAUUAGAUGUACAUAGGAUUUUUAGCGACUUGCAUAUUUUUUUGAUAUUUAAUACGAAACAGCAUAAUUGAUUUAUAUAUACUAAUUGGAUACACAGAGAAUUUUUAUUCAUUUGCAUAUAUUAGAUGUACGUAGGAUUUUUAAGAAUUUGCAUUUUUUUCAUAUUUAAUAUUUUUGCUAAUAUAUAUUUUGGAGAAAACUAAUAAAUAAGCAAAUAAACAUAAAAAGAAUGCUAUUUUAUGUAUUAGAUGUGCAUAGCAUUUUUAGUGAUUUGCGUAUUUUUUAAUAGUUAAUAUUUUUUUCAAUACACACACUUUCGACAAAAUUAAUUAAUAAGCGAGUUAAUAAAUAAGCGAAAAAAUAUAAAGAAGGAGAGAAAAUUAUAAAUAUAGAAAUAGUCUCGAAAUUAUAAUUAUUUGAUAUAAAUAACACUUAUUAUAUGUUAAUACAAGGCAGUAUUAUUAAUUUAUAUACAUUAGAUAUAAGUUAAACACAUAUAAUUUUCAUUGAUCUGCAUUAAUACAAAACACUAUAAUCGAUUUAUAUAUAUUGAUUAGAUACAUAUAGAUUUUUUAUUCGUUAGUAUGUAUUAGAUAUACAUAGGAUUUUCAGUGACCUGCGUAAUUUUUUGAUAUUUAAUAUUUUUUUAGUCUCGAAAAAUAGUCUCGAAAAUGCAAAAGCUUUAAAUUAAUAAUUAGUAGUUAACAAAUAUUAUGGAAGUUCAUUUUUUAAAUAGAGGGAAAUUAUCCUAUAUUUUAAAAAACAAUUGGUCGUAUUAAUGGAAGCUAAUACAAAGUGGCACAAUUGAAUAUAUAUAUAUAUAUAAAGGCACACAAAUAGGAUGCAAGAAUAUAUAUAGAUUUGGAUAACCCAAAAAAUUCGCGUCUGCAUUAAGGAAUGGAAGGUAGCGGCUGCACAGCUACAACAAACAAAAGUAAAGAAACAAUAAUUAAGAGAGAAUAUCAUCGAAGCAACAUCUUUAUUAUUCAGUGUGUGUAUCUUGUUUCUUGUAUAUAAAUUAACAAUGUGAUAUUGAAGCAACAUAUAUAAAUUAAAGAUUUUUAACAAUGUGAUAUUAGAAAUUAAGAAAUCAUAUAUUUGUAUUUAUUAAUCGAAUAAUCAUUUUUGUAUUCUAUGAGUAUUAGAUCGAUUGAUUUGUAAAUAAAUGUUGCUGGAAAGAAUAGUACUUGCAUUAAUUUUUUGGGAAUUAAUAAGAUUCUAAAAUUUAUAGAUAACACAAUUUCAAAGAGUCCGUUAGUUUAUUGAUAUCAAAAAUUAAUAAUGCUUGAUUGAAUAGCAUAUAUGAAAAAAAAUUUAUUUAAUCAUGAAGCAAUUUAUUUAUUGAUCAAAUGGUAUCAUAUUAUAUAUAGAAUUUAUAUACUGUUCUAUACAUAUUAGACGGAUAAAGAUUUUUUAUUGAGUUUGCAUAUUUGUUCACAAAAUCAAUAUUUUUGCUAAUAUAUAUAUUAAUUAAUGAAUAUCGUAAUAAAUAUGGAAUUUAUAUACCGUUCUAUAAAUAUUAGGUGCAAAAAUAAUUUUUUAGUGGUUCGUAUAUUUUUUCACAGAAUCAACAUUUUUGCUAAUAUAUAUAUAUAUUAAAUAAUGAAUAUCGUAAUAAAUAUAAAAGAGAAGGGAAAAUUAUAUUUUGAAGAAAGAAACCUUAAUACAAUACAAAGUUAAGGGAGUUAUAUGCGAAAGAAACUUAAUAAAUAAAAGCGAGAAGCUAACAUUUUGGUGAAUAAAGUUAGACAUAACAAUUGCAGCGAAAAUGGAAGAGAAAGAAAAGGGCUAAAUCGCGGAGCGAAGGUAACAAUUACAGCUGCGGAAAACGGAGGAGAAAGAAAAGGACGAAAUUGGGGAGAAAAGCCAACAUUCGUCAGUAAACUCAGGCAACAGCGGAAGAUCGGGGAGAAACAAAAGGACAAAAUCGGGGACAAAAUUACAGGCGUACCAAGCGAAAGGGCAGAAUGGGAACAAAGCAACAAAACAAGCAACAAGGACAAGCGGAAGCAGAAGCAAUUGCGCUAGAUGAAGCCCACGAAAAGACUAAAAAGGACAAACUGAGCUGCAAAUUACAGGGAAACCAGGACAAUUGACUGUAGCAAAGCCUUCGCGGCUUUAUGUAGUUUAAGAUACACCACAAUUUCUUUGAGAGUAAGCUGGGGGAAACUGCAUCAUCUGUGUUUUAUGGACAGGCUAAUCAGAUUGAUGGAAAGGCAAUUCCCUUCUUAAAUGACUACAAUACAAUUGAGAAGAAAGAUGACCAAACAUCGAGUCCUCCAAAGUAUCUGGCAAAAAUUAAAGAAAUUCGGUCACAGGGUUACCAGGGACCGCUUGGAAUUGGACUCGAGGGACACUUCGGUGCUCCGGACCUAGCUUAUGUAAGGACUUCAAUUGAUUUGCUUGCUUCCACAAAAUUACCUAUUUGGGUUACGGAAUUGGAUGUCUCUAGCCAGCCCAAUCAGGCCACGUACUUGGAUCAAAUAAUAAGGGAGGUUCGGGGACAUCCAGCCAUUCAAGGGCUACUAAUCUGGGCUGCAUGGUCUCCUCAGGGAUGUUAUAGAAUGUGUUUGACGGACAAUAACUUCAGAAACCAUCCAACAGUGGACGUUGUUGACAAGAUCAUCAAGGAAUUGAAGCAUGAGGAUUUGAUAGGCACUACAGACGAUGAGGCCCAUUUUGAGACUUCACUUUAUCAUGGAGAUUAUGAAGCUAUAAUAAGUCAUCCAGCUAUGACGAGUUCAUCCUCCUCAGUGGGAAUCAAAUUUAAUGUGGCUCCAACAACAAACCAGGAAACUUUGGAUGUCAAGUUCUCCUCCAUCAGCUUUUCUUGAAUUAAGAAAUUCACGCUGAACUAGUGACUUGUUCACCAAGGUUAAAGCAAUACAUUUAUGUAGGGAGAAAUUUUGAACAAUAGUGGAUGAUUAUCUUCUAAUAAAAAAAAAAAAAAAAGAUCACGAGCUAGUAAGCUUCAUUCUUUUCGAUAGAGACAAUUAUGCCUACUACGGAUAUCUUGACUAAGAAUUUAAUUAAAUAAGAUUCAAUUUGUUCUUUCUUCUUCUAUUUUUUUUUUCAGUUAAUAAAUCGAGAAGUAGACUGGAACCGAGGGCAGAAAAAUCAAAACUAUACAAGUUAUCACUAGCUGAGAAAAUUCAAAUGCAAUUAUGGCAAUUGAUUCGUUAUUCUUGUCGUGGGGGAACAUGUACAGACAUGCACCUAUCACAUGAGGAGGAAAUUGAGAUGAGAAUUUCAGCUUGAAGAGAGUAGAAGUAGAAACUAUAAAGAAUGUCAAGCGUGACGCAACUAUGCCAUUAAAAUUAUGCAAGUUGGGCUUUACAACUUGCAUGUGAUAUACUUCCAACGUUGAAUAGGCAACCAUCUCCGUCUAUGUCCUACUUUGAUUUCUACCUCCCAACGAAACCCUUCAGAUUUCAUGCACAAGGCUUUAGCUGACAGCUCUUGACAAUGGUCCUACAUUUUCGAUCUUAUCAUCUAUCAUCUACCGGUGGAAUUUGAUUGGUGUUCUAUUCGCACUUGUGCUCCUCUUUUCCUCAGAUUGGUGUUCUCUUUCUCUUUUCCUCAAUUUGAUUGGUAUCAUACAAAAGUGUAAGGGAAUUAUGAAUAGUUUACCUAAAAAUGUUCCAUAUACACAAACGCUAAAUGAAUUAUGAGCUAAUUUGAAUUAUUGACAUGAAUAAAAAAAAACUCCAACGCAGUUAACGAUUUAAAAUUAUUGCAAGCUUGAAUUAAUGUAUGGAAUUUUUGUAUAUUCAAACAGAAAGUGCUAAAAUUGCACACAACUUGCAAUGAGUACCUCUUUCAAGGCCAGGGAUAUUUUCAGUUAGUAAUAUGUUGCAUCGAAAACAUUUUGGUAUCUGUGAAUGUGCAAAACCCCUGUGCUUCCAACUGCAGCUGAAGUGGAAUGUAUGUGGAAUAACAAGCAUGUUUUUUAAAAUAUAAACAGAACAACUCAACCAAUACAGAAAGGAUUUUCAUAUGACGAUAAGGAACAUCUUACACAAUAGAAUACCCUAACCUAAAAAUGUUACCAAGUUAGAGGACGUCUAACUUAGCUGAACGACAAAGUAGUAGUUGUGAAGGUCUUCCUUUAUUUUGGCAGCUCUCAAGACAGGAUAUUGUACACCAAACCCUGAUUUUGAUAAAUGAAUAGGAUAGAGUAAUAUUACAACUACUCCAAUGUAGAAGAUGAAGAAAGCUGUUGGUCAGCAAGAUUUUGUGAUAGAAUUGGAUAGAUCCAAAAAACAAAACAAAAAAAAAAAAGCAAAAAUUUUAUCAAACAAGGAAGAGAACAUAAGAGCAGAAAUUUGAAAUACAAAUGCUACAUUCUCGAUUGUGUCAAUAGUGCGAUGGUUAUCCUUUUUGUACUUUUGGCUGCUGUCCAUUGAGGUCGAAAAUAUUUUCGGCAAAUAGUAUGUGUGCAAGAAAGAUACGACUAAUCAAUAACUAAAUAAAUGAGAAAAUAUUUAGAAGAUUUUAAACAAGGUAAUUCUGAGAAAUAUGGACAUAUAUGUUAGAAGACUUUAAACAAGGUAAUUCUGAGAAAUAAAAAUCAAUAACUAAAUGAAUGAGAAAUUUUUUGACUCUAUAUUGCUUUUAGUACUAUAUGUAUGGGUAAUGCAGUUGUAUGCUUGGUGCUUAAAUUGGAAGAUAUCUAUUAUUGUGACUGUAUCUUUGUUUGAAUUCAAGGCUUCUGGAGUAUGUAAUUACUAAUUGAAUACAUCAUGAAAUACACAUUACUAUUUAGUUAGUUUCAACAUGGCCUAGUGGUAUAAUUUCAAGAAAUGUACAAUUGUAAUCUUUUAUUUAUCUAUUUAAAGUGAAGGAAUAAGUCUGACAGGCUGAUACUGAAUGAGAAUGCUCAAAUUUUCCCUGAGUUUUGAUUUGAAUUCAUUUAGUCAAGAUGCUAGGGAAAUUUGAAAUCAAGAGAACAAACCUUUUUUGUUUUUGUUGACAAGGAAACCCUCAGCCGACCGUGCAAGGGACUCAAGAGAACAAACUUUACCAACUAAUAAAACUAAUUGAUGCUUUCUUCUAGUAGACUGUAAACCCACCAAGAGUAUACUUACCUAGAAGUGCAUUUAACAUAGUAACCAAUAUACUUAUGCUGAAUAUAUUAAGAAAAAUAUGAGUAAUUAAAGAGACACUGGAUAGAGGAAAAAACUGUAACAAAGAUUUGUCCACAGCCAUGCAACUGUUUUGAAACUUCUGAAAGAUCACACUUCAGUCCAUUGCCUGAUUAGACCAUCAAAGUUCAAGUUGACAAAGCCUUUCAGAAUUCGGUCAAAAGAAGUGGCUGAACUGUUAGUUGAUCACUCUUUAUGUACUGGAGAGGAUAUGGUUGUUAAGGCGAUUAUAUAUAGAAUUGAUAAGAAAGAAUGAUGAGCCACAGAUUGGUUAUCUAUAAGACGGUGGAUAAGGCUGAAGAAACAAUCAAGGUGGAAUUCAAGGACAAGAAAUCUGUAUAUGUCAUUUUCGGAGGCAAUUGAUGACGGCUGGAGUGGAUAUGUGUACAGCCUUCUCUAUGUCGUAGGAUUUUUUUUUUUUUUUUUUUUGAAUCCUGAAAAAUUUCAUACGAAUAAUUUCUACACAAAUUCAGAAGUUUCUAGCGGCAUUUUGUCCUGCAUUGUCCAAUGAGUUCAAGUUCCUGGUCUUCAAGGUGUAUUAACUUCGCAAAUUAAAGAGUAUCACACGAUAAAGGGUACCUAUGGUCUACGAAUCACUAACAAUUUGCUAUUCAAGUUGUAUGCCAGACAUAUAAUGUGAUGUAGAGUACGAUCCAACGAGGAACUUGGCUAAGAAUUAAUUUGCAGAAGGAAGGAAAACAAUAGGACGAGAGAGCCUGGCUGCCCUGAUGCCUGUGCACUACAACCUGCGACUCUGAAAUUUCAAUCAAGAUAUAGCACCUAAUUUGAGAAUUAAUGACAUUGACCCAUGGACUAUGGCUAAUAACUCUGAAAUUUCAUUUAUAGUUGUCAAGGAAUAUGGCUAAAACCCACCUUUUGCAGCAAUCUUCCUUCACCCAAUGAAAGAUUUCUGGAGGUUAAAGUUCAGCUCCUAAAGCUCUUCUCCAGCUCACCAACCAACAGAAGAAAUUAGUUUUAGUAAAAGUUGUUAAAUUUUGGCACCAAGUUUUGAGGGUAUGUAGGUAAAUUUGUAGAUGAUAUUUUGCUUCUAAAAUAGUGUUUAAAAAGCUAUUUCAGUGAGGUAUUACGGUGAAUUUGUCCUUGAUGAUAUUGACAUUAGGUCCCAUCAACAUCAAAUACAAGUUAAUCUGAUGUUGGAAACAAGAAGGGUUCUAGCUAAAAUUAUUAGAAACCUCAGGAAAUUAUUCCUAAAAUAUUUCCUCCACACAAGACACAGUGUUCCCAUCCUAGUUCUUAUAAAUAGGGCUUUAGCUCAAUGCACUUGUCACUAGAUAUCAAUAAAUUUUGCACGUCAUUUAUAUUUUGAGCGAAAUUGUGAUCAAAUGGCGUCUUCAAAAAGUUUGCUCUUUCUUUUUGGUGUUCUCUUCGCACUUGUACUCCUCAUUUCCGCUGAUGUAACAACAGCAGGUACCCUGUUUUUUUCUUUCUUUUUUAUAUUUUUGGCUGCACCUGAACACUCAAAUGAAUGAAGCCUAGCAAACUUAUUAUUGGGAUGUGAUCAAAUUAACGUCAAAUUAAAUACUUCUAAUUCUAAUUUAUUGAGUAGACUAUAAUGCAAAAUAAUUCAUAUGCAAGUCGCAACAUCGUAUAUGCCUAGACUGUUCUGUUUAAUCCACAGUAUUCUUUUCUUUGCAUAUAUCUUGCAAAUUUUCCGCCUGGCCAGUCACUUUAUUUUCCAGCAUAAGGUAAAUCUCCUAACAGUUAUGUCUCCUUAUGUCUUGAAACAGAUCAGGAGACCACGAAGGCCACUGGUGUCCACGAUGCCAGCUCAGGUGAGGCUCAUCAGGAUCCUGUAAUCGUAGAUCGUUGCGCAUUUGGUUGUUGCCGCUUGUUCCAUGGACUUUGCUUUAGAUGCUGUCCACCUGCUGAGAAGACCCCUAAUAUUGAAUUUGGAGAUGAGGUUAAGAAUUAAAGCUAAGUCAAUAAGGAUGUGAGAUCCGUAACACCUAUAUUAUUACCUUAAUAUGUUGUGUUUGUCUUGAUGGUUGAUUUCCUCUUAUGCGUAAAAAGGACUCGUGGAGCUUCUCUUUGACUUGGUGUAGAAUCAACAGGGGAGGCAUGUAAUGAGUACUCAGCUCGACUGCCCUUCUUGUGUUGUUGUCAUGUUGAAUAAAUAAAUCUACUUGAUCAUCUACGACACUUGAUGAUCUCUAUCUCAGUUACAUCAGAAACUUCUGUACCUUGGACUUGCUAGAAUUUAGUGUGAUUGAUACAAGACGUGCAGAAUGUUCAAUAUAUGUAUAUACGUGCUUCUUCAUCGUCCCAUGUCUUUACAGUGUAAAAUAAUUCAGUAAACCCAAUCCUGUUCCUUCCUGAGAAAGGAACUAAAGUCCUUUAAAUGGAUAUUUUGGAUGCUAUCAAGGGUUUGAAUGGAUUGCCAUUUAGAGAUCUGAAUGUUGGUCUUUUCUCUUUAUCUUUGCUCAAGAAUUUUUUUUGGCGGAAAUGCUUUACUUAUACGAAUUUUCCUAGUCAGUGAAUAUUUUAAUUAUACUUGCACAACACAAUGUUUAUAUGGAUAACACAAAAAAGCUUCUGUAGUUUGUAUACUUGAAAAAUAUUCAUAUAUACUUUUUAACUAACCUAGAAAAAUACAUAAUAAAUUCUUGAUGCAUUAUACUUUAAAUUUUAAAAAAUUUUAAUACUAACACUUAUCAAUGACUCCACAUGUUAAUUUGUCUUCCAACUCAAUAAUUUAUAGUAGUUAAUUUUCAAAGCUAACUGACUCCAAUAUUCCUGAUGCGUGGGGAGUUUGAACCUUAAUUAUUUUCAAAUUUUAAAUAUAAUCCAAACUUUCACUGCUGAUGCGUGGGGAGUACGACCUGUACACGAGUAUAGGGAAUGCUGGAGUGUCAACCCCAGAGAGAAGAUUGUCAAUUAUUGGAGUGAUUCGAACUCCUCUAUUAUUUAGAUUGUCACAAUUAAAACAAGUAAAUCUAAUUUACAAAUAUAAAGUAGUAAAAAUAACAAGGAAAUGUGCCUAGGGUUAUAUCAUCUUUAACUACUCUUACAAGUGAAAAUAACCAAUUAAAUGAGUUGAUUAUCUUGACUAACUCAUGGCUAAUUUUCUAAUAUAAGUGAUAUUCGCUUUCGCUAAUGUACCAACCAUACAUAUAACUAUCCCUCACCUAUGUUUAGUGAUAAAGAAACUAUCUAUAAACUCAUAGAAUCUAUGAAAUUAUUUGUUAAAGCCACAAAGGUUUUUUCCUCCUUUCGUGAGAAUACUUCCUAAGUUGAACACUUCCACGAACUAAUGUUAAAUCACAACUUUCAUUGAUGAAACAACACCUUUAGAUAAUCACCAUUAAUGAUCAGUUAAUCGUGAUUGUAAUAACAAAAGUGUUAAAUAACUUGCUCAAGAAUUAAGAUGGAAUAACCAAGAAAAUAUCACUAACAAGCAUAAUAGUUUAUCCAUCCCUAUGCAUACAAACUAGCAAAACGUAGAUGAAACAGAAAUAACAACCAAACAUGUAUAUUCACUAAAUAUGAGAAUCAAUUUAAGAAAUAAAGUGAUAGAAAAGAAGUCACCCUUGACACAUGAGUUCCAAAACUCUCAAUCUUCAUCUUCAUCCUCAACUUCAUCUAUAUUUAGUUACAAUACAAGAUGGAUAAAACUUACCUACACUAAGCUAAUUAACUAAUGAGAAUAGUGAAAGUUACAUUUUUUGUGGUAGUUCCUAACCUUCAAAGGUUAUGAAAAUGAGUUUUGAAGGCCCCUAUUUAUAGAAGAAAUUGCUCCAAAUAAUCAUGUUUCAAGUUGUGCAAUUUGUGCUUUCGAAUCUCCAAAAGUUAUUUCUUGAAAUCUCCAAUAUUUCUUCAGUAGUUACCGCUAAAAUUUGAUUAGAAAAAUAAGCUAUAAAAGCUAUGGAAAAGCUAUACAAGGCCAUGAGAAAAUACAGGUAAUGACCCUCAUUUUACCUCUUGUUUUGCCUCCCAUGUAUUUUCCAUGUCAUUUCUGGUUUCAUCCCAAUACGAGGGUCAAAACAUUGGUUACUCCUCAUUUUAGCCCUGAUUUUCUCCUCAGAAGAGUAAUUUUGUAGCUUUUGUCAUUUCCGAAUCGUUCUCAAAUCAUCUCUGACAAUAUCUUACUUGUAUUUCACUUGAUUCGAAAUAAACAUGAAAGACCAAAAUCUACAAAAACAACAUGUUUUGCACAUUAAACCAUUCAAAUACAAGUUUCGGUUAUUAACUGCAGCUUGAAGAAAUGUUUGCUUAAAAUGAGUAUUUUUCAUCCUUAAAGCCCUAAAAACAAACCAAAAACUAAGUAACAAAACAUAUUAAAAAUAUGCAAAGUAAACACUGUUCAAUUCCCUCACUUUCUUCAUCUCCUAAUGGAUUUAUUUCCUAAGCAUGAGUUUUGCAACCCCCAACAUUAAAUCUCAAUGAUUGAUUUCGGUGGUUAUAAAGGCUUCUAACUUUUCACACGUUUGUUUCAUAGUGUACUAUUGGUUUGCUAUUAAUUCUAACUAGACAUUUACUAGGUCUUGUAGAAUUUAUUCCUUCUUAUCACUUAAUUCAUAAGCCUUAUUAAUCAUUAAAUUUAUCAGUUACAACCAAAAGGCAAAUGCCUUGCAUUUCAAUCUUUAAUGUCUGUACUUAACUUAUAUUAGCCAUUCGUACUGAUUGAUUUUAUUAUAUUGCUUCUAGAAUGUUACUCGUCAUGUUCUUACCAUUAUCUGGAUUAUGAACUUCUAUCCUUCUGCGGAUAUUCGUUAAAAUUGGGACGAUUCUGAACUCCUCAAAUGAUAAGUAUUCGACUAUGAACCUUUAAAUUUAACUCAAGUUCAUCAAUUAUUACUUUCAACACUUGAUUCAUUCUCAUCAUUCAUUGCUUUUCUAUAAAUUAGUCUGGCUUAUAGGUUUUCGGUUAUAAAAGAACUAUUACAAUAUAUACUUCACACAUAAAUAUACCUAGCUUCUCAUAAGUUAUUACUUCUAACAUUUUUUCCCUCUAAAAUUAAAAAUUGUAUCCCAAAACCCACAAAAUAUCAAACUUAUAUACACUUAAUGUAAAAGCCAAAAAUAUGGGGUUUCACAAUCUAUAUUUGUUGUGUUAAUAUCUACAACUGUUAGAGGUAGUGUCUAUAUAAUAUUAUGGAGUUGAAACUGAUAAUUAAACAUGCCCUAAAUCCAUAGACUGUAAAAAUUCUAAAUUUGCUUGUAUGCUCUAUGGUUUCAAUGUUCUAACCUCCAUGGUUAAUUUGAAGUUUGAACAAGAGAAUUGCAAUAGAGGCCAACGAUCACGAGCUAGUAAGCUUCAUUCAUUUCGAUAGAGAUAAUUAUGUCUACUAUGGAUAUCUUGACUACGACUUUAAUUAAACAAGAUUUAAUUUAUUUUUUCUUCUUUUUUUCAGUUAAUAAAUCUAGAAGUAGACUGGAAUCGGAGGCAGAAAAAUCAAAACUAUAAAAUUUAUCACUAGCUGAGAAAAUUUUAAGGCAAUUAUGGUAAUUGAUUCAUUAUUCUUGUCGUGGGGGAACAUGUACAGACAUGUAGCCAUCACAUGAGGAGGAAAUUGAGAUGAGAAUUUUCAGCUUGGGGAGAGUCGAAGUAGAAAGAAUGUCAUGUAUGACAUGCACAAGAAUAAUUGGCAUUUCCAUUAAAAUUAAAUCUCCAUCAAUUUCAUUAAAAUUAUGCAAGUUGGGCUUUGCAACUCGUAUGUGAAAUACUUCCAACGCUCAAUAGGCAACCAUCUCCGUCUAUGCCCUACUUUGAUUUCUACCUCCCAACGAAACCCUUCAGAUUUCAUGCAUAAGGCUUUAGCUGACAGCUCUUGACAAUGGUCCUACAUUUUCGAUCUUAUCAUCUAUCAUCUACUGGUGGAAUUUGAUUGAGCUUUGAGAUCAAAUCGCAUUCUCCAAGAACUUGUUUCUUUCUCCUUGGUGCUCUGCUCGCACUUGUGCUUCUCAUUUCCUCAAGACUCUCUGAGGUUCCAGCUUGACUAAGUGCCUAUUUCAUCGAUCGUUUUAAUUUUUGUCUUUUGGGAUGUUCCAUUUUAACUCUACUCAACAUGUUGGGCCCAUAAGAAGUCGGUAAGAGGAUAAGUGUAUGAUCCAAAAAUUUAGCGUAAGUUGUUUGUUUCAUAACAAAUUACUAUUGAUAAAUGUUACAAUUGCAUUUCUUUUUCUAGUUCAAAGAGAAAUUCUAAACCUUAUAAGAGAGAAGAUUGAGAAUCGAAUCAGAAUUCUCAUAUUCGCCUAAUUAGUGGUUCUAUUAGUUGAGUUGGAUUUUAAGGACCGUUACAAAAUAACUUUGUAUCUUUAACAUUAUGACCUUACAUAGGUAAUUGGAUCACAUACUCUGCAAUAACGUUGCCUAGGACAAAUGUCAUGCACGAAAGAGUUCGUGUCAAUCCAUUCAUUAAAUGCACAAAAGUAUAUAUUGACGCAUAAACUAUAAGCAGAGGUGGAGCUACUUAUAAGCGACAGAGUUCGUGAUAAAGAAACAACUUAUAAGCUCAUUAGAAUCUAUGAAAUUAUUUGUUAAAGUCAUAAAGUUGUUUCCCUACUUUCGUGAGAGUACUUUCCUAGGUUGGACACUUCCACGAAUUAAUAUUAAAUCACAACUUUCAUUGAUGAAACAACACCUUAACAUUAUCACUAUUAAUGAUCAGUUAAUCAUGAUUGUAAUAGCAAAAUGUUAAAUAACUUGCUCAAGAAAUAAGAUGAAAUAAUCAAGAAAAUAUCACUUAACAAGCAUAAGUAGUUUAUCCAGCCCUAUGCAUACAAACUAGCAAAAUGUAAAUGAAACACAAAUAACAACCAAACUAGUAUAUUCAAUAAACAUGAGAAUCAAUACAAGAAAUAAAGUGAUAAGAGAAAAGUCACCCUUAUUACAUGUGACAAGUAUCUAUUUUACCUAAUAGUUUGUCUAUAUUUUAGUUCAUUUAUAGUUAAUUUUAAGUUUCUAAGACAAUAUGAGUGACCAUUUUGACAAUAUUUGAUGUUCUUGAGUAAUUUUGAUAAGACUUGUGAAUUCAUCCCUUUUACUUGUUAACGUUUAUAAUGUUUUGGUAGGGAAGAAUGACGAGGUUCUACCAUGCACCAAAUUUUAAUAAAACCUAAAUAUCCCUUUUUCUAUAAGUAUACAUAUCAUUUAUCGAGUAUAGGGAUAUUAGAUGUCCAUCCCAUAAGGAAGAUUGCCAAUUAUAGAUAGUUUUCGAACUCUUUUAUUAUUUAGACUAUCGCAAAUGCAAGAUAUUAAAUUUACACUAUAAACAUAAAAUAAAAGUAAUAAUAAUAAUAAUAGAAAGUUCUUAGGGUUAUGGAAUUCCUCACUACUCUUGCAAAUAAAAUUACUGGUUAAUUGAAUGUUAUUAUCUUGGCUAGUUAUGGUGUAAUUUUCUAAUGUAUGUGAAACCUAUUGUCGUAAUGAAUCAACUAUACUUGUAACUAAACCAUACCUACUCUCGUGGUUAUGAAAUUAACUACAAAUUCAUUUUUUCUAUGAAAUUAAAUUAAACAAACCACUAAAACCACAAAGGUACACAUCUACUCUUGUGAGUGAACUAUCUAAAUUUAGCACUUCUUUGAACUAGUGUCAAAUCCCAAUUUUCAUUGCAAACUUAAUCCCUUAAGAUUAUUACAAUUAAUGACCAGUUAAUCAUGAUUAGAUAAGCAAAAGUGAUAAAUAACUUGCUCAACAUAACAGCAUCAAAUAACUAAUUUAGCAUCAGUAACAAGAUAUAGAAAGUUCAUCCAUAACUCUAGGCAAAAACUUUAAUAAAACAUGAUAAAAUUCAAACUUGUAUUAUAAUUGAUAAGAGUUUAUUUUACGUAUUUUUAGUGUGUUUUAUUAGUUAAUUUUGGUUUGAUUAUUUAGUUUUAUAACUAAAAUAACUAAGGUUUUGGUAAAAAUCUACAUUUUAUGUUAAAGUGGCUAACAUUGCAUUUCUAUUGAUUUUUAUGGGAAAAACUUCAUAUUUUGUAGGUUUAAUGAUUCAAUCAUCAAAUGAAGUGCAUUGAGAAGAUAUUUGGAUGAUUGAAGAUGGAUUAAAGUGGUGAAAUUAAAAUAUGAAGUGUAAAAGGAAGAAAUGCAAUUUGAGGACAAAAAAAUCAAGAAAAGUCAGCUUUGACAACUCAGACACAUUUUCGUAUUUUGACUAUACCAGGAGCUACAAUGAUCGGAUGAAGGUGAUCUUGGUAUCAUUUUGAAGGUAAGAGAUAUAUCUACAUUUGGUAUGAAGACAUCAAAGUCCAAUUCAGCCGUUUUCUUGGUCAAAAGGUCGAAACACAGAAACUUAUCUGGAUGGUCGAAAGCUGAAGCCCAGAAUUGACCAGUCUAUGGUAUUUGGACCAUAUCUCCGUCCGCCGAUCUCCAAAUUAGAUGAUUCUUGAAGCAUUGGAACGCUAAUUCAAAGGGCUACAACCUUUGUGUUUUCCACAAAAGCCAGUUCGGCCUUCAUCAUGGAGAAAAAUGCAGUUGAAGUGAGGUCAAAAGUGAAAACGUGUAUGGCAGCCGAAUUUCUGUAAUUUGCUCAGCCAUUUUUCUCAUCUUCACACUACUUUCCAGCUAGAGUUGGAGAGAAAACGUAGGCUGCACAUGCUUCAGAAGACAUAAGGAAGAGAUAUAGCCAAGGUUCCAAGUCAAAAGCCAUUAUUUUUUACUCCCUUAACAAAUUCAGAUUUGGAGAAUCAUAGCAGAAAUUUUGGACCAGUGGAAAGGCACCUCAUAUCAGUUUUAUAUAGAGAGCAAUCAGAGGGAGAAGAGAUAUACAGGGGGAGAGAACUUGAAGUGCAGAAAUGUAGUUCUUUCAUUUCCUUAGUGUAGGAUAGUGUAGUAAGUGUAGUUAAUCCAUUCUUGUAUAAUAGCUAGAUUAGGAUGAAGAUUGAGAUGAAGAAGGAGGAGUUGAAGCUCAAGUGACAUGGGUUAUCUCUACUCCAAUUCUUUAUCUUUUGUAUUGGAUUCUUAACUAUGGUUAUUAUGCAAGUUCUGAAAUUUAUGUUUAUAAUUUGUUUUUAAAGUUUAUACAUUGGGUUUGGUUGAACUUUCUAUGAUUGUUAGUGUUCAUUAUUUGGCUAUUUGACUGCCAUAAUUUGAGCAAGUUAUUUAGCACUUUACCUCUUUAAAUCAUGAUUAAUCUGGUACCAUUAAUUGUGAUUAUCUAAGGUGUUAUUUCUACAAUGAAAAUUGAGAUUUAAUAUUAGUUCAAUAAGUGCUAAACAUGGGGAGUACACUCACGAGAGUAGAGGUGCACCUAUGGGGUUUUGGUGAUUAAUUUCAUGUAAUUUCACUGAAGAAAUGAACUUGUAGCUAAUUUCAUAACCAUGAGAAUAGGUAUGGAUUAGUUAUAAGUAUAAUUGAUUCACUACGAAAGUAGGUUUCACAUGGUUAAGGAAAUUACACCAUAACUAGCCUAGAUGUAGUAUUCAAUGAUCCAAAUAUAGCACUUGCAUGAGUAGUUAGGGAUACCACAACCUAAGGAGCAUUUAUUUGUUAUUUUGUAUAAUUUCAGUAGGAUAAAUUUGUUAUAAUUCAUUGAUAGUUUAAAUAAUAGAGAAGCUUUAGUAAUACCGGUAAUUGUUCACUCUUCCCUGUGGGAUCGACCCGAUAUAUACCCUAAACUACUAGUUGAUCUGUAUACUUGCAGUGAACGGGUGUAAUUCGGUAUUUUUUAGCUUGCACGUAUGUAAAAUACCCGUCAAGUUUUUGGUGCCGUUGCCGGGGAAGAUUUGGCAAUAUCGGUGUGAAGAGCAACUUUAUUAAUUUAGACAAUUUUUCUUAUUUUUGUUGUUUUUGUUGUAUCUUAUGUGUUUUAUGUCAUUUUUUUUUAGUCAACUUUUAUUUUUUUUUUCUGUUGUAGUUUGUGUCUUGGAAUCUAUCCUUCUUAACUAAUCUUACUUUUGAGAUUGUUUAAAAGCAAUUUUAGGUGAUGAGAAGGGUAGGUCAAUUUGGAGGACAAUGCUUGAGGAAUGGAAGAUUGGCAAUGGAUGGUUACCAAGUGCAAAACUCCUUCAAUAAAGGUAACCAAGAAAUUACCAAAGGUAUGUCUUUUGAAGAUGGUUUGAAGUGCUUAAAGACAAAAUUUGAUGUAAUUAUGUUACAAGUUCAAAUGGACACAAUUAUACAUGAAAUUGAGCAAGGGAGGAAUGUUAAUACUUUUAAUUCUUAUCAUGUGAUUUGUGACUUGUGUGGAGGUUAUCAUGCAACUAAUACAUGUAUGCAAGCACAAAAUGUGGAUUACUAUGAUGAAUUAGAACAUUACAAUCCUUAUUUUGAUCAAUACAGUGCUAAUUGGAGCAAUUCUCUUUCUUAUGGUUGGGAAAAUCAAUGUGCAUAUAGUGAUUAUCCAUAUUUUUAUAAUUACCAAUCUGAAAAUGUCCAAUAUAAAGCAAAACCAUCUUGGGAGUUAGCUAUAGAAAAAUUAGCUAAUGUGACUUCCGACCGUUUUGAUAGGAUUGAGGAAAUGAUAGAUGAAUUGGCUUCUCACUUUGGUAGAAUAAAAGAUCAAUUACAUGUAUUGUGUGAAGUUAUUUCCUCUAAUAAUGUGCAAAAUGAUCCUAGCAUGAAUGGUGGGAAUGUUGUAUGUGAAAAUGGGUUGCAUUUUAAUGAAAAUGAUGAAUCUCAAUUGUGUUUCAAUGAGCAAAUGUCCAUUUCACAUGAUAAUAUCUUUGGAACUAACUUUGAACCUCAAGAGGUGAGUUUUAAUGACUCAUUUUUCACCCCUCUUGAGGAGUGUAUAAAAAGUACAGGUUUUAAAGAUAUUCCUGCCCAAGAUACUUUCGUGGCAUUUCCUUUGGUAAGUUCUCAAGUGGUGCAUAUUCAAGGUAAUAUUUAUGAAACACUUGGAAUAUGUAAGUCACUUUCAUUUCUCACAUCAUUAGAUUAUGUGGCUUUCGCGAUAAAGCCACCUUUUAAUGAUCCACCACGGCCUAAAAUGGUGGAUUAUUCGUUAACUAACCCUCCUUGAAAAAUAAGGUGAAAUAGUCAAGCUAUUGACUUUAAAGAAGCGCUUAUUGGGAGGCAACCCAAUGUUUGUUUAAGUUUAUGUUAUUUUGGGGUGAUUUUAUGUUUAAAGUAUGUGUUUGAGUUAUUUUGUUAUUUUUCAUUUGUAGGUAUUGGAAAUGGAAGCAAAAGUGACCAAAUGAGGUGAAAAAGGCGAAAUUUGAUCGAGGAACUCAACCCCUCGAUUUGAGUAAUUGUUGUUUUUGAUCCGUUAAAAGGGGCUAAAAUGCAUGUUUUUAAUGUUUUACAUGUGUGCACAUUGAUAAAUUUUACAAACAAAUGAUUUAUGAUGCAUUUUGAGUGAUUGGGGAAUUAUUUGUAAAUUUUCAAAAGUUGAAUUUCUGCUAAAAUUCGCAGCAGAAAACGCAUUUCUCAAGAAAACGCGCCUCUGAGUCGCGUGUUCACAGAAUCGCGUUUUCAAUUCUGCACCUGCAGAACAGAAAACGCGCCAUUAAAACGCGACAUUAAGUCGCGUUUUGAAGGAAGUCGCGUUUUGUUGCCUGGAUCAAAGAUGAAAACGCGCCAUUGAAAACGCGACUUCAAGUCGCGUUUUCUCACAGAACCGCGUUUUCAGUACUGCAACUUUUGGGAAGAAACGCGCCUUCAAAACCGCGAGUUAAAGGCGCGUUUCUACUCACGUUUUCUGAGCAUUUUUUUUUUGAAAGAAAAAAUGCAGGUUCCUUGGUUCUCUUUUUCUUCUUUUCCUCAUAUAUUUUCUUGUACCUUGAGUUGCUUAUUAUGUAUUUUUUAUAGGUACAUCACCAAAACAAGGGCUUGAAGUUACGGAUAGCCGUUUUGAUGUCUUAAGCCUUUGUUAUCACUUUGGUUUCUCAUUUUCCAUUCUUAGGUUUAUAUUACUAAUGGUUAUCCAAUGGAACUCGUGAAGUGAUGAAGACCGGCGAACAACAUACCUUGAAGCUUCAUAUUCAAUCACAACAAUAGAGGAGUAUUAUUUUUCUUUAUCUUCAUUUUCCUUUUUACACAUUGAGGACAAUAUGCAUGUUAAGUGUGGGGGGAGAAUUGAGAUUAUAUAUAUUGUAUGUGAUUGACUUAUUAGUUGCAAAUAUUGGACUCGUGUUAAAAUUCAAAAUUUUUCUAACAUCUUGUCCAAAAUUGCAAAUUUGCCCCAAAAAUUUUAAAUUUUAAAUUUCAUCCAAAGGGAUAACAAAGUUCCAUACCAUUAGUAGUUCAAAUUCCUUCUACAUUUGAGAUAAAUAUAUAUGAUUUGGAAACUUCUUUUCUCAUUUAACUUGGAAAUGACUAUUAUGUGAUUAUAAUUUUGCAUUUGUAGGAAAAUAUAUCUUGUGAAGUGGAGAAAAUUAUGCCUAUUUUUUUGCAUAUUUAAUGAAAUUUCUUUUCUUUACUUGAUUUUAUAUAGUUAAGUGAUAAAUAUGGUCAAUAAGUGCAAUACUCUUCUCAUGAUUAUUUUUUUUAAAAUUAUUAUUCUCUUUGCUAUUAAAAAAAAAAAAAGAGAAAGAAAAAAAAACAAAAGAGAAAAGAAAAUAAAUAAAAAUUGUUCUACUCCAAUGAUUCUCGUACCGAGUAACCGGGGGUUGGCAUCUACAAAUGUCAACAUUCGCGUAAAAAGGUACUUGAAUUAAGAGUAUGCAAAGCAACUUGAGUAUGUGAAGUGUUGAGUAACCGGUGAUUUUCAUCUAAAAAUGUUGAUCCUCGCGUAAAAAGAUACUUUCACAACUUAAGUAAUAUUUAGCUAUAUUAUAUAAAUAAAUCCCUCUUUAAGUUAAAUAAGAAGAUGAUCAUGGGUUUAGGAAGCAUAUUAUUGACCAUAUGAGUUACUUACUUGUAAGAUUGGGUAAGGAUGAAAAAUUGAUUUGAAUUUGUUAUAAUGACGGUAUAAUUGGCUCUCCUUUACUUGAUAUUAUGAGUACUUGAAUUUAAUUAAAUAAUUGCAUAAUGGUUAUUUACUUUGUUUUGAGGAAAUGAAGUUGAAAUGCUACAUAUGUUUAUUUUCAAAUUUUGGAUCAUUGUUGGUUUGUAUUUUUUUUAUUGCUUGAGGACAAGUAAUGGUUCAAGUGUGGGGGUAUUUGAUAAGAGUUUAUUUUACGUAUUUUUAGUGUGUUUUAUUAGUUAAUUUUGGUUUGAUUAUUUAGUUUUAUAACUAAAAUAACUAAGGUUUUGGUAAAAAUCUACAUUUUAUGUUAAAUUGGCUAACAUUGCAUUUCUAUUGAUUUUUAUGGGAAAAACUUCAUAUUUUGUAGGUUUAAUGAUUCAAUCAUCAAAUGAAGUGCAUUGAGAAGAUAUUUGGAUGAUUGAAGAUGGAUUAAAGUGGUGAAAUUAAAAUAUGAAGUGUAAAAGGAAGAAAUGCAAUUUGAGGACAAAAAAAUCAAGAAAAGUCAGCUUUGACAACUCAGACACAUUUUCGUAUUUUGACUAUACCAGGAGCUACAAUGAUCGGAUGAAGGUGAUCUUGGUAUCAUUUUGAAGGUAAGAGAUAUAUCUACAUUUGGUAUGAAGACAUCAAAGUCCAAUUCAGCCGUUUUCUUGGUCAAAAGGUCGAAACACAGAAACUUAUCUGGAUGGUCGAAAGCUGAAGCCCAGAAUUGACCAGUCUAUGGUAUUUGGACCAUAUCUCCGUCCGCCGAUCUCCAAAUUAGAUGAUUCUUGAAGCAUUGGAACGCUAAUUCAAAGGGCUACAACCUUUGUGUUUUCCACAAAAGCCAGUUCGGCCUUCAUCAUGGAGAAAAAUGCAGUUGAAGUGAGGUCAAAAGUGAAAACGUGUAUGGCAGCCGAAUUUCUGUAAUUUGCUCAGCCAUUUUUCUCAUCUUCACACUACUUUCCAGCUAGAGUUGGAGAGAAAACGUAGGCUGCACAUGCUUCAGAAGACAUAAGGAAGAGAUAUAGCCAAGGUUCCAAAUCAAAAGCCAUUAUUUUUUACUCCCUUAACAAAUUCAGAUUUGGAGAAUCAUAGCAGAAAUUUUGGACCAGUGGAAAGGCACCUCAUAUCAGUUUUAUAUAGAGAGCAAUCAGAGGGAGAAGAGAUAUACGGGGGGAGAGAACUUGAAGUGCAGAAAUGUAGUUCUUUCAUUUCCUUAGUGUAGGAUAGUGUAGUAAGUGUAGUUAAUCCAUUCUUGUAUAAUAGCUAGAUUAGGAUGAAGAUUGAGAUGAAGAAGGAGGAGUUGAAGCUCAAGUGACAUGGGUUAUCUCUACUCCAAUUCUUUAUCUUUUGUAUUGGAUUCUUAACUAUGGUUAUUAUGCAAGUUCUGAAAUUUAUGUUUAUAAUUUGUUUUUAAAGUUUAUACAUUGGGUUUGGUUGAACUUUCUAUGAUUGUUAGUGUUCAUUAUUUGGCUAUUUGACUGCCAUAAUUUGAGCAAGUUAUUUAGCACUUUAGCUCUUUAAAUCAUGAUUAAUCUGGUACCAUUAAUUGUGAUUAUCUAAGGUGUUAUUUCUACAAUGAAAAUUAAGAUUUAAUAUUAGUUCAAUAAGUGCUAAACAUGGGGAGUACACUCACGAGAGUAGAGGUGCACCUAUGGGGUUUUGGUGAUUAAUUUCAUGUAAUUUCACUGAAGAAAUGAACUUGUAGCUAAUUUCAUAACCAUGAGAAUAGGUAUGGAUUAGUUAUAAGUAUAAUUGAUUCACUACGAAAGUAGGUUUCACAUGGUUAAGGAAAUUACACCAUAACUAGCCUAGAUGUAGUAUUCAAUGAUCCAAAUAUAGCACUUGCAUGAGUAGUUAGGGAUACCACAACCUAAGGAGCAUUUAUUUGUUAUUUUGCAUAAUUUCAGUAGGAUAAAUUUGUUAUAAUUCAUUGAUAGUCUAAAUAAUAGAGAAGCUUUAGUAAUACCGGUAAUUGUUCACUCUUCCCUGUGGGAUCGACCCGAUAUAUACCCUAAACUACUAGUUGAUCUGUAUACUUGCAGUGAACGGGUGUAAUUCGCUAUUUUUUAGCUUGCACGUAUGUAAAAUACCCGUCAAGUUUUUGGUGCCGUUGCCGGGGAAGAUUUGGCAAUAUCGGUGUGAAGAGCAACUUUAUUAAUUUAGACAAUUUUUCUUAUUUUUGUUGUUUUUGUUGUAUCUUAUGUGUUUUAUGUCAUUUUUUUUUAGUCAACUUUUAUUUUUUUUUUCUGUUGUAGUUUGUGUCUUGGAAUCUAUCCUUCUUAACUAAUCUUACUUUUGAGAUUGUUUCAAAGCAAUUUUAGGAGAUGAGAAGGGUAGGUCAAUUUGGAGGACAAUGCUUGAGGAAUGGAAGAUUGGCAAUGGAUGGUUACCAAGUGCAAAACUCCUUCAAUAAAGGUAACCAAGAAAUUACCAAAUGUAAGAGCCCGGUGCAACCCAAUGAGUACAAACAAUUUCACAAUGAUGCACAAAGAUAUAUCAAAUUUAAGCACAAUAAAGAAAACUUAAUUAAAGAGAAAAGAUAAGAAAUGCAAACCAAAUAUCAAUCCAAUAGCCUCUUCAAUUGAUGGCGAUGCUAACCAAGAUGUACAAGUGAAGGCUCACUCCUUCCUCACCCCAAACACACUUUGGUUGAGCCAAGGAGUUUUACAACUAUUCUAGUUAACCCUCAACAACCUACACUUGAAAGAUCACUCACCCAAUUAAGAACUAUUUUAUACAAAUGAGGCAACGUUCACCAAGGCUUUACCACUUCAAAUGAUAGGUUCACCUUCACCAAGGUUUUUCUCCUCCUAGAGAGUAACCUUCACUUGAGCAACCUCACAACCCAACUUUCCCAACCCCUUAUACAACCAACAAGGAAUCUUUCUACUCAAAAAUCUCACUUGUAAGCUUGUAUUUUGUGUUGGCAAAAGUCCCUUGUCUUCUUGUGCUUUGGGGUUUUUAUAGAAGGUGAGAAAUGGCACCAAAAGGCUCUCCAACGGUCAAAUAUUAAAUGCUGUCAAAACUAGCCGUUGGCCUGUCGGACGUUCGAACCACCUGUCGAACGUCCGAACCCUGCGUCCAAACCACCUGUCGGACGUCCCAACCCUGCGUCCGAACGUCUUCAGAGAGUCAUCAAAUCUUUGCGAAAUUUCUCGGACGUCCGAUGCGAUCGAUGUGCGUCCGACAGAGUUUCCUUCUUGACGUUCUUCAUCCUUUCGGACGUCCGAUAGCUUCCUUUCGGACGUCCCACAUGAGUGCCCUGUUUUUGCUUAUUCUUUUGUGCCACAAGAAUCUGUUCUAACAAAUUGCUCACAUAAAAACAUUAGCCCAAAUCUACAUUUUGGUUUGUUAAUCAUCAAAACCAAGGAUUGAUCGACCAAGGUCAACAAUCUCCCCCUUUUUUUAUGAUGACAAACAAUCGGAAUUUGGCAUGGUUUAAGGCGUUGGAAAACACAUUCAUAGAGCUAUAAUUUCACAGAAGAAAUCAUUCUGAAAUUCGGCACACAACUAGCUCGAAUUCGAGUCACAAGUUGCAGCCUCAGCAUUUUGUUCUUUUAAAACAGAGAAACAUAACAACCGACUUAAAAUAGUUGGUUUGGCUCACAUUCAUGGAACCAGAAUGUGUAUUUUAUAUCGUCGGAAAGGUUGGAAUGUCUAGUUUCAAAUGCCGCUGACGGCACCGCUGACGGCACUCGAUUUCAACUCGGAGUUCAAAAUUAUGGCCGAAAUACGAAAGCUGGUCAGAGCAUUUCGGAAAUAGUUCCAGAUUUACUAGCUUUGUUAAAUCGAUUUAUUUGACGAACCAAACCUCAAUAUUUUUCAAUGAAACUUUGUACACCAUAUAUUCAACAUAUCAACAUGAUAUACAAGUCAUGAAACCCUCAAAAUUUUGCAAAAAGGGUUGCGAUUAAAACAGGGCAAAUCUGAACAUUUUUGAACUAUGCAUCUCUUGGAGUCUAGACUAGCUAGGUAUCAUUAAUCUACCUAUUUAAACACUAAACUAGCAUUAUAUCCAUCAUCAAUCCAAGGGUGGGAGUUCAUAGAGCCCACCAUCAAAAUUUUCCGACAUGAAACAAAACAAAUAGCAUGUGAUUUUGGCAAAUAAUUCCACCACAAUAAAUCUGUCCUUGGCUAAACAGAAUUUCCAGCAGCUAAUUGGUCAUAAUCCAACUUUUUACUCGGCUAAAACAUGAUAUUAAGUACUCAAUUUUGGCAUGCAAUUUCUUAACUAGCCAAUUAACAUUUCCAGUUCAAAAUUAGAUUCAAACAACAGUUUUACUCAUCUAAAACAAAUCCAGAAAUUCUGUUUAGCUUGGCCUCAGUCGAACAUACGUGUAGCAGAUUUCUAAUUCAUUUUAUUUCUCUGAUUUAAACCCAUUAAUUAGCUACAUGCAAAGAUCAAUUAUCAUGUUAUUAACUAGUUAAUCAUGGUUACAAACUCAAAACAACAAAAUUGAAUCAAAUGAAGCUGUAAAAUACAGGACAAGCUCUCGGCUGCAGCAAUUCAUAACAACAGAAUUUCUUAUUUUUCUUGAUUCAUCAUCCGGCUGCAUAGAGUUAACAUGCAUGGUCUUAAUCUUCAAGUUUUCACUCAGCUAAUGACACUUAGGUGUUCAGAUUGCCACGGAAAACAAAAAUGGAGCUGCAUUAUCACCUCAGUUUCUCGGCAGCAACAUUUCAUCAAAACAGAAUUUUUCUGGUGUCUUGGUUUCAUCAACCGACUUCACAAGCAACACAUGCAGCUCUGAUAUGGCUUCAUCUACUAAAAGUUAACUUAAUAUAGCCCAGAAAUUACCUCAGAAACAACUUAGCUCACGCACAAGAAAUCUGAAAAGAAAAAUUCUGUUCUCCCUCUCGACUCUCGGCUCGCUUGUGGCUGCAGGUUGGUUGCUGCUGUGAUGGUGUUGGGUUCUGAGGUUGUUUUGUAGUUGGUUGAGGUUGCAGCAAGGGAUGAAGCUCACGUAGCCUCCCUCAUUUCUCCUCUUUAGUUUACGGACAGAACGGAAGUUGCAGCUCGCGCGAUUUCCUUUCUUUUCUUUCUUUCCUCUCGGCUUGCAGAGUGCAGCCCGGCCUCUCACUCUCUCUCAGUCAAUAUUCACGAGGUGGAGGCUGGAGAGGAAAUGUUUGUGGUUGUGGUCUGGAUGAGUUUGUGCAGAGAAAAUGGGAAUGGUGGUUUGUGAUAUAGGAAUGAGGUAGAAAUGUUGCCGCGGUUUUGGAGAAGGAAGAAAGAAUGGUUUACGGUUUUGGAGUGUAUGAAAUGGUUGCAUAUAGAAUUGGUGAAAAUGUGAUUGGUCGAUUGGGGCGGUGAUUGAAAUGCUAUCAGAGGGAUUGUUUGGUUUUGCAUGGAAACGUUGGGGUUGUAAGGGCAUUUUAGUCUUUUCACUCUGCUUCCUAACCUCUACUUAAAUUCUCCAUUCUAACUUAGCUCCAAAAUUAUCCCAAGUGUGAUUUGAACGCCUAAUUAUACACUAGUAUACUUAAACCAUUUUUAUCGAAUAUUUAUCGAUCACAAUUUAAUAUUAAGGUUCCUAGUAAUUCCUAACAUUAUUACCUAAAUAUUUAAACUACAAAAAUCAAGUUUGACCUUAAUAUAUAAAUUUAACAUUCUUAAUAUUCGUUUAUCCUUUUAUAUCAAAACUUAUUAACUUAAUCAUUAUUAACGCUUAAGAUUAGCUAUCGGAAUUCAAAGAAAUUUAAUUGUUAAAUCAAUGAAAUAAUUUACCUUCGAAAUAUGAAUUUAAUGUAACAAAACUAGGAAAUUUAACCACUUAUUCGUUAUAUGUAAUUUCUUGAAUCGAUUAUUUACUCCAAUCGCGUAUUUACUAUUUUCACUUAACGAACUUACAGAAAUGAAAUUUCGAAACGAAUUGCUUUAAAAAUAUAACUAAACUAUGGAUACGUUUAAUUAAACCGAAAAAGCUUAGAAAAUAAUACUCAGAGAAAUCGGGUGAGUAAAUACUUAUUUUAGCCAGUAAAAUAAAUAAAAUAAACAAAAUUUUCGGGUCCUCACAACCUACCCUCCUUAAAGAGAAUUUCGUCCUCGAAAUUCAUACCUUCUGAAAUCUUGGAUAACCCUGAACCAUGUGGUGUGAUCAUGUCAUAUGUUCGUUCAGACGCCACUGGUCGGUUCCUCCUUCCAUUGACUUGUCGAGGGACAGUUCCAUUUCCCUGUUGAGCAGUGGUUUCUCGUAGAUACCUCCUUAGACAGUCAUGAACUUUAUGGCUAGUACUCCACAUCCCAUACACUUUCGUCCCUUUAGCCAACAGUUUUCUUCAAUGUGAUUCGUCCUUCCACAAUAUCCACAAAUUGGAUGAGGUGUUGUGACCUGACUUGUUUGCGAGGUUUUCUUUGAUCGUGUCUGUCCUACUGAAGUCUCUCGCGACAUAAUUCCUUUUGGUUCCUUUAUCCUGAGUGGUGCAGGAAGUAACAGUCCUACCCCAUCCACUUCUUUUCUAACUUUGGGUAGUGGUCCAUUUUCUCCUAGUGUACUGUCAGAUGCGUCUCUUUUCCUUGCUUGAAAAGCUCUCAGUUGAGAUUUUGUGAUUUCUACCCUUUGCGCUUUUUCGAGAGCGUCACUAAAUGUUUCAACCUGUGCUGCGGCAAGGGCAUCUUGGAUUUCUAAAUCUAAUCCUUGGAUAAACCGUCUUAUUCUCUUCCUUUCAGUAGCCACCAAUUCUGGAGCAUAUGUAGAUAACUUCGUAAAGCGUGUUUUAUACUCAGAUACAAUUAAAGUUCCUUGACGAAGCUUUAUGAAAUCAUCUUCUCUCUUUUCUUGGACUAGUGGUGGAAGAAAUUUUCCAUUAAAUUCUAGGACAAAGUUCAUCCAAGUUUUCGGAGUUUGUUCCCUUUCCCACUUAUUUCUUAUAACAUUUCACCGUGCUCGAGCCGGCCCUUCAAGUUGGAACACAGCAAAAUUUACUUCUCUCUCCUCGGAAUAAUCUAGUGCAUCAAAUAUAUUUCUUAUUUUUCUAAUCAAUUCUCAGCCACCUCUGGAUCAGGUCCUCCAGCAAACUUAGGCGGGAAGAAUUUCUGAAACCGCUCUAAAGCUCGAUCCUCCCCUAUUUCUUGGUUUCCCUGUCCAACACCUUGACCUUGUUGAGCUACUAAGAGCUCUAGUAUAUCCGUCAUGCGGUUUAGAACUUGUCCCAUUUGGUCAUUUCCUCUCCCAGCACUGGGCUCGGCAUUUUGGUCAAUAUCAGAUCCAUUAUCUACUCUUUCAUUUCGGGGUUGUCUAGAUUGACGUCCCUUUCGUCGUCUCCCAGCUUCCAUUCUCACAACUAAUCUAUACAAAUAUGUGCAAAUGGCUCACUAAACUAAAAAUUAUCUAUGCACACGUAUAUUUAACAAUUUUCAAAAUGAGCAAUAAAACUAUAUCCACAGAUGACAUUUUCACAAAUAGCACAUUAACAGUUAACAUAGAAUUUAAACUAGUCUCAAUUAGGUUGCAUACCAUUACAAAAUUAGAGCUAAUCAAGUCAUAAUACAAGUUGAAAUCAAAGGUCAUUUAUCCAAAGUUUAAAAAUCUUUAGCAAGCCAGCCAAUAACUAAAGUGCAUUCAUCUCCAAGAAUAACCAACCUUGGAAUUUCUAGUUAAAGCCUCAAGUACCAUUUUCAAACUCAGGGAAUAUGUACAACUGGCUCACUUAAGCGUCAAGUGGGAACCAAGUCAAUUCGCACUAGGACUGGCCAUCUCCAGAUGCAAAUCAACUCAAUCGCCACCAUUCCUCAAAGAAAAUUUCACAAAAUGUCUCAAUCAAGCAAUCGAUCUAAGAUUCACAUUCAAUUUCAUACAUAUACUUACGAAGAUUACAAGCCUAGAGGAUACCUCGAAUCUUACAAUUUACCCAGUCAAAUUCGAUCUUAUAGAUAUCAGCUAGUACCAAUAUUCAAGAAACUCAACUAUUACUUUUCAAAUCAAUUCUCACACAAUUCUCUUCAGUUUCUUACAAUAUAAGAAACCCUAGUGUGUAAACCCACUUAAAAACAAACACUUCAAUAUUACUCAAUCAAUCAUCAAGUAUUAAGAUCACAUUCCACUUACUAAACAAUCAAACUCCACAGUCCGGCAUCUUAUGCUUAAAGCCUAAGAUACACUACAAAGAUCUAGAGUCUAAGCUCUGAUACCACCUGUGACAGUUCUCAGGGUCACAUCACGGGGUACCUAUCAGCUUGCCAUCCGCACGCGGGCAUCCCCUACGGAGAGUUUCGCUUCGUGACUCUUCACGAACGAAAGGCUCGGGGCUUUUCCAGACGAAGGACUUAAAGUCCCAACUGUCGGCAUAUGGCUCUGAUACCACCUGUGACGAUCCCACUUUCCCCUAAGGCGAACCAGAGGGUUGGCGGGUCGUCUGCCUAGCUCUCGCCAGGACUCACGCAAGCAAGCUAGCAAAAAUCCUUCCGAAGUAUAACCUAAUCUAUUACAACAUCGUUUCCCUCCAAAUAAGCCGGUUUCUAGAAUCACAUUAACUUCAGAGAUAACAGUGCCUUAAGAUAGCCAACGUCGAUUCUUAAAAUACCUUCCCGAAUACAACCCAAGAAACAAAACAUCAAUUCAAAUACAUCCUUACAAGCCAAGUAACAAAUUCAUACAAGCCACAUACAAAUCCAGGGUUUACACUUUUCCAGCUUCAAGUGGCAACCUAAGGCAAAACUACAAUGUUUAACUCGAAUUACAUUCAUGAAAUAAACAAUCUAGUACUACUUCGAGCACCUUUGGUCUCAAAUCCUGUAAAAGAAAAUCACAACGUGGAAUGAGCUACACAGCCCAGUGAGGUUCCAAGACACUCUAACAGUUCAAACAAAUCAAGAAAGUUGUGCAUGUCAUAUGCAUGGUGCGAGGUUACACAAUGGCAGGUUAUCAUGAGAUGAUAAUCAUUACUCGGGUAAUUGCUACUUUGAAAACACAUGUAGUAGUAGUACUUUUGCUGGUAACUUUACUAUGGUACAACUCAUAAAUUAUCUAAAAUCACUAACGUAUUUUUGGAAUGAAUGACCAUAUAAAUAUAUUUUCAUGAAUUUUUAGUCAAACAAAUAGUGGCUCGUCUGACUAGAAGAACAUUACAAGGAUUGCUUCAUCUCAGAGAUUAAUGCUCAUGAGGAGUCUUACCCGAGAAAUGUCAACUAGGAGAGCAAUAACAUUAUUAAUAGCAAAGCAAGCACAAAAGGAUACAGUACUCGGUCCACUUCCCGUCCUUAUAACUCCGAUCGGUAACUCUUUCGAUUGACUGGCCAUCACCUUAUCCCUCCAGUGGUAGUACUCGAGUAUACCGAAACGGUUGUCCAGGGUUCCAACCUACCCGACCGAGCCCAGUCCUGGCUCGAGUAGGUCAGUAACCGAGGCAGGCCCAAGUUCAGCUUAUAGCUUACAACAUGCACAGGUAACCAAGUAAUUCGACAAAAAGUAAAAUUCAUCAUUUGAAUAGGUCGAGUGAGGUAAAGUACACACGCCUAACAAUGAUGGACAACUUCAUAUAACGUGUGAUUCAUGAUAAUCAAGUAAUCAAGUGGAUACUUAGCACGUAAGCACGUAAGCAAUACAAGUUGAUUUCAUGGGAGCAUGUAAUUCACGGAUAUCGAAUAAUCAUAUAGAUUAGAAAUCAUGUGAGCAAAUAGUCAGGUAAUCAGGUAGUCAUGUGGUUGGUAAACGGUUCACAGUUAACGGUUAACGGUUGACGGUUGAGUAAUGACGGUUAUUUGGCAGGCAUUUGCCAUAUUAAUAGGCCAUCAUUGGCCGUUAUCCCAUUUUUACCAUGUGAGAGUCGAGGAGAUUCACUCCAACGACGUAUGCAACCAUAGCAUACCAAGUCAUGUUAUUCGAGCAUUUUCAAGCAUGGGUAUGGUAAAUAUUUAACACAUAGUACUUAACACUUAGAAAUCAUGAAAUGAGCAUGUCCUAGACUUAUUCCAUUACGCAUUCCUAUAUGGAACACUCACCUAGUCAAACAAGCGCAAUAGGUCUCAAACAAGCGUUUUAGGCGUCCGCUCCGAGUUCCUCUUGGAGAUCUCCUCGAUUGCCUGAGCAAACAAUAAUUCAAGUACUACUCAAUAUCGCUACGAAUUCUCUAGUUUUCGAUGAAGAUUGUACGCUAGUGCAAUCUAAGAAUUAACGCGGAGACGAGCCUAAAUUCGUGUAACUCGAGCUUCAAAAGUGGGGUUUUAAAACACAAGACAAAUUUGAUUUCCAUCUUUGGAUUCAAAUGUAAAACAAUCAAAUGAUAUUGAAAGAAAUGAAGAGUUCGAAACCCCUUUGUUUCCUUUAAGUUAGAAAAUUCCAGAUUUAACAAGUAAUCUUUGAAAAAUCAUAUCUUACUCUCUACAAGCCCAAAAUUGGAAAACUUGGUACUAUUGGAAACUCUUUGAAAGUACUAAAAGUUCCUAGAAUACACUUUUCCAUGAUUCUAAAUGGAAGAUAGUAAAAAAUGGGCUCAAAGUUACUUUUUGGUUCAUAAGGCAGAUUUAAGUUGGUUUUUGGCCAACUUUGGAAUUUCGGCAAAAUUCACUUGUUUGGAACUAGCUUUUGAAAUUUUUGAACUCUAUUAGUGUUGUAAUCCAAGAGUAUAACAAAACAAACGGAAUGAGAAACGGGUUUUGAGCACCAAGAUACGGUAGCUCAAAUUUACUAAAAUUCCCUUGUGAAACAUGGGUUUUUCAAAUCUCGAGUCAUGAACUUUGGUAAUUUAUUUGACCCAUGAAACGGCCUCAGAAUAAUACCAUAAUUAGCAGUAUAAUACUACCAUAUAAGGGUUGUUCCUCUACCAAAUUUCAUGGAAAAAUAACUUCGGAAAGGUGGUCAAUCAAACACCUAAAAUUUCGCAAAUACUAAGACAAAACUGCCUUGAACCUUUUGUUUUUCCAUUUCAGACAUUUGGUCAAAGAAAGAUUCCUCCAAACCUGGUUCAUUUGUUUAGGUAAAACUUAAAGAACGUUCAUGGUACAUUUGGUAAGUGUUUAGCAUCAAAAUAUUCAGUUAGCAAGUCUUUGCCAAACCUUGCAUCAAAUCUGUCUAAAAAUCAGGGUUUUCAAGGGCAGAGCAGGUUUCAUAUUUUGAUCACAGAUCUCUCAAAUUAACUCAUAAUUUGGCAUGGUUUAAGGCGUUGGAAAACACAUUCAUAGAGCUAUAAUUUCACAGAAGAAAUCAUUCUGAAAUUCGGCACACAACUAGCUCGAAUUGAGUCACAAAUUGCAGCCUCAGCAUUUUGUUCUUGUAAAACAGAGAAACAGAACAGCCGACUUAAAAUAGUUGGUUUGGCUCACAUUCAUGGACCGAGAAUGUGAAUUUUAUAUCGUCGGAAAGGUUGGAAUGUCUAGUUUCAAAUGCCGCUGACGGCACUCGAUUUCAACAUCGGAGUUCAAAAUUAUGGCCGAAAUACGAAAGCUGGUCAGAGCAUUUCGAAAAUAGUUCCAGAUUUACUAGCUUUGUUAAUUGAUUUAUUUGACCAACCAAACCUCAAUAUUUUUCAAUCAAACUUUGUACCAUAUAUUCAACAUAUCAACAUGAUAUACAAGUCAUGAAACCCUCGAAAUUUUGCAAAAAGGGUUGCGAUUAAAACAGGGCAAAUCUGAACAUUUUUGAACUAUGCAUCUCUUGGAGUCUAGACUAGCUAGGUAUCAUUAAUCUACCUAUUUAAACACUAAACUAGCAUUAUAUCCAUCAUCAAUCCAAGGGUGGGAGUUCAUAGAGCCUACCAUCAAAAUUUUCCGACAUGAAACAAAACAAAUAGCAUGUGAUUUUGGCAAAUAAUUCCACCACAAUAAAUCUGUCCUUGGCUAAACAGAAUUUCCAGCAGCUAAUUGGUCAUAAUCCAACUUUUUACUCGGCUAAAACAUGAUAUUAAGUACUCAAUUUUGGCAUGCAAUUUCUUAACUAGCCAAUUAACAUUUCCAGUUCAAAAUUAGAUUCAAACAACAGUUUUACUCAUCUAAAACAAAUCCAGAAAUUCUGUUUAGCUUGGCCUCAGUCGAACAUACGUGUAGCAGAUUUCUAAUUCAUUUUAUUUCUCUGAUUUAAACCCAUUAAUUAGCUACAUGCAAAGAUCAAUUAUCAUGUUAUUAACUAGUUAAUCAUGGUUACAAACUCAAAACAACAAAAUUGAAUCAAAUGAAGCUGUAAAAUACAGGACAAGCUCUCGGCUGCAGCAAUUCAUAACAACAGAAUUUCUUAUGUUUCUUGAUUCAUCAUCCGGCUGCAUAGAGUUAACAUGCAUGGUCUUAAUCUUCAAGUUUUCACUCAGCUAAUGACACUUAGGUGUUCAGAUUGCCACGGAAAACAAAAAUGGAGCUGCAUUAUCACCUCAGUUUCUCGGCAGCAACAUUUCAUCAAAACAGAAUUUUUCUGGUGUCCUGGUUUCAUCAACCGACUUCACAAGCAACACAUGCAGCUCUGAUAUGGCUUCAUCUACUAAAAGUUAACUUAAUAUAGCCCAGAAAUUACCUCAGAAACAACUUAGCUCACGCACAAGAAAUCUGAAAAGAAAAAUUAUGUUCUCCCUCUCGGCUCUCGGCUCGCUUGUGGCUGCAGGUUGGUUGCUGCUGUGAUGGUGUUGGGUUCUGAGGUUGUUUUGUAGUUGGUUGAGGUUGCAGCAAGGGAUGAAGCUCACGUAGCCUCCCUCCUUUCUCCUCUUUAGUUUACGGACAGAACGGACAGGUUGCAGCUCGCGCGAUUUCCUUUCGUUUCUUUCCUUUCCUCUCGGCUUGCAGAGUGCAGCCCGGCCUCUCACUCUCUCUCAGUCAAUAUUCACGAGGUGGAGGCUGGAGAGGAAAUGUUUGUGGUUGUGGUCUGGAUGAGUUUGUGCAGAGAAAAUGGGAAUGGUGGUUUGUGAUAUAGGAAUGAGGUAGAAAUAUGGUGCCGCGGUUUUGGAGAAGGAAGAAAGAAUGGUUUACGGUUUUGGAGUGUAUGAAAUGGUUGCGUAUAGAAUUGGUGAAAAUGUGAUUGGUCGAUUGGGGCGGUGAUUGAAAUGCUAUCAGAGGGAUUGUUUGGUUUUGCAUGGAAACGUUGGGGUUGUAAGGGCAUUUUAGUCUUUUCACUCUGCUUCCUAACCUCUACUUAAAUUCUCCAUUCUAACUUAGCUCCAUAAAUUAUCCCAAGUGUGAUUUGAACGCCUAAUUAUACACUAGUAUACUUAAACCAUUUUUAUCGAAUAUUUAUCGAUCACAAUUUAAUAUUAAGGUUCCUAGUAAUUCCUAACAUUAUUACCUAAAUAUUUAAACUAUAAAAAUCAAGUUUGACCUUAAUAUAUAAAUUUAACAUUCUUAAUAUUCGUUUAUCCUUUUAUAUCAAAACUUAUUAACUUAAUCAUUAUUAACGCUUAAGAUUAGCUAUCGGAAUUCAAAGAAAUUUAAUUGUUAAAUCAAUGAAAUAAUUUACCUUCGAAAUAUGAAUUUAAUGUAACAAAACUAGGAAAUUUAACCAUUUAUUCGUUAUAUGUAAUUUCUUGAAUCGAUUAUUUACUCCAAUAGCGUAUUUACUAUUUUCACUUAACGAGCUUACAGAAAUUAAAUUUCGAAACGAAUUGCUUUAAAAAUAUAACUAAACUAUGGAUACGUUUAAUUAAACCUAAAAAGCUUAGAAAAUAAUAAUCAGAGAAAUUGGGUGAGUAAAUACUUAUUUUAGCCAGUAAAAUAAAUAAAAUAAGCAAAAUUUUCGGGUCCUUACACUAUCUAAACCCAUGAUCAUCUUCUUAUUUAACUUAAAGAGGGAUUCAUUCAUAUCACAUAUAGCUAAAUAUUACUCAAGUUGUGAAAGUGUCUUUUGACGCGAAGAUCGACAUUUUUAGAUGAAGAUCUCAGGUUACUCAAUAUUUCACAUACUCAAGUUGCUUUGCAUACUCUUAAUUCGAGCACCGUUUUGCGCGAAAGUUGACAUUUGUAAAUGAAGACUCCCGGUUACUAAGUACAAGAACCAUUGGAGUAGAAUAACUCUUAUUCAUUUUUUUCCUUUUUUUCUUUUUUUUCUUUUUUUUUCUUUUUUUGUUUAAAGUAAAGAUAAUAUUUAGUCCCUCAAAAGAAUAAUGAUAAGAAGAGUAUUACACUUAUUGACCAUAUUUAUCACUCAACUUAUAAAAUCAAGUAAAGAGAAGAAAUUUCACUAAACUUGCAAAAUGUUGGCAUAAUUUUCUCUACUUUACAAGAUAUACUUUCUUAUAAAUGUACAAAUUAUCAUCAUAUAAUAGUCAUUUCCAAGUUAAUAAGAAAAGAUGUUUUCAAGCCACAUACAUUAAGCUCAAAAGUAGAAGGAAUUUGAAUUACUAAUGCUGUGAAACUUGUUAGCCCUUGGAUAAAAUUGAAAAAAAUUUGAAACUUUUUGGGGCAAAUUUGCAAAUUUGGACAAGAUUUUGAAAAAAUUUUGACUGAGUUUCCCCUUAAAUUUGGACGAAACUCCCUGCCAGCAACCUAAGAUUAACAACAAUUAAGUGUAAUCAAAUUCCAAACAUCAAGUCCAUGCAAUAAACACAAAAAUACUAUCAAGUACCAUACAUUUCCUCCCCCACACUUAAAAUACACAUUGUCCUCAAUGUGUAGGGAAAGAAAAAUAACAAAAGAUAGAAAGAAAUACUUCCCAGUGCAAUGGCUAAGAUCCAGAUCAACCAUGAAUCACGAACCUUCGCCAAAACACAAAUAUCUACUAAGACUGUCCAAAAGGUGAAAUUGAAAACAGAAAAGGGUCAAGUUAAACAUACUACAAACAAAAGAUUAAACACGACAAACAAAUCUGGAAGCAACAAAAAUAGCCAUGCUAAAGGUGCAGCUUCAAUCAUUAUCUUCAUCUUCAUCGCUGUCAUGAGGUGAAGGAAUGCCUAAAUGAUACUUGAUCCUCUCCAAGCGAGUAUCCAUUCAUCCCAAUUGAUACUCGAUGUCAUCCAAGUGAGUAAAGAGCCACUGCCAAUUCGAUUGCGGUGGUGGAGGAGAAGAUGCAGUAGUAGAAGAUCCGACUCCCUCUUGGCCAUGUCGUGCCUUUUGUCGCCUUUCACGAGCAGGUUGAGGAAUGUUAUCCGUACCAAUACCCAAACAAUUGAUACCCAAACGAUAACUCGGUUCUAGGCUUAACAAAAUCCCGAGUUACACCCUGCAAGUUAACAUAGAAAUGCUCGAAUACCAAAGAGAGCAGACGAGGAAAUGCCAAUUUGAACGAAGUAGUCCGCCGCCUCUCCCUAGAGCUUAUGUGGUUAAUGAAAAUGUUUGGAAAUGGAAUUCAAGCGUAGGAGGACUCCCGAUUAUGAAACAUAUGAUCCAAAAAAUAGAUAUCACUUUUUCGGACCUCCGUAAGACCCGUCUUCUUGGGUAUGACGUUGUGUGCCAUCAUAUAGAUAAUGAGACGAUGACAAUGUUCAAAGAUGCUUGCCAUCAUUGUCUCCUUCCAUGAAGACCUAAAAGGUUGGUACUCAAAACCAACCCUAGUUAUGGCGUGCGAUGGAUCCCACUGCCUAUUUAGUGCGACAAAACCCUUCUUUAGGUUGACUGCCCGACCUUGGUUGGUACAACCCAAAAUGGUAGCUAAAUGCUCCCGUGACAAAACAAUACGGGUCCCACGCACCCAUGACUCCACCAUCUCGCCACUGUGACGUGCUUUGGAAUCAAUGUUGGCGUAGAACUCACGCACAAAGUCAGGGUAGUAGUGAGUCGGCAAUGUGAGAAUCGGCGCCCAACCUAGUUGGUUAAACGCUUCCGAGAUGUGAUAAACCACUUCAAUUUUUGGACUCACAUGCAUCUCAAAAAGAAACUCCAAAUUAGCGUGCGUCUCGUGCCACUCUUGAUGUCUAAGAUUGAUGAACUUGGCACUAUUAAAGAUGGCAGUUUUGGCACUACGAGAAGUGCCCUCCCCUUGUCGUCGCUGCACCGAUUGAGGUGAAGGUGACCUCUCUUCUUGACUUUCUUCAAUAUCCUCACUCACCUCCAUUUCAUCGCUAGUAAAGGAUGAAUAGACAACUUGCUUUCCUCUUCCAUAGUACCUAAGAAAAAUGACUCAAUUCCAUAUGUACUAAGACAUAUUUCAUAACUUGGACAAUAAGUAACCUCAAUUGGCUCAAAUAACCACAAAUACAUGCCUCCAUGUCAUAAGAAAUCAAAUAAACAUACUUAAAUGACUACUAUUAUGACAUAUGAGAAAUGACAUAGUCAAAAUGCCAAAAAUUGCCAAAAUCACCAAUUUAUCAAAAUCGGCAACAAAUAUAUCCAAAUCAGUGAAAUUAGCACUAAUCAUGAUUAUGGCAGUCGAACUUUAGUAACAAUAAUGGACAUUUAGCUAUAAACAUGGUUAAGCAAAAGUUAUCCUAAUAACUCACAAAAUUCAUCAAAAUUACUCACUAUACACAAUGUACAUACCAAACCAUCAUCACUCAACCCUUUGCAUCCAUAAUCUGUAAACACAAAUGGCUCAACAACAUUCCAAGCUAACUUUCCAAUUUUAGCCAAAUAUAGCAAUUUAAAAUUUUAAAGAACUAUUAAUCCAUCAAAUUGCUACAUUUGAACAUGUAAACAUGCUUAAACAACCUUAAUAUGCAUAAUGGAAGUCAAAAACAUCAAUAGAAAUCAUCAAAAAUUUGAAAUUAAAAAAUGUUAGAAAGUUCAAAAAAUUGAAAACUAUCAACUUUUAAAAUAUGAAGAUUUGAUGAAGAAACUUACUUGAAUCACGUAGAAGGAGGUUUGGUGAUGCUAAUGAUGCAAAAAUCCCUAUGAAACACCCUCCGAUUGACCCUCAAUUGCUUGGAAAAAUGUUGAGAAACCCUAGCCUUCAAUCUCCUUACAACUGAUUUUAAGUUAUUUAUGUUGGAUUUUAAUCGGUUAAAAAGAUGUUAUGAAGGCUAGAUGAUGAUGGGUAGAUGUUUUCUAGCAAGAAAAUGUAGUAAAAAUGGAAUUUUGUGAAGGUGUGAGUAUGGAGAGAAGAGAAAACACGGCUAGAGAAGAUGAAGGAAGAAGAAUGAAACUAAAAAGGGAAAGUCGUGUUUACUGGUUUUGUACAAAGGAAGAAAAACGCGGCUUCACAAAACACACCUUCAACUCGCGUUUUGCUUAAGUCGCGUUUUCUAGUGAAAUUUUACACGCGACUUCAAGAAAACGUGGUUUAAUGUUACGUUUCCUAAUUGCGUAUUCUUCUUUAUCUUUGCGGAACUGAAAAUGUGCCUUCUUGAACGCCACUUAAAGUAGCGUAUUCAUGUCGCGUUUUAUACAGAAAUAAAAACGCAAUUGUAAGUCGCAUUUUACUACAAUGUGUGUUUUCUUCUACGAAAUUUGCAAAAAUGCUAACUUAAAAAAAUUACACAUAGUAUCCCAAUUGCUCAAAAUGCAUUCUAAAUUAUUUUUUUGCCAAAUUUAUCAUCGCAUACACAUGUAAAAUGAUCAAAACAUGCAUUUUAUCCCUUUUAACGGAUCAAAUACAUCCUUAACGCAAGUCGAGGGGUUGAGUUCCUUGAUCAAACUUCGCCUUUUCCACCUCAAAUGGUCAUCUUUGCUUCUGUUUGCCGAACCUAUAACACAAAAAUAACAAACUAACUUAAUUGCAUGCAUUAAAUAUAAAAUCAUACCAAAUUAACAUAAAUAACUUAAACAUUAGGCUGCCUCCCAACUAGCGCUUUUGUUUAUAGUCGUUGGAUCGACUUAAAAGGUUUGGGUUAUUAAGUUGAAGAAGAGUCACCCAAAGGACAUAUGAGUCCUUUGGGAAUGAUUUCCCCCCGCCCAGUAGAGUUUUAAUCGUUGUUCGUUGAUCUUGAAUCGUUCGUUUCUUGCAUUAACCACUUCAACGGCCCCAUAUGGAAACACUUGAGUAAUUUCAAAUGGUCCAGACCACCUUGAUUUGAGUUUUCCAAGAAACAACCUAAGGCGCGAAUUGUAUAAGAGAACCAUUUUCCCCAUCUCAAAUUGUUUGGGUAUAAGAUGAUUAUCAUGCCAAUAUUUCACUUUAUCUUUAUAGAUCUUGGCAUUCUCAUAAGCAUGUAGCCGAUGUUCCUCGAGUUUGCUCAACUCAAGUAGUCUCCUCCCACAUACAAGACGAAAAUCCAUUGUAAUUGAUUUGAUAGCUUAAUAUGCCUUAUGUUCAAUUUUUACUGGUAAAUGACAAGUUUUUCCAUAUACUAAUUGAUACGGUGACAUCCCCAAAGGUGUCUUAAAUGCCGUUCAAUACGCUCACAAUGCAUCGUCGAGUCUUCUUACCCAAUCUUUUCUCGAGUUGUUCACCGUUUUCUCCAAGAUGAGCUUGAUCUCUCGAUUGGCCAACUCCGCUUGUCCAUUCGCUUGUGGAUGAUAUGGUAGUGAUGUCUUAUGCCUACAACCAUAUUUAAGCAACAAAGAAUCAAGUUGUUUGUUAUAAAAGUGUUUUCCUUCAUCACUUACUAUGGUCCUAGGAAUACCAAAUCUACUAAAAAUGUUCUUUUUGAGAAACCAAAAUACUAUCUUAGUAUCAUUCGUAGGUGAGGCAAUUGCCUCCACCCAUUUAGAAACAUAGUCCACUUGUGACGGCCCCAUUCUCCCUAAGGCGAACCAGAGGGUUGGCGGGUCGCCUGCCCAGCUCUCGCCAGGACUCACACAAGCAAACCGACCAAUUAUCCACGUAUAACUUAAACCAAAACACAAUUCGCCAUCCGAACAUGCCAACCUUUAAGCGACUUGAAUACUAAAACACAUUAACUUCAGAGAUAACCUUACCAUUGAACAUCCACAUGUUCACUCCUCUAAAUACAUCUGUGACCAGAUCACCACAUAAUCUCAAAUAUACAAUACAAACCACACAGUAAGUUCAUAAAGCUCAGAUAAAAUUCAUACAAGCCAAAUCUUAGGGUUUGCACUUUUCCUGCUUCAAGUGGCAACCCAAAACGAAGAUACAAGUAUGAUUCGAAAUAACAUUUACAAAACGAUAAGAUAGACUUCAAGUCUCUCGAUUUCCGGAACCUGUUAAGGAAAACAAAUAUCGUGUGGUGAGCUAAAGCUCAGUGAGGUUCCGAACACAUAGGCAACAAGAAAAUCAAUGCAUUCAUUACAUAUAACCAAUAAUUCAAGAGACAAGUACAAAUAAAGCAAUAAACACGUUCAUGAAAAGGAUACGGGCUCACAGGGAGCCAUAUGUUCGUUCGUUCGUUCGCUGACAUUUCCCCUUAUUCCUCCAGUCAUUUGCAAAAUCCAUUUUGUAUAAGUAAAACCCCUCAUUCAUUCAUUCGUUCAUUCCUUUCAUUCACGCCACUCCGCUCCCUUUUUGGCCAGGCCUCCACCAACCUACAGGGUAAUACUCGAGUAUACCGAAACGUUCACCCAAGUCCUAAUCGCCCGACCGAAUCCGCUUCUGGGCUCGAGACGACCGGUAACAAGGGCAAUGGCCAGUUCAACCCCAAAAGGCUUACAUUCAUGCGCAAGUCACAUGUCAAUCAUUCAAUCAUUAAAAUUUCAUAAUCAUUUAGGCUAAGUGCGAUAAAGUACACACUCGCCUUGAAAACUCGUUUUGACAAUCAUUGAAAGCAUUAACACAUUAUCAAGCAAUAAGAUCAAGCCAAUAAGCCAAGGAAAUCUAACAAACAAGGAACACUCACCAAGAGUGAAGUCACAACCACGCUGGAAAUCGAAAUCCGCGUCCUCGCUAAACCCUAGAAAUCCAAGUUUUAAAACUAUAAAUUUCACUAAGCACACCCUUGUUUUAUAUAUAAAAGGUUAUCUUAUAUAAAACUAAUUUAAUUUCCCGCAACAAGUCAAUAAAUUUCUUAAAAAAAACAAAGCUAGUAAAGGAAUAAAAUAUUCGUGUGGUUUCUUUAAGGUAUUUCCCCUCUAGAGGCAAACUAGAAUCAAAUUGGUUCAAACGGGUUUUCUUGCCGAACAAGUUUCUAUGUCUGUAAUUUGAAAUUAUUCAAAUCUAGUGUUUUUCCAAAUUUCCUUUAAAACAACUAGUCAAGGAUAGUUUAUGAAAAACUUAAAGUUUAGAAGUUAAAUACAAUUAUUCCGCUAAAGUAAUAAAACUAGUUUAAGCAAAAGAAAAGAAAUUAACUAGUCGGCAAGGUUUUAAAAGUCCCAAUAUCUAACUUUUUAAUAAACAUACUAAGCUCAAAUGCUAUCACUUGAUAUUAAAACAAAGUAUUUCCACGAAACUUGAUUUUGAAAGUAUUCAAGUUCAAGAAAACCAAAACGGUCUUUAACAAUUCUAGCUCAUUUGCACAAUGAAUUCCCAAGUCAUCAAGAUUGAAACAUUACAAACCAAAUAUCAAUUUCACUAGGGUUUCAUCAAUCAUUAGCCUAGGUCUCAACAAAUUCCAGUACAAUUAAAAUUCAACAAAGGAAGUCCAAGGUACUAAAGCAAUCCAAAUCACAACCCACGGACCUUCCAAGUACAUUUCAACCAAACCACUUGAACAAAUUCACCAAAAAUUAAAAUUAUUGCAAAACUACUCAAAUGGUCAAGAGCUUCAUCAAUCAUUAGCUCUUGACAACCAAUACUCACUUCAAACACCAAUCCAUUCAAAACAAGAAUAAAACUACAGCCAACUUGAGUUCCAAAUGAUUCCAAGAAUCCAAAUAUCCAUUAACACUUCUUUCCUUUUUCUUGCUAAAAUCACUAUACAUAUAGUUUAUAAUCUGCUCAAACUUAAACUGAAGCAAACAAUACUCAAAUCAAAAGAAAAAUAACUCACUAAGAGCUUGAACUAGUAUGGCUAGCAAUUAUAUACAAAUUUCCAGCGAAGAUAUUCCAAAAUUUCAACAAGGUUUCCAUCCUUAGCUUGCUUUAAACACUAAACACUUAACAUGCAUUUUGUCCAACAUGAAGUGAGUCAAAUAACAGGAAAUUUCAGCAAAUUAUUCCACCAAGAAGCCCCAUAAAUCUGUCAUCAGCUAGGAUAUAAUUUUCCAGCAAUUGAUAGUUUAAAUUUGAAACUUUCCCCAUAAUCCUCAUUUUUUUUUCCAUUCCAGCUCAACAUGCAGGUACGAUUAUCAUGCUAAGGUGUAUCUUGUGCAAAAAUAUGAAAUUUAUAACCAAAGAUUCAAAAGAAAAAGUUGGAUAAAACUCUGGCUUCUUUCUCUCGGCCAAAGCUAAGAAACUCCAGCAGCUUUCUUUCAUAUUUUUUUUCUACAAAUCCACGACUCAUAUCAGCUUCAUGCUUGAUCAAAAUAAUUAACUAUCUAUUAGGUCUUGAUCCAACCAAGUGCGGACAACAUAAAAAAAAAACAUCAUCUAACCAGAAAUUUAAUCAAUCCUGCUCUCGGUUGGCUUACAUGCAACCUGAUUUUGGUAUCUUUUCAAUUUUCUGACUUAAUCAAAGCUAAUCAAUCUCAUGCAAAGCUUAAUCAUCCAGAUUUUAGUUUAGUUAAGAACACAUCUAGGCUCAGAUCGUCACAGGUUAGCCAAUUAAAGUUACAAAUUUCUAGCUCAAACUCUCGUAGCUUCAAUUCUUUCUCAAACAGAUUUUUCUAUGAUUUAAGCUAUCAUCUAACCACACAAUCCCACAUGCAUGCUUAUAGUCAGCUUCAUCAACCCAUAAACAACUCAUCUAAGUUCAGAAAUUAUUACCUUAGCUUGAAGCCUAAAAAACAACACGACUAGCAGCUGCAGCAAUCCUCCACUCUCGCUGUCCAGAAAUUUAGCCCGCUAGCUCUUCCUCUCCCUUGCUCAAGCUCGUCACUAGGAUGAAGAAGGUUUGGUUCAGACUCUUCACCAACUCACGGAUGAAAGAAAGAAGGAGUAGCAGCUCUCACCUUUUCUUAGCUCACGGCAGAAUGGAAAGGAAAUGAGAGGCUCGGCUCACUCUCUCCGCGGUCGAUAAUUCCAAGGCUGCUCCCUCACAGUUCACGGCAGGGAAGAAAUUGGAGUUGUGAUAUUGUGGUGAAGUGAGAAUGAUAUAAUGAAAGUGUGUGAGUAGUGUAAUGUAUAUAAGGUGAGGCUGUGAGUGGAGUUGGUCGGCAAUAUCAAAUGGAAAAGGCUGGAAUGACACGUGGGAAGUGGAACCGGCAGGAAUUGGAAUUGUUUGGAAUGUUCCAUGGCUGCUUGGUGGAUUUGUAAUGGAGGAGGGCUGUUUUAGUCUUUUAGCAACUUGUUCAACCUUUCACUUAGGUCCCUCAUCUUAAACUAAUUCCAAAAUUUACCCCAAGUGUAAAUCGAAUGCCUACUAGUACACUAAUCUCGCAAAAUUCAAUUAUUGAGAUUUUAACCUCCUAAGUGUACCCAAUGCACUUGUAACGGUUUAUCAAAAAUAUAUCGAUUCAUCUUAAUUCUAAGGCUCCUAUUAACACUUAACGUUAUUAACACUUAAAACUAGCUAUCGGAAAUUCAAGGAAUUAAUCUUAAAACAAUAAAAUAGUUUACAUCAAGAAAUAUUAUUCUAACUUGGCGAGAGUCAAAUAACUCAAUAUUUUGCACGAUUAACGUGUUUGAAACUUUAAAAUUGUUUUUACAUACUUAUUCAAAGACAAAAAUUCAUUUUCCUGAAGAAACAAGACAUUCAAGCAGGACAGCCUACUUCUUGAGCAAAUGAAUGAUUUCAAUGGUAAAUUUAUAAUUCGUAAGUGAUCACUUAUCAUUCUUACCUUAUUAUUUAAGUUAUUAAAAUCAAGUUUGACCUUAAUAUAUAAAUUUAACAUUCUUAAUAUUCGUUUAUCCUUUUAUAUCAAAACUUACUAACUCAAUCAUUUUCAAACCAUGAACAUACCUAUCUUCAAGUUUAACUUGUAUACUCAUUCAAUCUAAUAUACUCUAUAUACAUAUCUCGCACAUAAAUACACAUAACAACAAGGCCUUUCGUUGUUUCCAACGAGUAGUUAACAAAUUUGCACGUAAGAGGAGAAAAUGAGAAGAAACAAUAGACUAAGGAAAUAUGCAAAUUCUAGGGUUCUCACACCACUGCUACUAAGAUGUACUUAUUAUUGAAAGAGCUUUAAAAUGGUCCCAUAAAAUCCAUACCCCACACAUCAAAUAACUCAACUUCUAAAAAAAUAGUGUAGGGCAUUUCAUUUUUUCUAGAAAUAUUUCCAAUUCUUUGACAGGUAUCACAACUUUUAACAUAUUUCCAAGUAUCUCGGUACAUGGUAGUCGAAUAAAAUCCCGAUUGCCAUACCUUAGCCACGGUCUUAGAAGUGCCAAAAUGACCACCCAUUUCUAAAUUAUGAUAAUGAAGUAAAAUAUCACGUACCUCCUCUUCGGGAAUACAUCUUCUUACCAUACGAUCGGCACAAUGCUUAGCAGUGGUUCUUCCCAAAAGUAGCUUUUAACAUCAUGUAAAAAUUUCUUCCUUUGGUGAAAAUUAAAACCCUUCGGAAGUGCCCCACUUGCCAAGAAGUUAGCAAAAUCCUCAUACCAUGGAGACUUGGUUAGUGCUAGAAAAACCUCGUCCGGAAAAAUCUCCUUAAUUGGAACUUGAUCAUUAGUAGGGAUAUACUCUAAUUGCGAUAAAUGAUCUACCACUAGGUGUGACGACUUGAAAGAUUGCUUAUAUUUUCUUAUAAUACCCUCUUAUUUUGAUUAAGUUAACUUAUAAUUCCUUUACUACUAAUUUACUCUCUCAAUAGUUGUAAUAAAUAAUAAAAUUGAGAGUUUUACCUUUGCUUUUAUAGUUAGGGUAAACUAGGGUUUUUGCAUAUUUUGGUAGUGUAAUUAGUUGGUGAGGUGUGUGUACUAAAUUUGGUGGAUAAAAGUGAAUAUUAGGUAAGAGAAAGUGUGUGAUUAGAAAUGCUAAUAAUAAGUUAGUGAAUCAUAAGUUAAAACACAAGUACGAGAGAGUUAAGGAAAAUAGGCUUGAACCGACGUGCACCGUUUGUUAUCGAUUGAGUACACCACUUAACCACUACUUUCUUACUAUAAUCCUCUUGUUUUUAUUUCAUCUAAUCAGCCCUAAAUUAAACCCUAAACCAGCCAAAAUCUUUGACUAAAGAAAAGGUGAGAAAAGAAAAAAAAAGGAAAAAAUCUUGAUUGAAAAGUGUUGGCAAUCAAAGAAGGGUUUGACCAAGUUAUUUCUUUCCUUCUUAUCUUUCAUCUUGGCUACAUUUCCUCCAUUAUUUCUUCAUGUUGGCCGAGAGCAAGAGAGAAAAAAAGAGAGAAGAAAACCUUCAUUCCAAUCUUGAUUUUGCCUUGUUUGAGUUGAGAUCACAAAAACCAAACCGAUGAAACUAGUCCCUUGAUGCUUAGGAAGCUUGGAGUGGAGAGUUUCUUGGAGAAAGUGUUUGGUUCUUCAUUUCUCAAGAAAUUUGGGAGGUAUAAGUUCAUCAACUUCUUUUUUUGUUCUUAUUCUUGCCAAAUAUGGUAUCGAUGCCUUGAAUCUUGGAAUAUUAUGGAUGAUCUUCUAGUUUUGGUGUAGAUUAGUGGAAUUUCAGCUAGGGUUUUGCCAUUUUUCAUCUUUCAUUUCAUUAUGUUUAACUAUAAAAUGUUGGUAUUGGGCUUGGAUAUGAAAAAUUUGUGAGGUGUUUAGUGUGAGACCCGAAAUUUUACUUGUCUUUAUAGCUUUUAUUUGAAGUUACUUGCCUUAGUUCUUGGUUGUUUUAAUGGUUGAAUUUGAGCCAAGAGAGUGAAUUUUGUUAAGAAAAGUUUCAUAAUCUCAAGUUGUUAGAAAAUCUAGAAAUUUUCGCAAGAGGCUCUGCGCAGCUUUGGGAAAUUGGCUAUAACUUCGUAUAGGAAAGUCGGAAUUGAGUUCCAUUUGUUGUGUUUGAAACUAGACUCAUUGUGACGCCCCCCAUCUCUCCCUAGGGUGAACUUUAGGGUAUCAGUGGAACGCCUGCCCAACUCUCGUCAGGACUCACGCACUCAUUCAAGCUUAAUAAAGGAUUACAAAUUAACCAUCGACUUAAUUAAGAAGUACUUCGAAUAUACAAGCUCGAAACUCCCAAGUAUACCAUUUAUGAUUACAAACCACAAAACCCGAGUUUACAAAAUUUAUACUUUAAUGGACUCCAAUAACAUACAUAAGUAUAGUAGCUUCAACUAAGAGUCACUAGUCUAGGAACUCUAAUUUCCACAUCCAAAACCUGUUAAGGAAAACAAACUUAAAGGGAUGAGCUAAUGUUCAAUGAGGCCAAGAAAACAAGCAAGCAAGCAAGUAGAACCAAUUAAUCGAAUAGCAUGCUUUAACAACUUUAAACAUGACAUUUUAUUUAAGUGCACAAGUAGGAAUUAACACACAAGAAAGAAUACAAGAGCUCUCAGGAGCUAUUCCACGUCUCGAUCAAUUAAGCCUUCGGGGGUUGACCCUCCGUCAAUUCAAGUAGUAACACGACCGUAGUGCUCCACUUACUUCCUCCAUCCAACAUAACACCCACUCGGAUCCAGAACCAAACAUGUAAGAGGUGGUGAUACUAUUCGAGCAUGCCAUGCGAGAUCUCAAAAGAUCAAGCUAUUUUUUUCCCAAGGUUCACCAAGCUUCUCGACCAAGCCCUUGCCAGCUCGAGUUACAAGGUAGCUGAUGGGUUAGGGAGUCCCCACACGUGUAUUUGGUAGAUGAGAUAUCGUUUCAAUCGACUUUGAGUCGAUCAUAGCACUGGGUCAGGGUGAGCGAUAACUCUUACCCGAAUAGGGCGUGAUACUUCUAGCCGCUCAGUGCUUACGACUUAAAACAUGUUCAUGUACAAGAGCAAGUCAUAUAUAUUCACGUAACAAGUAUCAUAUAAUCAAGAGAGAGAGAGAGGACGAGAGCGAUAAAGUACACCCUCACCUCGGUAAGUUCACGUAUCAUAUAUAGUACUUGUUCAUCUAUCAUUUCAAACACAUAAGCAUUUAACAUGCACUUGACACUCACCAAAAGUCAAGGCAAAACAAGAGCAAAGCGAGAAGUCAGAUGAGCUCUUCGGCAUCCUCGUGACCACCUGAGACAUGUACAACCAUAAUUAUCUAGGUGCUUGACCAAGGUUUAAAAGAAAGACAUUUUCUCGCUACCCACUCCCCAAGUCACAAGUUCGAGUCAAGUUAAAGAAGUUUUUCUAGCUCAAACGUUGGAAUAAUAGUCAAAGAGAGCUCAAAGGUUGUUUUUGAUCCAAGUCGUGGUAAAUAAAUCUCAAUUCCAAAAGAAAGUACCAUUUUUACUUCAGCACGAAAAUCGAGAAAAAAGGGUAGAUGGUUCAUCUCCCAAAACUUCAAAUUUCAUAUCCAAGGUUUAGAAUAUAAAGAGCAUGCACAUUAUCCAAACUAAUGGAGUUAAAACUCAUCCAAACUCCACUCAUUUUCAUAGAAAAAUAUCAAAGCUAAGAUUCCAAUGUUCAAGUAUAAAACUAGUGAAAUUCAGCAAGAAUUACUCUAGUCAAAACACUCCCUUUUUAGAUUUUCAACUCAUGGAAAUCGAUGCAAUAAGAAUAGGGUUGUAGUCUAUAAUUCGAGUAUGAAGAGAAGUGCUAUUAACCAAGGGAAGCUAUAGAGCCAAGAAGAAUCACAAAAAGGGGAUUAAUCCCUUGGAAACUAAGAUUCGAUAUAAAGGUUUAAAGUUCAAAGAGACCUUGUAUGAAAUCAUGAAAUGAAACUUAAAACAAUCCAACAAUCACAAAGGAAGGUGGAAAGUUCUUAAAAGAGUAAUUUGGUUGAAAACAGAAAAUUUCCAACUUAGAGUGACACUACUUGGAAAACUCAUAUCUCAAGUUCCGUAAGUCCAAAAAUUGAAAACUUUAUGCCGUUGGAAAUUAGACUCAAAACACUAAAACUCUCUAGAAGACACUUUUCUCAAAAUCCAAUUCAAAAUCAUUCAAAUUUUAGCUCAAAGUCACUGUUCUAGACAGGACAAAGCAAAACAGGCUUGUAAAUUCAGUAAAGUUUGGAAAUUCGGUAAAAUUCGUAAAAAAGGAAUGAACCCCUGAAAUUUAUUCCACAAUUAAAAUUCCAAAUCUAGUUUCAAAUGCAAGAAACAGAACUCAAUUCGGACCUUCCUACACCAAGAUACGAUAGUUCUAAAAAAACUAAAGUUUGGAACCUGUUUACGAAAAUUCCAGUUCUGACGAACUAGAUAGAGUUUCAAAAUCUGAUCAUAACUAGAGCUACACGCCUCAAAAUUUAGUGAGGUUUGUAGCAUUGAAAAUUAAUUCAAAAUGAUACAAUUAACUAGAAGCGACUGUCUUAAAAUUCAUUUUGAAAGAUAAGCAAAAUUGAGCUACAAACUGUAGCUAAGACUGUUUCUCGGAUGAAAGCAGGAAGGAAUUUCAGUCAUUUUUGCCGGUUCAUUACCACUUGUAGGAAACGAGUUAGAAGGUGUGUUUUAUACCGACAGAAAUCUCUCAGGAGUCUAGUUUUAGAUGCCACAAACAGCACUCGAUUUCAACUCCCAGACAAAAUGUUAUGACCAAAAACGUGAACAUUGGGUGGUGUCACCUGAUCAGAAAAAUUCCAGAAUUCAUCCUCACUUUCACUUCACUUUAACUCAACGAAUUGGAAAGUUUUUUGGGAGAUAUUUCAUACACAUAAUCACCAACAUGUAUCAAGUAUUAUUGCACCAAAAUAGCAUCAAAAUUUCGAAAUUAAUAAGAGAGGAACAACCAGAAAAUUUCGGCCAGCAAGCACUUUCAUUCCUCUAGCUUGCUUUUCCAAUUUUCCAACUAGAACUACACCAUAUCUCAUCAAAGCAAGUAACAAACAAGCAAAUAAACACACAAAAUCCUCAAGGCCUCUACCUAUCAAACCACCUCAAGUUCACUACCUAAUGUCAAGGUUCUUGUGAAUCCAUCAACAACCCAACAACUAAACUAACUAAACUAUCUUACUAAUAAGCUUUGACAGGAAAAGUUGAAGGUUUCUUGGAUGAUUACCUUGCUGCCAAAAGAAGAGUAAACAUUAGGGUUUGAGCUCUUAAAUCACCAAAGUUUCUUCCUUGAUCAAGUCCUCUUCCAAGCUUGUAUGAAGAACCAAAAGGAAUAGCAAAUUUGGGGAGCUUUCUUGGAGGAAAAAUGGAAGAGAAAGAGCUGAAAUUUUUUUGUAGGAAAUGGGGGAAGAGGGAUCGGCCAAAGCAAGAGGAAGAAGAAGGAGUUUUUGUUGGUAGAUGAGUGAUGUGAUAGUGUGUAAGAAGGAUGGACAUAAAGUGCUCUUGGUGCCCAAAAGUCAACGUCCGAUUAGUGUGCAAUUAGUGCUCCAAAUUGAGAUUAACUUAACUCACUCACAUCUAAUCCCUCAAUUAACUUUUUUUAGUCUACUAUUGAUCAUUCUUAAUUCUCCAAGAUUAUUACACUUUCGGAUCUAAUUUAUCUCAAAAAAUGUAUAUUUACUAUUUCUCGCUAAAUGAGCCACCAAAAAAAGUUAAAUUCGCUAAUGAAAUGUUUUAAAAAUAUAAACGAGACAUGGUUCCAUGCAAAUGGGUUUAAAAUGGGUGAAAUAAAUUAUUUGGAGCAAACGGGUGAAUAAAUAAUUAAAUAAACCAGUAAAAUGAAAUAAAAAUAAGAAAACUAAAAAAUUCGAGUUCUCACAUUCUUCCCCCCUUAAAAGAAUUUCUUCCUCAAAAUUCAUGCAUUGAUUUAGAAACAAUUCUGGAUAUUUCUUCUGGAUCUUUUCUUCUACUUCCCAAGUCGCUUUCUCCAUUCCAUGAUUUCUCCAUAAAAUCUUCACUAGAGGGAUUUGCUUGCGUCUUAACUCCUUCACUUUUCGAUCUAAAAUCUUUACCGGCUUUUCCUUAUAGGACAAAUUCUCAUCAAACUCUACUUCUUCCGGUCGUAACACAUGAGACGGGUUGGAAUGAUAUUUCUUAUGUGACGACCCCACUUCCCAAGGGCGAACCCAAGGGUAUCGGCGGGCCGCCUGCCUAGCUCGCGCCAGGACUCAAAACUUAAAGCAAUCAAACGAGAUAGAUCGAAAGAGCACUAUAUACAAUAUAUAUACAAUCCCAAAAGUUAUAUUUACAUCUUCAAAAGUCUCGAGUCAAACCACUCUAAUAUACUACAACCACAAUCAGUAGAAGAUAGACCCUAAGAAGGGUCCUUAUACAAACCACCAAAACAAAACAAACAUCCUAACUGUUCAACUAUUACAAGCCAAUCUAACUAUACUAGUAUACGAGCCAAAAGUCCCCGCGUCGGCCCCUGCUAAGGAAAACAAAAGGAAUGGGGUAAGCUAUAUGCUUAGUAAGUAAACAGGGGCGAAAGCAUAAAUUCACGUAGCAACAAUUACACAAUAAGAGUAAAGCAAAAGCAGAAAAGAACAACAUCAUAUAACAAGGAUACGGGUGGCUCCAAAGCCAAUUCAUGUGCCAUGUAUGAUCUCCUGCCGACACUCCGUCGACCACAAAUAAUAGUCCGUAGAACUUCACUUGUACACCCACCGACACCUUAUCACCCUCACUGGCCAGUCACCUCACAAACUUGCCCGGGCGAACGAAAUCACAAACUUGAGCUUGAGUCACAAGCUCGGUCACAAACUUGGUCACCUUCUCGGUGAACCGGAUUCACAAAAUUGGUUCAUAACAUGAACCUACAAACUUGGUGACCUCAGACUAAGUUGGACUGACUUCGACCAACCCCCAACCGGCUCGAAUAGUCCAAACAGGUCUUAGAUCGGGCCCACGAACUCACAAACUUCACAAAAUUCACAAACUUUACUCGAAAGUCGCCCCGAGCCACAAGCUCAAGGGUUUUGGUUCUAAAAGGUUCAUAUACAUAUGCUAAGUACAAUUAUACAUUCAAAUUAGGGUUUAGGUCGAGUGCGAUAAAGUACACUCUCGCCUAAGUACCCUUUUCACAUAUCUCAAACACAUAGCAAAGAAAACACAUCAAACUGGCCUGAAUACUUACUCAAAAUACCAAAAGUAGUACGAAAGCAAAAUCGCUUCGCGCGUUCGCUAGUAGUGGGCCCCACCGGCUCCGCCUAGCUCACCGCUGUCUGAAAUAGAAGAUUUUAUCACAAACGGCCACUAACAUGCCCAAAACAAGCAAAACGGCAAAACAACACGCGCGCACGAAAAUAUGACGGACGGAAACGGAAACGGCAGAUUUGAUACUCAUUUCUAGUUUACUCAUAAGUUGAGCUACGAAUAUCGGAUUAAGGCGUAUGAGAUGCCAAAUCGAAGCUUAAAGGAUGAACAACAACUGUUAUGAAGACAUCCAGAACUGAAACUGGAGGCUUCAGUCCCAAAUGAACCAAACACAAUCACUUACGAAAUCUGGCCAAUGCACAAAUGGUCAGUUUUGAGUGCGAACUGUUUUCUAUGCUACACAUGGUCAAAAGAGCUGAAAAUUGGCAGUUAGAUAGUUCAUUCCAAAUGGAACAACUUUCAUGAAGGUCGGCAAUCAAAAUUCGGAACGGAAAUUGGUCAUCAGGACCAAAACAGAUCUGACCAGAGAAUGGUCAUCUUCACGGCCAGGCCUUAUUUGCUCGGCUAUAUCUCAGGUCUUAUAAAUCCGAUUCCUGAAAUCCCAAGGGCGUUAGAAAGCUCUGAUAUAGGGCUAUAAGUUUGGUUUUUUGGUCGCGAGCCCAAACAGCUUGUAACCCAGUCAAAUGUGAAGCCAAAGUUCCAGUCAUAAACUGUCCAAAAACGUAACAGAAUUUGACGGUCAAAACAGGUCUGAGUAUUUCGUUUAUAGCUCAGGAUAUACUAAUCCGUUUAACCUGAAACUUUACAAGGAUAUCCAGGACUUAAGGGGAUACAAUGUUGAAGAAGGAAACUUUGUCCAAUUUUGAAUGUAACAAGGUCAAAAAUGCAAGACACUAUACCAGAAUUGCAAAACAGGAUCACAAACCGUAUUUGACCUUAAUAUGCGGUAAUGGCACCAAAUUCACUACGGUUAUCGAAUGGGGGUGUAAGACCCACCGUUUCGAAGCUAAGAAACAGGGCUACAACAAUGUAGAAGGUCACUCAGUCCAAAUCCUAACACAACUAGGUCAAAAUGCAGAAUACCAAAUCCAGAACCGUAAUUGCAGGUUCCCAAAUCGCACUAUGCUGUAAUGAACACAACUCAGUCUAUACAGGUCCAAAUGCCGAAAUUCCAAAGGCAUAUGUUAGCUAAGACAUCCAGAUACAUUUCAUCAGAAGAUACCAACUUCAAAAUCUAAACCAAUUCUAGUCAAAACAAAUGAUUACAAGCGCAGUUUUCACAUUCUGAGCAACCCUGGACAGCAACAGUAAAAACGACAUAACUCACUCUACACAAAUCCAAAUGACCUAAAAUUUUGCAGGCACUUCAAACUCAUCAAUACCUACAACUUUCAUAUUUUGAGCAAAGUCCAAUUUGGCCUCUAACCCUAUGAUCUAAAACCGGACAGAAUUAGGGGAUUAUGAACCCUAACUUUCCAUUUUUCCAUCCAAAUCCAAAAUUAGUUGCAUUUAUCAUCAAUUCACACCUACUAGAGUCAUUAUAGUCCAUUGCCAAUCAUCCAAGAUAGCCACAACAUCCCAUUCAUAUUAAACCAGAAAAUUCAUCAUAAAAUUGAAAACUUCACUAAAACACUUCAAAUCAAGAAAUAAAUCACAUAAUCCAUCACUUUAGCCACUCCUAAGCAAAUCAUAAGCAUCAUUAGGUGUAGCAUGGUGUUCAAGCAUCACUUACCAAGAAAUCAAGAGAGAGGGAGAUGAUGGACACCUUAGCUCUUCCAAAAAGCUUCACUAAACCAACCACUAUCACCAACUAGAAAAGUUGUAUGGAAAGGAAACUAAUUUAUGUGCUUGAUUGAGAUGAUUUGCUAGUGGAAAGCUUGAAGAUUGAAGAGGUUUUUCUCCUUCUUGCAAGCGAGAGAGAGAGCCGGCUAUGGAGAAAGAAAAUGAGGGAAUUUUAGUGAAUUUUUGAAGAUAUUUAACCUUUGGUCAAAAAGUCAAAAAUGUGAAUAGUGUUUCUUAAAGUCCAACCAAUGAGAAAGUGACACUUGUCACCUCAUUAAUGCAAUCCUAUCCUUUCUUUUCUCUCUCACAUCAAUUAUUUCACACACUCUACUUAUCUCUUGACACCGAUAAAUUUUACACAGUAUCCGGAAUUUAACCUAAUUGGCCGAAUUUUUCUGAACUUUUCACACUAGUGGGUCCCACGUCCAAUAUACGUUCUUAUUUUCUCAAAAUCUAACCGAUACUAGAAAAAUCAUCUAAAAACUCUAUUUACUCAUAAAAAUUAUCUGGGGAACUUUCUAAUAACGAAAAUAUCAAAAAGACGGGUGAACAAUCAAACUCCACUUAAGCUUUCUACUAAAAUGAACUAGGGUUUUCAACCCUAAUCGAGGUUAGGGUUUUCUUCUUAGCCUUAAAACCCUAAUUCCACCCCACCGAUCAAUGAAUAACCCUCAUAUCAGCUUACGAACGGACUGGGGCCUCACAUCUUAAGUAUGGAGACAUGGAAGACAUCGUGAAUCCUAGACAAACUUAAAGGCAAUUCCAACUUGUAAGCUACAUUUCCUACGCACUAGAUAACCUUAUAGGGUCCCACAAAUCUCGGUUGCAACUUCUUCCCUUUUCCCGCCAUUGGAUUUGCUUUCAAGGGUGUAAUUCUAAGAAACACUUUAUCUCCAACCUCAAACUCUAACUUCUUUCUCCGAUUAUCCGCAUAGCUCUUUUGGCGGUUUUGAGCUGUUCGAAUCCUCUGACGAAGUAAUUUCACCUUCUCAUAAGCUUCCUCAACCCAAGCUACGGUAGUCGGGUCCCAAAUCUUCUUUUCUCCAACUUUGUCCCCAUGAAUCGGAAAUCGACACUUUUGACCAUAAAGAGCUUCGUAAAGAGCUAUAUGUGUUGAGGAAUGAAAACUGUUGUUAUAAGAAAAUUCCACCAACUUAUGGUAUUGAAUCUAAUUUUCUCCAAAAUCCGCAAUACAUGACCUCAACAUGUCCUCUAGGGCUUGAAUUGUCCUUUCCGACUGUCCAUCAGUUUGCGGGUGGUAAGUGAUACUAAAAUUCAGUUUAGUCCCCAAACUCUCUUGCAUCUUUGGCCAAAAUCGAGAUACAAACCUAGGGUCCUGAUCUGAGACUAUACUCACUGGUAUCCCAUGCAGUCUUAUAAUUUCAUCCAAGUAUAAUUUAGUUAACUUUUCCAAGGAAUACUUCAUACUAAUCGACAAAAAGUAAGCAGAUUCGGUCAAUCGAUCUACUAUUACCCAAAUAGCGUUGUGUCCUCUCUGAGUCCUUGGUAACCCUGAUACGAAAUCCAUUGUGAUAUUUUCCCACUUCCACUCAGGUAUUUUCAACGACUGUAAUAAUCCAGAUGAUUUCUGAUGUUCGACCUUAACCUGCUGGCAAGUGAGACAAGCUCGAACAAAUUCAGCAAUUUUUCUUUUCAUAUUCUCCCACCAAUACAGGCUCUUCAAAUCUUAAUACUUCUUAUUACUUCCAGGAUGCAUCAUAUACUUUGAACGGUGAAUUUCGUUUAAAAUUUCCUUCUUUAGACCUUUAUCCUUGGGUACCACUAUGCGAUUUCUAAACUUUAACACUUCAUCAGUCCCCAAAUUGAAGUCAGACUUUUUCCCCUUUUGAACUUUCUCAACCCAUUUUUACACUUCAGGGUCUCCUUUUUGAACUUCUUUGAUUCGAUCUAAUAAAGUAGAUUUCACAGUAAUAUUCCCAAAGAUUACCCUCUGUGGUUCAAGAUGCGGAUUCCAAACACUAAUUUCUUCUAGCAUGUGCCAUUCUCUCACCAUAAAUUGGCCACUUGUGUGAGGACCCAUCAUUUUCUUAUUUUCUAGGUUUUAUUCUAUUUAAUUGCAUGCUUUUCUGCAUUUUCUUUAUUAGAAAAAUUUUCUAGAUAAGUUUUAUGAGUAAAUAUAGUUUUAAAAUGAUUUUUCUAGUAUCGGUUAAUUUUUGAGAAAUUAAGAGCGUAUACCGGUUGUGGGACCCACUAGUGCGGUAAGUUCGAUAAAAUUCGGUCAAUUAGAUUAAGUGGUGUAUACCGGGUUUAAUUUAUCAGGUGUUAAGAGAUAAUUAGAAGUUACCUAGAUGGAUUAUCAUUGGAGAGACAAAAGGAUAGAGUUGCAUUAAAUAAGGGUGACAAGUGUCACCUUGUGGUUUAUUCUUGACUUUGACCAUCUUACUUACCUUUACUAAUUAGUCAAAAUUGACCAAAAAUUCACCUUAUUUCUCCCUCUCUUGGCUGAAUUUCUUGGAGCAAAAAGAAGAGAAAACUUCCAACUUCUUUCUUCAAUUUCUUGUCUUGAUCUCACAAACCAACCGUUAAAACUUUGAUUUACUCCAUAAAAACUCUUCUCUAGGUAGGAUUAAGGUUGUUGGUGAAGUGAUUUGGAAGAAAUUGGUGCUAAGUAGCUUCCUUUCUUGAGGUUGCAAGGUGAGUAGCUAAGGAGUUCAUUCUUUGGUCUUACUAAUGUUAAAUUGGUAGAUUGUGUUAGUCAAAGAUGUGAUUUAGUGGAAGAUUUCAUGACUUUUAGUUGAGAUUGGUGAAUUUUAUAUUUAUUCUUGAAUUUUUCUGUUUUAUAUGUUUAUUAUGGUGUGGCCAUGGAUGAUGACUUGGGAUAGUUUAGAAUGAAACUAUUGUGCGUAAAUUGUAGUUAAUUGCGGAAAAUUUCCACUUUGUGCGGAAAAUUUCAGAUUAGGGUUUCAUUUUCCCAAAUUCUGCCCGGUACUGUUCUACAUAGUUAUAGGCCGAAUUAGCCUUAGGGGAGGUGGGGCUGUCACAGUUGGUAUCAAAGCCUGCUUCGCGUGGUCUCUGCGCGGAGCGAGCUUGGGGCCAAGUGGUGUUAUGGUCUUGAUUCUGUGAAUGUGUUUAAAGGAUUAAGUGCUCUUCUAGAGUAUAAGUUAUGAACUGAUAAGUGUAAACAUCUUUAUCAUGGAACUUGAGGAAAAUAGAUAUGUAGGUCGGGUAGGAAUCUUUAAUAUGGAUGGUUUACUCUUGGGACCGGCCGGCUCGAGUUGUGAAGUAUCUUAUUUGAGAUUCUUGUGCCCGGCUACUAAAUAAAUGAGAGCCUAGGUUAGGAGCGACUUGGGCGACCUAGGAAUGUGAUUCUAUGGAACUUUGUGUAGUUUGCUCGGGUGUAAGUAAGCAUGGCUAACCUUGAUUAAGAUAUACAUUGUGUUAUUCCUGUAGGCUAUGGACGGAGCCCUAGAGAGGAUAGUUUAUCGCGCGUUAUUGUUGUACUUUUGGCCUUGUUUAUCUAUAGUGCCUUUUGGAUGACCCCGCUACCUUCAUGGCUUUCCUUAUUUGUAGUUAACUGACUGCUACCGUGUGAUUUGUUUGAUAACGUGUGUGAUGUAUCUAUGCUUUUGAUCUGUGUGUACCUCUAGUUACUUGUUUAUUUAAUAUUAUAUUCACGAUUCGAUCCUAAAUUGGAUAGACCAAUGGAGGGUUCUCAUAGUGGAUGAGGUCGUGGGCGCGGGCGUAAGCAACCCACGAAUGAAGGGGGUAAUCGGGAACCAAUACAUGAACCUAGGGCCGACCAAAAUACCCAAGUAGCCACUGCUAUUCAGCGCAUGACCGAUCUGCUAGCCCACAUAGUGGAAUACCAGGGCCAAAACCCCAAUUCUCAACCUGGAAGCCCUGGUAAUCAUAUAGAGGGCGAGGAUAGAGCCCUUGAAAGAUUUCAAAAGUUCUCCCCACCCAAAUUUCUCGGAGGCCCUGAUCCUGACGUGGCUGAGAGGUGGCUGGAGAAGAUGAUCGAUAUUUUUGCUGCAUUACACUACAUUGAGGAGAGACAGGUGACAUUUGCUAUCUUUCAACUAGAGGGAGCCGCCCGUUCCUGGUGGAAUAUCCUUCGAAUGAAAUGGGAAAGAGAACAAACCCCGAGGACGUGGGCGAACUUUAUGAGAGAAUUUAAUGCCAAGUUUUUCCCUCCUCUAAUCCAAGAAAAGAAGCAAGAUGAAUUUAUUCGGCUUCGCCAAGGAACUCAGACCGUAGCGAGUGUGAGAGUCAAUUCACUCGGUUGUCUAAGUUUGCGCCGAACUGAUUGUAAUCGAACAAAGACGGAUAAGGCGAUUCAUCCAAGGAUUAAAUGUUGAAAUUCAGAAAGAUCUGGCGGUAGCCCAACUUAAUGCCUUUAGUGAUCCGGUGGAGAAGGCCCAGCGAGUUGAAACUGCGAGGUUACAAGUUAGAAACUUCCAAGCCAAAAAAAGGAGGCUUUCCGGGGAGCAGCUCGGAACAGGAAGAUAAGAGCACACCCCCUAAGAGUGGAAGAGGAAACGGGGAGUACGAAAACGGGGGUGGCCAGUGGUGUCUCACCGGGAGGAUCGGUCUCUGCUACUCGAGGUUCCUGUGGAUAUUGCGGAGGGCCAAAUCACACGGAGGCAAAUUGUUAGAAGAAAAAAGGAAAAGGCCUGCGUUUGGGAACGCCGAACAUCGAAUUGCUAAUUGUCCAGCUCGACUGUGCGAAGGGAGAGGGACUCCGCCGCCAACCAAGACCAACUCUAAGCAACCAGCUAAGACCAACCCUGGACAGUCGAAAGGAGAAGGGACUGGAGCGAAGGUACCGACUGGAGUAUAUUCCCUGGACCAUCAUCAGGUCCCUGACUCAUCUGAGGAUGUAGAAGGUAUGAUCCAUUGGUUACCUUGGAUUUUGAUAGAUCCCAAUGAUAAGAAAAUUUCGAGUACGAAAUUUCUUUAAGAGGGAGAGAGUGUGAGGACCCAUAAUUUUCUUAUUUUCUAGGUUUUAUUCUAUUUAAUUGCAUGCUUUUCUGCAUUUUCUUUAUUACAAAAAUUUUCUAGAUAAGUUUUAUGAGUAAAUAUAGUUUUAAAAUGAUUUUUCUAGUAUCGGUUAAUUUUUGAGAAAUUAAGAGCGUAUACCGGUUGUGGGACCCAUUAGUGCGGUAAGUUUGGUAAAAUUCGGCCAAUUAGGUUAAGUGGUGUAUACUGCAUUUAAUUUAUCAGGUGUUAAGAGAUAAUUAGAAAUUACGUAGAUGGAUUAUCAUUGGAGAGACAAAAGGAUAGAGUUGCAUUAAACAAGGGUGACAAGUGUCACCUUGUGGUUUAUUCUUGACUUUAACCAUCUUACUUACCUUUACUAAUUAGCCAAAAUUGAACAAAAAUUCACCUUAUUUCUCCCUCUCUUGGCCGAAUUUCUUGGAGCAAAAAGAAGAGAAAACUUCCAACUUCUUUCUUCAAUUUCUUGUAUUGAUCUCACAAACCAACCGUUAAAACUUUGAUUUACUCCAUAAAAAAUCUUCUCUACGUAGGAUUAAGGUUGUUGGUGAAGUGAUUUGGAAGAAAUUGGUGCUAAGUAGCUUCCUUUCUUGAGGAUGCAAGGUGAGUAGCUAAGGAGAUCAUUCUUUGGUCUUGCUAAUGUUAAAUUGGUAGCUUGUGUUAGUCAAAGAUGUGAUUUGGUGGAAGAUUUCAUGACUUUUAAUUGAGAUUGGUGAAUUUUAUAUUUAUUCUUGAAUUUUUCUGUUUUUAUAUGUUUAUUAUGGUGUGGCCAUGGAUGAUGACUUGGGAUAGUCUAGAAUGAAGCUAUUGUGCGUAAAUUGUAGCUAAUUGCGGAAAAUUUCCACUUUGUGCGGAAAAUUUCAGAUUAGGGUUUUAUUUUCCCAAAUUCUACCCGGUACUGUUCCACAUAGUUAUAGGCCGAAUUAGUCUUAGGGGGAGGUGGGGCUGUCACAACUUGCACCUUACGACUUAGGGCAUCCGCCACUACAUUAGCCUUUCCAGGGUGGUAAUUUAACGAACAGUCAUAAUCUUCCAAAAAUUUCACCCAUCUACGUUAUCUCAAAUUCAAGUCUUUCUGGGAGAACAAAUACUUAAGCCUCUUGUGAUCCGUAAAAACCUCAAAAGUCACUCUAUACAAAUAAUAUUUCCAUUUUUUCAAGCAAACACUACUGCCACUAACUCCAAAUCAUGGGUCGGGUAAUUCUAUUAAUGAGAUUUUUCAACUUACGAGAGGCAUACGCAAUUACCUUUCCAUUUUGCAUUAAUACACAUCCUAAACCAUUCUUUGAAGCAUCUAUAUAAACCACAAAACCAUCUCCUCCGCUUGGCAAUACUAACACAGGUGCCUCGGUUAAACACUUUUUCAAUUCUUGAAACCCUUCCUCAUAUUUAGAAUCCCAUAUGAACUUGCCAUACUUCUUAAUCAACUCGGUUAAGAGUUUUGCAGUCUUAGAAAAAUCCUUGAUAAACUGACGGCAAUGUCCGGCUAACUCUAAGAAACUUCGAAUUUCCGUAGGGUUCUCUGGUUGUUUCCACUUAGAAUUAGCUUCUACCUUAGCUAGGCCCACAGUAAUUUCCUUUCUUAGAGAUUAUAUGACCUAGAAAGGUUAUUUCUUCCAACCAAAACUCACAUUGAUUUAACUUAGCAAAAAGUUGGCACUUUCUCAGGGUUUAUAAAACUAUUCUCAGGUGCCGUUCAUGUCCUUAUGUUCUAGAGUUUGAGAAUUUGUUAUUCAUUCUAGCCUUUUGAAAUUCUUGUUCACAGGUCUAAAGGUAUGGGGUAAUAAAUUAGAUAUACACGUAAGCCGUAAAAUCAAUUAAAGCAAAGUAAAUUUUUAUAUGUUCUAAAAGAUCAUAAUAGUUACACCAAGUGAGAAUAACUUCAUAAAAUCAUUUCAAAAGAAAGGGGAGACAAACAAAAUCAAAAGAAAACGUGCUAAGUUGCAAAUGUACAAAACAACAAAAGGACUUUAUCCCUUAUACAAAAGAUUACAACCUCCAAAAGUACCAAUUUAAACUAGGGUAAAAUUACACCCCCUAUCCCUCGAGUAAAAUCAGAUCCAUCCCCUACUCGUAAAGUUUCUACUACUUGGAUCCCUCUUACAAUCAUUAACAUUAAUUACUCAUUCUGGCACUCGAUUGCUUUGCAGCGGACCUAGCAGAUUGCUGAAUAUUUUCUCUUUUUAGAGGCAUUAGGGCAACUUGAAACCUGAUGUUUGGCACUACCGCAAGUCAGACAUUUUCCUUGCUUUGUCCAGCACUUGGUCUCCGCAUGGUUAAACUUGCCACAGUAUCCAUAGGCCACACGAGAAGUCACGGCCUAACUAGUUUGGGAAUUUUCUUUGUUUUUCUUUUCCAGUUCCACUUUCUUGUGUAGCAACUCAAUUUUUUCCGCAUAUUCUUGUUUCCAUCGUCCUUCCCAGUAGUCAGCUAAUUUCUUUUAAAACUCUACCUCCUUUCGAAGAGUGUCUAUUUCCAUAUACAUCUCUCCCAAAUUUGUCAUCUCACUGAUUGGUGUAAGGAUUGAAGACAACCUAAGAGGGGGGUGAAUUAGGUAAAUUAAAAAUUAACCAAGUUAUGAGACACUUUUUGUUAAAUAUGAAAUUUACCCCCUUUUCGAUGACCACACAAUGGAACAAUCAAUGAGAAAGCACGAAUGCUCGUGAGUAGAAGAGAUGAACAAUUUAUAUUGCAAGAUAGUAAAUAAAAGAGAUAGAGUAGCAAACCAAAUUCCAAACUCCUCUUGAUUUUGAAUAUCACUUUAUAAAGUAAGUUUCUUCUAGUUGAUCAAUUACAACCAAUCUUUGUGUACAAAGGAAGGAUCACUUCCUCCUUACCCCAAGCCACACUUGGUCAAGUUAGGAAGUUUUACUAUCACUCGGAUAACCCUCACAAAGUUACACUAUUGAAAUAAUUUUCUCACACAAGAAAAGCUUAUACAAGAUUCACACAACUAAGAGUACAAAUUUUUCUUUAAGAGAAUUUUCUCACUAAAAAUGCUCUUGAUCUUUUGUAGUCUCAAUGUGCAAAAGUGUUUUGAAGUGGUUGACUUUGCUCUGUUUAUAUGAGACCAAAAAGUUCCUUCAUUAAUGUUUCCAAUGGAUAGAGGGCAGCUGAAGAGUCAACUAGCCGUUGGUGGUGUCGGACGUCCGGUGAUCUUGUUUCUUGCGUCCGACAGUAGGUAGUGAGCAAAAGAGAUUUUCUUUAAUUCAUUCGAAUGUUCGGUACCUUCAUAGUUCGCAUCCGAAAGCAGAUAAUAAAAUUAAAAAUUUUCUUCAAUACUUUCGGACGUCCGGUACCUCCAAUGCUCUGCGUCCGAAGUCUUACGCAGAUUAUUGGAUGUCCGGUGCUCUAAUGUUUUACGUCCGAUCAAGGUUGGCAAGUUUAGAAAAAUGUUUUGAACAUCUCUUGUUGAAGAUCUUCUUGAAACUUUUGAUGUGAGGAGUUAUAUCAUUGUCCACUUCCAUGAUUUCAUUACCCAUGAAGGAUGGGUUAUCCCCCACUUGAGAUGCUUUAAAAGCAAUGCCUCUCUUAUACAAUCUUGCAUUUUCUUCCUCUUGCACUUUGAAUUUCAGCUGUAAUUCAUAAGAGAUUAGGGUAUCCACAAGAGAUUCAAUGGACAUAGAAUUUAAAUCCUUUGCCUCUUCUAUAGCAUUUAUUUUGUUUUCCCAUUCUUUUGGCAAGGCAUUCAAAAUCUUUCUAUUUUUCUCACCCAAAGAAUAUUCUUUUCCAAGCAAUUUAAGAUCUUGAAUAAUGUCACAAAAUCUACUACACAUCUUAUCAACAUUUUCAAGAGGAUGCAUUUUGAAAAAUUCAUAUUGAGAAACAAGUAAAGAUUUCUUUUGUUCUUUAAUAUCUUGGUUACCUUCAUGAAAUUCACACAAUUUAUCCCAAAUAUCUUUAGCUGAUUUACAACCUUUAAUUCUACCAGAUUCAUUUACAUCUAACGCAAUGCACAAUAUAUACAUGGCCUUGGCAUUCAAAGAAAGAUAUAUCUUGUCUUUUUCAUUCAAUUCUUGUCUAGUCUUUAAUCUACUCAAAUUAGUGGUAGAGUCAAUUAUUCUGGCUUCAUAAGGACCAUUUUCUACCACAUACCAUAAUUCAAUAUAAACGGAUUGUAAGAAAAUCAUCAUUCUUUGUUUCCACAUGCUAAAAUGAGAACCAUUAAACAUAGGUGGUCUAUCAAUAGAUUGCCCUUCUAAAAAAGAAACUUUUAUGGUUGCCAUGAUCUUUACUCUAAGCGGUUAAGCUUGAUCAAAAGAGACCAAGCUCUGAUACCAAUUGUAAGAGUCCGGUGCAACCCAAUGAGUACAAACAAUUUCACAAUGAUGCACAAAGAUAUAUCAAAUUUAAGCACAAUAAAGAAAACUUAAUUAAAGAGAAAAGAUAAGAAAUGCAAACCAAAUAUCAAUCCAAUAGCCUCUUCAAUUGAUGGCGAUGCUAACCAAGAUGUACAAGUGAAGGCUCACUCCUUCCUCACCCCAAACACACUUUGGUUGAGCCAAGGAGUUUUACAACUAUUCUAGUUAACCCUCAACAACCUACACUUGAAAGAUCACUCACCCAAUUAAGAACUAUUUUAUACAAAUGAGGCAACGUUCACCAAGGUUUUACCACUUCAAGUGAUAGGUUCACCUUCACCAAGGUUUUUCUCCUCCUAGAGAGUAACCUUCACUUGAGCAACCUCACAACCCAACUUUUCCAACCCCUUAUACAACCAACAAGGAAUCUUUCUACUCAAAAAUCUCACUUGUAAGCUUGUAUUUUGUGUUGGCAAAAGUCCCUUGUCUUCUUGUGCUUUGGGGUUUUUAUAGAAGGUGAGAAAUGGCUCCAAAAGGCUCUCCAACGGUCAAAUAUUAAAUGCUGUCAAAACUAGCCGUUGGCCUGUCGGACGUCCGAACCACCUGUCGAACGUCCGAACCACCUGUCGAACGUCCGAACCCUGCGUCCAAACCACCUGUCGGACGUCCGAACCCUACGUCCGAACGUCGUCAGAGAGUCAUCAAAUCUUUUCGAAAUUUCUCGGACGUCCGAUGCGAUCGAUGUGCGUCCGACAGAGUUUCCUUCUUGACGUUCUUCAUCCUUUCGGACGUCCGAUAGCUUCCUUUCGGACGUCCCACAUGAGUGCCCUGUUUUUGCUUCUUCUUUUGUGCCACAAGAAUCUGUUCUAACAAAUUACUCACAUAAAAACAUUAGCGCAAAUCUACAUUUUGGUUUGUUAAUCAUCAAAACCAAGGAUUGAUCGACCAAGGUCAACACCAAAGGUAUGUCUUUUGAAGAUGGUUUGAAGUGCUUAAAGACAAAAUUUGAUGUAAUUAUGUUACAAGUUCAAAUGGACACAAUUAUACAUGAAAUUGAGCAAGGGAGGAAUGUUAAUACUUUUAAUUCUUAUCAUGUGAUUUGUGACUUGUGUCGCGCCCCAUUUUUUGAUAAAUAAAUAAAAUGGUUUUAAAAAUGUAUUUUUUGAUUCAAAUUUUUUAUAGGAAAAUGAGUUUUGAUUUAAAAGAAAAAUGGGUCUAAAUGGGGGUUUGAGAAUGCGACGAUUUGACCCAAAAUGUAGUUUAAAAAGGGUUUUUGCAAUGAAAAUCGGAGUCGCCACUUGGUAAUGAGUUAAGGUGUACCAAAUCACCUAAAAAUGAAUUUUUAAAGAAAGAUAGGAAAAAGUAGUAAGAAACCCCUUUUAAACGACUCCUAGUCCACGUAAACCAACGAAAAAGGUUCGGGAGUCACAUUUGACGAAGGGGAAGGCAAGGAUAGAAAUCCAAGGCACCCUUUCGACCUAGCCAAGGCUAGUUGCGUGAUUUAAUCAAAGAUUUUCUUGUUUUAACCAAAGAAUUUAUUACAUUUGGAUGCACUACAUGAAUGCAAACCCUAGACCUAGGGGUAUUGGGGGAAAUUUCUCUUCAAAGGUUGAGUGGUGCCAAUCACAUUAAUUGUGAAGCCCAAUAACGACCCUUUGAAGAAGUCACGAAUAAUGUGAUUGGGAUGCAAAUGAAUGGAAUGCAUGCAUGCAAUGUGAGGAUAUGUGAAGUGAGAAAAAUAAUAAAAAUAAUAGGAUGUAAGUGGAGGUGUGCAAAUGUAUUUACAAGUGUUUGUGUGCAAGUGAAGGGAUAAAAAGGUGCAUGUGUGCAAAUGAGACAAAAGUGAAAGUGUGCAAGUGAAAGGAUAAAAGGUGUACGUGUGCAAAUGGGAGGAAAAGUGAAAGUGUAAUGAUAGAGUGGACUUAGAAAUGCAUGAGCCUAGGGAAUUCAUGCAUAUUGGGUACGGGGAGACCUAAAUCGUGACUCAAUUUGCCCUUUUAUAGAGGGAAUACAAGCGUGCUAAGGCUUAGAAAAAGCCACACUCGUCUAUAUCCCAUAUUUAAGGGGACUCUCAAGCAAAUGAAUCCUAUAACUAGCAUGAAAUGCAAAAAUCCUAAAAUGGAGGGAAAAGAUUCGAGGGGCAUGCAAAAUGAUAAAACUAAAAAGAAUGCAUGACAUGUAAUGAACAUGCAAACAUGUACUAACGAGGGGAAAUCCCUAAGGGUCUAGCGUUGGACUAGCCCAUUCUAUGAAUUCCGACUAGCGUUGGACUAGUGGAAACGUACAUUCAUCCAUCACAUUCAUCCAGGCUAUAAAAAGCGAGUAGACAUGCCAAAACACUCAUAAACAUAUAGCACAUAACACUUAGCAUGCUCGACUAGAUGCAAGACCUAACAAAGCAAGUUAACACGUAGCACGUAAGCAUGCAAGUCACACAAAGCGAUUAAGGCCCUAACUAUUACAUUUUGAGGGGAAGAAGGCCUACUACAAUCUAGGAGGGGGAACGGAAUAAAAAUAAAAAUAAUAACCUAGCUAUUACAACUUGGCAUUCAAGUGCCUUCAAAUGACUUUGCGCAUUAAGAAUAAUGAAACAAAAAGAAAGUGAAAUAGGCAAUUAAACAUGAAAUGGAAAGCGACUUAAAGCAUGCAUAUUCACACAUAGCACAUAGGAGCACGUAGAGUCAAAUAAAGUAAGAAAUAAAUGAUUAGAUAUACCUCCCCCUCGAUGGUAAUCAAAUGAAGUGAAAAUGGCUUCAAAACAAUAAAAAAAUCAAGGUACCACUUUAUUUGGGAAAAUUAAAGAAAACAUACAAACACGGGCUCACAUGGUCAUAAAGCUCUUAAAUUCAUGCAUGAAGUGCAAUUUAAACAAAGCAUGGUGAUUAUUUGAAGCAAACAAGCAAUAAAACUUACAAAAUUAAAGCUGCCAAGGACCAAAUUGAGGACAUUAUUCAAUUGGUUGGGUCAUAGUAGAAUAAAGGGAGACUUGGGGGGUCAAAGUGCAAUUUCUGAAACAUUCUCAUGCAAAUUCAUGCAAAGCUACGAAGGAAAUGGGCUUCUGCAACUAACUCAUAUGCUCUAGCAAAAGAAAUGAAAACUGCUGCGCUUGCUUCUCAAACUCAAAUCUCAUAAUCACAACCUUGGUUAGAUUUUUCCAAAAACAACUAACUUCAUUCAUACCAAACAACCGAAAGCUUAGCCACUACAUUCAAACAAACGAAAAAACUUAGCAAAACAUCAAUGGUUUCAAACUUCAGCAAGCAAUGGAGCCUGCUGCGAUUGGUUUUCAAGCUCAAGAAGGGAAAAAAAAAUGGAGUCUGCUGCAAUAUUAUUUCCAAGUCUCUGUUACCGAAAAAACUUUGCAAUUUCCUUAUGGGCUUCAUGGUAUAGGUUCCCUUUCGCAUAAGACAUCAGCUAGACAUCAAAACCUUAAUUCAAAUACUGAAACACAACACUUUAACAUCCAAUAAGUAACAAAUUGCAGUCACAAGGAAGAAAAAGCAAGGAAUGCAAGACGCCGCACUUUUCUGCUGCAAUUCCGCAGCUUCAAACCAUUCGGCCGAGACAAGCACUCAUGCCAAGGACCCAACCCAUUCCCACAUACUCAGGCACACAAUGCAAAUGCUUACAAACGAAGGCAAAAAGGAGAAUAAAACAGGCCCUUGAACUAAAGUAUGUAAUAAACAUGAUCUGCAAACAUGCUCGCUUUGAAGAACAAAAUUUCUGUAGCUUUCUUAUGCAAACCAAAGAUGAUUAUACGCAGUGCUAGGAAUGAAACUUAUGGGUUUAUCCACCGAACCCCAAUAUUAUAGCUUCCUACUCUUGUGGUUAAUGUCAAAGCAACCAUUUAUUUCCAAAAGAUCUACUUCCAGAAACUGAACAUAAAACAGCGAAAACCGUGAAGAAAGCAUUCUGAAACCAUUUAGCAGCCCAGAUUCAUUCAUUGUUUCAAAUUUCUGGGUUUUCAUCAAUUAAAAAAACGCUGCCAACACACACCCACAACUCAUACCAAACAAAAACCAAUUAUGCAAUCUGAAAUCUAACCAAGACUCGUCAUUUAAACAUCAUCUUAAUCACAUACAACAGGACGGGCAUCUCAAACCACAUACUGACAAACAAAACAGUGAAUGACACAAAACCUUCGUUUUCUAAGAUUGAAUCUUCACACGAGUUGUAUAAAGUCAACAGGAAAAAGGUUAAGGUCACCUGAUGAAACUAGCGCAGUCCAAUGGAGGUGAAGUGUUCUGAGGAAGUCGUAUGGAUUUGCUGGAACAAAAACCCAGAAAGCUUCGUUGCUGCAAGGUUCUUCCAGUGAUGUUUGUCGCAGGAGGGUUCUCGGUGUGGGUGAUGGCCGUCGUAAGACUCUCCCUCGUUCUCACGACCUCCUUUCCUAGCCGCAACCCUCUUGCCUUUAGAUUCUCUGAUUCUCUCCUCCAAGACUCAGCUCUCGGUUCCGUUCUUUUCCUUUGGUCGCCGACCUUUACAGACUGCCCUUACUUUUUGUUUUCCUUUUCUUCCUCCACCAGCCCAUUUCUAGCAUAGCUUUCCCCCCCCCUUUGCCCGUAGGUUUUUCCUUUUUUUUUUAAGCCGUCGCCACCAACUCCCUUUUUCUCUCUUGUUUUGUUCUACCCGCCGUCCACUUCUCUCCGUCUCUGUUUUUGCAGCCCCCAACCUCUCUUCUGAUUUUUCCUUUUGCCGUUUUCCCUCUCUCUCCCUCUCUCUCCUUAUCAGCCGUCACUUUCCUCACCCUCAACUCUCUACUCUAUCCGCUACCUUAUUUUUUCCUGUUUGCGGCUGUCUAUCCCCUUCCCCCCUCUUGCAUCUCAUUCUUUUAUAUACGGGACUCCUACCCUAAAACCCUCAAACACUCUCUCCAAAAUUGCAGCCCAAGGGCUGCCCAUGAGCCCUUCCUUGCAAGCUGCAAAAACGCAGCUUUCAAGUCGCGUUUUUUUUUUUUUAAUAAUUAUAAUAACAAAUUGACAAAAACCAGGUAAUAAUAAUAAUAAAAACAAAUUAAAAAAACUAAACAAAUGGAAACAACAAAAAUGGUCAUUUUUCAAUUUUUCUUUCAUUUUUUCAAUUUUGUCUCAAAAUAACUUAAUAAAAAUAACUAAAAUGCCAAAAGAUUGAAUUUAAAGAAAUAAACAUAUUUUUGUGAACAAAAUUUCCUUUUCCUUUUCCAUUUUUUUCAAGAAAACUAAAGCCUAUUUUUUGAAUGUUUUUGUAUUUUUCUUCUUUUCCCUCUUUUCUUUAAUUUUCUCUUUUCUCUUUUUUUUUAUGAUUUUUCAUUUUCAUUUUUCCUUCAAGAAAGCAUUGAAUAAAAACAACAUGACUAAAACAUAUUUUUGAUGUUUUCCUUUUCUUUUUCUAAAACUCUAUGCUAAUCCUAAACUUAAAAGCUAAAACUAAAAACUAAAACUAAAAGUAAAUAAGAAUGAAUAGCAAAUGAAAUAGGUCAACUAAAAGGGCGAAAAUGAAUAAAACUAAAAUAUCAUAACAACUAAUAGUGCAAAACACACAAUAACGAACUAAAAUGCAAGCAAUCUAAAAUGAAAAUCAUGAAAUAGAUGAUACAUACAAAUUAUUCAAAAUUUGGUGUCUACAACUUGUGUGGAGGUUAUCAUGCAACUAAUACAUGUAUGCAAGCACAAAAUGUGGAUUACUAUGAUGAAUUAGAACAUUACAAUCCUUAUUUUGAUCAAUACAGUGCUAAUUGGAGCAAUUCUCUUUCUUAUGGUUGGGAAAAUCAAUGUGCAUAUAGUGAUUAUCCAUAUUUUUAUAAUUACCAAUCUGAAAAUGUCCAAUAUAAAGCAAAACCAUCUUGGGAGUUAGCUAUAGAAAAAUUAGCUAAUGUGACUUCCGACCGUUUUGAUAGGAUUGAGGAAAUGAUAGAUGAAUUGGCUUCUCACUUUGGUAGAAUAAAAGAUCAAUUACAUGUAUUGUGUGAAGUUAUUUCCUCUAAUAAUGUGCAAAAUGAUCCUAGCAUGAAUGGUGGGAAUGUUGUAUGUGAAAAUGGGUUGCAUUUUAAUGAAAAUGAUGAAUCUCAAUUGUGUUUCAAUGAGCAAAUGUCCAUUUCACAUGAUAAUAUCUUUGGAACUAACUUUGAACCUCAAGAGGUGAGUUUUAAUGACUCAUUUUUCACCCCUCUUGAGGAGUGUAUAAAAAGUACAGGUUUUAAAGAUAUUCCUGCCCAAGAUACUUUCGUGGCAUUUCCUUUGGUAAGUUCUCAAGUGGUGCAUAUUCAAGGUAAUAUUUAUGAAACACUUGGAAUAUGUAAGUCACUUUCAUUUCUCACAUCAUUAGAUUAUGUGGCUUUCGCGAUAAAGCCACCUUUUAAUGAUCCACCACGGCCUAAAAUGGUGGAUUAUUCGUUAACUAACCCUCCUUGAAAAAUAAGGUGAAAUAGUCAAGCUAUUGACUUUAAAGAAGCGCUUAUUGGGAGGCAACCCAAUGUUUGUUUAAGUUUAUGUUAUUUUGGGGUGAUUUUAUGUUUAAAGUAUGUGUUUGAGUUAUUUUGUUAUUUUUCAUUUGUAGGUAUUGGAAAUGGAAGCAAAAGUGACCAAAUGAGGUGAAAAAGGCGAAAUUUGAUCGAGGAACUCAACCCCUCGAUUUGAGUAAUUGUUGUUUUUGAUCCGUUAAAAGGGGCUAAAAUGCAUGUUUUUAAUGUUUUACAUGUGUGCACAUUGAUAAAUUUUACAAACAAAUGAUUUAUGAUGCAUUUUGAGUGAUUGGGGAAUUAUUUGUAAAUUUUCAAAAGUUGAAUUUCUGCUAAAAUUCGCAGCAGAAAACGCAUUUCUCAAGAAAACGCGCCUCUGAGUCGCGUAUUCACAGAAUCGCGUUUUCAAUUCUGCACCUGCAGAACAGAAAACACGCCAUUAAAACGCGACAUUAAGUCGCGUUUUGUUGCCUGGAUCAAAGAUGAAAACGCGCCAUUGAAAACGCGACUUCAAGUCGCGUUUUCUCACAGAACCGCGUUUUCAGUACUGCAACUUUUGGGAAGAAACGCGCCUUCAAAACCGCGAGUUAAAGGCGCGUUUCUACUCACGUUUUCUGAGCAUUUUUUUUUUGAAAGAAAAAAUGCAGGUUCCUUGGUUCUCUUUUUCUUCUUUUCCUCAUAUAUUUUCUUGUACCUUGAGUUGCUUAUUAUGUAUUUUUUAUAGGUACAUCACCAAAACAAGGGCUUGAAGUUACGGAUAGCCGUUUUGAUGUCUUAAGCCUUUGUUAUCACUUUGGUUUCUCAUUUUCCAUUCUUAGGUUUAUAUUACUAAUGGUUAUCCAAUGGAACUCGUGAAGUGAUGAAGACCGGCGAACAACAUACCUUGAAGCUUCAUAUUCAAUCACAACAAUAGAGGAGUAUUAUUUUUCUUUAUCUUCAUUUUCCUUUUUACACAUUGAGGACAAUAUGCAUGUUAAGUGUGGGGGGAGAAUUGAGAUUAUAUAUAUUGUAUGUGAUUGACUUAUUAGUUGCAAAUAUUGGACUCGUGUUAAAAUUCAAAAUUUUUCUAACAUCUUGUCCAAAAUUGCAAAUUUGCCCCAAAAAUUUUAAAUUUUAAAUUUCAUCCAAAGGGAUAACAAAGUUCCAUACCAUUAGUAGUUCAAAUUCCUUCUACAUUUGAGAUAAAUAUAUAUGAUUUGGAAACUUCUUUUCUCAUUUAACUUGGAAAUGACUAUUAUGUGAUUAUAAUUUUGCAUUUGUAGGAAAAUAUAUCUUGUGAAGUGGAGAAAAUUAUGCCUAUUUUUUUGCAUAUUUAAUGAAAUUUCUUUUCUUUACUUGAUUUUAUAUAGUUAAGUGAUAAAUAUGAUCAAUAAGUGCAAUACUCUUCUCAUGAUUAUUUUUUUUAAAAUUAUUAUUCUCUUUGCUAUUAAAAAAAAAAAAAGAGAAAGAGAAAAAAAACAAAAGAGAAAAGAAAAUAAAUAAAAAUUGUUCUACUCCAAUGAUUCUCGUACCGAGUAACCGGGGGUUGGCAUCUACAAAUGUCAACAUUCGCGUAAAAAGGUACUUGAAUUAAGAGUAUGCAAAGCAACUUGAGUAUGUGAAGUGUUGAGUAACCGGUGAUUUUCAUCUAAAAAUGUUGAUCCUCGCGUAAAAAGAUACUUUCACAACUUAAGUAAUAUUUAGCUAUAUUAUAUAAAUAAAUCCCUCUUUAAGUUAAAUAAGAAGAUGAUCAUGGGUUUAGGAAGCAUAUUAUUGACCAUAUGAGUUACUUACUUGUAAGAUUGGGUAAGGAUGAAAAAUUGAUUUGAAUUUGUUAUAAUGACGGUAUAAUUGGCUUUCCUUUACUUGAUAUUAUGAGUACUUGAAUUUAAUUAAAUAAUUGCAUAAUGGUUAUUUACUUUGUUUUGAGGAAAUGAAGUUGAAAUGCUACAUAUGUUUAUUUUCAAAUUUUGGAUCAUUGUUGGUUUGUAUUUUUUUAUUGCUUGAGGACAAGCAAUGGUUCAAGUGUGGGGGUAUUUGAUAAGAGUUUAUUUUACGUAUUUUUAGUGUGUUUUAUUAGUUAAUUUUGGUUUGAUUAUUUAGUUUUAUAACUAAAAUAACUAAGGUUUUGGUAAAAAUCUACAUUUUAUGUUAAAGUGGCUAACAUUGCAUUUCUAUUGAUUUUUAUGGGAAAAACUUCAUAUUUUGUAGGUUUAAUGAUUCAAUCAUCAAAUGAAGUGCAUUGAGAAGAUAUUUGGAUGAUUGAUGAUGGAUUAAAGUGGUGAAAAUAAAAUAUGAAGUAUAAAAGGAAGAAAUGCAAUUUGAGGACAAAAAUCAAGAAAAGUCAGCUUUGACAACUCAGACACAUUUUCGUAUUUUGACUAUAUCAGGAGCUACAAUGAUCGGAUCAAGGUGAUCUUGGUACCAUUUUGAAGCUAAGAGAUAUAUCUACAUUUGGUAUGAAGACAUCAAAGUCCAAUUCAGCCGUUUUCUUGGUCAAAAGGUCGAAACACAGAAACUUAUCUGGAUGGUCGAAAGCUGAAGCCCAGAAUUGACCAGUCUAUGGUAUUUUGACCAUAUCUCAGUCCACCGAUCUCCAAAUUAGAUGAUUCUUGAAGCAUUGGAACUCUAAUUCAAAGGGCUACAACUUUUGUGUUUUGCACAAAAGCCAGUUCGGCCUUCAUCAUGGAGAAAAAUGCAGUUGAAGUGAGGUCAAAAGUAAAAACGUGUAUGGCAGCCGAAUUUCUGUAAUUUGCUCAGCCAUUUUUCUCAUCUUCACACUACUUUCCAGCUAGAGUUGGAGAGAAAACGUAGGCUGCACAUGCUUCAGAAGACAUAAGGAAGAGAUAUAGCCAAGGUUCCAAGUCAAAAGCCAUUAUUUUUGACUCCCUUAACAAAUCCAGAUUUGGAGAAUCAAAGUGGAGAGUCAUAGCAGAAAUUUAUGACUGGUAAGGGAAGGACUUUUCAUCAGCUUAUAUGUAGAGACAUUUGAGGUCUAUGAGGAGGGAGGAAUCAUACGGGGAGAAGCUUGAAGAGUGCAGAAAUGUAGUUCUUCCAUUUCCUUUGUGUAGGAUAGUUUAGCUAGUGUAGUUCAUCCAUUCUUGUAUAUUGCUAGACUAGGAUUAAGAUGGAGAUGAAAAAGGCAAGGUGAUGAGCUCAAGUGACAUGGGUUACAUUCCUUUCCAACUCUUUAUCUUUUGUACUUGAUUCCAAAUUUAGUUAAUAUGCAAGUUCUGGAAUUUAUGUCUAUUAUGUGUUUCUAAAGUUUAUGCCUUGGGUUUGGUUGAACUUUCUAUGAUUGUUAGUGUUUAUCAUUUGGCUAUUUAACUGCUAUGAUUUGAGCAAGUUAUUUAGCACUUUAGCUCUUUAAAUCAUGAUUAAUCUGGUACCAUUAAUUGUGAUUAUCUAAGGUGUUAUUUCUGCAAUGAAAAUUGAGAUUUAACAUUAGUUCAAUAAGUGCUAAACAUGGGGAGUACACUCACGAGAGUAGAGGUGCACCUAUGGGGUUUUGGUGAUUAAUUUCAUGUAAUUUCAUUGAAGAAAUGAACUUGUAGCUAAUUUCAUAACCAUGAGAAUAGGUAUGGAUUGGUUAUUAGUAUAAUUGAUUCACUACGAAAGUAGGAUUCAAAUGCAUAAGGAAAUUACACCAUAACUAGCCUAGAUGUAGUAUUCAAUGAUCCAAAUAUAGCACUUGCAUGAGUAGUUAGGGAUACCACAACCUAAGGAGCAUUUAUUUGUUAUUUUGUAUAAUUUCAGUAGGAUAAAUUUGUUAUAAUUCAUUGAUAGUUUAAAUAAUAGAGAAGCUUUAGUAAUACCGGUAAUUGUUCACUCUUCCCUGUGGGAUCGACCCGAUAUAUACCCUAAACUACUAGUUGAUCUGUAUACUUGCAGUGAACGGGUGUAAUUCGGUAUUUUUUAGCUUGCACGUAUGUAAAAUACCCGUCAAUAAUUAAAUAUGAAAUCAAAUGCAAAAGAGAAAGUAAUAGGAGAGAUGUCACCCUUGUCAUAUGACGGGUUUUUGAUAUGAGUACAAGUUUAAUUCCGAAAUAUGUCCAUUUUAACUGCAAGUAUACAGGUCAAAUUAGUAGUUUAGGGCAAAUAUCAGGUCAAUCCCACAGAGAGCAACUUUACAAGUUAGGUCCCUACUUACUUUAUUAUUUAGACUAAUGACCGAUUUAAACAAGAGAAAUUAUAAUUACUACUAUCUAACUAGUUUUAACUAGAUAUUUGCAAGGAAGCAAUAACUAGAUCUACUUUUGUUUUCUUCAUGAAAUGCAAGUUUAAUCUACUUAAGUGUACCUCUAUUCUCAUGACUCUACUACUCAAGCUCUAUUUAUAUUGUUCUAUCAUUAUUACCAACUUUCAUUGAAUAAUAAUAACUAAAAGCUUGCUAUUGGUGAUCAAGCAACAACAAGUGAUAAGCAUGCAUAAAUAGAAAAGUUAAUACAAGGUGUAACUAGUGUAAAUCAUAUUCACUUCAUAUCAAGUAGCCAUAAGUUUCAUCUACUCCCUAGAUCUAGAAAUUUAGCUACUCAUAUAAUAUGUAACAAGAAAGAGCAUAACUUCAUUGCAUGAACACAUAUUGAAUUACAAAUGAAAGAUAGAUAAAGAAAGCUUAUCCAAGAUCAAUGAAGAAGCUCCCAAUGAUCUUCUAUUUCUUCAACAAAAUGAGUUGUACGAUGAAGUCUCCAAUUGUUCUCACAAAAUUUCUAGCUAGAGAGAACAAAAAAAAACUAACCACUAAGCUCUCAUCCUCAAAUCUGAUGAGAACUACCUCUAAUAUGUCCUCUUCUCCCUCUCUAAUGAUUCUAACAACUCUAGUGUUUAGAGAGUCAAAAAGUGGUGUUUUGACAAGACAUCAAGCUCAUUUUUUUCUUCCAAAAGGUUCCUUGAACAUGUGCAGCUGAAAUUCUUGUCUGGAGUUGAGCUGGAAAGUUGUGUGAAAGCAAAGCAAGUGGCUGAGCAAAUUGCAGAAAUCAGGCUACAAUACGCGACUAUGUAAUAUGCGACUUCAACCCACGUAUUGCCAAGUCUUGUAUUAUUUUCUGUGAAUUUUGCGUCACUGAAACUGAGAUUUCCUUAAUGAUGUUGGCCAAAAUAGCUCUUGUGAAAAACAUGAAAGUUGUAGCCCUUUGUGUUAGAUUUCCAAUGAUUCAAGAAUCAUCCAAUUUGGAGCUCUGUGGACCGGGAUAUGACCAAAAUACCAUCAACUGGUCAGAGCUCUAUUUCAGCACUCGACCAUGCAUACACACUUUUGUAUUUCAACUUUUUGACAAGGAAGAAGACUGAACUGGAUUUUGAUGUCUUCAUACCAAAUGUAGAUCUAUCUAUUAGCUUCAAAAUGGUAUAAUAAUUACCGCAAUUUGAUGUUUGUAGCUCAAGAUAUUGCCAAAAUACCGCCAUGUAUCAAAACUAUCUUCACUUGCAUUUCUUCAUUUGAGUGUUUUGCACUUCAUGCCUUCUUAAAACCACUUCAAAUCAUCGAUAAUUAUUCAAUUCUCUUCUCAAUUCAUGCCAUUUGAUGUUUGAAUCAUUAAACCUAUAAAACAUGAAGUUUUCACCAUUAAAAUCUAUAGAAAUGCAAUCUUUACCACUUAAACCACAAAAUGCAUUUUUUUUUCACUAAAACCCUAGUUAUCUAGCUAUAAAACUAAAUAAAACACACCAAAACUAACUAAUAAAACACACUAAAAUCAAGUAAAAUAUACUCUUAUCAAACUCCCCCACACUUGAGCCAUUGCUUGUCCUCACGCAAUUAGAAAUACAAACCAACAAUGAUCCAAACUUUUGAAGAUAAACAUAUGUGCACAAUUCAACUUCAUUUCCUUAAAACAAAGUAAAUAACCAUUAUGCAAUCAUUUAUUAAUCCUCAAGUACUCAUAAUAUCUAGUAAAGGAAAGCUAAUUAUACCCUAAUUAUGCUAGUUCAACUCAAUUUCUCAUCCAUAUCCAAUUUCACAAGCAGGUAACUCAUAUGGUCAUUAAAAGUGCUAUCUGUGACGACCCCACUUUCUCCUAAGGUGAAUAAGAGGGUUGGCGGGCCGUCUGCCUAGCACUCGCCAGGACUCACGCAAGCAAGCUAGCAAAAAUCCUUUCGAAGUAUAACCUAAUCUAUUACAACAUCGUUUCCCUCCAAAUAAGCCGGUUUCUAGAAUCACAUUAACUUCAGAGAUAACAGUGCCUUAAGAUAGCCAACGUCGAUUCUUAAAAUACCUUCCCGAAUACAACCCAAGAAACAAAACAUCAAUUCAAAUACAUCCUUACAGGCCAAGUAACAAAUUCAUACAAGCCACAUACAAAUCCAGGGUUUACACUUUUCCAGCUUCAAGUGGCAACCUAAGGCAAAACUACAAUGUUUAACUCGAAUUACAUUCAUGAAAGUAAACAAUCUAGUACUACUUCCGAGCACCUUUGGUCUCAAAUCCUGUAAAAGAAAAUCACAACGUGGAAUGAGCUACACAGCCCAGUGAGGUUCCAAGACACUCUAACAGUUCAAACAAAUCAAGAAAGUUGUGCAUGUCAUAUGCAUGGUGCGAGGUUACACAAUGGCAGGUUAUCAUGAGGUGAUAAUCAUUACUCGGGUAAUUGCUACUUUGAAAACACAUGUAGUAGUAGUACUUUUGCUGGUAACUUUACUAUGGGUACAACUCAUAAAUUAUCUAAAAUCACUAACGUAUUUUUGGAAUGAAUGACCAUAUAAAUAUAUUUUCAUGAAUUUUUAGUCAAACAAAUAGUGGCUCGUCUGACUAGAAGAACAUUACAAGGAUUGCUUCAUCUCAGAGAUUAAUGCUCAUGAGGAGUCUUACCCGAGAAAUGUCAACUAGGAGAGCAAUAACAUUAUUAAUAGCAAAGCAAGCACAAAAGGAUACAGUACUCGGUCCACUUCCCGUCCUUAUAACUCCGAUCGGUAACUCUUUCGAUUGACUGGCCAUCACCUUAUCCCUCCAGUGGUAGUACUCGAGUAUACCGAAACGGUUGUCCAGGGUUCCAACCUACCCGACCGAGCCCAGUCCUGGCUCGAGUAGGUCAGUAACCGAGGCAAGGCCCAAGUUCAGCUUAUAGCUUACAACAUGCACAGGUAACCAAGUAAUUCGACAAAAAGUAAAAUUCAUCAUUUGAAUAGGUCGAGUGAGGUAAAGUACACACUCGCCUAACAAUGAUGGACAACUUCAUAUAACGUGUGAUUCAUGAUAAUCAAGUAAUCAAGUGGAUACUUAGCACGUAAGCACGUAAGCAAUACAAGUUGAUUUCAUGGGAGCAUGUAAUUCACGGAUAUCGAAUAAUCAUAUAGAUUAGAAAUCAUGUGAGCAAAUAGUCAGGUAAUCAGGUAGUCAUGUGGGUUGGUAAACGGUUCACGGUUAACGGUUAACGGUUGACGGUUGAGUAAUGACGGUUAUUUGGCAGGCAUUUGCCAUAUUAAUAGGCCAUCAUUGGCCGUUAUCCCAUUUUUACCAUGUGAGAGUCGAGGAGAUUCACUCCAACGACGUAUGCAACCAUAGCAUACCAAGUCAUGUUAUUCGAGCAUUUUCAAGCAUGGGUAUGGUAAAUAUUUAACACAUAGUACUUAACACUUAGAAAUCAUGAAAUGAGCAUGUCCUAGACUUAUUCCAUUACGCAUUCCUAUAUGGAACACUCACCUAGUCAAACAAGCACAAUAGGUCUCAAAGAAGCGUUUUAGGCGUCCGCUCCGAGUUCCUCUUGGAGAUCUCCUCGAUUGCCUGAGCAAACAAUAAUUCAAGUACUACUCAAUAUCGCUACGAAUUCUCUAGUUUUCGAUGAAGAUUGUACGCUAGUGCAAUCUAAGGAAUUAACGCGGAGACGAGCCUAGAAUUCGUGUAACUCGAGGUUCAAAAGUGGGGUUUUAAAACACAAGACAAAUUUGAUUUCCAUCUUUGGAUUCAAAUGUAAAACAAUCAAAUGAUAUUGAAAGAAAUGAAGAGUUCGAAACCCCUUUGUUUCCUUUAAGUUAGAAAAUUCCAGAUUUAACAAGUAAUCUUUGAAAAAUCAUAUCUUACUCUCUACAAGCCCAAAAUUGGAAAACUUGGUACUAUUGGAAACCUCUUUGAAAGUACUAAAAGUUCCUAGAAUACACUUUUCCAUGAUUCCAAAUGGAAGAUAGUCAAAAAUGGGCUCAAAGCUACUGUUUUGGUUCAUAAGGCAGAUUUAAGUUGGUUUUUGGCCAACUUUGGAAUUUCGGCAAAAUUCACUUGUUUGGAACUAGCUUUUGAAAUUUUUAACUCUAUUAGUGUUGUAAUCCAAGAGUAUAACAAAACAAAUGGAACGAGAAACGGGGUUUUGAGCACCAAGAUACGGUAGCUCAAAGUUACUAAAAUUCCCUUGUGAAACAUGGGUUUUUCAAACUCGAGUCAUGAACUUUGGUAAUUUAUUUGACCCAUGAAACGGCCUCAGAAUAACACCAUAAUUAGCAGUAUAAUACUACCAUAUAAGGGUUGUUCCUCUACCAAAUUUCAUGGAAAAAUAACUUCGGAAAGGUGGUCAAUCAAACACCUAAAAUUUCGCAAAUACUAAGACAAAACUGUCUUGAACCUUUUGUUUUUCCAUUUCAGACAUUUGGUCAAAGAAAGAUUCCUCCAAACCUGGUUCAUUUGUUUAGACAAAACUUAAAGAACGUUCAUGGUACAUUUGGUAAGUGUUUAGCAUCAAAAUAUUCAGUUAGCAAGUCUUUGCCAAACCUUGCAUCAAAUCUGUCUAAAAAAUCAGGGUUUUCAAGGGGAGAGCAGGUUUCAUAUUUUGAUCACAGAUCUCUCAAAUUAACUCGGAAUUUGGCAUGGUUUAAGGCGUUGGAAAACACAUUCAUAGAGCUAUAAUUUCACAGAAGAAAUCAUUCUGAAAUUCGGCACACAACUAGCUCGAAUUCGAGUCACAAGUUGCAGCCUCAGCAUUUUGUUCUUUUAAAACAGAGAAACAUAACAACCGACUUAAAAUAGUUGGUUUGGCUCACAUUCAUGGAACCAGAAUGUGUAUUUUAUAUCGUCGGAAAGGUUGGAAUGUCUAGUUUCAAAUGCCGCUGACGGCACCGCUGACGGCACUCGAUUUCAACCUCGGAGUUCAAAAUUAUGGCCGAAAUACGAAAGCUGGUCAGAGCAUUUCGGAAAUAGUUCCAGAUUUACUAGCUUUGUUAAAUCGAUUUAUUUGACGAACCAAACCUCAAUAUUUUUCAAUGAAACUUUGUACACCAUAUAUUCAACAUAUCAACAUGAUAUACAAGUCAUGAAACCCUCAAAAUUUUGCAAAAAGGGUUGCGAUUAAAACAGGGCAAAUCUGAACAUUUUUGAACUAUGCAUCUCUUGGAGUCUAGACUAGCUAGGUAUCAUUAAUCUACCUAUUUAAACACUAAACUAGCAUUAUAUCCAUCAUCAAUCCAAGGGUGGGAGUUCAUAGAGCCCACCAUCAAAAUUUUCCGACAUGAAACAAAACAAAUAGCAUGUGAUUUUGGCAAAUAAUUCCACCACAAUAAAUCUGUCCUUGGCUAAACAGAAUUUCCAGCAGCUAAUUGGUCAUAAUCCAACUUUUUACUCGGCUAAAACAUGAUAUUAAGUACUCAAUUUUGGCAUGCAAUUUCUUAACUAGCCAAUUAACAUUUCCAGUUCAAAAUUAGAUUCAAACAACAGUUUUACUCAUCUAAAACAAAUCCAGAAAUUCUGUUUAGCUUGGCCUCAGUCGAACAUACGUGUAGCAGAUUUCUAAUUCAUUUUAUUUCUCUGAUUUAAACCCAUUAAUUAGCUACAUGCAAAGAUCAAUUAUCAUGUUAUUAACUAGUUAAUCAUGGUUACAAACUCAAAACAACAAAAUUGAAUCAAAUGAAGCUGUAAAAUACAGGACAAGCUCUCGGCUGCAGCAAUUCAUAACAACAGAAUUUCUUAUUUUUCUUGAUUCAUCAUCCGGCUGCAUAGAGUUAACAUGCAUGGUCUUAAUCUUCAAGUUUUCACUCAGCUAAUGACACUUAGGUGUUCAGAUUGCCACGGAAAACAAAAAUGGAGCUGCAUUAUCACCUCAGUUUCUCGGCAGCAACAUUUCAUCAAAACAGAAUUUUUCUGGUGUCUUGGUUUCAUCAACCGACUUCACAAGCAACACAUGCAGCUCUGAUAUGGCUUCAUCUACUAAAAGUUAACUUAAUAUAGCCCAGAAAUUACCUCAGAAACAACUUAGCUCACGCACAAGAAAUCUGAAAAGAAAAAUUCUGUUCUCCCUCUCGACUCUCGGCUCGCUUGUGGCUGCAGGUUGGUUGCUGCUGUGAUGGUGUUGGGUUCUGAGGUUGUUUUGUAGUUGGUUGAGGUUGCAGCAAGGGAUGAAGCUCACGUAGCCUCCCUCAUUUCUCCUCUUUAGUUUACGGACAGAACGGACAAGUUGCAGCUCGCGCGAUUUCCUUUCUUUUCUUUCUUUUCCUCUCGGCUUGCAGAGUGCAGCCCGGCCUCUCACUCUCUCUCAGUCAAUAUUCACGAGGUGGAGGCUGGAGAGGAAAUGUUUGUGGUUGUGGUCUGGAUGAGUUUGUGCAGAGAAAAUGGGAAUGGUGGUUUGUGAUAUAGGAAUGAGGUAGAAAUGUGGUGCCGCGGUUUUGGAGAAGGAAGAAAGAAUGGUUUACGGUUUUGGAGUGUAUGAAAUGGUUGCAUAUAGAAUUGGUGAAAAUGUGAUUGGUCGAUUGGGGCGGUGAUUGAAAUGCUAUCAGAGGGAUUGUUUGGUUUUGCAUGGAAACGUUGGGGUUGUAAGGGCAUUUUAGUCUUUUCACUCUGCUUCCUAACCUCUACUUAAAUUCUCCAUUCUAACUUAGCUCCAAAAAUUAUCCCCAAGUGUGAUUUGAACGCCUAAUUAUACACUAGUAUACUUAAACCAUUUUUAUCGAAUAUUUAUCGAUCACAAUUUAAUAUUAAGGUUCCUAGUAAUUCCUAACAUUAUUACCUAAAUAUUUAAACUACAAAAAUCAAGUUUGACCUUAAUAUAUAAAUUUAACAUUCUUAAUAUUCGUUUAUCCUUUUAUAUCAAAACUUAUUAACUUAAUCAUUAUUAACGCUUAAGAUUAGCUAUCGGAAUUCAAAGAAAUUUAAUUGUUAAAUCAAUGAAAUAAUUUACCUUCGAAAUAUGAAUUUAAUGUAACAAAACUAGGAAAUUUAACCACUUAUUCGUUAUAUGUAAUUUCUUGAAUCGAUUAUUUACUCCAAUCGCGUAUUUACUAUUUUCACUUAACGAACUUACAGAAAUGAAAUUUCGAAACGAAUUGCUUUAAAAAUAUAACUAAACUAUGGAUACGUUUAAUUAAACCGAAAAAGCUUAGAAAAUAAUACUCAGAGAAAUCGGGUGAGUAAAUACUUAUUUUAGCCAGUAAAAUAAAUAAAAUAAACAAAAUUUUCGGGUCCUCACAACCUACCCUCCUUAAAGAGAAUUUCGUCCUCGAAAUUCAUACCUUCUGAAAUCUUGGAUAACCCUGAACCAUGUGGUGUGAUCAUGUCAUAUGUUCGUUCAGACGCCACUGGUCGGUUCCUCCUUCCAUUGACUUGUCGAGGGACAGUUCCAUUUCCCUGUUGAGCAGUGGUUUCUCGUAGAUACCUCCUUAGACAGUCAUGAACUUUAUGGCUAGUACUCCCACAUCCCAUACACUUUCGUCCCUUUAGCCAACAGUUUUCUUCAAUGUGAUUCGUCCUUCCACAAUAUCCACAAAUUGGAUGAGGUGUUGUGACCUGACUUGUUUGCGAGGUUUUCUUUGAUCGUGUCUGUCCUACUGAAGUCUCUCGCGACAUAAUUCCUUUUGGUUCCUUUAUCCUGAGUGGUGCAGGAAGUAACAGUCCUACCCCAUCCACUUCUUUUCUAACUUUGGGUAGUGGUCCAUUUUCUCCUAGUGUACUGUCAGAUGCGUCUCUUUUCCUUGCUUGAAAAGCUCUCAGUUGAGAUUUUGUGAUUUCUACCCUUUGCGCUUUUUCGAGAGCGUCACUAAAUGUUUCAACCUGUGCUGCGGCAAGGGCAUCUUGGAUUUCUAAAUCUAAUCCUUGGAUAAACCGUCUUAUUCUCUUCCUUUCAGUAGCCACCAAUUCUGGAGCAUAUGUAGAUAACUUCGUAAAGCGUGUUUUAUACUCAGAUACAAUUAAAGUUCCUUGACGAAGCUUUAUGAAAUCAUCUUCUCUCUUUUCUUGGACUAGUGGUGGAAGAAAUUUUCCAUUAAAUUCUAGGACAAAGUUCAUCCAAGUUUUCGGAGUUUGUUCCCUUUCCCACUUAUUUCUUAUAACAUUUCACCGUGCUCGAGCCGGCCCUUCAAGUUGGAACACAGCAAAAUUUACUUCUCUCUCCUCGGAAUAAUCUAGUGCAUCAAAUAUAUUUCUUAUAUUUUCUAAUCAAUUCUCAGCCACCUCUGGAUCAGGUCCUCCAGCAAACUUAGGCGGGAAGAAUUUCUGAAACCGCUCUAAAGCUCGAUCCUCCCCUAUUUCUUGGUUUCCCUGUCCAACACCUUGACCUUGUUGAGCUACUAAGAGCUCUAGUAUAUCCGUCAUGCGGUUUAGAACUUGUCCCAUUUGGUCAUUUCCUCUCCCAGCACUGGGCUCGGCAUUUUGGUCAAUAUCAGAUCCAUUAUCUACUCUUUCAUUUCGGGGUUGUCUAGAUUGACGUCCCUUUCGUCGUCUCCCAGCUUCCAUUCUCACAACUAAUCUAUACAAAUAUGUGCAAAUGGCUCACUAAACUAAAAAUUAUCUAUGCACACGUAUAUUUAACAAUUUUCAAAAUGAGCAAUAAAACUAUAUCCACAGAUGACAUUUUCACAAAUAGCACAUUAACAGUUAACAUAGAAUUUAAACUAGUCUCAAUUAGGUUGCAUACCAUUACAAAAUUAGAGCUAAUCAAGUCAUAAUACAAGUUGAAAUCAAAGGUCAUUUAUCCAAAGUUUAAAAAUCUUUAGCAAGCCAGCCAAUAACUAAAGUGCAUUCAUCUCCAAGAAUAACCAACCUUGGAAUUUCUAGUUAAAGCCUCAAGUACCAUUUUCAAACUCAGGGAAUAUGUACAACUGGCUCACUUAAGCGUCAAGUGGGAACCAAGUCAAUUCGCACUAGGACUGGCCAUCUCCAGAUGCAAAUCAACUCAAUCGCCACCAUUCCUCAAAGAAAAUUUCACAAAAUGUCUCAAUCAAGCAAUCGAUCUAAGAUUCACAUUCAAUUUCAUACAUAUACUUACGAAGAUUACAAGCCUAGAGGAUACCUCGAAUCUUACAAUUUACCCAGUCAAAUUCGAUCUUAUAGAUAUCAGCUAGUACCAAUAUUCAAGAAACUCAACUAUUACUUUUCAAAUCAAUUCUCACACAAUUCUCUUCAGUUUCUUACAAUAUAAGAAACCCUAGUGUGUAAACCCACUUAAAAACAAACACUUCAAUAUUACUCAAUCAAUCAUCAAGUAUUAAGAUCACAUUCCACUUACUAAACAAUCAAACUCCACAGUCCGGCAUCUUAUGCUUAAAGCCUAAGAUACACUACAAAGAUCUAGAGUCUAAGCUCUGAUACCACCUGUGACAGUUCUCAGGGUCACAUCACGGGGUACCUAUCAGCUUGCCAUCCGCACGCGGGCAUCCCCUACGGAGAGUUUCGCUUCGUGACUCUUCACGAACGAAAGGCUCGGGGCUUUUCCAGACGAAGGACUUAAAGUCCCAACUGUCGGCAUAUGGCUCUGAUACCACCUGUGACGAUCCCACUUUCCCCUAAGGCGAACCAGAGGGUUGGCGGGUCGUCUGCCUAGCUCUCGCCAGGACUCACGCAAGCAAGCUAGCAAAAAUCCUUCCGAAGUAUAACCUAAUCUAUUACAACAUCGUUUCCCUCCAAAUAAGCCGGUUUCUAGAAUCACAUUAACUUCAGAGAUAACAGUGCCUUAAGAUAGCCAACGUCGAUUCUUAAAAUACCUUCCCGAAUACAACCCAAGAAACAAAACAUCAAUUCAAAUACAUCCUUACAAGCCAAGUAACAAAUUCAUACAAGCCACAUACAAAUCCAGGGUUUACACUUUUCCAGCUUCAAGUGGCAACCUAAGGCAAAACUACAAUGUUUAACUAGAAUUACAUUCAUGAAAAUAAACAAUCUAGUACUACUUUCGAGCACCUUUGGUCUCAAAUCCUGUAAAAGAAAAUCACAACGUGGAAUGAGCUACACAGCCCAGUGAGGUUCCAAGACACUCUAACAGUUCAAACAAAUCAAGAAAGUUGUGCAUGUCAUAUGCAUGGUGCGAGGUUACACAAUGGCAGGUUAUCAUGAGAUGAUAAUCAUUACUCGGGUAAUUGCUACUUUGAAAACACAUGUAGUAGUAGUACUUUUGCUGGUAACUUUACUAUGGGUACAACUCAUAAAUUAUCUAAAAUCACUAAUGUAUUUUUGGAAUGAAUGACCAUAUAAAUAUAUUUUCAUGAAUUUUUAGUCAAACAAAUAGUGGCUCGUCUGACUAGAAGAACAUUACAAGGAUUGCUUCAUCUCAGAGAUUAAUGCUCAUGAGGAGUCUUACCCGAGAAAUGUCAACUAGGAGAGCAAUAACAUUAUUAAUAGCAAAGCAAGCACAAAAGGAUACAGUACUCGGUCCACUUCCCGUCCUUAUAACUCCGAUCGGUAACUCUUUCGAUUGACUGGCCAUCACCUUAUCCCUCCAGUGGUAGUACUCGAGUAUACCGAAACGGUUGUCCAGGGUUCCAACCUACCCGACCGAGCCCAGUCCUGGCUCGAGUAGGUCAGUAACCGAGGCAAGGCCCAAGUUCAGCUUAUAGCUUACAACAUGCACAGGUAACCAAGUAAUUCGACAAAAAGUAAAAUUCAUCAUUUGAAUAGGUCGAGUGAGGUAAAGUACACACGCGCCUAACAAUGAUGGACAACUUCAUAUAACGUGUGAUUCAUGAUAAUCAAGUAAUCAAGUGGAUACUUAGCACGUAAGCACGUAAGCAAUACAAGUUGAUUUCAUGGGAGCAUGUAAUUCACGGAUAUCGAAUAAUCAUAUAGAUUAGAAAUCAUGUGAGCAAAUAGUCAGGUAAUCAGGUAGUCAUGUGGGUUGGUAAACGGUUCACAGUUAACGGUUAACGGUUGACGGUUGAGUAAUGACGGUUAUUUGGCAGGCAUUUGCCAUAUUAAUAGGCCAUCAUUGGCCGUUAUCCCAUUUUUACCAUGUGAGAGUCGAGGAGAUUCACUCCAACGACGUAUGCAACCAUAGCAUACCAAGUCAUGUUAUUCGAGCAUUUUCAAGCAUGGGUAUGGUAAAUAUUUAACACAUAGUACUUAACACUUAGAAAUCAUGAAAUGAGCAUGUCCUAGACUUAUUCCAUUACGCAUUCCUAUAUGGAACACUCACCUAGUCAAACAAGCGCAAUAGGUCUCAAACAAGCGUUUUAGGCGUCCGCUCCGAGUUCCUCUUGGAGAUCUCCUCGAUUGCCUGAGCAAACAAUAAUUCAAGUACUACUCAAUAUCGCUACGAAUUCUCUAGUUUUCGAUGAAGAUUGUACGCUAGUGCAAUCUAAGGAAUUAACGCGGAGACGAGCCUAAAAUUCGUGUAACUCGAGCUUCAAAAGUGGGGUUUUAAAACACAAGACAAAUUUGAUUUCCAUCUUUGGAUUCAAAUGUAAAACAAUCAAAUGAUAUUGAAAGAAAUGAAGAGUUCGAAACCCCUUUGUUUCCUUUAAGUUAGAAAAUUCCAGAUUUAACAAGUAAUCUUUGAAAAAUCAUAUCUUACUCUCUACAAGCCCAAAAUUGGAAAACUUGGUACUAUUGGAAAACUCUUUGAAAGUACUAAAAGUUCCUAGAAUACACUUUUCCAUGAUUCUAAAUGGAAGAUAGUAAAAAAUGGGCUCAAAGUUACUAUUUUGGUUCAUGAGGCAGAUUUAAGUUGGUUUUUGGCCAACUUUGGAAUUUCGGCAAAAUUCACUUGUUUGGAACUAGCUUUUGAAAUUUUGAACUCUAUUAGUGUUGUAAUCCAAGAGUAUAACAAAACAAACGGAAUGAGAAACGGGAUUUUGAGCACCAAGAUACGGUAGCUCAAAUUUACUAAAAUUCCCUUGUGAAACAUGGGUUUUUCAAUCUCGAGUCAUGAACUUUGGUAAUUUAUUUGACCCAUGAAACGGCCUCAGAAUAAUACCAUAAUUAGCAGUAUAAUACUACCAUAUAAGGGUUGUUCCUCUACCAAAUUUCAUGGAAAAAUAACUUCGGAAAGGUGGUCAAUCAAACACCUAAAAUUUCGCAAAUACUAAGACAAAACUGCCUUGAACCUUUUGUUUUUCCAUUUCAGACAUUUGGUCAAAGAAAGAUUCCUCCAAACCUGGUUCAUUUGUUUAGGUAAAACUUAAAGAACGUUCAUGGUACAUUUGGUAAGUGUUUAGCAUCAAAAUAUUCAGUUAGCAAGUCUUUGCCAAACCUUGCAUCAAAUCUGUCUAAAAAAUCAGGGUUUUCAAGGGCAGAGCAGGUUUCAUAUUUUGAUCACAGAUCUCUCAAAUUAACUCAUAAUUUGGCAUGGUUUAAGGCGUUGGAAAACACAUUCAUAGAGCUAUAAUUUCACAGAAGAAAUCAUUCUGAAAUUCGGCACACAACUAGCUCGAAUUUGAGUCACAAAUUGCAGCCUCAGCAUUUUGUUCUUGUAAAACAGAGAAACAGAACAGCCGACUUAAAAUAGUUGGUUUGGCUCACAUUCAUGGACCGAGAAUGUGAAUUUUAUAUCGUCGGAAAGGUUGGAAUGUCUAGUUUCAAAUGCCGCUGACGGCACUCGAUUUCAACAUCGGAGUUCAAAAUUAUGGCCGAAAUACGAAAGCUGGUCAGAGCAUUUCGAAAAUAGUUCCAGAUUUACUAGCUUUGUUACAUUGAUUUAUUUGACCAACCAAACCUCAAUAUUUUUCAAUCAAACUUUGUACGCCAUAUAUUCAACAUAUCAACAUGAUAUACAAGUCAUGAAACCCUCGAAAUUUUGCAAAAAGGGUUGCGAUUAAAACAGGGCAAAUCUGAACAUUUUUGAACUAUGCAUCUCUUGGAGUCUAGACUAGCUAGGUAUCAUUAAUCUACCUAUUUAAACACUAAACUAGCAUUAUAUCCAUCAUCAAUCCAAGGGUGGGAGUUCAUAGAGCCUACCAUCAAAAUUUUCCGACAUGAAACAAAACAAAUAGCAUGUGAUUUUGGCAAAUAAUUCCACCACAAUAAAUCUGUCCUUGGCUAAACAGAAUUUCCAGCAGCUAAUUGGUCAUAAUCCAACUUUUUACUCGGCUAAAACAUGAUAUUAAGUACUCAAUUUUGGCAUGCAAUUUCUUAACUAGCCAAUUAACAUUUCCAGUUCAAAAUUAGAUUCAAACAACAGUUUUACUCAUCUAAAACAAAUCCAGAAAUUCUGUUUAGCUUGGCCUCAGUCGAACAUACGUGUAGCAGAUUUCUAAUUCAUUUUAUUUCUCUGAUUUAAACCCAUUAAUUAGCUACAUGCAAAGAUCAAUUAUCAUGUUAUUAACUAGUUAAUCAUGGUUACAAACUCAAAACAACAAAAUUGAAUCAAAUGAAGCUGUAAAAUACAGGACAAGCUCUCGGCUGCAGCAAUUCAUAACAACAGAAUUUCUUAUGUUUCUUGAUUCAUCAUCCGGCUGCAUAGAGUUAACAUGCAUGGUCUUAAUCUUCAAGUUUUCACUCAGCUAAUGACACUUAGGUGUUCAGAUUGCCACGGAAAACAAAAAUGGAGCUGCAUUAUCACCUCAGUUUCUCGGCAGCAACAUUUCAUCAAAACAGAAUUUUUCUGGUGUCCUGGUUUCAUCAACCGACUUCACAAGCAACACAUGCAGCUCUGAUAUGGCUUCAUCUACUAAAAGUUAACUUAAUAUAGCCCAGAAAUUACCUCAGAAACAACUUAGCUCACGCACAAGAAAUCUGAAAAGAAAAAUUAUGUUCUCCCUCUCGGCUCUCGGCUCGCUUGUGGCUGCAGGUUGGUUGCUGCUGUGAUGGUGUUGGGUUCUGAGGUUGUUUUGUAGUUGGUUGAGGUUGCAGCAAGGGAUGAAGCUCACGUAGCCUCCCUCCUUUCUCCUCUUUAGUUUACGGACAGAACGGACAGGUUGCAGCUCGCGCGAUUUCCUUUCGUUUCUUUCCUUUCCUCUCGGCUUGCAGAGUGCAGCCCGGCCUCUCACUCUCUCUCAGUCAAUAUUCACGAGGUGGAGGCUGGAGAGGAAAUGUUUGUGGUUGUGGUCUGGAUGAGUUUGUGCAGAGAAAAUGGGAAUGGUGGUUUGUGAUAUAGGAAUGAGGUAGAAAUAUGGUGCCGCGGUUUUGGAGAAGGAAGAAAGAAUGGUUUACGGUUUUGGAGUGUAUGAAAUGGUUGCGUAUAGAAUUGGUGAAAAUGUGAUUGGUCGAUUGGGGCGGUGAUUGAAAUGCUAUCAGAGGGAUUGUUUGGUUUUGCAUGGAAACGUUGGGGUUGUAAGGGCAUUUUAGUCUUUUCACUCUGCUUCCUAACCUCUACUUAAAUUCUCCAUUCUAACUUAGCUCCAUAAAUUAUCCCAAGUGUGAUUUGAACGCCUAAUUAUACACUAGUAUACUUAAACCAUUUUUAUCGAAUAUUUAUCGAUCACAAUUUAAUAUUAAGGUUCCUAGUAAUUCCUAACAUUAUUACCUAAAUAUUUAAACUAUAAAAAUCAAGUUUGACCUUAAUAUAUAAAUUUAACAUUCUUAAUAUUCGUUUAUCCUUUUAUAUCAAAACUUAUUAACUUAAUCAUUAUUAACGCUUAAGAUUAGCUAUCGGAAUUCAAAGAAAUUUAAUUGUUAAAUCAAUGAAAUAAUUUACCUUCGAAAUAUGAAUUUAAUGUAACAAAACUAGGAAAUUUAACCAUUUAUUCGUUAUAUGUAAUUUCUUGAAUCGAUUAUUUACUCCAAUAGCGUAUUUACUAUUUUCACUUAACGAGCUUACAGAAAUUAAAUUUCGAAACGAAUUGCUUUAAAAAUAUAACUAAACUAUGGAUACGUUUAAUUAAACCUAAAAAGCUUAGAAAAUAAUAAUCAGAGAAAUUGGGUGAGUAAAUACUUAUUUUAGCCAGUAAAAUAAAUAAAAUAAGCAAAAUUUUCGGGUCCUUACACUAUCUAAACCCAUGAUCAUCUUCUUAUUUAACUUAAAGAGGGAUUCAUUCAUAUCACAUAUAGCUAAAUAUUACUCAAGUUGUGAAAGUGUCUUUUGACGCGAAGAUCGACAUUUUUAGAUGAAGAUCUCAGGUUACUCAAUAUUUCACAUACUCAAGUUGCUUUGCAUACUCUUAAUUCGAGCACCGUUUUGCGCGAAAGUUGACAUUUGUAAAUGAAGACUCCCGGUUACUAAGUACAAGAACCAUUGGAGUAGAAUAACUCUUAUUCAUUUUUUUCCUUUUUUUCUUUUUUUUCUUUUUUUUUCUUUUUUUUUGUUUAAAGUAAAGAUAAUAUUUAGUCCCUCAAAAGAAUAAUGAUAAGAAGAGUAUUACACUUAUUGACCAUAUUUAUCACUCAACUUAUAAAAUCAAGUAAAGAGAAGAAAUUUCACUAAACUUGCAAAAUGUUGGCAUAAUUUUCUCUACUUUACAAGAUAUACUUUCUUAUAAAUGUACAAAUUAUCAUCAUAUAAUAGUCAUUUCCAAGUUAAUAAGAAAAGAUGUUUUCAAGCCACAUACAUUAAGCUCAAAAGUAGAAGGAAUUUGAAUUACUAAUGCUGUGAAACUUGUUAGCCCUUGGAUAAAAUUGAAAAAAAUUUGAAACUUUUUGGGGCAAAUUUGCAAAUUUGGACAAGAUUUUGAAAAAAUUUUGACUGAGUUUCCCCUUAAAUUUGGACGAAACUCCCUGCCAGCAACCUAAGAUUAACAACAAUUAAGUGUAAUCAAAUUCCAAACAUCAAGUCCAUGCAAUAAACACAAAAAUACUAUCAAGUACCAUACAUUUCCUCCCCCACACUUAAAAUACACAUUGUCCUCAAUGUGUAGGGAAAGAAAAAUAACAAAAGAUAGAAAGAAAUACUUCCCAGUGCAAUGGCUAAGAUCCAGAUCAACCAUGAAUCACGAACCUUCGCCAAAACACAAAUAUCUACUAAGACUGUCCAAAAGGUGAAAUUGAAAACAGAAAAGGGUCAAGUUAAACAUACUACAAACAAAAGAUUAAACACGACAAACAAAUCUGGAAGCAACAAAAAUAGCCAUGCUAAAGGUGCAGCUUCAAUCAUUAUCUUCAUCUUCAUCGCUGUCAUGAGGUGAAGGAAUGCCUAAAUGAUACUUGAUCCUCUCCAAGCGAGUAUCCAUUCAUCCCAAUUGAUACUCGAUGUCAUCCAAGUGAGUAAAGAGCCACUGCCAAUUCGAUUGCGGUGGUGGAGGAGAAGAUGCAGUAGUAGAAGAUCCGACUCCCUCUUGGCCAUGUCGUGCCUUUUGUCGCCUUUCACGAGCAGGUUGAGGAAUGUUAUCCGUACCAAUACCCAAACAAUUGAUACCCAAACGAUAACUCGGUUCUAGGCUUAACAAAAUCCCGAGUUACACCCUGCAAGUUAACAUAGAAAUGCUCGAAUACCAAAGAGAGCAGACGAGGAAAUGCCAAUUUGAACGAAGUAGUCCGCCGCCUCUCCCUAGAGCUUAUGUGGUUAAUGAAAAUGUUUGGAAAUGGAAUUCAAGCGUAGGAGGACUCCCGAUUAUGAAACAUAUGAUCCAAAAAAUAGAUAUCACUUUUUCGGACCUCCGUAAGACCCGUCUUCUUGGGUAUGACGUUGUGUGCCAUCAUAUAGAUAAUGAGACGAUGACAAUGUUCAAAGAUGCUUGCCAUCAUUGUCUCCUUCCAUGAAGACCUAAAAGGUUGGUACUCAAAACCAACCCUAGUUAUGGCGUGCGAUGGAUCCCACUGCCUAUUUAGUGCGACAAAACCCUUCUUUAGGUUGACUGCCCGACCUUGGUUGGUACAACCCAAAAUGGUAGCUAAAUGCUCCCGUGACAAAACAAUACGGGUCCCACGCACCCAUGACUCCACCAUCUCGCCACUGUGACGUGCUUUGGAAUCAAUGUUGGCGUAGAACUCACGCACAAAGUCAGGGUAGUAGUGAGUCGGCAAUGUGAGAAUCGGCGCCCAACCUAGUUGGUUAAACGCUUCCGAGAUGUGAUAAACCACUUCAAUUUUUGGACUCACAUGCAUCUCAAAAAGAAACUCCAAAUUAGCGUGCGUCUCGUGCCACUCUUGAUGUCUAAGAUUGAUGAACUUGGCACUAUUAAAGAUGGCAGUUUUGGCACUACGAGAAGUGCCCUCCCCUUGUCGUCGCUGCACCGAUUGAGGUGAAGGUGACCUCUCUUCUUGACUUUCUUCAAUAUCCUCACUCACCUCCAUUUCAUCGCUAGUAAAGGAUGAAUAGACAACUUGCUUUCCUCUUGCCAUAGUACCUAAGAAAAAUGACUCAAUUCCAUAUGUACUAAGACAUAUUUCAUAACUUGGACAAUAAGUAACCUCAAUUGGCUCAAAUAACCACAAAUACAUGCCUCCAUGUCAUAAGAAAUCAAAUAAACAUACUUAAAUGACUACUAUUAUGACAUAUGAGAAAUGACAUAGUCAAAAUGCCAAAAAUUGCCAAAAUCACCAAUUUAUCAAAAUCGGCAACAAAUAUAUCCAAAUCAGUGAAAUUAGCACUAAUCAUGAUUAUGGCAGUCGAACUUUAGUAACAAUAAUGGACAUUUAGCUAUAAACAUGGUUAAGCAAAAGUUAUCCUAAUAACUCACAAAAUUCAUCAAAAUUACUCACUAUACACAAUGUACAUACCAAACCAUCAUCACUCAACCCUUUGCAUCCAUAAUCUGUAAACACAAAUGGCUCAACAACAUUCCAAGCUAACUUUCCAAUUUUAGCCAAAUAUAGCAAUUUAAAAUUUUAAAGAACUAUUAAUCCAUCAAAUUGCUACAUUUGAACAUGUAAACAUGCUUAAACAACCUUAAUAUGCAUAAUGGAAGUCAAAAACAUCAAUAGAAAUCAUCAAAAAUUUGAAAUUAAAAAAUGUUAGAAAGUUCAAAAAAUUGAAAACUAUCAACUUUUAAAAUAUGAAGAUUUGAUGAAGAAACUUACUUGAAUCACGUAGAAGGAGGUUUGGUGAUGCUAAUGAUGCAAAAAUCCCUAUGAAACACCCUCCGAUUGACCCUCAAUUGCUUGGAAAAAUGUUGAGAAACCCUAGCCUUCAAUCUCCUUACAACUGAUUUUAAGUUAUUUAUGUUGGAUUUUAAUCGGUUAAAAAGAUGUUAUGAAGGCUAGAUGAUGAUGGGUAGAUGUUUUCUAGCAAGAAAAUGUAGUAAAAAUGGAAUUUUGUGAAGGUGUGAGUAUGGAGAGAAGAGAAAACACGGCUAGAGAAGAUGAAGGAAGAAGAAUGAAACUAAAAAGGGAAAGUCGUGUUUACUGGUUUUGUACAAAGGAAGAAAAACGCGGCUUCACAAAACACACCUUCAACUCGCGUUUUGCUUAAGUCGCGUUUUCUAGUGAAAUUUUACACGCGACUUCAAGAAAACGUGGUUUAAUGUUACGUUUCCUAAUUGCGUAUUCUUCUUUAUCUUUGCGGAACUGAAAAUGUGCCUUCUUGAACGCCACUUAAAGUAGCGUAUUCAUGUCGCGUUUUAUACAGAAAUAAAAACGCAAUUGUAAGUCGCAUUUUACUACAAUGUGUGUUUUCUUCUACGAAAUUUGCAAAAAUGCUAACUUAAAAAAAUUACACAUAGUAUCCCAAUUGCUCAAAAUGCAUUCUAAAUUAUUUUUUUGCCAAAUUUAUCAUCGCAUACACAUGUAAAAUGAUCAAAACAUGCAUUUUAUCCCUUUUAACGGAUCAAAUACAUCCUUAACGCAAGUCGAGGGGUUGAGUUCCUUGAUCAAACUUCGCCUUUUCCACCUCAAAUGGUCAUCUUUGCUUCUGUUUGCCGAACCUAUAACACAAAAAUAACAAACUAACUUAAUUGCAUGCAUUAAAUAUAAAAUCAUACCAAAUUAACAUAAAUAACUUAAACAUUAGGCUGCCUCCCAACUAGCGCUUUUGUUUAUAGUCGUUGGAUCGACUUAAAAGGUUUGGGUUAUUAAGUUGAAGAAGAGUCACCCAAAGGACAUAUGAGUCCUUUGGGAAUGAUUUCCCCCCGCCCAGUAGAGUUUUAAUCGUUGUUCGUUGAUCUUGAAUCGUUCGUUUCUUGCAUUAACCACUUCAACGGCCCCAUAUGGAAACACUUGAGUAAUUUCAAAUGGUCCAGACCACCUUGAUUUGAGUUUUCCAAGAAACAACCUAAGGCGCGAAUUGUAUAAGAGAACCAUUUUCCCCAUCUCAAAUUGUUUGGGUAUAAGAUGAUUAUCAUGCCAAUAUUUCACUUUAUCUUUAUAGAUCUUGGCAUUCUCAUAAGCAUGUAGCCGAUGUUCCUCGAGUUUGCUCAACUCAAGUAGUCUCCUCCCACAUACAAGACGAAAAUCCAUUGUAAUUGAUUUGAUAGCUUAAUAUGCCUUAUGUUCAAUUUUUACUGGUAAAUGACAAGUUUUUCCAUAUACUAAUUGAUACGGUGACAUCCCCAAAGGUGUCUUAAAUGCCGUUCAAUACGCUCACAAUGCAUCGUCGAGUCUUCUUACCCAAUCUUUUCUCGAGUUGUUCACCGUUUUCUCCAAGAUGAGCUUGAUCUCUCGAUUGGCCAACUCCGCUUGUCCAUUCGCUUGUGGAUGAUAUGGUAGUGAUGUCUUAUGCCUACAACCAUAUUUAAGCAACAAAGAAUCAAGUUGUUUGUUAUAAAAGUGUUUUCCUUCAUCACUUACUAUGGUCCUAGGAAUACCAAAUCUACUAAAAAUGUUCUUUUUGAGAAACCAAAAUACUAUCUUAGUAUCAUUCGUAGGUGAGGCAAUUGCCUCCACCCAUUUAGAAACAUAGUCCACUUGUGACGGCCCCAUUCUCCCUAAGGCGAACCAGAGGGUUGGCGGGUCGCCUGCCCAGCUCUCGCCAGGACUCACACAAGCAAACCGACCAAUUAUCCACGUAUAACUUAAACCAAAACACAAUUCGCCAUCCGAACAUGCCAACCUUUAAGCGACUUGAAUACUAAAACACAUUAACUUCAGAGAUAACCUUACCAUUGAACAUCCACCCGUUCACUCCUAAAUACAUCUGUGACCAGAUCACCACAUAAUCUCAAAUAUACAAUACAAACCACACAGUAAGUUCAUAAAGCUCAGAUAAAAUUCAUACAAGCCAAAUCUUAGGGUUUGCACUUUUCCUGCUUCAAGUGGCAACCCAAAACGAAGAUACAAGUAUGAUUCGAAAUAACAUUUACAAAACGAUAAGAUAGACUUCAAGUCUCUCGAUUUCCGGAACCUGUUAAGGAAAACAAAUAUCGUGUGGUGAGCUAAAGCUCAGUGAGGUUCCGAACACAUAGGCAACAAGAAAAUCAAUGCAUUCAUUACAUAUAACCAAUAAUUCAAGAGACAAGUACAAAUAAAGCAAUAAACACGUUCAUGAAAAGGAUACGGGCUCACAGGGAGCCAUAUGUUCGUUCGUUCGUUCUCCUGACAUUUCCCCUUAUUCCUCCAGUCAUUUGCAAAAUCCAUUUUGUAUAAGUAAAACCCCUCAUUCAUUCAUUCGUUCAUUCCUUUCAUUCACCCCGUCCCUGGCUUUUGGCCAGGCUCCACCAACCUACAGGGUAAUACUCGAGUAUACCGAAACGUUCACCCAAGUCCCUAAUCGCCCGACCGAAUCCGCUUCUGGCUCGAGACGACCGGUAACAAGGGCAAUGGCCAGUUCAACCCCAAAAGGCUUACAUUCAUGCGCAAGUCACAUGUCAAUCAUUCAAUCAUUAAAAUUUCAUAAUCAUUUAGGCUAAGUGCGAUAAAGUACACACUCGCCUUGAAAACUCGUUUUGACAAUCAUUGAAAGCAUUAACACAUUAUCAAGCAAUAAGAUCAAGCCAAUAAGCCAAGGAAAUCUAACAAACAAGGAACACUCACCAAGAGUGAAGUCACAACUCACGCUGGAAAUCGAAAUCCGCGUCCUCGCUAAACCCUAGAAAUCCAAGUUUUAAAACUAUAAAUUUCACUAAGCACACCCUUGUUUUAUAUAUAAAAGGUUAUCUUAUAUAAAACUAAUUUAAUUUCCCGCAACAAGUCAAUAAAUUUCUAAAAAAAACAAAGCUAGUAAAGGAAUAAAAUGUUUCGUGUGGUUUCUUUAAAGGUAUUUCCCCUCUAGAGGCAAACUAGAAUCAAAUUGGUUCAAACGGGUUUUCUUGCCGAACAAGUUUUCUAUGUCUGUAAUUUGAAAUUAUUCAAAUCUAGUGUUUUUCCAAAUUUCCUUUAAAACAACUAGUCAAGGAUAGUUUUAUGAAAAACUUAAAGUUUAGAAGUUAAAUACAAUUAUUCCCUAAAGGUAAUAAAACUAGUUUAAGCAAAAGAAAAGAAUUAACUAGUCGGCAAGGUUUUAAAAGUCCCAAUAUCUAACUUUUUAAUAAUAACAUACUAAGCUCAAAUGCUAUCACUUGAUAUUAAAACAAAGUAUUUCCACGAAACUUGAUUUUGAAAGUAUUCAAGUUCAAGAAAACCAAAACGGUCUUUACAAUUCUAGCUCAUUUGCACAAUGAAUUCCCAAGUCAUCAAGAUUGAAACAUUACAAACCAAAUAUCAAUUUCACUAGGGUUUCAUCAAUCAUUAGCCCUAGGUCUCAACAAAUUCCAGUACAAUUAAAAUUCAACAAAGGAAGUCCAAGGUACUAAAGCAAUCCCAAAUCACAACCCACGGACCUUCCAAGUACAUUUCAACCAACCACUUGAACAAAUUCACCAAAAAUUAAAUUAUUGCAAAACUACUCAAAUGGUCAAGAGCUUCAUCAAUCAUUAGCUCUUGACAACCAAUACUCACUUCAAACACCAAUCCAUUCAAAACAAGAAUAAAACUACAGCCAACUUGAGUUCCAAAUGAUUCCAAGAAUCCAAAAUAUCCAUUAAACUUUCCCCUUUUUCUUGCUAAAAUCACUAUACAUAUAGUUUAUAAUCUGCUCAACUUAAACUGAAGCAAACAAUACUCAAAUCAAAGAAAAAUAACUCACUAAGAGCUUGAACUAGUAUGGCUAGCAAUUAUAUACAAAUUUCCAGCGAAGAUAUUCCAAAAUUUUCAACAAGGUUUCCAUCCUUAGCUUGCUUUAAACACUAAACACUUAACAUGCAUUUUGUCCAACAUGAAGUGAGUCAAAUAACAGGAAAUUUCAGCAAAUUAUUCCACCAAGAAGCCCCAUAAAUCUGUCAUCAGCUAGGAUAUAAUUUUCCAGCAAUUGAUAGUUUAAAUUUGAAACUUUCCCCAUAAUCCUCAUUUUUUUUCCAUUCCAGCUCAACAUGCAGGGUACGAUUAUCAUGCUAAGGUGUAUCUUGUGCAAAAAUAUGAAAUUUAUAACCAAAGAUUCAAAAGAAAAAGUUGGAUAAAACUCUGCUUCUUUCUCUCGGCCAAAGCUAAGAAACUCCAGCAGCUUUCUUUCAAUAUUUUUUUUCUACAAAUCCACGACUCAUAUCAGCUUCAUGCUUGAUCAAAAUAAUUAACUAUCUAUUAGGUCUUGAUCCAAACCAAGUGCGGACAACAUAAAAAAAAACAUCAUCUAACCAGAAAUUUAAUCAAUCCUGCUCUCGGUUGGCUUACAUGCAACCUGAUUUUGGUAUCUUUUCAAUUUUCUGACUUAAUCAAAGCUAAUCAAUCUCAUGCAAAGCUUAAUCAUCCAGAUUUUAGUUAGUUAAGAACACAUCUAGGCUCAGAUCGUCACAGGUUAGCCAAUUAAAGUUACAAAUUUCUAGCUCAAACUCUCGGUAGCUUCAAUUCUUUCUCAAACAGAUUUUUCUAUGAUUUAAGCUAUCAUCUAACCACACAAUCCCACAUGCAUGCUUAUAGUCAGCUUCAUCAACCCAUAAACAACUCAUCUAAGUUCAGAAAUUACCUUAGCUUGAAGCCUAAAACACACGACUAGCAGCUGCAGCAAUCCUCCACUCUCGGCUGUCCAGAAAUUUAGCCCGCUAGCUCUUCCUCUCCCUUGCUCAAGCUCGUCACUAGGAUGAAGAAGGUUUGGUUCAGACUCUUCACCAACUCACGGAUGAAAGAAAGAAGGAGUAGCAGCUCUCACCUUUUCUUAGCUCACGGCAGAAUGGAAAGGAAAUGAGAGGCUCGGCUCACUCUCUCCCGGUCGAUAAUUCCAAGGCUGCUCCCUCACAGUUCACGGCAGGGAAGAAAUUGGAGUUGUGAUAUUGUGGUGAAGUGAGAAUGAUAUAAUGAAGUGUGUGAGUAGUGUAAUGUAUAUAAGGUGAGGCUGUGAGUGGAGUUGGUCGGCAAUAUCAAAUGGAAAAGGCUGGAAUGACACGUGGGAAGUGGAACCGGCAGGAAUUGGAAUUGUUUGGAAUGUUCCAUGGCUGCUUGGUGGAUUUGUAAUGGAGGAGGGCUGUUUUAGUCUUUUAGCAACUUGUUCAACCUUUCACUUAGGUCCCUCAUCUUAAACUAAUUCCAAAAUUUACCCCAAGUGUAAAUCGAAUGCCUACUAGUACACUAAUCUCGCAAAAUUCAAUUAUUGAGAUUUUAACCUCCUAAGUGUACCCAAUGCACUUGUAACGGUUUAUCAAAAAUAUAUCGAUUCAUCUUAAUUCUAAGGCUCCUAUUAACACUUAACGUUAUUAACACUUAAAACUAGCUAUCGGAAAUUCAAGGAAUUAAUCUUAAAACAAUAAAAUAGUUUACAUCAAGAAAUAUUAUUCUAACUUGGCGAGAGUCAAAUAACUCAAUAUUUUGCACGAUUAACGUGUUUGAAACUUUAAAAUUGUUUUUACAUACUUAUUCAAAGACAAAAAUUCAUUUUCCUGAAGAAACAAGACAUUCAAGCAGGACAGCCUACUUCUUGAGCAAAUGAAUGAUUUCAAUGGUAAAUUUAUAAUUCGUAAGUGAUCACUUAUCAUUCUUACCUUAUUAUUUAAGUUAUUAAAAUCAAGUUUGACCUUAAUAUAUAAAUUUAACAUUCUUAAUAUUCGUUUAUCCUUUUAUAUCAAAACUUACUAACUCAAUCAUUUUCAAACCAUGAACAUACCUAUCUUCAAGUUUAACUUGUAUACUCAUUCAAUCUAAUAUACUCUAUAUACAUAUCUCGCACAUAAAUACACAUAACAACAAGGCCUUUCGUUGUUUCCAACGAGUAGUUAACAAAUUUGCACGUAAGAGGAGAAAAUGAGAAGAAACAAUAGACUAAGGAAAUAUGCAAAUUCUAGGGUUCUCACACCACUGCUACUAAGAUGUACUUAUUAUUGAAAGAGCUUUAAAAUGGUCCCAUAAAAUCCAUACCCCACACAUCAAAUAACUCAACUUCUAAAAAAAUAGUGUAGGGCAUUUCAUUUUUUCUAGAAAUAUUUCCAAUUCUUUGACAGGUAUCACAACUUUUAACAUAUUUCCAAGUAUCUCGGUACAUGGUAGUCGAAUAAAAUCCCGAUUGCCAUACCUUAGCCACGGUCUUAGAAGUGCCAAAAUGACCACCCAUUUCUAAAUUAUGAUAAUGAAGUAAAAUAUCACGUACCUCCUCUUCGGGAAUACAUCUUCUUACCAUACGAUCGGCACAAUGCUUAGCAGUGGUUCUUCCCAAAAGUAGCUUUUAACAUCAUGUAAAAAUUUCUUCCUUUGGUGAAAAUUAAAACCCUUCGGAAGUGCCCCACUUGCCAAGAAGUUAGCAAAAUCCUCAUACCAUGGAGACUUGGUUAGUGCUAGAAAAACCUCGUCCGGAAAAAUCUCCUUAAUUGGAACUUGAUCAUUAGUAGGGAUAUACUCUAAUUGCGAUAAAUGAUCUACCACUAGGUGUGACGACUUGAAAGAUUGCUUAUAUUUUCUUAUAAUACCCUCUUAUUUUGAUUAAGUUAACUUAUAAUUCCUUUACUACUAAUUUACUCUCUCAAUAGUUGUAAUAAAUAAUAAAAUUGAGAGUUUUACCUUUGCUUUUAUAGUUAGGGUAAACUAGGGUUUUUGCAUAUUUUGGUAGUGUAAUUAGUUGGUGAGGUGUGUGUACUAAAUUUGGUGGAUAAAAGUGAAUAUUAGGUAAGAGAAAGUGUGUGAUUAGAAAUGCUAAUAAUAAGUUAGUGAAUCAUAAGUUAAAACACAAGUACGAGAGAGUUAAGGAAAAUAGGCUUGAACCGACGUGCACCGUUUGUUAUCGAUUGAGUACACCACUUAACCACUACUUUCUUACUAUAAUCCUCUUGUUUUUAUUUCAUCUAAUCAGCCCUAAAUUAAACCCUAAACCAGCCAAAAUCUUUGACUAAAGAAAAGGUGAGAAAAGAAAAAAAAAAGGAAAAAAUCUUGAUUGAAAAGUGUUGGCAAUCAAAGAAGGGUUUGACCAAGUUAUUUCUUUCCUUCUUAUCUUUCAUCUUGGCUACAUUUCCUCCAUUAUUUCUUCAUGUUGGCCGAGAGCAAGGAGAGAAAAAAAGAGAGAAGAAAACCUUCAUUCCAAUCUUGAUUUUGCCUUGUUUGAGUUGAGAUCACAAAAACCAAACCGAUGAAACUAGUCCCUUGAUGCUUAGGAAGCUUGGAGUGGAGAGUUUCUUGGGAGAAAGUGUUUGGUUCUUCAUUUCUCAAGAAAUUUGGGAGGUAUAAGUUCAUCAACUUCUUUUUUUGUUCUUAUUCUUGCCAAAUAUGGUAUCGAUGCCUUGAAUCUUGGAAUAUUAUGGAUGAUCUUCUAGUUUUGGUGUAGAUUAGUGGAAUUUCAGCUAGGGUUUUGCCAUUUUCAUCUUUCAUUAUGUUGUUUAACUAUAAAAUGUUGGUAUUGGGCUUGGAUAUGAAAAAUUUGUGAGGUGUUUAGUGUGAGACCCCGAAAUUUUACUUGUCUUUAUAGCUUUUAUUUGAAGUUACUUGCCUUAGUUCUUGGUUGUUUUAAUGGUUGAAUUUGAGCCAAGAGAGUGAAUUUUGUUAAGAAAAGUUUCAUAAUCUCAAGUUGUUAGAAAAUCUAGAAAUUUUCGCAAGAGGCUCUGCGCAGCUUUGGGAAAUUGGCUAUAACUUCGUAUAGGAAAGUCGGAAUUGAGUUCCAUUUGUUGUGUUUGAAACUAGACUCAUUGUGACGCCCCCCAUCUCUCCCUAGGGUGAACUUUAGGGUAUCAGUGGAACGCCUGCCCAACUCUCGUCAGGACUCACGCACUCAUUCAAGCUUAAUAAAGGAUUACAAAUUAACCAUCGACUUAAUUAAGAAGUACUUCGAAUAUACAAGCUCGAAACUCCCAAGUAUACCAUUUAUGAUUACAAACCACAAAACCCGAGUUUACAAAAUUUAUACUUUAAUGGACUCCAAUAACAUACAUAAGUAUAGUAGCUUCAACUAAGAGUCACUAGUCUAGGAACUCUAAUUUCCACAUCCAAAACCUGUUAAGGAAAACAAACUUAAAGGGAUGAGCUAAUGUUCAAUGAGGCCAAGAAAACAAGCAAGCAAGCAAGUAGAACCAAUUAAUCGAAUAGCAUGCUUUAACAACUUUAAACAUGACAUUUUAUUUAAGUGCACAAGUAGGAAUUAACACACAAGAAAGAAUACAAGAGCUCUCAGGAGCUAUUCCCACGUCUCGAUCAAUUAAGCCUUCGGGGGUUGACCCUCCGUCAAUUCAAGUAGUAACACGACCGUAGUGCUCCACUUACUUCCUCCAUCCAACAUAACACCCACUCGGAUCCAGAACCAAACAUGUAAGAGGUGGUGAUACUAUUCGAGCAUGCCAUGCGAGAUCUCAAAAGAUCAAGCUAUUUUUUUCCCAAGGUUCACCAAGCUUCUCGACCAAGCCCUUGCCAGCUCGAGUUACAAGGUAGCUGAUGGGUUAGGGAGUCCCCACACGUGUAUUUGGUAGAUGAGAUAUCGUUUCAAUCGACUUUGAGUCGAUCAUAGCACUGGGUCAGGGUGAGCGAUAACUCUUACCCGAAUAGGGCGUGAUACUUCUAGCCGCUCAGUGCUUACGACUUAAAACAUGUUCAUGUACAAGAGCAAGUCAUAUAUAUUCACGUAACAAGUAUCAUAUAAUCAAGAGAGAGAGAGAGGACGAGAGCGAUAAAGUACACCCUCACCUCGGUAAGUUCACGUAUCAUAUAUAGUACUUGUUCAUCUAUCAUUUCAAACACAUAAGCAUUUAACAUGCACUUGACACUCACCAAAAGUCAAGGCAAAACAAGAGCAAAGCGAGAAGUCAGAUGAGCUCUUCGGCAUCCUCGUGACCACCUGAGACAUGUACAACCAUAAUUAUCUAGGUGCUUGACCAAGGUUUAAAAGAAAGACAUUUUCUCGCUACCCACUCCCCAAGUCACAAGUUCGAGUCAAGUUAAAGAAGUUUUUCUAGCUCAAACGUUGGAAUAAUAGUCAAAGAGAGCUCAAAGGUUGUUUUUGAUCCAAGUCGUGGUAAAUAAAUCUCAAUUCCAAAAGAAAGUACCAUUUUUACUUCAGCACGAAAAUCGAGAAAAAAGGGUAGAUGGUUCAUCUCCCAAAACUUCAAAUUUCAUAUCCAAGGUUUAGAAUAUAAAGAGCAUGCACAUUAUCCAAACUAAUGGAGUUAAAACUCAUCCAAACUCCACUCAUUUUCAUAGAAAAAUAUCAAAGCUAAGAUUCCAAUGUUCAAGUAUAAAACUAGUGAAAUUCAGCAAGAAUUACUCUAGUCAAAACACUCCCUUUUUAGAUUUUCAACUCAUGGAAAUCGAUGCAAUAAGAAUAGGGUUGUAGUCUAUAAUUCGAGUAUGAAGAGAAGUGCUAUUAACCAAGGGAAGCUAUAGAGCCAAGAAGAAUCACAAAAAGGGGAUUAAUCCCUUGGAAACUAAGAUUCGAUAUAAAGGUUUAAAGUUCAAAGAGACCUUGUAUGAAAUCAUGAAAUGAAACUUAAAACAAUCCAACAAUCACAAAGGAAGGUGGAAAGUUCUUAAAAGAGUAAUUUGGUUGAAAACAGAAAAUUUCCAACUUAGAGUGACACUACUUGGAAAACUCAUAUCUCAAGUUCCGUAAGUCCAAAAAUUGAAAACUUUAUGCCGUUGGAAAUUAGACUCAAAACACUAAAACUCUCUAGAAGACACUUUUCUCAAAAUCCAAUUCAAAAUCAUUCAAAUUUUAGCUCAAAGUCACUGUUCUAGACAGGACAAAGCAAAACAGGCUUGUAAAUUCAGUAAAGUUUGGAAAUUCGGUAAAAUUCGUAAAAAAGGAAUGAACCCCUGAAAUUUAUUCCACAAUUAAAAUUCCAAAUCUAGUUUCAAAUGCAAGAAACAGAACUCAAUUCGGACCUUCCUACACCAAGAUACGAUAGUUCUAAAAAAACUAAAGUUUGGAACCUGUUUACGAAAAUUCCAGUUCUGACGAACUAGAUAGAGUUUCAAAAUCUGAUCAUAACUAGAGCUACACGCCUCAAAAUUUAGUGAGGUUUGUAGCAUUGAAAAUUAAUUCAAAAUGAUACAAUUAACUAGAAGCGACUGUCUUAAAAUUCAUUUUGAAAGAUAAGCAAAAUUGAGCUACAAACUGUAGCUAAGACUGUUUCUCGGAUGAAAGCAGGAAGGAAUUUCAGUCAUUUUUGCCGGUUCAUUACCACUUGUAGGAAACGAGUUAGAAGGUGUGUUUUAUACCGACAGAAAUCUCUCAGGAGUCUAGUUUUAGAUGCCACAAACAGCACUCGAUUUCAACUCCCAGACAAAAUGUUAUGACCAAAAACGUGAACAUUGGGUGGUGUCACCUGAUCAGAAAAAUUCCAGAAUUCAUCCUCACUUUCACUUCACUUUAACUCAACGAAUUGGAAAGUUUUUUGGGAGAUAUUUCAUACACAUAAUCACCAACAUGUAUCAAGUAUUAUUGCACCAAAAUAGCAUCAAAAUUUCGAAAUUAAUAAGAGAGGAACAACCAGAAAAUUUCGGCCAGCAAGCACUUUCAUUCCUCUAGCUUGCUUUUCCAAUUUUCCAACUAGAACUACACCAUAUCUCAUCAAAGCAAGUAACAAACAAGCAAAUAAACACACAAAAUCCUCAAGGCCUCUACCUAUCAAACCACCUCAAGUUCACUACCUAAUGUCAAGGUUCUUGUGAAUCCAUCAACAACCCAACAACUAAACUAACUAAACUAUCUUACUAAUAAGCUUUGACAGGAAAAGUUGAAGGUUUCUUGGAUGAUUACCUUGCUGCCAAAAGAAGAGUAAACAUUAGGGUUUGAGCUCUUAAAUCACCAAAGUUUCUUCCUUGAUCAAGUCCUCUUCCAAGCUUGUAUGAAGAACCAAAAGGAAUAGCAAAUUUGGGGAGCUUUCUUGGAGGAAAAAUGGAAGAGAAAGAGCUGAAAUUUUUUUGUAGGAAAUGGGGGAAGAGGGAUCGGCCAAAGCAAGAGGAAGAAGAAGGAGUUUUUGUUGGUAGAUGAGUGAUGUGAUAGUGUGUAAGAAGGAUGGACAUAAAGUGCUCUUGGUGCCCAAAAGUCAACGUCCGAUUAGUGUGCAAUUAGUGCUCCAAAUUGAGAUUAACUUAACUCACUCACAUCUAAUCCCUCAAUUAACUUUUUUUAGUCUACUAUUGAUCAUUCUUAAUUCUCCAAGAUUAUUACACUUUCGGAUCUAAUUUAUCUCAAAAAAUGUAUAUUUACUAUUUCUCGCUAAAUGAGCCACCAAAAAAAGUUAAAUUCGCUAAUGAAAUGUUUUAAAAAUAUAAACGAGACAUGGUUCCAUGCAAAUGGGUUUAAAAUGGGUGAAAUAAAUUAUUUGGAGCAAACGGGUGAAUAAAUAAUUAAAUAAACCAGUAAAAUGAAAUAAAAAUAAGAAAACUAAAAAAUUCGAGUUCUCACAUUCUUCCCCCCUUAAAAGAAUUUCUUCCUCAAAAUUCAUGCAUUGAUUUAGAAACAAUUCUGGAUAUUUCUUCUGGAUCUUUUCUUCUACUUCCCAAGUCGCUUUCUCCAUUCCAUGAUUUCUCCAUAAAAUCUUCACUAGAGGGAUUUGCUUGCGUCUUAACUCCUUCACUUUUCGAUCUAAAAUCUUUACCGGCUUUUCCUUAUAGGACAAAUUCUCAUCAAACUCUACUUCUUCCGGUCGUAACACAUGAGACGGGUUGGAAUGAUAUUUCUUAUGUGACGACCCCACUUCUCCCAAGGGCGAACCCAAGGGUAUCGGCGGGCCGCCUGCCUAGCUCGCGCCAGGACUCAAAACUUAAAGCAAUCAAACGAGAUAGAUCGAAAGAGCACUAUAUACAAUAUAUAUACAAUCCCAAAAGUUAUAUUUACAUCUUCAAAAGUCUCGAGUCAAACCACUCUAAUAUACUACAACCACAAUCAGUAGAAGAUAGACCCUAAGAAGGGUCCUUAUACAAACCACCAAAACAAAACAAACAUCCUAACUGUUCAACUAUUACAAGCCAAUCUAACUAUACUAGUAUACGAGCCAAAAGUCCCCGCGUCGGCCCCUGCUAAGGAAAACAAAAGGAAUGGGGUAAGCUAUAUGCUUAGUAAGUAAACAGGGGCGAAAGCAUAAAUUCACGUAGCAACAAUUACACAAUAAGAGUAAAGCAAAAGCAGAAAAGAACAACAUCAUAUAACAAGGAUACGGGUGGCUCCAAAGCCAAUUCAUGUGCCAUGUAUGAUCUCCUGCCGACACUCCGUCGACCACAAAUAAUAGUCCGUAGAACUUCACUUGUACACCCACCGACACCUUAUCACCCUCACUGGCCAGUCACCUCACAAACUUGCCCGGGCGAACGAAAUCACAAACUUGAGCUUGAGUCACAAGCUCGGUCACAAACUUGGUCACCUUCUCGGUGAACCGGAUUCACAAAAUUGGUUCAUAACAUGAACCUACAAACUUGGUGACCUCAGACUAAGUUGGACUGACUUCGACCAACCCCCAACCGGCUCGAAUAGUCCAAACAGGUCUUAGAUCGGGCCCACGAACUCACAAACUUCACAAAAUUCACAAACUUUACUCGAAAGUCGCCCCGAGCCACAAGCUCAAGGGUUUUGGUUCUAAAAGGUUCAUAUACAUAUGCUAAGUACAAUUAUACAUUCAAAUUAGGGUUUAGGUCGAGUGCGAUAAAGUACACUCUCGCCUAAGUACCCUUUUCACAUAUCUCAAACACAUAGCAAAGAAAACACAUCAAACUGGCCUGAAUACUUACUCAAAAUACCAAAAGUAGUACGAAAGCAAAAUCGCUUCGCGCGUUCGCUAGUAGUGGGCCCCACCGGCUCCGCCUAGCUCACCGCUGUCUGAAAUAGAAGAUUUUAUCACAAACGGCCACUAACAUGCCCAAAACAAGCAAAACGGCAAAACAACACGCGCGCACGAAAAUAUGACGGACGGAAACGGAAACGGCAGAUUUGAUACUCAUUUCUAGUUUACUCAUAAGUUGAGCUACGAAUAUCGGAUUAAGGCGUAUGAGAUGCCAAAUCGAAGCUUAAAGGAUGAACAACAACUGUUAUGAAGACAUCCAGAACUGAAACUGGAGGCUUCAGUCCCAAAUGAACCAAACACAAUCACUUACGAAAUCUGGCCAAUGCACAAAUGGUCAGUUUUGAGUGCGAACUGUUUUCUAUGCUACACAUGGUCAAAAGAGCUGAAAAUUGGCAGUUAGAUAGUUCAUUCCAAAUGGAACAACUUUCAUGAAGGUCGGCAAUCAAAAUUCGGAACGGAAAUUGGUCAUCAGGACCAAAACAGAUCUGACCAGAGAAUGGUCAUCUUCACGGCCAGGCCUUAUUUGCUCGGCUAUAUCUCAGGUCUUAUAAAUCCGAUUCCUGAAAUCCCAAGGGCGUUAGAAAGCUCUGAUAUAGGGCUAUAAGUUUGGUUUUUUGGUCGCGAGCCCAAACAGCUUGUAACCCAGUCAAAUGUGAAGCCAAAGUUCCAGUCAUAAACUGUCCAAAAACGUAACAGAAUUUGACGGUCAAAACAGGUCUGAGUAUUUCGUUUAUAGCUCAGGAUAUACUAAUCCGUUUAACCUGAAACUUUACAAGGAUAUCCAGGACUUAAGGGGAUACAAUGUUGAAGAAGGAAACUUUGUCCAAUUUUGAAUGUAACAAGGUCAAAAAUGCAAGACACUAUACCAGAAUUGCAAAACAGGAUCACAAACCGUAUUUGACCUUAAUAUGCGGUAAUGGCACCAAAUUCACUACGGUUAUCGAAUGGGGGUGUAAGACCCACCGUUUCGAAGCUAAGAAACAGGGCUACAACAAUGUAGAAGGUCACUCAGUCCAAAUCCUAACACAACUAGGUCAAAAUGCAGAAUACCAAAUCCAGAACCGUAAUUGCAGGUUCCCAAAUCGCACUAUGCUGUAAUGAACACAACUCAGUCUAUACAGGUCCAAAUGCCGAAAUUCCAAAGGCAUAUGUUAGCUAAGACAUCCAGAUACAUUUCAUCAGAAGAUACCAACUUCAAAAUCUAAACCAAUUCUAGUCAAAACAAAUGAUUACAAGCGCAGUUUUCACAUUCUGAGCAACCCUGGACAGCAACAGUAAAAACGACAUAACUCACUCUACACAAAUCCAAAUGACCUAAAAUUUUGCAGGCACUUCAAACUCAUCAAUACCUACAACUUUCAUAUUUUGAGCAAAGUCCAAUUUGGCCUCUAACCCUAUGAUCUAAAACCGGACAGAAUUAGGGGAUUAUGAACCCUAACUUUCCAUUUUUCCAUCCAAAUCCAAAAUUAGUUGCAUUUAUCAUCAAUUCACACCUACUAGAGUCAUUAUAGUCCAUUGCCAAUCAUCCAAGAUAGCCACAACAUCCCAUUCAUAUUAAACCAGAAAAUUCAUCAUAAAAUUGAAAACUUCACUAAAACACUUCAAAUCAAGAAAUAAAUCACAUAAUCCAUCACUUUAGCCACUCCUAAGCAAAUCAUAAGCAUCAUUAGGUGUAGCAUGGUGUUCAAGCAUCACUUACCAAGAAAUCAAGAGAGAGGGAGAUGAUGGACACCUUAGCUCUUCCAAAAAGCUUCACUAAACCAACCACUAUCACCAACUAGAAAAGUUGUAUGGAAAGGAAACUAAUUUAUGUGCUUGAUUGAGAUGAUUUGCUAGUGGAAAGCUUGAAGAUUGAAGAGGUUUUUCUCCUUCUUGCAAGCGAGAGAGAGAGCCGGCUAUGGAGAAAGAAAAUGAGGGAAUUUUAGUGAAUUUUUGAAGAUAUUUAACCUUUGGUCAAAAAGUCAAAAAUGUGAAUAGUGUUUCUUAAAGUCCAACCAAUGAGAAAGUGACACUUGUCACCUCAUUAAUGCAAUCCUAUCCUUUCUUUUCUCUCUCACAUCAAUUAUUUCACACACUCUACUUAUCUCUUGACACCCGAUAAAUUUUACACAGUAUCCGGAAUUUAACCUAAUUGGCCGAAUUUUUCUGAACUUUUCACACUAGUGGGUCCCACGUCCAAUAUACGUUCUUAUUUUCUCAAAAUCUAACCGAUACUAGAAAAAUCAUCUAAAAACUCUAUUUACUCAUAAAAAUUAUCUGGGGAACUUUCUAAUAACGAAAAUAUCAAAAAGACGGGUGAACAAUCAAACUCCACUUAAGCUUUCUACUAAAAUGAACUAGGGUUUUCAACCCUAAUCGAGGUUAGGGUUUUCUUCUUAGCCUUAAAACCCUAAUUCCACCCCACCGAUCAAUGAAUAACCCUCAUAUCAGCUUACGAACGGACUGGGGCCUCACAUCUUAAGUAUGGAGACAUGGAAGACAUCGUGAAUCCUAGACAAACUUAAAGGCAAUUCCAACUUGUAAGCUACAUUUCCUACGCACUAGAUAACCUUAUAGGGUCCCACAAAUCUCGGUUGCAACUUCUUCCCUUUUCCCGCCAUUGGAUUUGCUUUCAAGGGUGUAAUUCUAAGAAACACUUUAUCUCCAACCUCAAACUCUAACUUCUUUCUCCGAUUAUCCGCAUAGCUCUUUUGGCGGUUUUGAGCUGUUCGAAUCCUCUGACGAAGUAAUUUCACCUUCUCAUAAGCUUCCUCAACCCAAGCUACGGUAGUCGGGUCCCAAAUCUUCUUUUCUCCAACUUUGUCCCCAUGAAUCGGAAAUCGACACUUUUGACCAUAAAGAGCUUCGUAAAGAGCUAUAUGUGUUGAGGAAUGAAAACUGUUGUUAUAAGAAAAUUCCACCAACUUAUGGUAUUGAAUCUAAUUUUCUCCAAAAUCCGCAAUACAUGACCUCAACAUGUCCUCUAGGGCUUGAAUUGUCCUUUCCGACUGUCCAUCAGUUUGCGGGUGGUAAGUGAUACUAAAAUUCAGUUUAGUCCCCAAACUCUCUUGCAUCUUUGGCCAAAAUCGAGAUACAAACCUAGGGUCCUGAUCUGAGACUAUACUCACUGGUAUCCCAUGCAGUCUUAUAAUUUCAUCCAAGUAUAAUUUAGUUAACUUUUCCAAGGAAUACUUCAUACUAAUCGACAAAAAGUAAGCAGAUUCGGUCAAUCGAUCUACUAUUACCCAAAUAGCGUUGUGUCCUCUCUGAGUCCUUGGUAACCCUGAUACGAAAUCCAUUGUGAUAUUUUCCCACUUCCACUCAGGUAUUUUCAACGACUGUAAUAAUCCAGAUGAUUUCUGAUGUUCGACCUUAACCUGCUGGCAAGUGAGACAAGCUCGAACAAAUUCAGCAAUUUUUCUUUUCAUAUUCUCCCACCAAUACAGGCUCUUCAAAUCUUAAUACUUCUUAUUACUUCCAGGAUGCAUCAUAUACUUUGAACGGUGAAUUUCGUUUAAAAUUUCCUUCUUUAGACCUUUAUCCUUGGGUACCACUAUGCGAUUUCUAAACUUUAACACUUCAUCAGUCCCCAAAUUGAAGUCAGACUUUUUCCCCUUUUGAACUUUCUCAACCCAUUUUUACACUUCAGGGUCUCCUUUUUGAACUUCUUUGAUUCGAUCUAAUAAAGUAGAUUUCACAGUAAUAUUCCCAAAGAUUACCCUCUGUGGUUCAAGAUGCGGAUUCCAAACACUAAUUUCUUCUAGCAUGUGCCAUUCUCUCACCAUAAAUUGGCCACUUGUGUGAGGACCCAUCAUUUUCUUAUUUUCUAGGUUUUAUUCUAUUUAAUUGCAUGCUUUUCUGCAUUUUCUUUAUUAGAAAAAUUUUCUAGAUAAGUUUUAUGAGUAAAUAUAGUUUUAAAAUGAUUUUUCUAGUAUCGGUUAAUUUUUGAGAAAUUAAGAGCGUAUACCGGUUGUGGGACCCACUAGUGCGGUAAGUUCGAUAAAAUUCGGUCAAUUAGAUUAAGUGGUGUAUACCGGGUUUAAUUUAUCAGGUGUUAAGAGAUAAUUAGAAGUUACCUAGAUGGAUUAUCAUUGGAGAGACAAAAGGAUAGAGUUGCAUUAAAUAAGGGUGACAAGUGUCACCUUGUGGUUUAUUCUUGACUUUGACCAUCUUACUUACCUUUACUAAUUAGUCAAAAUUGACCAAAAAUUCACCUUAUUUCUCCCUCUCUUGGCUGAAUUUCUUGGAGCAAAAAGAAGAGAAAACUUCCAACUUCUUUCUUCAAUUUCUUGUCUUGAUCUCACAAACCAACCGUUAAAACUUUGAUUUACUCCAUAAAAACUCUUCUCUAGGUAGGAUUAAGGUUGUUGGUGAAGUGAUUUGGAAGAAAUUGGUGCUAAGUAGCUUCCUUUCUUGAGGUUGCAAGGUGAGUAGCUAAGGAGUUCAUUCUUUGGUCUUACUAAUGUUAAAUUGGUAGAUUGUGUUAGUCAAAGAUGUGAUUUAGUGGAAGAUUUCAUGACUUUUAGUUGAGAUUGGUGAAUUUUAUAUUUAUUCUUGAAUUUUUCUGUUUUUAUAUGUUUAUUAUGGUGUGGCCAUGGAUGAUGACUUGGGAUAGUUUAGAAUGAAACUAUUGUGCGUAAAUUGUAGUUAAUUGCGGAAAAUUUCCACUUUGUGCGGAAAAUUUCAGAUUAGGGUUUCAUUUUCCCAAAUUCUGCCCGGUACUGUUCUACAUAGUUAUAGGCCGAAUUAGCCUUAGGGGGAGGUGGGGCUGUCACAGUUGGUAUCAAAGCCUGCUUCGCGUGGUCUCUGCGCGGAGCGAGCUUGGGGCCAAGUGGUGUUAUGGUCUUGAUUCUGUGAAUGUGUUUAAAGGAUUAAGUGCUCUUCUAGAGUAUAAGUUAUGAACUGAUAAGUGUAAACAUCUUUAUCAUGGAACUUGAGGAAAAUAGAUAUGUAGGUCGGGUAGGAAUCUUUAAUAUGGAUGGUUUACUCUUGGGACCGGCCGGCUCGAGUUGUGAAGUAUCUUAUUUGAGAUUCUUGUGCCCGGCUACUAAAUAAAUGAGAGCCUAGGUUAGGAGCGACUUGGGCGACCUAGGAAUGUGAUUCUAUGGAACUUUGUGUAGUUUGCUCGGGUGUAAGUAAGCAUGGCUAACCUUGAUUAAGAUAUACAUUGUGUUAUUCCUGUAGGCUAUGGACGGAGCCCUAGAGAGGAUAGUUUAUCGCGCGUUAUUGUUGUACUUUUGGCCUUGUUUAUCUAUAGUGCCUUUUGGAUGACCCCGCUACCUUCAUGGCUUUCCUUAUUUGUAGUUAACUGACUGCUACCGUGUGAUUUGUUUGAUAACGUUGUGUGAUGUAUCUAUGCUUUUGAUCUGUGUGUACCUCUAGUUACUUGUUUAUUUAAUAUUAUAUUCACGAUUCGAUCCUAAAUUGGAUAGACCAAUGGAGGGUUCUCAUAGUGGAUGAGGUCGUGGGCGCGGGCGUAAGCAACCCACGAAUGAAGGGGGUAAUCGGGAACCAAUACAUGAACCUAGGGCCGACCAAAAUACCCAAGUAGCCACUGCUAUUCAGCGCAUGACCGAUCUGCUAGCCCACAUAGUGGAAUACCAGGGCCAAAACCCCAAUUCUCAACCUGGAAGCCCUGGUAAUCAUAUAGAGGGCGAGGAUAGAGCCCUUGAAAGAUUUCAAAAGUUCUCCCCACCCAAAUUUCUCGGAGGCCCUGAUCCUGACGUGGCUGAGAGGUGGCUGGAGAAGAUGAUCGAUAUUUUUGCUGCAUUACACUACAUUGAGGAGAGACAGGUGACAUUUGCUAUCUUUCAACUAGAGGGAGCCGCCCGUUCCUGGUGGAAUAUCCUUCGAAUGAAAUGGGAAAGAGAACAAACCCCGAGGACGUGGGCGAACUUUAUGAGAGAAUUUAAUGCCAAGUUUUUCCCUCCUCUAAUCCAAGAAAAGAAGCAAGAUGAAUUUAUUCGGCUUCGCCAAGGAACUCAGACCGUAGCCGAGUGUGAGAGUCAAUUCACUCGGUUGUCUAAGUUUGCGCCCGAACUGAUUGUAAUCGAACAAAGACGGAUAAGGCGAUUCAUCCAAGGAUUAAAUGUUGAAAUUCAGAAAGAUCUGGCGGUAGCCCAACUUAAUGCCUUUAGUGAUCCGGUGGAGAAGGCCCAGCGAGUUGAAACUGCGAGGUUACAAGUUAGAAACUUCCAAGCCAAAAAAAGGAGGCUUUCCGGGGAGCAGCUCGGAACAGGAAGAUAAGAGCACACCCCCUAAGAGUGGAAGAGGAAACGGGGGAGUACGAAAACGGGGGGUGGCCAGUGGUGUCUCACCGGGAGGAUCGGUCUCUGCUACUCGAGGUUCCUGUGGAUAUUGCGGAGGGCCAAAUCACACGGAGGCAAAUUGUUAGAAGAAAAAAGGAAAAGGCCUGCGUUGUGGGAACGCCGAACAUCGAAUUGCUAAUUGUCCAGCUCGACUGUGCGAAGGGAGAGGGACUCCGCCGCCAACCAAGACCAACUCUAAGCAACCAGCUAAGACCAACCCUGGACAGUCGAAAGGAGAAGGGACUGGAGCGAAGGUACCGACUGGAGUAUAUUCCCUGGACCAUCAUCAGGUCCCUGACUCAUCUGAGGAUGUAGAAGGUAUGAUCCAUUGGUUACCUUGGAUUUUGAUAGAUCCCAAUGAUAAGAAAAUUUCGAGUACGAAAUUUCUUUAAGAGGGAGAGAGUGUGAGGACCCAUAAUUUUCUUAUUUUCUAGGUUUUAUUCUAUUUAAUUGCAUGCUUUUCUGCAUUUUCUUUAUUACAAAAAUUUUCUAGAUAAGUUUUAUGAGUAAAUAUAGUUUUAAAAUGAUUUUUCUAGUAUCGGUUAAUUUUUGAGAAAUUAAGAGCGUAUACCGGUUGUGGGACCCAUUAGUGCGGUAAGUUUGGUAAAAUUCGGCCAAUUAGGUUAAGUGGUGUAUACUGCAUUUAAUUUAUCAGGUGUUAAGAGAUAAUUAGAAAUUACGUAGAUGGAUUAUCAUUGGAGAGACAAAAGGAUAGAGUUGCAUUAAACAAGGGUGACAAGUGUCACCUUGUGGUUUAUUCUUGACUUUAACCAUCUUACUUACCUUUACUAAUUAGCCAAAAUUGAACAAAAAUUCACCUUAUUUCUCCCUCUCUUGGCCGAAUUUCUUGGAGCAAAAAGAAGAGAAAACUUCCAACUUCUUUCUUCAAUUUCUUGUAUUGAUCUCACAAACCAACCGUUAAAACUUUGAUUUACUCCAUAAAAAAUCUUCUCUACGUAGGAUUAAGGUUGUUGGUGAAGUGAUUUGGAAGAAAUUGGUGCUAAGUAGCUUCCUUUCUUGAGGAUGCAAGGUGAGUAGCUAAGGAGAUCAUUCUUUGGUCUUGCUAAUGUUAAAUUGGUAGCUUGUGUUAGUCAAAGAUGUGAUUUGGUGGAAGAUUUCAUGACUUUUAAUUGAGAUUGGUGAAUUUUAUAUUUAUUCUUGAAUUUUUCUGUUUUUAUAUGUUUAUUAUGGUGUGGCCAUGGAUGAUGACUUGGGAUAGUCUAGAAUGAAGCUAUUGUGCGUAAAUUGUAGCUAAUUGCGGAAAAUUUCCACUUUGUGCGGAAAAUUUCAGAUUAGGGUUUUAUUUUCCCAAAUUCUACCCGGUACUGUUCCACAUAGUUAUAGGCCGAAUUAGUCUUAGGGGGAGGUGGGGCUGUCACAACUUGCACCUUACGACUUAGGGCAUCCGCCACUACAUUAGCCUUUCCAGGGUGGUAAUUUAACGAACAGUCAUAAUCUUCCAAAAAUUUCACCCAUCUACGUUAUCUCAAAUUCAAGUCUUUCUGGGAGAACAAAUACUUAAGCCUCUUGUGAUCCGUAAAAACCUCAAAAGUCACUCUAUACAAAUAAUAUUUCCAUUUUUUCAAGCAAACACUACUGCCACUAACUCCAAAUCAUGGGUCGGGUAAUUCUAUUAAUGAGAUUUUUCAACUUACGAGAGGCAUACGCAAUUACCUUUCCAUUUUGCAUUAAUACACAUCCUAAACCAUUCUUUGAAGCAUCUAUAUAAACCACAAAACCAUCUCCUCCGCUUGGCAAUACUAACACAGGUGCCUCGGUUAAACACUUUUUCAAUUCUUGAAACCCUUCCUCAUAUUUAGAAUCCCAUAUGAACUUGCCAUACUUCUUAAUCAACUCGGUUAAGAGUUUUGCAGUCUUAGAAAAAUCCUUGAUAAACUGACGGCAAUGUCCGGCUAACUCUAAGAAACUUCGAAUUUCCGUAGGGUUCUCUGGUUGUUUCCACUUAGAAUUAGCUUCUACCUUAGCUAGGCCCACAGUAAUUUCCUUUCUUAGAGAUUAUAUGACCUAGAAAGGUUAUUUCUUCCAACCAAAACUCACAUUGAUUUAACUUAGCAAAAAGUUGGCACUUUCUCAGGGUUUAUAAAACUAUUCUCAGGUGCCGUUCAUGUCCUUAUGUUCUAGAGUUUGAGAAUUUGUUAUUCAUUCUAGCCUUUUGAAAUUCUUGUUCACAGGUCUAAAGGUAUGGGGUAAUAAAUUAGAUAUACACGUAAGCCGUAAAAUCAAUUAAAGCAAAGUAAAUUUUUAUAUGUUCUAAAAGAUCAUAAUAGUUACACCAAGUGAGAAUAACUUCAUAAAAUCAUUUCAAAAGAAAGGGGAGACAAACAAAAUCAAAAGAAAACGUGCUAAGUUGCAAAUGUACAAAACAACAAAAGGACUUUAUCCCUUAUACAAAAGAUUACAACCUCCAAAAGUACCAAUUUAAACUAGGGUAAAAUUACACCCCCUAUCCCUCGAGUAAAAUCAGAUCCAUCCCCUACUCGUAAAGUUUCUACUACUUGGAUCCCUCUUACAAUCAUUAACAUUAAUUACUCAUUCUGGCACUCGAUUGCUUUGCAGCGGACCUAGCAGAUUGCUGAAUAUUUUCUCUUUUUAGAGGCAUUAGGGCAACUUGAAACCUGAUGUUUGGCACUACCGCAAGUCAGACAUUUUCCUUGCUUUGUCCAGCACUUGGUCUCCGCAUGGUUAAACUUGCCACAGUAUCCAUAGGCCACACGAGAAGUCACGGCCUAACUAGUUUGGGAAUUUUCUUUGUUUUUCUUUUCCAGUUCCACUUUCUUGUGUAGCAACUCAAUUUUUUCCGCAUAUUCUUGUUUCCAUCGUCCUUCCCAGUAGUCAGCUAAUUUCUUUUAAAACUCUACCUCCUUUCGAAGAGUGUCUAUUUCCAUAUACAUCUCUCCCAAAUUUGUCAUCUCACUGAUUGGUGUAAGGAUUGAAGACAACCUAAGAGGGGGGUGAAUUAGGUAAAUUAAAAAUUAACCAAGUUAUGAGACACUUUUUGUUAAAUAUGAAAUUUACCCCCUUUUCGAUGACCACACAAUGGAACAAUCAAUGAGAAAGCACGAAUGCUCGUGAGUAGAAGAGAUGAACAAUUUAUAUUGCAAGAUAGUAAAUAAAAGAGAUAGAGUAGCAAACCAAAUUCCAAACUCCUCUUGAUUUUGAAUAUCACUUUAUAAAGUAAGUUUCUUCUAGUUGAUCAAUUACAACCAAUCUUUGUGUACAAAGGAAGGAUCACUUCCUCCUUACCCCAAGCCACACUUGGUCAAGUUAGGAAGUUUUACUAUCACUCGGAUAACCCUCACAAAGUUACACUAUUGAAAUAAUUUUCUCACACAAGAAAAGCUUAUACAAGAUUCACACAACUAAGAGUACAAAUUUUUCUUUAAGAGAAUUUUCUCACUAAAAAUGCUCUUGAUCUUUUGUAGUCUCAAUGUGCAAAAGUGUUUUGAAGUGGUUGACUUUGCUCUGUUUAUAUGAGACCAAAAAGUUCCUUCAUUAAUGUUUCCAAUGGAUAGAGGGCAGCUGAAGAGUCAACUAGCCGUUGGUGGUGUCGGACGUCCGGUGAUCUUGUUUCUUGCGUCCGACAGUAGGUAGUGAGCAAAAGAGAUUUUCUUUAAUUCAUUCGAAUGUUCGGUACCUUCAUAGUUCGCAUCCGAAAGCAGAUAAUAAAAUUAAAAAAUUUUCUUCAAUACUUUCGGACGUCCGGUACCUCCAAUGCUCUGCGUCCGAAGUCUUACGCAGAUUAUUGGAUGUCCGGUGCUCUAAUGUUUUACGUCCGAUCAAGGUUGGCAAGUUUAGAAAAAUGUUUUGAUGCUUUUAGACGUUCGGUGAUGGAGUUCUUCAUGCGUCCGAAGUUGCUCAAUGAUUGUCGGACGUCCGAUCCAGUUUUUACGUGUAUCCGACAACCUCAACAACAGCUUCACUUUUGAACCUGAUUUGCUUUCAUUUCUGAAAAGGUCAUUGAGGAGAUGUUAGUAACAUUUAUUUGUUUUGUAAUCAUUAAAAGUUAAGAAGAGAAAUUAACAAUCUCCUCCUUUUUGAUAAUGACAAAAUAAUGGAUGGGGGAAAAUAAGAAAAAUAAUUGAGUCAAGAUUUCCCCUCAUUUAAUGCAUCAAAAAGGUAGAUACUUCCCCUCAGAAUAGCUCCCCCUCACACAUUUACCAGGUUACAUUUCCUGGCAACAACUUAACAUCAUUUCUCCCACUUUUUGUUAUCAUUAUAAGACAAUUCAAAUCCAAUUUAAAUACAGUGACAUUAAUGCAAAUACAAUUUAAAUCCAAUUUAGAUCCAACAUCUAGAAUCCCAACAUCAAUGUUAGCAGCAAUAUCAUUAACCAAGAAUACCCAACAAAAUCAGCAACCACCAAUAUCAGCAAACAAUGUCAAAAAUCAGAAGUCACAGGGACACCGAGCACACAAAAGCAAACAAGUUAACCAAUCAAAGAGAUAACCAACAAAUUUAACCAGAAACCAUUCAACAUAGAGAAAUUAACCGAAUAAUUUACAAGCCAAAAGAGUUAACCAAAUAACUAGAAUUAGGAGCACAAAGUACUUGAAAUGCAAAAGAUACAAAUGUCAAUUAUGAAAUGCCAUCCUAAACAUUAAGUGCAAGUGCCUAGAGGUGCCCAAAUUGUGAUGUUGGACAAUCCAGACCUUCUCCUAGCUAGCGUAAAACUGGGCAAGAUCCACUUCUUCCUCCUCAGUUUCCUCAUCAUGAUCACUGUCUUCAGUUGUUGGAGCAUUUCCCAUGUCUUGUGGCUGAGAACUGGAAGCACGAACCUCUGGAGUGGUUUCAGUAUGUGGAGUUUGCUCAGUUGGCUCAGUUCUAGGCUCCUUUUGAUGUACAUUCUCAUCCUCCUGAGGGAUAGGGGGGACAAGUAGGUUCCUUUUGUCAAUGAAAGCAGCUUGCUGAUCUGGUGACAUGGUCAUUAUCAGACCAUCUUUAAUAAGGUGAAUGUGUUGUUUGAGAUACUCAGCAAGGAGAUGACCUCAUGAGCGGAUGAAGAAGGCCGAUUGGAUGACUUUCUGGGAUGGAUGGUAAAGGGGGAAACAAAAUGAGACUAGUCUCUACGAGAUCUAGGAGUGACAGGAGUGUCAUAAUGGCUCUUAGUUCUAAACUCCAAAACAGAUUCCUUGUAACACCAUUUACCAUUAAAGAAACCCAGAUUUUUCCUUCGAAAUAAGCUUUUGAAAAGACAAUUGAUGCAGUCACUUUUGGUGAGACUCUAGUAAAAGGAAUGUUGAAGUGAGCAAAAAUUGGAGUGAGAAAUUUUCCAUAGAAAAGUUUCCUACGGCUAUUAGUACUGGUUUUUAGCAGAAACUUACACGUAACAAAGCCAAAAUUAAUUUUGAUCUUUUCAAGAAAGCAGUAGAACAAGUAAAGCUUCAUUUUGUUGGCAAUAGUCCUAUGACCAUCAGUAGGAACCAAUAGAUUUGAAAUUAUUGAAAAGAUAAUCAAAUUUUGAGGACUGAGAUCCUUCAAUCUUGCCUCGGCAGGAGUGUUAAAAUAUUUUUGAAAAUAAGUCAUCAGUUUUGCAACAUGAAAAUGAUGAUAGGCAGAAGGAAACUCUUCAUAAGAGAAAAAAUUUACAAUUUUUCCUUUAAAACUAUUUUCAAUUUUGGUUUUUAAAAUAGUAUUAACAGCAUCAGGAUUAAAGACAAUAUCAACUGAAUUGACUCGAGAAAUAAGGUCAGUGUGUGAACUACUGUUCCUAAGGUUAGCAAAAAACUGAUAAAGCAUAUCAGGAUAAUAGGUGUUGGGUAAUUUCAGAAUGUGAGACCAUUUUUGGAAUCCAAAGAGUUCAAUAACUGGUCCAAGGUCAAGUUUACGAAAUUCAUAGGGGAUGAUGGUCCUUUGAGUGAUGAACCCUUUCUGUGAAAUCCAUUCAAAUCUCUUUCUGGCAUCAUCAUCAAUGAAUCUGGGCGGUGGAGUUGGCACUUCCUCAGUUUGAGUAGCAGAUUGUCCUCUAGCAGAACGUUUCCUUUUUUCACCAUGCUGAGCAUUAGUUGGCACAGCAGUAGCCUCAGCAGUUGGCACUUUAUCAGUUGUUCUCUUCCUCAAAGAUCUUCUGGUGGAAGGUUCAGUAGUUUGUUGUUUCUCAGCACUUUGCUCAGCAGUUUGCUUAACAUAAGGUACAGUAGUUUGCCGUUCUUCAGGUUGGGUAGUCUGUUCUUUUCUUGCAGACUGUUUUCUUUUGCCACCACGGGUUUUAGUUCCUUUUCUGGAUGGAUUUGUGGUGGAGGGCUCUACAAUUUCAAUGUUUUCAUCCCUCGGUCUGGUGAUGCAUUCGGCACCAGCAGAUCCUCCUCUCACUCUCACCAUGGUGAAAUGAAGAGAGAUUUUGAUGUAGAGAAUGAUGCGAAUGUAUAUGAGAUUGACUAGAAGUGCGAUAUGGACUGCAAUGCAGGCUUGAAUUGUCCAAAGAGAGUGAAUUUUGAGUGGCUAGGGUUUCGGUUGAGAAUUGGAAUUUAUAGGGUAGUUUGCAGUUAGCGAAAGUUAUGAGGAGUAAUGAUCGGGCAAAAGGAGUGUAAUGACUUUGAACAAAUCAAUUUCUUAGAACUUGCUCAGAAGAGAGACGAAUUUUGAAAUUUGAAAGUAGGAGAGGAUGAAGAGUUGCGUCCAAGACAACAACUAAAAAAAUGAACUAAAUGAAGAAAAUGACAGACUUAUAACAAGCAUUUUUUGAGUGUUGGACGGCCGAACGAAGUGAAACGUUAGACACUACUGUCCAAAACAAGAUUUUUCUGGAAAAAAGACUAAGAACAUUAUUGGACGUCCGUUCAUCAAGUAUCGGACAUCCGAUAAAGUGUGACCAGAUAAUUUUUUCGGAAAAAUUUUUCAAUAACGGCCAAUUUUGUUCUAAAAAAUACAAAUUGAUCCAGUGGAAGGGCUUUUGUAAGAAUGUCAGCACUUUGAUCCUUUGAACAAACAUAUUGUACACAAAUUUCACCUUUUUCGAUGAGAUCUCUAAUGAAAUGAUGCUUUAUGUCUAUAUGCUUUGUCCUAGAAUGUUUAAUGAAAUUUUUUUAUCAAAUUUAUAGCACUUGUAUUGUCACAAAACACAGGCACACAAUCAUAUGCUAAUCCAAAAUCAUUCAAGGUGCUUUUCGUCCACAUUAAUUGACCACAACAUGCACCAAUGGCAACAUAUUCCGCUUCGGCGGUAGAUAAGGAAAUAUCAUUUUAUUUCUUACUUAGCCAAGACACUAAGCAAUUACCAAGAAAGUGGCAUGUACCACUUGUACUCUUUGUAUCUAUUCUAUAUCCACCAAAGUCAGCAUUCGAAAAUCUACAUAAAGGAAAUUCAUGACAUUUAGGAUACCAAAGACCAUAGUUCAAAGUUCCUUUCAAGUAUCUAAAAAUUCUUUUCACAGCAAUCAAGUGAGAUUCUUUUGGACAUUAUUGGAAACGAGUGCACAAGCAAACAGCAAAUAGCAAACAUGAUAUCAGGUCUACUUGUGGUUAAAUAAAGUAAGCUGCCAAUCAUACAUGUAUACUUCUUUUCAUCAGCAUUUAUACCUCCUUUAUCCUUGUCAAGUUUGGUAGAUGUGUACAUUGGUGUUCCAACUUGCUUUGAUUCCUCCAUACCGAAUCUUUUGAGCAGCUGCUUGGUGUAUUUUGCUUGAUUAAUGAAUGUUCCUUGUUGAGUUUGUUCCACUUGAAGCCCAAGGAAGAAAUUCAAUUCUCCCAUCAUACUCAUUUCAAACUCUUUUUGCAUAAUAGUGAAAAAUCCUUACACAAACAUUCAUUAGUAGUACCAAAUAUAAUAUCAUCAACAUAUAUUUGUACAAUUAGUAAAUCAUUGGAGUAUUGUUUAGUGAAAAGAGUGGUGUCUACAAUGCCCCUUUUGAAACCAUUUUCAAUCAAGAAACCACUUAAUCGUUCAUACCAUGCUCUUGGAGCUUGAUUUAAACCAUACAAAGCUUUUGAGAGUUUAAACACAUGAUUUGGAAACAUUUCAUUUUUAAAGCUGGGAGGUUGGUCAACAUAUACCUCUUGAUCAAUAAAACCAUUUAAGAAAGCACUUUUAACCUCCAUUUGAAAUAAUUUAAAAUCCUUGAAACAUACAAAUGUCAAAAACAUUCUAAUUGAUUCUAGUCUAACGACGGGAGCAAAUGUUUCAUCAAAAUCUAUUCCUUUUUCUUGAGCAUAUCCCUUAUCUACUAGUCUAGCUUUGUUUCUUACCACUUCACCUUUGUCAUUCAUUUUAUUUCUAAACACUUAUUUUGUACCAAUGAUAGGAUGAUUUUGAGGCUUUUCAACUAAUAUUUACACCUUGUUCCUUUCAAAUUGUUUUGGUUCCUCUUCCAUGGUUAAAAUUCAGUUUUCAUCAGUCAAUGCAUCAACAAACAGUUUUUGGUUCAAAAUGUGAGACCAAAGCAAAAUUAUCCAUCAAUUAUUUCUAAGAGGAGCGAGUUCUUAUCUUUUCGAAUGGAUCACCAAUAAUAAGUUCCUUAAGAUGAUUUUGAACAAACUUCCAAACUUUUGGAAGAUCCAUAGGUGCAUCAUCGUGAUUGUCAUUUUCUUCCAAUGCUUGAUGGUCUUGAGGAUCAUCUCCCUUUGAACUCUCUUCUUGUGGAGCAUUGUUUUGAUCAUGAAUUGUGAGCUUCUUAAGUCCUUGUUGAACACCUACAUCAUCAUCCUUACAACUACUCUUGAAAAUAUCACUAUUAGAUUCAUCAAAAGUGACAUGUAUGGCUUCUUCAAUAACAAGAGUCCUUCUAUUGUAGACUCUAAAACCUCUUUUGUUCUCACAAUAUCCCAAGAAAAUACCUUCAUCAGAUUUUUGUCAAAUUUUUCAAAAUGUUCCUUGACAUUUAAAAUAAAACAUUUGCAACCAAAGACUUUGAAAUAACCAACAAUUGAUUUUUUAUCAAACAUUAACUCGUAAGAGGUUUUGUUCAAAAUAGGUUUCAAAAGAACUCUAAUCAUAGCAUAACAAGCGGUAUUAACGGUUUCGGCCCAAAAAUAUUUUUGCAAAUUACAUUCACUCAACAUGGUUCGUGCGGUUUCUUGAAGAGUUCUAUUCUUUCUUUCGACAACACCAUUUUGUUGAGGAGUUCUAGCAAUUAAAAACUCAUGUGUGAUUCCAUUGUUAUCACCGAAAUUUCGAAAAAUCAAAAAAUUUAAAUUCCAAGCCAUUGUCACUUCUAAUCUUGAUAAUUUUCAAUCUAAUCAGAUUUUGAACUUUUGCAAAUAAUGAAACAAAAUUUUUGAAAGCAUCAUUUUUGUGUGCAAGAAACAUCACCCAAGUGUAUCUAGAAUAAUCAUCAACAAUAACCAAACAAUAUCUUUUACCACCCAAGCUAGCAAUUUGUGUAGGACCAAAUAAAUCAAGAUGUAAAAGCUCCAAAGGUUUUGAAAUAGAAACACAUUUCUUAGGUUUAAAUGAAACUUUGACUUGUUUUUCAAAUUGACAAGCAUCACAUAUUUUGUUCUUUUCAAACUUAAUUUUUGGUAAACCUUUAACAAGUUCCUUUUUGAAAAUUUCUUUUAACAAAUUCAUGUUGAAAUGACAAAGUCUUCUAUGCCACAACCAAGGGUUUUCAUUUGUAACUUUAAGACAUUUAAGGCUUGAAGAAUCAAUUUUUUCAAGAAUAACUGCAUAAAUGCUAUUCACUCUUUUUCCUUUGAAGAUAAUGUUGAAUUUUGAAUCAAGAACAAGACAUUCAUGUUUUUUGAAUAGCACAAAUAGAUUUCUAUCACAUAAUUGACCAAUACUCAACAGAUUAUAACUUAAAUUAUCAACAAGAAGAACAUUGUGAACAAAAGUUUGAUCAUUCUUACCAACAUCUCCUACUCCAACUGUUUUGGCUUUGUUAUCAUCUCCAAGUGUUAAUUUUUCACUUGAUUUUGACUUGAGUUUGAUGAACUGUGAUGGAUCACCAGUCACAUGCCUUGAGCAUCCACUAUCAAUGAACGAUUUUGAUUCCUUAAUGACAUUCACCAAGUUCACCUACACAAGAGUUCACUAGAUGAUAUUUGAUACCCAUUUACUUUUUGGAUCCUUGAAAGUUAGCAUUAUAUCUAACUAUCCACAUGCAUUUCAUGCCAUUUUUCAUAUUCUUUCUUACAUAACAGUUAUUCUUUAUGUGUCCAACUUGGCAACAAAAGCUACAUAUAGUUAGCGAAUUACUUACAUAAACAGGUUUAACAAAUUUAACUUGGUUUUUUUAUAAAUAAUAAAUUCGUUUGCAUUGAAAUUCAACCUAUUCUUAUGAAUGUCAAAGUGAGGUCUUGACUCGUUCUUUUGAAAACAAACUUGUUUCUUGUGUUUAAACAACUCAUUUAAACCAUCCAUUCUUCUUUUCAAAUCACCUUGUUCCUUUUUGAACAAUUCACAAAGUUUUCUUUUUUAAUCAAGUUCAACAUGUAGAUCAGUCUCAACUUUAUUCAAGUUAUCAUUUUCAACUUUCAGAUUCUUGUUCAGUCGUAAAAGACUUGCAUUAUCCUGAAUAAGAAAAUUAAUUUUUUGUUUUAGUUCCUUGUUUCUAGCAUAAGAAUCUUUCAGGCUGCUAUGCAAUCUUUCAAUGAAGGAAUUAACAUCAUCAUCAGAUUCCUCUUCACUGUCAGGUUGAGAAUUGCAAGUAGUUACCUCAUCAUCACCAAUGGCCAUGAAAGUCAUUUGAGCAGAUUCUUCUUCCUCUUCAACAUCACCAUCCGAGUUGCAAUCAUUCCAUGUGAUUUGAAAAUUGUUAAACUUUGGUUUUCAUUCAACUUUUCCUUCUUUUUUUUCUUCAUUGGGCAUUCAUUCAUGUAGUGUCCAGGCUGGUCGGAUUCAAAAUAUUUUUCAACUUGCUUUUUGUUGGCCUCUAGCUUUCCUUUGUUUCUUGCAUUGUUGAAUUGAUUUGGAAAUGUAUUGCUAGGUCCUCCUCUUUUGAAUCUCCUAUUGUUGAGGAUUCUUUUGAAACUCUUUGUGAUGAGAGUAAGGUCAUUGUCAUCAAUUUCAACAUCUUCUCCAUUCAAGGAAGUUGAGUCAUUUUCAUCUUGAGAAGGUUUUAGAGCAAUGCGCCUCCUCCCUUUAGCAUCCUCUUCCUCUUGCACUUUAGACUUAAGUUUUAGCUCAUAAGAGAUUAGAGAAUUAAUGAGAAAUUCAAUAGGCAUAGAAUUCAGAUCUUUGGUCUCUUCAAUGGCAGUCAUGUGACGACCCCACCUCUCCCUAAGGCGUACCAAAGGGUUCGGCGGACCGCCUGCCCAGCUCUCGCCAGGACUCACUCACUAUCUCAAUCGAAUCAUAAAUACACAACCAUGCACCAUAAAUAAUAUUCAUGAUUCAGACUUAUAAUUUACAUUGAUAGGAAUCAGGUACAAAGUCUUAAUACACCAACUAGUACAAAACGUAUACAAUCCAAGUACAACAUGUUUCGUUCGAGGAAUAGCGCGAGUACAAGACCAAAAGUCAAAAGUCAAAACAAACGGCUACACUAGUCUUUUACAAGUCUCUCGCGUCACCCGUACCCCUGUAAGGAAAACAAACUAACGGGGUGAGCCAAAGCUCAGUGACGUUCUCAAAUAUCAAAUUGGUCAGCAACCAAGUUAUAGCAAAAUAAAAGUGAAAUGGCGAGCAAAUAAGUCAAAUCAAGGAAAUAGUACUUCAGCUAGUCAAGUAGUAUUAGAUGCACAUUCACAUAUAAGGAUACGGUAUUCAUGUUACGGCUCCAUUCCAGCUUGGUCAAGUGGUAGUCGACACUCCGUCAACUUUCAAGUAAUUCCAAGUCCAAAUAAACUCUGCUACACGCCAAUUUCCGUCCACCGAUCAACCCCCUAUUCCGGGCCCGCACGCCAUACGAAACAUGGGUGGUAAUACUCGAGUAUACCGUUAGUCGAGGAGAUAACACUCCACUCGACAUUACAAGUGACCCAGGGUUUGUUAUCUAAUCGACCAGGCCCUUGCUGGCUCGACUCGAUUAACUAGCCACAGGGUUUCUGGAAUUCCAGGCAAGAUACAAUUCAAGUACAUGUACAACAAGUCAAGUAUGAUCAAUAGCAAGAACAGGUCAUAUUAGGGCAAGUGCGAUAAAGUACACCCUUGCCCUUUCAUUCAUUGUCAUGUAAUCACGCAAGUCAAGUAGGGGGUACACAUAUCAAGUACAAUCGGAUAUUUGAAAGCACUCACCAAAAUAGUGCUUCUAGUGCUCGUGUCUGGGUGGUACUCCGAGUUGGGAGUCCAAAUCUGCGAUAAAACUUAACUUGAGAACUUUGAAAAUCAACCAAAGUUUGAGACUUAAGUGUUUCGUUCAAUAAGAAUCAAGAAAUUGAAAUUCACUUGAGAAGAGUCGUGAAAUAGUUGCUCGCUCUUUAAACUGAAAAAUUUAAUAACAUUUUUGCUUGAAGAUGACUCUUGAGUCAAAAGUGCAAGUAAAACGGUUUCAUAGUGUUUCAUAUCGCUUUCCUAAGGGUACAAGUUCGGCCAAGUCCUAACAUAUAACCCUCGAUAAACAAGUGGCAAAGGUCCUCGAUAGUUCAAGUGAUAAUCACUUAACCUAUACUCAAGUCGCAAAGAUAGUUUUCUAGACCUCGAAUAAAAAUUUGGGCAGCGUGCCCUUUGUGUUUACCUAAUUUCCAGCCAUUUAGGCUUCAAUAUUUUCCUUCAACAAUAUCCCAACAUCAUACAAAUAAGCAAUUUAUGUCAAGAGCCGUUCCAUAGGCUCACAAUAUUAUAACAACAAGAAUCGCCUCAAGUACAAGUGCAGAAAUUCAAUGUGGCACAAGACAGAUUUGACGUACAAAUGCGGUAAUAACACAUCCGAGGCUACGCUUAUCAGAUUAAGACGAAACCUGUGCCCUUUCGAAGCUAAGACACAAAGCUACAACAUUCAUGAAGGUCACUUAGUCCAUUUCCUAAUGUAACUUAGUCAAAAUCUCAGAUUACUAAACCAGAAACCAAUUCACCGGCAGUUUAAACGCAUUAUGCUGUAACGGACCUAACUCAGUGUACACAAGUCCGAAUCAGGUUUCCUUUGAGGCAUUUUAAAGCUACUUCAUAACACUACAACUUUUAUGUUUUGGCCCAGAGCUAAAUCAGAAUGGAUCCUGGUCAAAAAUCGUGAUAAACUGGACUGAACUGAAGAAACGGACUGCUGGGAAAUUCUUAAAACAGUAGGGGUAUUUUGGACUUUUCACGUUUUGCGUUGCUCCGAUUGAGCUGAAAUUUUAUAGUCACCUAUAAAACACCAUUCUAUACAACUUUCCUUCUUUGACCAAAGGCCAAUUCGGCCUCUAACAUGUAGAUACAAUUUCAGACAGAAUGCUUGGGAAAUUUUCCAGAAAUCUGGAAUUUGUAGCUCUAAGUGUAAUUUCCUCAAAUUUCUGGUUCUAAUCACCACUAAACAACCUUAUAUAACUUUAAUUACAACAUUCAUGCAUCAUACAUCAACUUGAGCAGAAAAUCAGAAACCCUAGUUCAUCAACUAAAUUGGGGAAAAACUACUACACAUGCUAGCAUCCAUGAAUCUACCACCAAUCAAGCUACUAAGCUUACUUUAACCAUGAUUGAAAGAAAAAGUUAGAGAGAUAUCAUCCUCUUACCUUGAUUAGAAGUCCCUAAGAGCAGCCCCAAGCUUUCCCUUCCCAAAUUUCCACCACCAAUCACUAGAUAAUCACUCAAUAGUAGGUUUAAUCGGUUUACUUUGUUGAUUUUCUCACUAAGUUGUUGGAUUUGAAGGUGAAAUGAAGAAAUCUUCCUUGGUGUUUUCUCCAAGCUAAGUUCGGCCAGCACCAGCAGAAAUGAGGAAGAAAUGGCUAAGUCUUGAGGUUAUAUGGAUGGUAAUGGUCUUGGGUAAGAAGCCAUGAGGUGGUGACACUUGUCACCACCACCACCCUUUCUUUUUCUCUUUCCUUCUUGCCUUUCUUAGCCACCAAUUUUCGGUCAACAUGCUGCCAAGAGAGAAGAUAUUAUGUGCAAAAGUCAACAACUUGUUGGGUAAGAAAAAAUGGUGGUCAAGUGGUGCGUUCAAUCGGUAAUGCGCGGGACCCGCCGGUUCGUGCCGUUUUUCUUAAAAACUCACGUACUAGGGUUUUUACUUCUCAUUCACUAACCUUAUAUCAUUGCUACUACUCACAUAUUAUUUCUCACUUAAAAGUCACUUUUAAUCAUCAAAUUGAUCCUCGGCCAGUACCGAAAAUUCAUCCGGCGGAAAAAUCGCAAAAAACCCUAAUUUUGCUCAAAAUUUGAAACCAAAGCGUAAAACCUUAUUUUCUAGGUUUAUUUACACUUAGUGUGAUAUAAUGAGGUAGGGGUCUUAAUAAAUAAUAAUUUUCGAAUAAAAGACAUUUUUGAGGGAAAAUGUAGGAAAUUUGCGGGUCCUCACAUCCUCUCCCCCUUAAAAGAAUUUCGACCUCGAAAUUCAUACCUUUUGUCGUGAACAGGCCAGGAUACUUUUCUUGCAUAUCCGUUUCUAGCUCCCAAGUUGCUUCUUCCACUUCAUGAUGCUUCCAUAGUACCUUUACUAAAGGAAUCUGCUUGUUUCUCAGGUCCUUCACCUUUCGAUCCAGUAUCUGAAUAGGUCGUUCUUCAUAGGUUAAAGACUCGUCAAGUUCAACAUCUUCGGGUGGCAAAAUGUGAGUCGGAUCCGGAUGGUAUUUCUUAAGCAAAGAGACGUGAAAGACAUCGUGGAUCCUAGACAAGUUAGCUGGUAACUCAAGUCGAUAAGCCACCUUUCCUAUUCGCUGAAGCACCUUGAAAGGUCCUAUAUAUCGUGGUUGCAACUUUUUCCCUUUUCCGGAUCUAAUCUUUCCCUUCAAUGGUGUGAUCCGAAGAAACACCUUAUCUCCUAUUUCAAACUCCAAGUCUUUCCUCCUAUGAUCGGCAUAGCUCUUCUGACGGCUUUGGGCGGUUUGAAGUCUCUGGCGGAUCACUUUCACCUUUUCAUAGGCUUCCUCAACCCAUGGUAUAGUAGCUGGAUCUAUUACUUUUCUCUCUCCUACUUCAUCCCAAUGGAUUGGGGAUCGACACCGUCGUCCAUACAAGGCUUCAUAUGGGGCCAUUUGAAUAGAGGAAUGAUAACUAUUGUUAUACGCGAAUUCAACCAAAGUCAAGUAUUGACUCCAACUUCCUUUAAAAUCCACAAUACAGGCUCUCAACAUAUCCUCAAGAGUUUGGAUAGUUCUCUCAGAUUGUCCAUCAGUUUGCGGGUGAUACGCUGUGCUAUAACUCAGCUUAGUUCCUAGAGCCUCUUGUAAUUUCUGCCAGAAUCGGGAUACAAACCUAGGGUCUCUAUCAGAUACAAUGCUCACUGGUACCCCAUGUAGUCUCACUACCUCAUCCAUAUAAAGUUUAGCAAGUUUCUCCAAGGAAUAUUUCAUAUUUACUGGCAGAAAAUGUGCAGUCUUAGUCAAUCGAUCCACUAUUACCCAAAUUGCAUCAUGCCCCUUUUGUGUUCGUGGCAAUCCUGACACAAAAUCCAUCGUUAUGUGCUCCCACUUCCACUCAGGGAUCUCUAAAGGCUGUAACAAACCUGACGGCUUUUGAUGCUCAGCUUUCACCUGUUGGCACGUAAGACAUUUUUGCACAAACUGGGCAAUCUCCGCCUUCAUUUUCUCCCACCAAUACAGAUUCCUAAGAUUUUGGUACUUUUUAUUAUUCCCUGGGUGCACCGUAUACCUAGAGCAAUGUGAUUCUUCUAAAAUCUCCCUUUUCAAUUCCUCAUCCCUAGGUACCACGACACGAUUUCGAAACUUUAAAAUUCCAUCAGGGCUUAGAUUAAAAUUAGGUAACUCCCCUUUCUUCACUCUCUCUACCCACUUCUGCACUAUUGGAUCCUUCACUUGGCCCUCUUUGAUUUGUUCCAUCAAUGCCGAUUUCGCCUCAAUAUUUCCAAAAACCACCUUUUCCGGUUCCAAACGAGGUUUCCACUCACAUACAUCUUCCAAUAGGCUCCACUCUCUCACUAUAGAACUUGCCAGUUGAGCCUUCCGGCUUAAAGCAUCUGCUACAACGUUGGCCUUUCCAGGAUGAUAGUUAAUUGUACAAUCAUAAUCCUCUAAGAACUCUACCCACCGACGUUGUCUUAGAUUUAACUCCUUCUGAGAAAACAGAUACUUAAGGCUCUUAUGAUCCGUAUAAACCUCGAAAGUUACACCAUAGAGAUAAUGUCGCCAUUUCUUCAAAGCGAACACUACAGCUGCAAGUUCCAAGUCAUGGGUCGGGUAAUUUUGCUCAUGAGUUUUUAACUUUCGGGAUGCGUAGGCAAUCACUUUCCUAUUCUGCAUCAACACGCACCCUAGCCCUUCUUUUGAAGCAUCGGUAUAAACCGUAUAACUAUCCUUUCCACUGGGCAAAGCUAAAACUGGAGCCAUAGUCAAUUGUUUCUUAAGCUCUUGAAAACCAUUUUCACACUUAACGUCCCAAAUAUACUUUCCUUGUUUCUUGGUCAGGUUAGUCAAGGGUCCUGCAAUUCUCGAGAAAUUCUUUAUAAAUCUGCGGUAGUACCCUGCUAAGCCUAAAAAACUUCGAACCUCUGUGGGAUUUUCUGGCCGCUUCCACUUAGCCACAACUUUCACUUUCGCCGGGUCUACAGCAAGACCAUCUUUUGAAAUUAUAUGACCUAAAAACGCCACCUCUUCUAACCAAAAUUCACACUUACUGAACUUAGCGAAUAGUUGGUGCUCUCUUAGGGUUUGCAAUACUAUCCGCAAAUGUUGUUCAUGCUCCUCCCUUGACCUCGAAUAUACCAAGAUAUCAUCAAUGAACACCACUACAAACCUGUCCAAGUAAGGUUUGAACACUCGAUGCAUCAUGUCCAUGAAUGCUGCUGGGGCAUUGGUUAAACCAAAAGGCAUCACAGCGAACUCAAAAUGCCCAUAUCGAGUGUUAAAUGCCGUUUUUGGCACAUCCUCCUUUCUAAUUCUCAAUUGAUAGUACCCUUGUCGCAGGUCCAAUUUGGAAAACACUACAGCCCCUUGUAACUGAUCAAAUAACUCAUCUAUGUGGGGCAAAGGAUAUUUAUUCUUAAUGGUUACUGCAUUCAAUCCUCGAUAGUCAAUGCACAACCUUAAACUCCCGUCCUUUUUCUUAACAAAUAGAACUGGAGCUCCCCAUGGAGACUCGCUCGCAUGAAUAAACCCUCGUUCUAGCAAGUCUUGCAGUUGCACCUUCAACUCCUUGAGCUCAGCAGGUGCCAUACGAUAAGGAGUUUUAGAGAUGGGAGUGGUUCCGGGUACUAAAUCCACUUUAAAUUCAAUCUCCCUUUCGGGUGGCAAAGACUCCAAUUCUUCCGGAAAUACGUCCGGGUAUUCACUGAUUACUGGCAUGUCUUCCAACUUAGUCUUUUCUCCCGGAGUGUUAAUUAGGAAAGCUAGGUAACCACGAGCCCCACGACUAAGCAAUUUCCUAGCCCUUAUACCCGAAAUAAGUGCAGAAGAGGCUAUCAUACCCCUCACAUCAAGCUUUAGAGUUGCCUCUCCUGGUAUACAAAAUUCAACCACUUUCAUCCUACAAUCUACUCGAGCAUGAUAGUGAGCUAGCCAAUCCAUACCUAGGAUAACAUCGUACCCCUUAAUGGCUAGACUAAUGAGGUCCACUACCAAUUUCCGUUCGCCAAUCCAAAUAUCACAAUUCCUAUACAUCUCAUUCGCAAGCAAAAUUUGAUUACCCGUAGGUGUUCUUACCUCUAAGUCAUAAGGUAACCUUUCAACUUUCGAGUCAAUUCCAAGCAUAAAUACAGGAUUAACAAAAGAGUGAGUAGCACCGGGGUCUAUUAAAAUUCUAGCUAACCGGUGAAAAACAGGGAUUGUACCUUCUACCACCUUGGUUGGUUCAAGCACAGUUGUUUGAUCUAGCGAGUACACUCUGGCCGGUACCCUCGACCUGGCCCCUCCAGUAGUAGUCGGCUUUGGGUUUGACCUGGCAGUCGACUGAGUGUCAUUGAUUAGCGGACAAUUGACCAUCUGAUGAUCCGCACUUCCGCACCUCAAACACUUUCGAGCCUUUCUCCAGCACUCGUCCUCCGUGUGGUUUGAUUUUCCACAAUACCCACAUGUCACUCGGGGAGUGGAGGUUUGACCUCCUUGAGUAAAACCUCUACCUUGACCUCUACCGCCCUGGCCUCCCCUCUGGGCAUUCCCUCUCGGAGCACUGCCCCUAAACGUGUUCGAAAAUCGUCCACCUCCAGCUCCACGACCGGAUUUAGCGGGUGGCAUGCUCCGCUCGCCUCGUACCGACCCUUGGGCUCCACUAGGUGCCCCUUUCCGCUUAGCGUGGAAAUUCCUUACUUGCGUCCUAGCAGUUUCUAUCCUUAAAGCCUUCUCCAGAACCUCCGUGAAAGUAUUGAUUUGGACCGCUGCUAAGGCUUCUUGCAAUUCCACAUUUAACCCUUGUAUAAACCUUCGUACUUUCCUUGGUUCCGUAGCAAUCAAUUCGGGAGCGAAUUUAGAUAAUUUGGUAAACUGAGUCUCAUACUCAGUUACACUCAUCAGUCCCUGACGGAGUUUAAUGAAUUCGUCCUCUCUCUUCUCCUGGACGAUGGGUGGAAGGUAUUUUUCGUUGAAGUCCCGUACAAAGUUUAGCCAAGUCCAGGCAGUUUCCUCUCUCUCCCACUUGGCCCUCACUACAUUCCACCAAGCCUUAGCUGGCCCUUCAAAUUGGAAUACGGCAAAUUGGACUUGUCUCUCCUCAGUGUAGUUUAGGGCAGCAAAGAUAUUUACCAUGGCCUCCAGCCAUUUCUCAGCCUCAUACGGGUCUGGUCCUCCUAGGAAUUUGGGUGGAGAGAACUUCUGGAAUCUCUCCAAGGCUCUAUCCUGCCCUGAAUCAGGGUCUCUAGGUUGAUUUACAGAACCUUGACCCUGUUGCUCCACCAACCGAGUUAAAAUAUUGGUCAUCUGUUGGAUGGCAGUGGCCACCUGAUCUUCCCCGGUAGUCUGGGGUUCAGGUUGCUGUUCAACCGCUGCCUCCCUCUCCUCUAUCGGUUCAGGCACCGGUUCCUGUACCUGCUCACCCUCACGGCCUCGCCUGGAACCGCGUUCUCGAUUAGUUUUCUUGGUCCGACUCCUUUUAUCCUCCAUGUUUGAGAGUCAACCAACUAGAACAUAUAAACGGGGUAAGGUACGACUCAUAUAUCGCGUUGCAACAAUAUAACUAGAGGCAAAUAAACACGUAAGAAACAAGCACUUUAUUUACAUAUCAAACAGGUCGUAUAUACAGGCCAACAAGUCACGUAGUCAAAGGCUAUAACAGCCAAGGAACAUAGAACAAAAGAUAUUUACAUCCACCAGGACCCGUCUAAAACAAAAACAAAAGAAGACAUGUCGUCCCACUAUGUUCCUAACUAGCCCACAAAACCUCCUAAAACCCCGAUCCUAACAAGUGGUCUGGCUAGACGCCGACCCAACUGACUCCGAGGACGCGCUCGGCUCCUCCUCCAUGUCCUCCUCAGGAUCCUCCUCAGGGGCACCGGGAGCGGCAGGAGCUACAGGCGCUUGGCCUUCCUCGGCCAAGUCCUGGAUCACGUCCUCAACAAGUGCCUCGCACUCGGUCAGGAUGUGGUCAGUCCGGUCUCGUAUAUGGCCAACUAUGUGCAUCAAACGUCCAGUCACCGCAUGAGCCUGAUCACGGUAAGCAUCUGACUGCUGCUGCUCUGCCAGAACCGCGGCCUCCAACUCUCGUAUCCGAGCUCCCUGAUCUCGGAGAGUGGCCUGGAGACGCUCUAUCUCCGCAAAGCACCUACGAUUGGUGCUACUCGGUCUCCGAUCGUCAUCUAUAGCAAGCACUACUCGGUCAGGGUAAGAGUAGGUCUUCCAGCAAUCGCAGCGCCGGAUCUUGCGCGCUGGGGACCACCGCUGCACUGGCCCGCCGGGAACCUCCUGGUAUGUGAUCACACGACAUACAGGUCCCGCUAGAUAUGGUUCGACCACGGGAGCGUCAGUAGGUGCGUCAGUAGGCACCUCAGGCACCUCAGUAGGUAUCUCGGUCGGUAUGUCAGUAGGUGCAGGCUGGGACGGUCCAGCACCCCCAGAAGAGUCAGUGUCUGCCAUCACCUAAGUUUGCAAAUAACAUUGCAAAGGUAAGUACACAUCAAGCACAAAACAAGGCUAAGGCUAAACUCGAUAAUAAAACCCUAGCCUAUCAAGUCAAGCACUCAAACUAUCCAGAUCAAUUCAAGCCUAAGCUCUGAUACCACCUGUGACGACCCCACCUCUCCCUAAGGCGUACCAAAGGGUCCGCCGAACCCUUUGGUACGCCUUAGGGAGAGGUGGGGUCGUCACAAGUCACCUUACUCUCCCAAUCUUUAGUCAAGACCUUCAAAAUUUUUCUGUUUUUCUCACCUAGGGAGUAUUCAUUUUCUAGCACUUCUAAAUCCUUAAUGAGAUCAUUGAAUUUACAAUACAUCUUGUCAAUGUUUUCAUGAGGUUCCAUUUUGAAUGAUUCAUAUUUGGUGACUAGGAUAGAUUUCUUUUGUUCUCUCACAUUUUCACUCCUUUCAUGAAUUUCUCUAAAUUUAUCCCAAAUCUCUUUAGCAGACCUAUAACUUUUGCCUCUAAUAGACUCAUUUGAAUUUAAAGCACGGUACAACACAUUCACAGUCUUGGCAUUCAAAGUGAGAUGAGUUCUAUCAUCACCAGUCAACUCAUUUCUUAUUUUUGGUCUUGGUCUAUGAGAGACAUCAUCAAUUAUGCAGGCAUCAUAUGGACCUUCAUUAAUAAUAAACCACAGUUCAAUAUCAAUAGAUUACAAGAAGAUAAUCAUUCUUUCCUUCCAACUCACAUAAUUGGAUCCAUUAAACAUUGGGAGUCUAGUGAUAGAUUGUCCUUUAAAAAAUAUGGCAUUGUUGGUUGUCAUUCUUACUCCAAAGCCGAUUGAACUUAAUCUCUAGGAGACGAAACUCUGAUACCAAUUGUAAGGAUCGAAAACAACCUAAGAGGGCGGUAAAUUAGGUAAAUUAAAAACUAACCAAUUUAUGAGACAUUUUUUGGUUAAAUAUGAAAUUUACUCCCUUUUCGAUGACCACACAAUGGAACAAUCAAUAAGAAAGUACGAAUGCUUGUGAGUAGAAGAGAUGAAUAAUUUAUAUUGCAAGAUAGUAAAUAAAAGAGAUAGAGUAGCAAACCAAAUUCCAAACUCCUCUUGAGUUUGAAUAUCACUUUAUAAAGCAAGUUUCUUCUAGUUGAUCAAUUACAACCAAUCUUUGUGUAUAAAGGAAGGAUCACUUCCUUCUUGCUCCAAGCCAUACUUGAUCAAACUAGGAAGUUUUACUAUUACUCGGAUAACCCUUACAAAGCUACACUAUUUAAGUAAUUUUCUCACACAAGAAAAGUUUAUACAAGAUUCACACAACUAAGAGUAUAAAUCUUCUUUAAGAGAAUUUUUUCACUAAAAAUGCUUUUGAUUUUUUGUAGUCUCAAUGUGCAAAAGUGUUUUGAAGUGGUUGACUUUGUUCUAUUUAUAUGAGACCAAAAAGUUCCUCCAUUAAUACUUCCAACGGAUAGAGGGCAGCUGAAGAGUCAACUAGUCGUUGAUGGUGUCGGGCGUCCGGUGAUCUUGUUUCUUGCAUCCAACAGCAGGCAGUGAACAAAAGAGAUUUUCUUUAAUUCAUUCGGACGUCUGGUACCUUCAUAGUUCGUGUCCGAAAGCAGAUAAUAAAAUUGAGAAAUUUUCUUCAAUCCUUUCAGACAUCCGGUACCUCCAAUACUCUGCGUCCAAAAUCUUGUGCAGAUUACCGGACGUCUAGCGCUCUAAUGUUUUACGUCCGAUCUAGGUUGGUGAGCUUAGGGAAAUGUUUUGAUUCUUUCAGACGUCUGGUGAUGGAGUUCUUUAUGCAUCUGAAGUUGCUCAAUGAUUGUCGUACGUCCGAUCCAGUCUUUACGUGCGUCCGACAGCCUCAGCAACAGCUUUACUUUUGAACCUGAUUUGCUUUCAUUUCUGAAAAGGUCUUUGAGGAGAUAUUAGUAACAUUCAUUUGUUUUGUAAUCAUCAAAAACUAAGAACUGAGAUUAACAAUUGGCUUAAAUCAAAUCCUAGCCUGCCAGACAAAUCAGAGAAACAAAAUAAGUAACUAUUCACAAUGGAAACUCCGGCCAUAUUACUCUUCUGUUCUUUUGAUUAUGGUUACCCCAGAGUAUAAAUCUUAACUAAUCUCUACUUAAUAUGGACGAGCUCUUGGAUCUUUGAAAGAAUUACUAUCAUUACUUAUAUACAUAACAAAAUACGGAAUCAUACUCCUUAACAUAUAAGUUCCACACCCUAACUCACUCUCCAAUUCUCACUUACAAAGUUGUUCAAGAAGAAUCCCUAAUCUUUUGCUCUCACUAGUGCCUUAUUAUUGUCCUCUCAGACCACUUUUCUACUGCUUCGAGAUCAAACCCUCCGUGAACCUUAGGUGGGGCGAACUUCAAGAAUCGCUGUAAAGCUCUAUUCUCACCCCUCUCUUGGUUCUUAGGUUGAUUGAUUGGCUCAGGGCCUUGGCGCUCAACUAACCUUGCUAAGAUAUCAGUCCCACGGUUAAUAGCAGUAACUACUUGGUUAUCCCCUUUAUUUUCUUGUCCUUAAUUUGAUCCAAUUGUCGAUCCCUGAUCAUCCCUUGAGUUUGGGGUUGCCUAACCCCUCGCCCUCUCUCCCUUUCACUUCUUCGGCCGUCCAUAAUUUAAUAUUUUCUAAAGGUAUAAUACAAAAUAAAUGUACAUAAGCGAAGUUUAAAAAUGACACUUUAAUCGUGAAAAAUGAAAAAUCAAAAUAAUUACAAAUAUGCACAUCCCAUAACAUAUAUUAGAAAUCAUAGAGUAAUAAAGUUAAGCACCUCAUAAGUAACGUUCAAGUGCUUCAAAAGAUAGAUAGCAUAGGUAAGCAAAAUACAUUGGCCUUUGAACAAGCACCACCCCGACUAUCCUAGACAAAAACUAUCAAAGUAGACUAAAUCACUAGUUUAGUAAUUGGCGGAGUCAGAAGUCUCUGCUAUUUCAGUAGAAUCAUUUUUAUAUUCAGCACUAGGAGUUCCUGCUUCAUGUCCCUCGUCGAGUAUCUUGCCAUCCACCACUUGUUCGACCAAGGUGACACACUCAUCCAUCAUCCCCUCAGUCCGGUCUCUAAUUUCAUGUACUACCCUAGCAAGUUGGCGCUUAACCUCCUAAAGCUGCUCACGAAGAGUCUCAGCCUUUUUCCGCUCCUCAAGUACAUCCGUCUCCAAUUCAUGAAUUCUAGCAGUUUGGACAUCCACCGUCGCUCUCAGUCCUAGAUUAUCCUCUCGAACUACCCUAACUUUCUUGGAUAACCGCCUCCGAUCAUCGAUUACUGUUAGCACCACUUCGUUAGGGUACGAGUAAGUCUUCCAACAAUCGCAUGAAGACCUAGUUUGACGAAAGAGGACCCAAGGCCUCACUUGAUAACAAAUCACUGGAAGGUGCCUCAGAGGUGACCCAUCUCCAACAUUUCCUUCCAUAACCUACAAUUAACCCACAAAACUAAAGGUUAGGACCUUAUAAUCACUGGUGCCAUUCAAAAAUUUAGCUUAAGGUUUAUCACUAAUUUCUAUGACCAAGAGUUCACGAUUAAAACUCCUAACCUUAUUCUAGAUAUUUUAAACCUAGCACUCUGAUAGCUAAUACUACUAUUUGCACUGAUUCCUUUCAUUCCUACAAGUAUAAGGAUAAUUCGAAUCUCAUUCAAUCUUUCACUACUAAUCUCUCACAUAAUGUUUCCUUUCGAUAUAACACCACAAAAUUCCUCAGUUUCGUUUCCACCAAUGCCAUAUAAGAAACUUUCAAGUACCCAUUUCUCUUUAACCACUAGGACACAGUAGGUUCUCCAGUUCAGGUAAUAUUCAAGUUAAUCCCACAGUCCGGCAUCCUAAAUUUCAAGUUUAGGAUACACUACAAAAUCUGAAACCUAAAACUCUUAUACCAACUAUUACGCCCCCACUUCUCCCUAAGACGAACCCUAGGGUAUCAGUAGAAGGCCUGCCCAACUCUCGUCAGGACUCAUGCACUCAUUCAAGCUUAAUAUAGGAUUACAAAUUAAUCAUCGACUUAAUUAAGAAGUAUUUCGAAUAUACAAGCUCGAAACUCCCAAGUAUACCAUUUAUAAUUACAAACCAUAAAAUCCGAGCAUACAAAAUUUACACUUUGAUACCAACUGAAGCCUAGGAAUUUGUGAUGCCCCACUUCUCCCUAAGGCGAACCAAAGGGUAUCCGCGGACGCCGGCCGAGCUCUUGCCAGGACUCAAGACAAUUCGAUUCAUAUUACAAGCCUAAUAAAGAGAAGUCGCUUUCAUAAACGAAUCUCUAAGUCUUAUAUCACGAAUUCAAAAUACAUCCACAGCCCAAAAGAUAUAUCAGUUCCAAAAUAACCAACAGCCGAAAGUCUAGUCAAUUACAUUCAAAAUCCGAAUACAAAAGUACAUCUAAAGGUUCUGCCGAGUUUCACUCCAUGUCCAUUCCUAUUAAGGAACACAAAUCUACGAGGUGAGCAAUAGCUCGUGAGGCCAAGAACACACAUGCAAGCAUAUUACCCAAGUAGCAAUCCCAUUCAAUAAUGAAAACAAUAACAUUCGAAUAAUUAACAAUUCGUGUGAAAAUUUAAACAGAAACAAUUCAAGGAUAUGGUAAUUCUCAGGAGCUAAGUUCCACUUGCUUUGCUAGAUUUCAAUCGUAUACCUUCCCAUGAUGACACUCCGUCAACCAGGAUGGUAUUUCCAAUCCGUAGAACUCCACUUAUUUCUCAGGUCCGUCCACCGUACACCGCACCGGACCCGCACGACAUUUAUAAGGCGAUACUCCACGAGUAUACCAAGCAAUAUCUCUCCAAUAGAUCAAGCUUAUCAUGCAAUUCUCAUGGCUCACCGAGGUGUCCGACCAGGCCUAUGUCGGCUCGAGUCCCAAGGUCGGCCUAUGAGUUUGGGCGUCCCCCAUGUAACAUUUGUGUGUCGAAAAGAUUCACUCCAACGACGUGUGCAGUCAUAGCAUACAAUUUCAUUUCAUUCAGUCAUUCAAUCAGUCAUUUCAUUCAAUCAAGUCAUUUAUGAUUCAUUCAUUUCAUUUUAAUCAAUUCAAUCAUGAGUCAUUCAUUUCAAAUGAGAACGAGUGCGGUAAAGUACACACUCGACUUCAUUUUCAAAGUUUCCAAUCAUGAACAAUAGUUAAGCAGGUAUCAAGUUUGCAUACACUUGACACUCACCAAGUAAUCAAGAAACAAGUACAGGCAUUUGUUUUAGGCAUCUCCCGUGAGAUCCUCUUGAAAGUCCUCUUGAGUGCCUGAGUAAUUAAUAAUUAACUAUCACUUAUAAACGUCAAUUAUUAAGAAAGAUUGCAUACUUGUACAAUCUAAGAAAAUUUGAUGAAAAUGAGCUUAAUUACUUGUAAAUCGAGACUCAAAAAUGGGGUUUUAAAACACAAGCGAAAUUUGAUUUUCAUCUUUGAAUUCAAGUGUAAAACGGUCUAGCAAUAUUGAAGGAAAAUAGAGAGUUCGCAACCCUCAAUUUCCUUUAAGUUCGAAAAUUUCAGAUUUGUCGAGUAAUCUUUGAAAAAUCGUAUCUCACUCUCUAUAAGUCCAAAAUUCGAAAACUUGGUGCCGUUGGAAACUAUUUUCGUAGUACUAAAAGUGCUAGAAGACACUUUUCCAUGAUUCAAAAUAGAAGACAUUCGAAUUUUGGCUUUGAGUUGUUUUGGCUAUCAAGACAGUUUUGGGGUUGGUUUUUGGCAAACUCUGGAAAUUCAGCAAAAUUCACACAAAACGAACUAGCCUCUGAAAUUUGGAAUUCAAUUAGAUUUACAAUCAAAGUUUAAAACAAAGCAAGCGGAACAAGGAUUGGAGUUUUGAGUACCAAGAUAUGGCAGCUCAAAGUUACCCAAAAGUUGGGACUGUUAGACCAUUUUUCAGGUUUAAAAAAUAGAUUUUGAAUCUUUAGUUGAGCAUUGAAAUGGAUUCGGAAUGGCACCAAAUUUGGUAUGAUUAUACUACUAUGUAAGGGCUAUUCCUCUGUCAAAUUUCAUGUAAAAAUUCAUUUAGAAUUUUGGUUAACAAAACUAUUAAAGUUCAACAAUUUGCUAAGGCAAAUCUGCCUUGCACUUUCGUUUUUCUUUUCUCAAACAUUUGGCCAAGGAAAAUUCCUCGAACAUGAUUCAUUUAUGAAGACAAAGUCUAGAAAACAUCCCAAAAUACAUUUGGUAGGUGAUUAACACCACGGAUUUCGAAUAACAAGUCCCAAAUUAAGAUUAGCUAUAAAUCAGUCCAGAAUUAGGAUUUUCUUUCACGAAGACAGCUCUGAAAUCCGGCCACAACUCACUCAAUUCAACUCAGAAUUGAGCAAGGUCAGUGGCAUUGAAAACUACAUUCAUAAGGCUACAAUUUCUCAGAAGAAUCAUUUUAAAAUUCUAUCCACAACUAACUCAUAUUUGAGCAUCAAGUCACAGCUCAAAAUAAGGUUUCUAGUACAGACGAGAAACAGAACAGGCAACUUUACAAGGUUGGUACGGCUCACUCAGGUAGAAUCAAGGCAUACAUUUUAUACCGUUGAAAAACUAGAAAUGUCUAAUUUCUAAUGCCGUAAACAGAACUCGAUUUCGACGUCGGACCAAAGGGUUAUGGCCGAAACAAAAUCACUACAAAAGAGGCUCUGGUUACGUUUCCAGUUUUGCUACAUUUUCGAAAUCUCAACUUUUGGCCAACCAAAUUGGAUGAUUUUUGGUGAAAACUUUUCACACAACCCACACAACAUAUUGACAUCAAAAUCAAGUUAAUUGAACCACAAAAAAAUGCACUAAGGGUCACGGCAAAACAGGGGCAGAAGCGUCAUUUUUGCUCAUCUCACUUCCUUUGAGCUUUCUUUCACAACACAAUUUAUUUUCACUAGAUUAAGCACAAAUCCAACAUAAAUAACAUCAAAUCAGUUCAUCAAGCCACUGUGGGAUUUCAUAGACCCCACUCACAAGAUUUCUAACAAUAUAAAGCUACUAAUAUGAAUCUAUGAGCUCACAAGUGCAAUACAACUUAUAUAAACCAAGAUUCAAGAGGUUGAUCAUCAUUUACCUCCUUAGAUGGCUAGAGCAGAAAUUUUUGGUCAUCUUAAGCCCAAGAAAACCAUGACAAAAAAGCUCGUUGCCUAGCUUAAGUUGAUUUCCAAAUAGUUUGCAAGUUGUGUGUAAAUUUUGGAGUGAUUUGAUGAAGAAAUGAAGCAAGAAAUGAUGAAGAUUUUGGUUGUUUUGUCCUUGAAGAUGGCCGGCUGUUAGGGAGAGAGAAAGGAGAGUGUUUUGUUGCAAAUGAAGCUUCCUUGAGAAGCUUAAAUGUGUGGUUCAAAAGUGUUCAAAAGUCAAUUCUCCCUCCGCGCACGCACGCGCGCGUUUCGUACUUGAUUCCUUUCGAGUUUGUUUCACUAGUGCACUAAAUCUCUAAUGCACUUCCAUUCAUACUAUUAUUAUUCAUUCUUAAUAGCCCUAAAAUAAAGGUUUUAAAUCCAUCAAUUAAUCGCGCGCGCGAAAUCGCGUACUUUCGAUUUAUGCGCGAUAGAGUGAAAUUUCUAAUAAAUUCUUAUAACGAUAUAUAACUAACUAACACUUGAGCACUUAAACAUAAAAAAAUAUACCUAUUUCAAGACUAAUGUACAAGUCUCUAAUUUUUCAAACUUAUUGUAUUCUCGAAUCGAUUAUUAUCUCCAAACGCACAUUCACUAUUCUCACUAAAUGAUUUUUCAAAAAUUAAAUUUUGUAACAAGUCAUUUUAAAAAUAUAUGCAAGUCAUAGUUUCAUGUAAUUGGGUCUAAAAAGGUUGGAAUUAAAUAUUCGUAGCAAACGAGCAUUUAAAUAUUUAAAUAAACUAGAAAUAGAGGUUUAAAAUAAGUAAUUUUGCGAGUUCUCAAAUCUUCUCUCCCUUAAGAGAAUUUCGUUCUCGAAAUUAUACCUUGAUUUGUGAAUAAGUUUGGAUAUUUUCUUCGAAUCUCUUCUUCAACUUUCCAGGUUGCCUCCUCUAGUUCAUGGUUCCUCCAAAGAACUUUUAUCAAUGGAAUCCACUUGUUUCUCAGUUCUUUCACCUUACUAUCUAGAAGCUUCACUGGUUUCUCCUCAUAGGUCAGCGUCUUAUCAAUUUCAAUACUUUCCAGUUGCAAGAUAUGAGAAAGGUCUAGAUGAUAUUUCUUAAGCAUGAAUACGUGGAACACAUUAUGAAUCCGAAACAGAUUCGGUGGCAAUUCCAACUUAUACGCUACAUUUCCCACGCGUUGGAUAACCUUAUAAGGUUUUACAAACCUCGGUUGUAAUUUCUUUCCCUUCCUAGACAUUAAACUUGCUUUCAGAGAUAUAAUCUUAAGAAAUACUAGAUCCCCAACCGCAAAUUCUAAGUCCUUCCUCUGAUUAUCUACAUAACUCUUUUGACGACUUUGAACGGUCUGAAUCCUCUGGCGUACCAACUUUACUUUCUCAUUAGCUUUUUCAAUCCAAGGCACUGUAGUCGGGUUUAAAAUCUUUCAUUCACCUACUUCAUCCCAACAAAUCGAAAACCUAUAUUUUCGACCAUAAAGUGCUUCGUACGGGGCCACUUGAAUAGAAGAGUUGAAUCUAUUGUUAUAGGCAAAUUCCACCAAUGUCAAAUACUUACUCCAACUUUCCCCAAAAUCCAAAACACAAGUUCUUAACAUGUCCUCAAGGGUUUGAAUCGUCCUCUCAGACUGUCCAUCGGUUUGGGGAUGGUAAGUAGUACUAAAAUUCAAUCUAGUCCCCAAUACUUCUUGUAUCUUUUGCCAAAACCUUGAAACAAUUCUCGGGUCUCUAUCGGACACAAUAUUUACAGGUAUUCCAUGUAACCUGAUAAUCUCAUCCAAAUAUAACUUAGCUAACCUCUCCAAUGGAUACUUCAUAUUAAUCGGCAGAAAAUGAGCCAAUUUGGUCAAUCUAUCCACUAUUAUCCAAAUAGCAUCAUGGCCUCUUUGUGUCCUAGAUAACCCUGAUACAAAAUUCAUAGUGAUGUUUUCCCAUUUUCACUCAGCUAUCUCCAAAGGUUGCAACAAUCCUGAUGGUUUCUGAUGUUCAGCUUUAACCUGUUAACAAAUCAAACAGGUCAGGACAAAUUGAGCAAUAUCUUUCUUCAUGCUCUCCCACCAGUACAGACUCCUCAAGUUUUGGUACGUUUUAUUUCCUCCAGAGUGUACCGUAAACUUCGAUCGGUGUGCCUCUUCAAAAUUUCCUUCUUAAGCCCUUCAUUUUUUGGAACUAUUAUUCGAUUUCGAAACCUCAGUAUACCAUUUAUUCCCAACUUAAAGUCCGACUUUUCGCCCUUUUUGAUUCUUUCCAACCACUUUUGCACCUCAGUGUCCUUUUCCCGGGCUUCUCGAAUACAUUCCAACAAAGUGGAAUUCACUACAAUAUUUCUAAGAAUUACUCUCCUUGGUUCAAGUCUAGGAUUCCAAUAACUAACUUUUUCUAACAAGUGCAUCUCUUUAAUCAUUAAUCCGGCCACUUGUACUUGAUGAUUUAAAGCAUCGGCUACUACAUUGGCCUUUCCUGGAUGGUACUUUAUCGUGCAAUCAUAGUUUUCCAAAAAUUCCAUCCACCUACGUUGCCUCAAAUUCAACUCCUUUUAAGAGAACAAAUACUUAAGGCUUUUGUAAUUAGUAAAAACCUCAAAUGUUACUCCAUAAGGUAAUGCCUCCAUUUCUUUAAAGCAAACACUAUAGCUGCUAACUCCAAGUCAUGAGUCAGGUAACUUCUUUCAUGCAGUUUCAACUUCCUAUAUGCAUGCACUAUCACUUUCUUAUUUUGCAUUAAAACACAUCCCAAGCCUUACUUGGAAGCAUCAAUGUAAACCACGAAUCUAUCUUUUCCAUUCAAUAAAACUAAUACAGGCGCUCUUGUCAAACAUCUCUUCAAUUCCUAGAAACUCUCUUCACACUUAAAACUCCAUAUAAACUUUUCACUUUUCUUGGUAAACUCAUUCAUAGGUCCAGUAAUUCUAAAAAAAUCCUUAAUGAAUCUCCGGUAAUACCCUGCUAACUCUAUAAAACUUCGAAUCUCAGUAGGGUUUUCUGGUCGUUUUCACUUCGAAACAGCUUCAACUUUAGCUGGAUCCACUUUAAUCCCAUCCUUAGAAAUUAUGUGUCCCAAGAAUGUCACUUCUUUCAACCAAAAAUCACACUUGCUAAACUUAGCAUACAAUUGAUGUUCCCUCAGAGUUUGUAAAACAAUUCUCAAGUGCUUCUCGUGAUCCUCCACAUUCUUAGAGUACAUUAAUAUAUCAAAUACCGCCACAGAUUAAUCCAAAUACGAUUUAAAACCCCGAUGCAUUAAGGUCAUAGUUGCUGCUAGUGAAUUAGUCAACCAAAAGGGCAUAACUAAAAAUUCAAAGUGUUUCUAUCUUGAAUUGGGAGCGGUCUUUAGCACAUCAGUUUCUAGGAUCCUCAACUGAUAAUAGUCCUACUUUAAAUCCAACUUAAAUAGUACCACGACUCCUUACAGUUAAUCGAAUUCUUAUCCAUGUAAGGCAAAAGGAUAGUUGUUCUUAAUGGUCACAUCGUUCCAGUCUCGAUAGUCUAUAUAUAGCCUCAAGCUUCUACUCCAAAUAUGAUAACCUAUCCCUUAAUCUUUAGACUCAUUAAAUCUAUCAAAUAUUUCCUUGCACUAACCCAAUUUUCACAAUCUUAAUAUAUCAAUUUGGCAAUCAAAUAUUAGGUCCUAACUUCAACCCUAAGUUCUCGAUUUUUUUUCACCGAUCCCUGGUCAUCCCCAAGACCUUAGGGUUGUCUAUAUUCUCAAAUAUGAUCUUGAUCGUGUUUACUACCGUUCAUGUCUUAUUAUAAAUCUAAAAGUGUGGGGCAAAGUUUAAAUUUACAUAUAAGCCAUGAAGUUAAAAGCAAAGUAAAUUCUCAUAUGUUAUAAAAGAUCAUAAUAGUUGCACCAGUGAGGAUAAUUCAUCAAAUCAUUUCAAAAGAAAAGAGGAGACAAUAAAGUCAUGGGAAAGCGGAUUAAGUCGCAAUUGUACGAAAUACCAAAAGGGCUUUGGUGCUCAACUAACCGUGCUAAGACAUCAAUCAUAUGGUCAAUAGCAGUAGCUACCUGAUUGUUUCCUUCAUUUCUAGGAUUUUGGUUCGCCCCAAUUGCCAUUCCCUAAACAUCCCCUUGAACUUGGGGUUGCUUAACCCCUUGCCCUCAGUCCCUUUUCAUUUCUUUGGCCGCUCAUAAAUUUAACAUUUAUAAAGGCAUGACGUAAAAUAAGUGCACACAAAUGAAGUUUGAAAAGUGACACUUAAUCAUGCAAAACGAAAAUAAAAGGGAAGACACCAAAAUAAUCGCAAAUAUGUACAACCUAACCAUAGAUUUGAAGUUAUAAAGCAAGAAGGUCAAGCACUUCACAAGUAACGUUCAAUCAUUUCAAAAGGUAAGAAGUAUAGUUAAACAAAACACAAAAUGCAAUGGCCUUUGAACAAGCACCACCCCGACUAUUCUCAACAAAACUUUUAAAGUGGUCCAAAUCACUAAUUUAAUGAUUGGUGGAGUCAAAAGUCUCUACUAUUUCAGUAAGAUUAUUUUUCAUCUUCAGCACUAGGAGUUGUCUCAUCACUUUCCCCGUCAAGUAUCUUGCCAUUCACCACUUGAACAACCAAAGCAAUACACUCAGCCAUCAUCCCCUCAGUCCGGUCUUCUAAUUUCAAGUAUUACCCUAACAAGUCGGUGCUUAGCCUCCGAAAGCUGCUCACAAGGAGUCUCAGUCUUUUUCCAUCCCUCAAGUACCUCCGUUUCAAUUCAUGAAUUCUAAUAGUUUGAGCAUCCACAGUUGCCCAAAAUCCUGGAUUAUUCCCUCGAACUACAGUAUUUUUCUCAAAUAACCAUCUCCAGUCAUUGACCACCGUUAACACUCCGUUAUUUGAGUACGAUUAAGUCCUCUGGCAAUUACACGGGGUCCUAGUUCAGCAAGUUGGAUUAUAUCUCCAAUGAAUUUCCCCUAGACCUUUCUCGAUAACGGAUUACCAGAAGACAUCUCCGAGACGGCUCAAUACCAUUGUUACCUUCCAUAAAUUACAAUUAAUAUUAAAAGCUUAGAUGGAUCCAAGUAUACUAAAUAAACUAGGUCCAAUAACUAGGUCCGAUCAUUUCGUACUAUCCCACAUAUCUCUUACAAGAUCGAGACUCCUAAUUAUCCAUUAAUUCAAACCCAGGCUUAAAUUUCAAUCCCUACAAGCGGUCACUUAACUUUCAAACCAGUCCCACAGUCCAACAUCCUAAACUUCAAGCCUAGAAUACAUUACAAAGAUCUGAAAUCUAACCUCUGAUACCAACUGUGCCGGCCCACUUCUCCCUUAGGCGAACCAAAGAGUAUCCGCGGACGCCGGCCCAACUCUCACCAGGACUCAAGACAAUUCGAUUCAUAUUACAAGCCUAAUAAAGAGAAGUCGCUUUCAUAAACGAAUCUCCAAGUCUUACAUCACGAAUUCAAAAUACAUCCACAUCCCAAAAGAUACAUCAGUUCCAAAAUAAAUAACAGCCGAAAGUCUAGUCAAUUAUGUCGCGCCCCAUUUUUUUGAUAAAAUAAAUAAAUGGUUUGGAAAAAUGUAUUUGUGAUUGGAAAAUGAAUUGUGAUUUAAAAUAAAAAUGGGUCUAAAUGAGGUUUUGAGAAUGCGACUAUUUGACCCAAAAUGUAGUUUAAAAAGGGUUUUUGAAACAAUUGGAGUCGCCACUUGGUAAUGUGUUAAGGUGUACCAAGUCACCUAAAAAGUGAAUUUUUUAAAGAAAAAAUAGGAAAAAGUAGUAAGAAACCCCUUUUAAACAACUCCUAGUCCACGUAAACCAAAGAAAAAGGCUCGGGAGUCACAUUUGACAAAGGGGAAGGCAAGGAUAAAAUCCAAGGCACCCCUUUGACCUAGCCAAGGCUAGUUGCAUGAUUUAAUCAAAGAUUUUCUUAUUUUAACCAAAGAAUUUAUUACAUUUGGAUGCACUACAUGAAUGCAAACCCUAGACCUAGGGGUAUUGGGGGAAAUUUCUCUUCAAAGGUUGAGUGGUGCCAAUCACAUUAGUUGUGAAGCCCAAUAACGAUCCUUUGAAGAAGUCACGAAUAAUGCGAGUGGGAUGCAAAUGAAUGGAAUGCAUGUAUGCAAUGUGAGGACAUGAGUUUGAAAAAGUAAUAAAAAAACAAUAAAUAUGUAAAUGAAAAUGUGCACGUGAGUGGGCAAGGUACGGUAUGUGAAAUGAUAAUAUGAAGUGCAUGUGUGCAAGUGAUGAUAAAAGUGUUCGUGUGCAAGUGAAGAAACAUAAAGGUGCACGUGUGCAAAAUGGGACAAAAGUGUUCGUGUGCAAGUGAAGGGAUAAAAGGUGUACGUGUGCAAAUGGGAUGAAAAGUGAAAGUGUAAUGAUAGAGCGGAUUUAGAAUGCAUGAGCCUAGGGAAUGCAUGCAUAUUGGGUACGGGGAGACCUAAAUCGUGACUCAAUUUACCCUUUUAUAGAGGGAAUACAAGCGUGCUAAGGCUUAGAAAAAGCCACACUCGUCUAUAUCCCAUAUUUAAGGGGACUCUCAAGCAAAUGAACCCUAUAACUAGAAUGAAAUGCAAAAAUCCUAAAAUGAAAGGAAAAGGGGUUCGAGGGGCAUGCCAAAUGAUAAACUAAGAAAAAUGCAUGACAUGUAAUGAUCACGCAAAUAUGUACUAACGAAGGGAAAUCCCUAAGGGUCUAGCGUUGGACUAGCCCAUUCUAUGAAUUCCUACUAGCAUUGGACUAGCGGAAACGUACAUUCAUCCAUCACAUUCAUUCAAGGAUAUGGAAAGCGAGUAGACAUGUCAAUCACAUAGCACAUAACACUUAGCAUGCAUAUCUAAAUGCCAAAACCUAAGAAAACGAUUAAACAUAUAGCACAUAGACAUGCAUGACACAUAAGGUGAUUAAGGCCCUAACUAUUACAUUUGCUAGCUAGGCACAAGUCUUCAACAGCUCUUCAUCGAAUGCUCCUCCAAACCCUAUCUAUUACAAGCCAAGAGGUGUACACAUACCCCAUAAAGAAUAACUUAAAUAAAAAGCAAAAGUAAAUGACAUAAAUAAAAGAAAUUAAGGAAAGGCUAAGAAAGCAAAGUAGACAUGUAUUUCUCACGUAGCACGUUGGUUCACAUAAGAGUGACGGAAAAAAGAUAAAAGAAAUUAUACCUCCCUUGAAAUGAAGCUCUAAUGAAGUGAAAUCAACUUAUUUAUCCUCCAAAAUAAAAGAAAUGGUCAAGGUACCAAUUUAUUUGGCAAAUAAUCACAAAGGAUAAAAAAUAAACAUGAAUUUGAAUCAAUUAAAUCAUGUCAACAAACCACAUUUAAGAAGUCAAAAGAAGAAAGGACUUGAUUGCAAAAAUUGAUAAAAUUUUGGGGCCAAAAUUAAAGAAAAAUAAAGUUUAGGGACCUAUUUACAAUUAUACCAGGGACCCAAUUGAAAGAAGCUAAAAGUGUUCAGGCCCAUGACAGAAAUAUUUAGAAGCACAGGGACUGAUUCGCAAAUUUAUUUUCUGGUUCCUGAAUGGAUCAAACCACUGGGCUGUUUUAUUUAUUCGUUUGGGCCGGAAACCAUCCUAGCCCAACCGAAAGCCCUAAGAGAACAAGCAGGCAGCCUGUCGUAAGUCCAAACAAAACUCAACUAAAACAUAUGGGUUUUAUUUCUCAAGCCCAUGUCAACAAUCCAGACAAAACAAGUCAUUAAUCCAUUGGUCAAACCCAAACAACAAAUCCAGACCAAACCUCAUCUUAUUUCAUGAAAACCCAACAUGAAUGAACCACAUUUUAUAUUCAAGCCCAACCAUGCAAACCAUAAAAUCAACUAAAAAUUUAAUCCUAAUAAUGUCAUAACAUCAAAAAUCAAUGUACCCAAAAGAUUACUUAACAAACAUAAAAAAAGAAAAAGAUGAUAACAUCUAAAAAAAAGAGAAGCAAGGCCAACUUUUCCAAUCUUUGAGUCAAAUCAGAAUAAGGGGAAAACUUGAGGGUUUCAAAUGCAACCAAAACAGGGAUCCAAUUGGAUGGAAUCAUGAAGGUUUUGGGGUCGAAUUUAAAGAAAAAGUAAAAUCCAGGGGUCAAUUUGCAAAUUUCCAGAUUUUUGCAAACAAAUGGUUCGCUGAAUCUCUCUUCUUCGACGAUUGAAGGAAAGCUUCGGCAACCUGAUUCGGCCAUUUUGUCUUAACCAACAACUAUCAUGUUUUAACAAACAUUGAACUGGCCGAAUGUCAUGCAAAACACAAAUUGAUUCAUCUUUGAAACUAAAAUCUCGUUGGACAUUUCAUCGAGCAACAAGCAGACAUAAAAAAAAUUCACAAAAUUUUGCUCAAUUGAAGUUAUAAUCAGCCCAGAAAUUGCGUAGAAAAUCAAGAUUUCAGUCCAAUUUUGCACGCAAGGCACACUUAUCCUAAAAUCCAUGAACGAUCAACAUGAAAAUAGAAAUUACGAAAUCACAGAAACUUAUUUUCAAGCAUUGGACAGAAAACUAAAAUUUUCAAAAAAAACUUACAGUGCUCUGACGAUGAAGAUCCACGGGCGACGAUGGUCAGUUCCGGUGGUGGCAAUGGCGACUCCGGUCGCAGCCUUCCCUUCUUGUUUCUGGCCCGAAGUUUCUCCGACUGACCGGCUUGUGGCUUCGUUAUGAAGAUUGAGGAGAGGGACCGUGAGGCCUUUGGGAGGCAUAUUGGGCUUCCUUCCAUUUUUGCGAAGCUUUGAUAGCUGCAACCAACUUUUCCCCUGGGAGUCAUGGCGGCCACGGAGGCGGCAGAGGUGAAGAAUGGGGGCGGCGCCGUGGAGCUUACGCGCGGUGGUGGCGAUGAGUGGCGAGCGGUGGUGCUGAUGAGUGGCGAGUGGUGGUGCCGGAUUGAAAGUUCCCUCUUUUCCUGUUUUCAGUUUCUUUCUCAGCCCAAAACCGGUCCCCCUGGCUUUUUCCUUUUGCUCCAUUCCUUAGCCGAAACCAUCCCUCUGAUUUUUCUACUUCUGUUUCUUUUAGUCGACAUCCGUUCUUGCUCUGUCUUCCCCUUUUUGUUUACUCACUGACUUCCUCCCCAGAUUCUUUCAGUCGCCCACUAUCUAGCUUCCUUCCUCUCGUCCUAAGCCUCCCUGUUUUUUAUGUCCGCUUCCCCUUUUCCCUUUUUUUUUUUUCCUUGCCGACGGAGCUCCCUAUUCCUUUUCCCCCUAAAAGUCUCGCCGCCCCUCUGGUUUUUCAUUCGUCCCCUUUUGCCGUUCUUCUUAGCCCCCAGACUCUCCCUUCCUUUUUUCGAUUUCGUUUUCUCUUUUUUUAGUUUUAGCCCUCACAAAAUUCUACUUUGACCCCCAAAAAUUCCUUAACUUCCCAAAUGUCCCUAACACCUCACCCCUUAGGUGCUUAGUUGUCUAAAACAUAGAAAAGACACUUGUCCAAGUGCAUGCAGUCCCACUUGUCAUUUUCACUUUUUCUUUCUUUUUCCUUUUCUCUUUUUCUUUUGUUUUUCCUGAAAUUUAAUGUGAAGCCAAAAAUACACUAGAACAAAAAUAAAAUAAAUAACAAUAAUAAAAAUAAAAUAAAAUAAUAAUAAUAAUAAUAAUAAUAAUAAUAAAAAUAAAAUAAUAAAAUAAUAAAAAUAAAAUAAUAAUAAGAAAUGAAAAACCUAAAAUUGAAACAAAUAAAGCUAAGAUGAAAUUAAUUAAACGAAGAAAGUUAAAAAAUCAAAAAUUUGGUGUCUACAGUUUGCCCCUCUUUGUCUGAGUUUUGAAAAAACUUGAGACAAAGAAGUAGACACCAAAUACUUACCUGUGUUAUUCGGCUGCGAACGAUCCGAACGACGGACGCUUCUGAAACGAUGACUGACCUCUUUAAAAAUUUUUUAUUAUUAUUAUUAUUUUUUUUGAAAUGGGACUGACCCAAAUGAGAAAAUUUUAAAAUCGGGACUGACCCGAGACAGGAAAUUUAAACGGGAUAGACCCGGACAGAAAUUUAAAUGGGAUAGACCCAGACAGAAAUUUAAAUGGGAUAGACCCACGGGAUAGACCCGAACAGAAAUUUAAAUGGGAUAGACCCACGGGAUAGACCCGGACAAAAAUUUAAAUGGGAUAGACCCGAACAGAAAUGUAAACGGGAUAAACCCGAACAAGAAAAUUAAAUGGGAUAGACCCACGGGAUAGACCCGGACAGAAAUUUAAAUGGGAUAGACCCAGACAGAAAUUUAAAUGGGAUAGACCCACGGGAUAGACCCGGACAGAAAUGUAAACGGGAUAAACCCGAACAAGAAAAUUAAAUGGGAUAGACCCACGGGAUAGACCCGGACAGAAAUUUAAAUGGGAUAGACCCAGACAGAAAUUUAAAUGGGAUAGACCCACGGGAUAGACCCGGACAGAAAUUUAAAUGGGAUAGACCCAGACAGAAAUUUAAAUGGAAUAGACCCGGACAGAAAUUUAAAUGGGAUAGACCCACGGGAUAGACCCGAACAGAAAUUUAAAUGGGAUAGACCCACGGGAUAGACCCGAACAGAAAUUUAAAAUUGGGAUCAAGCCCGAGUCAGCCGAGGUCGGAGGGAUAAAACUCAUGCCCAACGAAAAUAAAAGCGGUCAGUCGAGACUGCCGAGGUCGGAGGGAUAAAACCCGUGCCCAACGAAAGUAAAAGCGGUCAGUGGGAUAAACCCGAGCCUGCCGAGGUCGGAGGGAUAAAACCCGUGCCCAACGAAAAUAAAAGCGGUCAGUGGGAUAAAACCCGAGCCUGCCGAGGUCGGAGGGAUAAAACCCGUGCCCAACGAAAGUAAAAGCGGUCAUCGGAUUUUGCCGAGGUCGGAGGGAUAAAACCCGUGCCCAACGAAAGUAAAAGCGGUCAGUGGGAUAAAACCCGAGCCUGCCGAGGUCGGAGGGAUAAAACCCGUGCCCAACGAAAGUAAAAGCGGUCAGUGGGAUAAAACCCGAGCCUGCCGAGGUCGGAGGGAUAAAACCCGUGCCCAACGAAUGUAAAAGCGGUCAGUGGGAUAAAACCCGAGCCUGCCGAGUGAUAAAAGCGGUCAGUGGGAUAAAAUCCGAGCCUGCCGUGAUGAAUUUGAUUUGAUUUUUGACUUUGAAUUUUUUUUUUGAUUUUUUUUUGAUUUUUUGAUUUUUUUUAAUUUAUUUUUUAUUUUUUUUAUUUUUCCUGACUGAGAGAGACUUGUCGAAAUAAUUUGCCCAGUGUGAUGAAUUGGUCUGUGGGAUUAAACCCGAGCCUGCCCAAUGAAAUGUUGGCGGCACUAAAUCCAGGCCCAACUUGAUGUUGUGAAUGUUGGCGGCAUUAAAUCCAGGCCCAACUUGAUUUUUGAGAACAAGAAAUUGAAUUUGAUUUGUCAAAAAGCAAGAAAUUAAACUUGAGUUUUUUUAUUUUUGACCUUUCUGAUGAUGAUUUUUUUGAUGAUUUUUGAUUUUUUUUCUUUUUUCUCUUUUUCUGAUUUUUUCCUUUUGAUUUUUCCUUUCCUUUCGGAUUUUUCCGAGAGAAUUUUUUUAAAAUAAUUUGCCCCAGUGUCGGGUCCAUUUUUCCUUCCUUCUUCUUGCUUCUCUUUGCAGUAUCGGCCUUCCGCCUCACUGGAUGCUUUUCGUCAUUUUGAACCAUGAAUACCUGCACAGGGGGCUUAACAAAGUAUGACAUGCACUCAAAUUUCUUAUUUGGAAAGAACAGCGUGAUUGGUUUGACAUCCUCAAAUGUAUUACAAAAAUUUUGCCCCGGUGUGGGCUAUUUUAAUUGCAAAAAAUUUGUUUGAAUGACCCUCCAUUUAUUUGAACAAAGUGAGCAAUUACUUUUCCUAACAUAGCAUGUGAAGAAAUUGAAAUGUCUUGUUUAAACUCAUAUAGAAAAUUUCAUGAUGAAUUUUUCAAAACAAUGCCAAAUUAAGAAAGAUUUCUUCCCCACUUUAGCAUCAAUGCUUUGGGUGAUGGGUCACCAUUUCUUGUUGGCUCGUCUGUCAGGACCAACCAAGUGACUUUAUUUGGAAAUGGCUAAAGGAAAAUGGGAGGUCAAGAUUUGUCUUAUUCUUGUGCCCAAAAUUGUAUGUAAUCCCUUCAAUGUCACAUCUUAGUGAAAGCAAAGAGUUUGUCACCCUUAUUUUCCAAGAAAACUUAGUCAACAUACAAGCUUUCUAGGCAUGCAACGUAUGGACAGAAGUGAUAGCUAAACAUGUGGAAACGGGUUAUACCCUUAUGAUCACAAAUGAUUUGAUGAAUUUCUUAUGAGCAUGAUCCUCACUUUGGAUUGUCAUGAAGGAAUAAGUCAACGAUGGACUUUGUUAGCUUGUAAUGUAACUUGGAAAACGAUAGUUAAAGAAAUAAGAUUUUCAAGGACAUUGCACUGAAGAUCGCUCUUUCCCAAAAUUACCCCUAUUCUAAACUCAAAAGAUUUCAGACUUUGUUUGGAUUUUCUCAUCAUUCCCCAGGGCCUUCAGUGUCGAAUUUUCCUGCAUUUUCUUUUCUUGCUUUUCUUUCGCUUCUUUUCUUUCCCCUCGAGCUGAUGGGUUUUCACAUGGUGAGUAGCGUCAACCUCAUACUCAAGCAAUUCAGAAAUACAGCUAAAAUUUUCCGGCAUCAGAAAUUUUCUCGACAGGGCCAUUGCAAAGAACAGAAGUCAGGACUUUCGAUUUUUGUAAUGGGGUCAGGUGGGAUGUUUAGAAAAAUUAAGGCUUGAAGGCAGAUUUCAAGAAUGGUUUAAGUAAUCUGAGAUCGCAUCAGAAUUUGCCCCAGUUUAUGCUCAAUUGAGGCUUUUUCCCUUUCAUUUUCUUUCUUCUUUUGAUUUUUCGGCUUUCUGCCAUUUUUGAGCUUUCACAAAAUUUGCCCCAAUUUAUUUUUGAACUGAGGUUCUCUUUUUCCUCUUGCUUUUGAUUUUGUGGCUUUUCACUUUUUCACUUCUUGAAGUUUUCCUUUUCAACUCAACCUUGCCCCAGUGUGGGGUUUGCGAUUCUCAGGGGUUGCCAAAUGAAGUAUUUUAUUCUGAAGGCUCAAAAGGGAUAACUAGGGAUAGAAUGUUUGAUUGGAAAAAGAAGAUGGCCUGACUUGUAUUAUGUUCCUUACAAUAACUCUGAGAGGAAACUUUCAUUAAUGCGAAAUUUCUUGCAUGUAUCUGAAUUAAUUGACUGAAGAAGACCCUUGUUCAUCCAUAUUUGUGAAACAUAGGCGAUUCACGCGGACAAAACUCUUCUCUCUUUUUUUUUUGUUUUUUUUUUUAAUUGGACCCCAAGUGGAAUCAAAUUUCCCCAAUUUGCGGUUCCCUCCUUAUUCUAGCAUUUUUGCUUUUCUCCUUUUUGGAAAAUUCUGCAAUCUCCCUCCCCAAUGCGGGGUACGAUCGUAAGUGCUUUGAAAAGAACCAUCAAUUUUAACUCAAAUGAGGAUGCAAGGGAUGACCAGUGUUUAGGUUGUAGAAACGACGACCAAAAUAUCAUUCUUACACCUCAUGACAACCAAAGUAACGAAAUGAUCAUUGAAAAUCCAUUUCCUUUUUGAUAUUUGAAAAUUUUCCAAUAUAGGGUAGUGAUCAUUAGGGCUCUUAUUCGAAACGAAAUUACUCUUUCAAAGGCUCAAAUGGGAGAGCAAAUGAUAAAAUGUGUAUAGGUAGAGAAACGAAUGCUCAAAGUAUCAUUCCAAAUUUUCAAAACAGACAAGAAUAAUGCACAUUUUUGCUUUCACUUAGAUGUGAACUGAAUAGGUUAAACACAAUGGAUAUUUUCAAGCAAAGAUGGCCCCAAUUUAUCAAUCAAUGUGACUGAUUUUAUUUUGGGGUCAAAUGAAGGAGAAAAGGAAUCUCAUAGGGCUUUUUGAGUGACAUCUUUUAAUUCUGAGCACUCUUAUUGUGAAUUUUCAGGCAGGAGGUUGAAAAAAUCCCAAUUUAGUCUUAUUUCUUAAAAUUCAUCAUGAAAUCUCCAAUGAAUAAAAAUACAGAAUGAAAUGUACAUAAAUAUACACAAAACAAUGAUUGUCCAAAAAUUUUAUUGUUGAAAAAGUUUGAAACAAAAUUUCUCAUUCAAUUACGAUACAAAUGAGAAGAGAGAAACUUGUAAAGAGCUCCACAUAUACACUUUUUGUCUCCUUUUCUUUUUGGAACAAAAUGUAUUAACAAAUCAAAUAUACAAAAUUCUCCUUUGGAAAUAAUUACAAAAUCUCUCAGAUGCUUUAGCGUAGAGCUUUCGGAUAGAUCUUUUAUGUUUUCAUUGUAGGAUCUGCCCAAAAAUCACACAAUACUUGCAAUUUUGACACCUUAUUAGACCAGAAGUGUCAUCAGAUAUAGAAAAAUAUUUUCCCUUUUAUUGAAGUGUUUUUUAUGAAUGCAAGGGAAGGGGGAAAACAAAAGAAAAAUACCCUGAGUUAGUAAGAAAGAAUAUAAAAUCGGUAUGCAUGUCCUAUGGGGGGACCCUUUUUGUGCCAAGGGUAGGCCUAGCAUGAAAAUGCAAUCCUCUAGGGUAGGCACCAUACAAUACCUGAUGAAUCCGAUCAACCGCUAGAGUGAAAAAUGAUUUGGAAAAAUUUGGCCAAUUGAAGUGAAAAGAGACAUUUGUCCUAAAAUGAAGGAAAAGUCCGAAUGGAUUGCUACUUUGAUCGACGCAUGAAAUAAUGUGUAAAAGAGAUUGCAAUGUCUCAAUUAAUUUAUUCGGUGACCCUUAGACUUAAACCCUAAAAAGGGAAAAAACGGGUCAAAUAGAUUGGAUAAAAUUGAUGAUUUAUUUAAAAAUGACCGAAUUGCCCUAAAAAUAGGUAAACUGGUCAAAUGAAUUAAAUGAAAUUUGAUUUAUUCAAAAAUUGAUCGAAUCACCCUAAAAAGGGUAGAUUGGUCAAAUGAAUGAAACUUGAUUUAUUCAAAAUCGAUUCGAUUGCCCUAAAAAUAGGUGAAUUGGCCAAAGGAAUGAAAGAGAGAUUGAUGAUUUAUGCAAAAAUCGACCAAAUCACCCUAAAAGGGUAAAUUGGUCAAAUGAAUUGAAUGAAAUUCAAAAAUCGACCGGAUGACCCUAAAAGGGUAAAUUGGUCAAAUGAAUGAUGACUUUUAAAAAAUCGACCGGAUGACCCUAAAAAGGGUAAAUUGGUCAAAUGAAUGGAUGAUUUUUCAAAAAUCGACCGGAUGACCCUAAAAAGGGUAAAUUCAUCAAAUGAAUGGAUGAUUUUUCAAAAAUCGACCGGAUGACCCUAAAAAGGGUAAAUUGGUCAAAUGACCCUAAAAAGGGUAAAUUGGUCAAAUGAAUUGACGAUUUAUUCAAAAUCGACCGGAUGACCCUAAAAAGGGUAAAUUGGUCAAAUGACCCUAAAAAGGGUAAAUUGGUCAAAUGAAUUGACGAUUUAUUCAAAAUCGACCAAACGACCCUAAAAAGGGUAAAUUGGUCAAAUGAUGGUUUAUUCAAAAUUGAUUAUGAAUUGACAAAAUGGAUCGAUUGAAUCGGCCGGCCAUUGGUGGUUUCAAAAUUAUUGAAGUGCAUUAGUCUAUGACCUUCUAAAAAUCAAAUUUUGGUCUCAAUUUAUUUAUCGUCUCAAUAGGAGGAAUCAUUUGUGAAUUUUCUUCAAAUUAAUGUCCUUCACGCAAGGGAAUUUUACCAAUUUUGAUAAAAUGGCCAAAAAGUGAUUAUUAGAUGCUCAUAUUCCAAAGAUUGCUCUAUGAAAAUGAUCGGAUCCUACCUUACCUUGUGCACUACCCCUUUGGAUGGUACAAAAUGUAAACGUGCAAGUCUCCUUGGAUUAAGUAUCCGAGACGCAAGGUGGUUUUAUUCCUAACACGGGAUCCCCUAAGUGGCAUUCCCUUUCUAGGGUUUAAUGCAUGAUGCCAGUUAUUAAAGCAGGAAAAAAAAUGCAAUUCGAAAUGAAAUGUGACCUAAGGAACCCUUUAUUUGCCAGGGUAGGCUUAGAAUGAUAUGCAAUCAUUAAUCUAUGAAUGCAAUAUACCAAAAUCUUUAAACGUGCAAUAGCCUGUCUACAAAGGUAGGUUCUAAAAGAAAGUCAUGCCAGACCUCUUAUUUCCUAAUGUUUGUGAAUGCAAAAGACAAGAGCCAAGGAAACGUGAGUUCAACACGUAAUCACAUAACACAUUGGACAAUUAAGCAACAAAGACAGAUAAGGAAAGAGGGGUGGGACCCCUCCCCUCGUGAAAUAGUGUUUCCUAAUUUAAGGUAAGGUCGACUCUACCCUGGGCAAUUCUAAUAUGGAUGCAUGAGGCUUGGCUUACUAAUGCAUCUAGACUCGAUAGGUCAUAGGCCCCCGAGCCUUCAGACUUAGAAACCAAGGGUCAUCAAUCCCAAGGUUCUUUGUCGGUGGCUCGAGCGAUUCCCCAAACACCGCUACGCACACAUCGUGUCACGGCUACGUGUUUGGGUGAAUCUAUCAAAACCUUAAUCUUCGACCAAAAGCUAAAGGCUAUCAACCAAUAGCUUUAAGCGGAAGAUUGAGUGACCCAUUGGAACAUGCUACACACACAUCGUGUCGUGAUCACAUGUCCAAGUGAGUCACCUAAUUCUAAUAGGGUAGAGUGGCGUGACAAGCCACUAAAGAAAAAUAAAAGGGAUAAAAGAAAUAAAGCGUAUGCUCGUAUGAUAGUGCUCGUUUGGAGGGGAAGGGUCAAGAACCAACGUGAGGCUCUAGGGUGACCCAUACCUCCCAAAAUGCAAUGCAAGCGCAAGAUAACAAGUAAACAUACAUCCAAUCAACCAAUCAUACAUUCGCGAGCGAGGGAGUAGUUGGAUACGCGUGAAAUACAAAAUCCUAAAAAAGGAAAAAAAUGCAACCCUAAAACACCCAAAUGUGAUAUAUGAAAAGGUUAAAAGAAGAAAAAUGUUGAUUAAAUCAAAUUUGCUCGGACUCUCGAAUGUCCCCAGUGGAGUCGCCAACUGUCGCGCCUCAUUUUUUUGAUAAAAUAAAUAAAUGGUUUGGAAAAAUGUAUUUGUGAUUGGAAAAUGAAUUGUGAUUUAAAAUAAAAAUGGGUCUAAAUGAGGUUUUGAGAAUGCGACGAUUUGACCCAAAAUGUAGUUUAAAAAGGGUUUUUGAAACAAUUGGAGUCGCCACUUGGUAAUGUGUUAAGGUGUACCAAGUCACCUAAAAAAUGAAUUUUUUAAAGGAAAAAUAGGAAAAAGUAGUAAGAAACCCCUUUUAAACAACUCCUAGUCCAUGUAAACCAAAGAAAAAGGCUCGGGAGUCACAUUUGACAAAGGGGAAGGCAAGGAUAAAAUCCAAGGCACCCCUUUGACCUAGCCAAGACUAGUUGCAUGAUUUAAUCAAAGAUUUUCUUAUUUUAACCAAAGAAUUUAUUACAUUUGGAUGCACUACAUGAAUGCAAACCCUAGACCUAGGGGUAUUGGGAGAAAUUUCUCUUCAAAGGUUGAGUGGUGCCAAUCACAUUAGUUGUGAAGCCCAAUAACGAUCCUUUGAAGAAGUCACGAAUAAUGCGAGUGGGAUGCAAAUGAAUGGAAUGCAUGUAUGCAAUGUGAGGACAUGAGUUUGAAAAAGUAAUAAAAAAAUAAUAAAUAUGUAAAUGAAAAUGUGCACGUGAGUGGGCAAGGUACGGUAUGUGAAAUGAUAAUAUGAAGUGCAUGUGUGCAAGUGAUGAUAAAAGUGUUCGUGUGCAAGUGAAGAAACAUAAAGGUGCACGUGUGCAAAAUGGGACAAAAGUGUUCGUGUGCAAGUGAAGGGAUAAAAGGUGUACGUGUGCAAAUGGGAUGAAAAGUGAAAGUGUAAUGAUAGAGCGGAUUUAGAAUGCAUGAGCCUAGGGAAUGCAUGCAUAUUGGGUACGGGGAGACCUAAAUCGUGACUCAAUUUACCCUUUUAUAGAGGGAAUACAAGCGUGCUAAGGCUUAGAAAAAGCCACACUCGUCUAUAUCCCAUAUUUAAGGGGACUCUCAAGCAAAUGAACCCUAUAACUAGCAUGAAAUGUAAAAAUCCUAAAAUGAAAGGAAAAGGGGUUCGAGGGGCAUGCCAAAUGAUAAACUAAGAAAAAUGCAUGACAUGUAAUGAUCACGCAAAUAUGUACUAACGAAGGGAAAUCCCUAAGGGUCUAGCGUUGGACUAGCCCAUUCUAUGAAUUCCUACUAGCAUUGGACUAGCGGAAACGUACAUUCAUCCAUCACAUUCAUUCAAGGAUAUGGAAAGCGAGUAGACAUGUCAAUCACAUAGCACAUAACACUUAGCAUGCAUAUUUAAAUGCCAAAACCUAAGAAAACGAUUAAACAUAUAGCACAUAGACAUGCAUGACACAUAAGGUGAUUAAGGCCCUAACUAUUACAUUUGCUAGCUAGGCACAAGUCUUCAACAGCUCUUCAUCGAAUGCUCCUCCAAACCCUAUCUAUUACAAGCCAAGAGGUGUACACAUACCCCAUAAAGAAUAACUUAAAUAAAAAGCAAAAGUAAAUGACAUAAAUAAAAGAAAUUAAGGAAAGGCUAAGAAAGCAAAGUAGACAUGUAUUUCUCACGUAGCACGUUGGUUCACAUAAGAGUGACGGAAAAAAGAUAAAAGAAAUUAUACCUCCCUUGAAAUGAAGCUCUAAUGAAGUGAAAUCAACUUAUUUAUCCUCCAAAAUAAAAGAAAUGGUCAAGGUACCAAUUUAUUUGGCAAAUAAUCACAAAGGAUAAAAAAUAAACAUGAAUUUGAAUCAAUUAAAUCAUGUCAACAAACCACAUUUAAGAAGUCAAAAGAAGAAAGGACUUGAUUGCAAAAAUUGAUAAAAUUUUGGGGCCAAAAUUAAAGAAAAAUAAAGUUUAGGGACCUAUUUACAAUUAUACCAGGGACCCAAUUGAAAGAAGCUAAAAGUGUUCAGGCCCAUGACAGAAAUAUUUAGAAGCACAGGGACUGAUUCGCAAAUUUAUUUUCUGGUUCCUGAAUGGAUCAAACCACUGGGCUGUUUUAUUUAUUCGUUUGGGCCGGAAACCAUCCUAGCCCAACCGAAAGCCCUAAGAGAACAAGCAGGCAGCCUGUCGUAAGUCCAAACAAAACUCAACUAAAACAUAUGGGUUUUAUUUCUCAAGCCCAUGUCAACAAUCCAGACAAAACAAGUCAUUAAUCCAUUGGUCAAACCCAAACAACAAAUCCAGACCAAACCUCAUCUUAUUUCAUGAAAACCCAACAUGAAUGAACCACAUUUUAUAUUCAAGCCCAACCAUGCAAACCAUAAAAUCAACUAAAAAUUUAAUCCUAAUAAUGUCAUAACAUCAAAAAUCAAUGUACCCAAAAGAUUACUUAACAAACAUAAAAAAAGAAAAAGAUGAUAACAUCUAAAAAAAGGAGAAGCAAGGCCAACUUUUCCAAUCUUUGAGUCAAAUCAGAAUAAGGGGAAAACUUGAGGGUUUCAAAUGCAACCAAAACAGGGAUCCAAUUGGAUGGAAUCAUGAAGGUUUUGGGGUCGAAUUUAAAGAAAAAGUAAAAUCCAGGGGUCAAUUUGCAAAUUUCCAGAUUUUUGCAAACAAAUGGUUCGCUGAAUCUCUCUUCUUCGACGAUUGAAGGAAAGCUUCGGCAACCUGAUUCGGCCAUUUUGUCUUAACCAACAACUAUCAUGUUUUAACAAACAUUGAACUGGCCGAAUGUCAUGCAAAACACAAAUUGAUUCAUCUUUGAAACUAAAAUCUCGUUGGACAUUUCAUCGAGCAACAAGCAGACAUAAAAAAAAUUCACAAAAUUUUGCUCAAUUGAAGUUAUAAUCAGCCCAGAAAUUGCGUAGAAAAUCAAGAUUUCAGUCCAAUUUUGCACGCAAGGCACACUUAUCCUAAAAUCCAUGAACGAUCAACAUGAAAAUAGAAAUUACGAAAUCACAGAAACUUAUUUUGAAGCAUUGGACAGAAAACUAAAAUUUUCAAAAAAAACUUACAGUGCUCUGACGAUGAAGAUCCACGGGCGACGAUGGUGAGUUCCGGUGGUGGCAAUGGCGACUCCGGUCGCAGCCUUCCCUUCUUGUUUCUGGCCCGAAGUUUGUCCGACUGACCGGCUUGUGGCUUCGUUAUGAAGAUUGAGGAGAGGGACCGUGAGGCCUUUGGGAGGCAUAUUGGGCUUCCUUCCAUUUUUGCGAAGCUUUGAUAGCUGCAACCAACUUUUCCCCUGGGAGUCAUGGCGGCCACGGAGGCGGCAGAGGUGAAGAAUGGGGGCGGCGCCGUGGAGCUUACGCGCGGUGGUGGCGAUGAGUGGCGAGCGGUGGUGCUGAUGAGUGGCGAGCGGUGGUGCCGGAUUGAAAGUUCCCUCUUUUCCUGUUUUCAGUUUCUUUCUCAGCCCAAAACCGGUCCCCCUGGCUUUUUCCUUUUGCUCCAUUCCUUAGCCGAAACCAUCCCUCUGAUUUUUCUACUUCUGUUUCUUUUAGUCGACAUCCAUUCUUGCUCUGUCUUCCCCUUUUUGUUUACUCACUGACUUCCUCCCCAGAUUCUUUCAGUCGCCCACUAUCUAGCUUCCUUCCUCUCGCCCUAAGCCUCCCUGUUUUUUAUGUCCGCUUCCCCUUUUCCCUUUUUUUUUUUUUCCUUGCCGACGGAGCUCCCUAUUCCUUUUCCCCCUAAAAGUCUCGCCGCCCCUCUGGUUUUUCAUUCGUCCCCUUUUGCCGUUCUUCUUAGCCCCCAGACUCUCCCUUCCUUUUUUCGAUUUCGUUUUCUCUUUUUUUAGUUUUUAGCCCUCACAAAAUUCUACUUUGACCCCCAAAAAUUCCUUAACUUCCCAAAUGUCCCUAACACCUCACCCCUUAGGUGCUUAGUUGUCUAAAACAUAGAAAAGACACUUGUCCAAGUGCAUGCAGUCCCACUUGUCAUUUUCACUUUUUCUUUCUUUUUCCUUUUCUCUUUUUCUUUUGUUUUUCCUGAAAUUUAAUGUGAAGCCAAAAAUACACUAGAACAAAAAUAAAAUAAAUAACAAUAAUAAAAAUAAAAAUAAAAUAAUAAUAAUAAUAAUAAUAAUAAUAAUAAUAAUAAUAAUAAAUAAUAAUAAUAAGAAAUGAAAAACCUAAAAUUGAAACAAAUAAAGCUAAGAUGAAAUUAAUUAAACGAAGAAAGUUAAAAAAUCAAAAAUUUGGUGUCUACAAAUUACAUUUGAAAUCCGAAUACAAAAGUAUAUCUAAAGGUUCCACCGAAUUUCACUCCAUGUCCAUUCCUAUUAAGGAAAAUAAAUCUACGGGGUGAGCAAUAACUCGUGAGGCCAAGAACACACAUGCAAGCACAUUACCCAAAUAGCUAUCCCAUUCAAUAAUGAAAAUAAUAACAUUUGAAUAAUAAACAAUUCGAGUGAAAAUUUAAACAGAAACAAUUCAAGGAUAUGGUAGCUCUCAGGAGUUAAGUUCCACUUGCUUUGCCAGAUUUCAAUCGUAUACCUUCCCGUGAUGACACUCCAUCAACCGAGUUGGUAUUUCCAAUCCGUAGAACUCCACUUAUUUCUCAGAUCCGUCCACCGUACACCGUACAGAACCCGCACGACAUUUAUAAGGCGAUACUCCACGAGUAUACCAAGCAAGAUCUCUCCAAUAGAUCAAGCUUAUCAUAUAAUUCUCAUGGCUCACCGAGAUUCCCGAUCAGGCCCAUGUCGGCUCGAGUCCCAAGGUCGGCCUAUGAGUUUGGACGUCCCCCGUGUAACAUUUGUGUGUCAAGAAGAUUCACUCCAACGACGUAUGCAGUCAUAGCAUACCAUUUCAUUUUAUUCAGUCAUUCAAUCAGUCAUUUCAUUCAAUCAAGUCAUUUAUGAUUCAUUCAUUUCAUUUCAAUUAAUUCAAUCAUGAGUCAUUCAUUUCAAAUGAGAACGAGUACCGUAAAGUACACACUCGACUCCAUUUUCAAAAUUUUCAAUCAUGAACAAUAGUUAAGCAGGUAUCAAGUUUGCAUACACUUGACACUCACCAAAUAAUCAAGAAACAAGCGUUUGUUUUAGGCGUCUCUCGUGAGCUCCUCUUGAAAGUCUUCUUGAGUGCCUGAGCAAUUAAUAAUAAACUAUUACUUAUAAACCCCAAUUAUCAAGGAAGAUUGUACACUUGUACAAUCUAAGAAAAUUUCACGAAAAUGAGCCAUAAUUACUCGUAAAUCAAUGCUCAAAAAUGGGGUUUUAAAACACAAGCAAAAUCUAAUUUUCAUCUUUAAAAUCAAUUGUAAAAAGGUCUAGCAAUAUCAAAGGAAAAUAGAGAGUUCGUAACCCUCAAUUUCCUUUAAGUUCGGAAAUUUCAGAUUUGUUGAGCGAUCUUUGAAAAAUCGUAUCUCACUCUCUAUAAGUUCAAAAUUGGAAAACUUGGUACCGUUGGAAACUACUUCCAUAGUACUAAAAGUUACUAGAAAACACUUUUCCAUGAUUCAAAAUGGAAGACAUUCAAAUUUUGGUUUCGAGUUGCUGUUUUGGCUAUCAAUACAGUCUUGGGGUUGGUUUUUGGUCAAAUUUGGAAAUUCGGCAAAACUCACACAAUACGAACUAACUUCUGAAAUUUGGAACUCAAUUAGAGUUACAAUCAAAGUUUAAAACAAAACAAGUGGAACAAGAAUUGGAGUUUUGAGUACCAAGAUAUGACGGUUCAAAGUUACCUAAAAGUUGGGACUGUUAGACCAUUUUUCGAGUUUAAAACAUAGACUUUGAAUCUUUGGUUGAGCAUCAAAAUGGACUCGAAAUGGUACCAAAUUUAGUAUGAUUAUACUACCAUAUAAGGGAUAUUCCUCUGUCAAAUUUCAUCCAAAACUUCAUUCAGGAAGUCGGUUAACAAAACUAUUAAAGUUCUACAAUUUGCUAAGGCAAAUCCGCCUUGCACUUUCAUUUUUCUUUUCUCAAACAUUUGGCCAAGGAAAAUUCCUUGAACAUGAUUCAUUUAUGAAGAAAAAGUCUAGGAAACAUCCCAAAAUAUGUUUGGUAGGUGAGUAACACCAAGGAUUUCGAAUAACAAGUCCCAAAUCAAAAUUAUCUAUAAAUCAGUCCAGAAUUAGGGUUUUCUUUCACGAAGAUAGCUCUGAAAUCUAGCCACAACUCACUCAAUUCAACCAGAAUUGAGCGUGGUCAGUGGUUUUGAAAACUACAUUCAUAAGGCUACAAUUUCUUAGAAAUAAUUAUUUUAAAAUUCUGUCCACAACUAGCUCAUAUUUGAGCAUCAAGUCGCAACUCAAAACAGGGUUUCUAGUAUAGACGAGAAACAGAACAGGCAAAUUUACAAGGUUGGUAAGGCUCACUCAGGUGGAAUCAAGGCAUGCAUUUUAUACCGUUGGAAAACUGGAAAUGUCUAGUUUCUAAUUCCACAAACAACACUCAAUUUCAACGUCGGAGCAAAGAGUUAUGGCCGAAACAAAAUCGCUACCAGAGAGGCUCUGGUUACGUUUCCAGUUUUGUUACAUUUUCGAAAUCUCAACUUUUGGCCAACCAAAUUGGAUGAUUUUUUGUGAAAACUUUCCACACAACCCACACAACAAAUUUACAUCAAAAUCCAGUCAAUUGAACCCCAAAAAAGUGCACUAAGGGUCAUGGCAAAACAGGGGCAGAAUCGCCACUUUUGCUCAUCUCACUUCCUUUGAGUUUUCUUUCACAACACAACUUAUUUUCACUAGAUUAAGCAGUAAUCCAACAUAAAUAACAUCAAAUCUCAUCAAAUCAGUUCAUCAAGUCGUUGUGGGAUUUCAUAGAGCCCACUCACAAGAUUUCUAACAAUAUAAAACUGCCCAUAUGAAUCUAUGAGCUCACAAGUGCAAUACAACUUAUAUAAACCAAGAUUCAAGAGAUUGAUCAUCAUUUACCUCCUUAGAUGGCUAGAGCAGAAAUUUUUGGUCACCUUAAGCGUAAGAAAACCGUGAGAAACAAGCUUGUUGCCUAGCUUAAGUUGAUCUCCAAAUAGUUUGCAAGUUGUGUGUAAAUUUUGGAGUGAUUUGAUGAAGAAAUGAAGCAAGAAAUGAUGAAGAUUUUGGUUGUUUUCUCCUUGAAGAUGGCCGGCUGUUAGGGAGAGAGAAAGGAGAGUGUUUUGUUGCAAAUGAAGCUUCCUUGAGAAGUUUAAAUGUGUGGUUCAAAAGUGUUCAAAAGUCAACUCUCCCUCCGCGCGCGCAUGCGCGCGUUUCGUGCUCGAUUCCUUUCGAGUUUGUUUCACUAGUGCACUAAAUCUCUAAUGCACUUCCAUUCAUACUAUUAUUAUUCAUUCUUAAUAGCCCAAAAUAAAGGUCUUAAGUCCAUCAAUUAAUCGCGCGCGCGAAAACGCGUACUUCCGAUUUAUGCGUGAUAGAGUAAAAUUUCUAAUAAAUUCUUAUAACGAUAUAUAACUAACUAACACUUGAGCACUUAAACAUAAAAAAAUAUACCUAUUUCAAGACUAAUGUACAAGUCUCCAAUUUUCCAAAAUUAUUGUAUGCUCGAAUCGAUUAUUAUCUCCAAACGCGCAUUCACUAUUCUCACUAAAUGAGCUUUCAAAAAUUAAAUUUUUUAACAAGUCAUUUUAAAAAUAUAUGCAAGUCAUAGUUCUAUGUAAUUGGAUCUAAAAAGGUUAGAAUUAAAUAUUCGGAGCAAACAAGCAUUUAAAUAUUUAAAUAAACUAGAAAUAGGGGUUUAAAAUAAGUAAUUUUGUGAGUCCUGACAAAUUUAUUCUCUAGAAUUUAUCUAAAACCUUGCUUAAUUCCACUUUGGCUCGAGUUGAUGAGAAUUUAUCUAAAAGAGAUGAGAAUUUAGUUUUACUUAAAAACUAAAAGGUUGGAACUGUUUCCUUUUUCCAUCUCGUGUUUCAGUCCUUUUUCUGGGUGAUUUCGUGGUGGAAGACUCGACAAUUUCAAUAUCUUCAUCUCUUAGCUGGGUAGUGCCUCCGGUACCAGCAGAUCCUCCUCUCACUCGAACCAUGAUGAUAUGCAAGAUGUUUUUCGUUGCAAAGUGUGAUGAAAAUGUGUAUGAAAUGGACUAAGAUUACAGAAAAGAGAAUAAUGUAUGCUUGAAUCUUCCAAAAACAUUGAAAUUUGAGUGACUAGGGUUUUUGCUGAAAAUUGGGAUCGGUGGAGUGGUUGGCAGUUGGAGGAAGUUAUGAGUGCUAACGAAUGCGUAAAAGGGGUGUGAUGGUAUUGGAGAAAUCAAUUUCUUGGAACUUGUUCAGAAGAAAGAUGAAUUUGAAAUUUAAAAGUAGGAGAAGAGGAAAGGGUAUGUCCAAGACAACGGUUGAAAAUGAACUAAAUGAAAGAGAGGACUGCUUUAUAAUAUGCAUCUUUUGAGUAUCGGACUGCCGAACGAAGAGAACGUCCGACACUACCGUCCGAACCAAAAUUUUCUGGAAAAAUGGCUUAAAACACUGUCGGACGUCCGUUCAUCAUGUAUUGGACGUCCGAUAAAGUGUGAUCAAAGAAUUUUUUUUGAAAAACUUUUCCAAAAUGCCCAAUUUUGUUCUCAAAAAUACAAACUGAUCCUGUGGUAGGGCUUUUGUAAGAAUGUCAGCACUUUGAUCUUUUGAGCAAACAUAUUGUACACAAAUUUCACCCUUUUGGAUAAAAUCACGAAUGAAAUGAUGUUUAUGCCUAUAUGUUUUGUCCUAAAAUAUUGAAUGUGAUUUUUUGUCAAAUUUAUGGCACUUGUAUUAUCCCAAUACAUAGGCACACAGUCAUACACUAAUCCAAAAUUAUUCAAGAUACUUUUCAUCCACAACAAUUGAGCACAACAUGCACCGGCGGCAACAUACUCCGCUUCGGCAGUAGACAAGGAAAUAGUAUUUUGUUUCUUACUAAACCAAGACACUAAGCAAUUACCAAGAAAGUGACAUGUACCACUUGUACUUUUUCUAUCUAUCCUAUAUCCACCAAAAUCAGCAUCCGAAAAAUCAUAUAAAGAAAAUUCAUGACAUUUAGGAUACCAAAGACCAUUUUUUUUAUACCAAUUGUUUAUCUCAAUUCAUAUCUUUUGAUGAUUACAAAACAAUUGGAUGUUUCUAAUACCUUUUGUAGAGAUCCUUUUCAGAAAUGAACCAAACAGGUCUGUGGAUUUAAAGCAGAAAAAGAAGAUCAAAGAAGAAUGAAGUCUGCUGAGGAUGAUGUCGGACGCACAAAAGGAGGGUAUCGGACGUCCGACAUUCUUUGAGUAUCUUCGGAUGAGUAAAGAACUCAGACUCGGACGUCCGAAGAAGACAAGCCAGGAGUUACUUGAUUACUGAUCAGGUUCGGACGCUCAACACCUGUGUAUCGGACGUCCGACAAGCGUUGCUGCUCUUCGGACGCAACACUUUGGACGCAUCGGCCGUCCGAAGGAAUUGAAGAAGAAAGUCCAAGUAUUCAUCCUACCCUCGGACGCAUGAUCGGACGUCCUAAGGGAUUCAAGAAAACUUCCAGAACUCAUUGAUCUUGUUCGGACUCAUAAAAACCAAACAUCGGACGUCCGACAGUACCAACGGCUAGUUGACUCUUCAGUUACCUUCUACCCGUUGAUAAUAUUAAUUGAGAAACUUUCUGGUCUCCUAUAAAAAGAACAAAGUCAACCACCUCAAGACAACUUUGUACAUCAAGCCUACAUCAGAUUGUGAGUGAUUCGUGUGCUAGAAUACUCAAAAAGGAACAUUUGUACUCCUUGCAUGUACAAUCUUCGUGUAGUUUUUUCAAGUGUGACAUAGCUUCUUCAAUAGUGUAGCAUAGUGAGGGUUUGCGAGUGUUUGUAAAACUUCCUUGCUUGACCAAGUAUGAUUUGGGGCAAGAAGGAAGUAAUCCCUUCCUUGUACACAAAAGAUUGGUUGCAAGUCUAUUCAACUUGAAGUAACUUGGUAUAUAAAAGUGGUGUUCAAACCUCAGUUGUGUUUGAAGCUUGGUUUGUUUCUUUAAUCUUAUUUACUGCUUUUCUACAUAAACUGUUCUUCUCUCCAUCUCACGAAUACCUGUACUCUUGUGUUAUCUUGUUCAUUGGGAGGUAUUUGAGAAAAGAAAGGCUGUCUGUUAAAAAAAGGUAGAAUAUAUCUUAGCAGUUUUUGAAAGCCUAAUUCACCCCCCCUCUUAGGUUAUCUUCGAUCCUUACAAUUGGUAUCAGAGCUUGGUCUCCUAGAGAUUAAGCUCAAGCGGCUUGGAGUAAGAUGACAACCAGUCAUGCUAUGUUUGUUGAGGGGCAAUCUGUUACUAGACCUCCCAUGUUUACUGGUUUCAAUUAUGUUAGCUGGAAAGAAAGAAUGAUUAUCUUCUUGCAAUCCAUUGAUAUUGAGCUGUGGUUUAUUGUGAAUGAAGGACCGCAUGAUGCUAACUUUCUUGAUGCAGAAACAGGGUUGUUGCGGCCAAAAACGAGAGCUGAGAUGAAUGCUCAAGAUAGAACCAAUCUCACAUUGAAUGCCAAAACCAUGAAUGUUCUUUACAGUGCCUUAGACUCAAAUGAGUCAAUUAGAGUAAAAGGGUGUAAAUCUGCCAAAGAAAUGUGGGAUAAGCUAAGAGAAAUUCAUGAGGGUAGUGACAACGUAAGAGAACAGAAAAAGUCCAUUCUGGUCACCAAGUAUGAAUCUUUUAAGAUGGAGCCUCAUGAGAACAUCGACAAAAUGUAUUUUAGAUUUAAUGAUCUGAUCAAGGAUUUAGAGGUGCUUGAGAAGGAGUACUCUCUAGGUGAAAAGAACAGAAAAAUUCUGAAUGCUCUAUCAAAGGAUUGGGAAAGCAAAGUGACUGCUAUAGAGGAAGCCAAGGAUCUAAAUUCCUUAUCCAUUGAAUCUCUGAUUAACUCUCUAACCUCUUACGAAUUGAAACUUAAAUCUAAGUUGCAGGAAGAAGAAGACACAAAAGGAAGGAAGAGUAUUGCUCUGAAAGCUUCACAAGAUGAAGAUGAAACAGCCUCACUGGAUGAAAAUGACUUGGAAGGUGAUGAUAGUGAUAUUGCACUCAUCACAAGAGGCUUCAAAAGAUUUCUCAAUAAGAGAAGAUUCAGGAAAGGCGGAUCCAGCAAUUUCUUCCAGAAUCAGACUAAUGACUUCAGGAAUAGAGGGAAACUAGAGUUCAACAAGAAGCAGAACGAUAAAUGUUUUGAAUGUGGCCAACCUGGACAUUAUGCAAAUGAGUGUCCAAUGAAGAAAAAGAAGGAAAACAAGAUUGAAUGAAAACCAAAGUUCAACAAUUUUCAGAUUACCUGGAAUGAUUGCAACUCAGAAGGCGAAGUUGAAGAAGAAGAGGAAUCUGCUCAAGUGGCUUUCAUGGCUAUUGGAGAUGAAGAGGUAACACAAUGCAAUUCUCAAACCGAUAGUGAUAGUGAAUCUGAUGAUAAUGUUAAUUAUUUUCUAGAAAACAUGCAUAACAGCUUGAAAGAAUCCUAUGUUAAAAACAAAGAAUUGAAGCAAAAAAUCAGUUUUCUAAUACAAGACAAUGCAAAUCUUUUUCGACAAAAUAAAUGUCUUAAGCAUGAAAAUGAUAACCUGAAAAGGACUGAAACUGAUGUGCUUGCUGAACUUCACAAAAAGAAAAAUUACUGUGACUUACUCAAAAGAGAGCAAUGCAGCUUAAGGAAAAGGAUGGAUGAUUUAUGUAAAUUGUUACAUCAUGUGAAACAGAAUCAUCUUCAAAAGAAUGACACUGUACCUUAUGUUAAUACUCAUCAAAUAAGACUGAACCAAAAUAUAAAUGAGUUCGCUAUCUACAGAAGAAGACAAGUCAGAUUCAUUAAACCUGUUCAUUUGAUUGAUUCAAUGUUAGUAUGCAACUUUUGUUGUCAAUCUGGACACAUGUAUAGCAACUGUCAUGUUAAGAAAAACAUGAGGAAUGGCAUGAGAUGCAUGUGGAUAGUCAAACAUAAGACUAACUCUCAAGGACCCAACAUGUAAAGGGUACCAAGUAUUAUCUUGUGGGUUUGUGUGUAGGUGAACCAGGAUUACAUUGCUAAAGAAUCAAAAUGGUUCAUUGAUAGUGGAUGUUCAAGACAUAUGACUGGUGAUGCAUCACAGUUCAUCAAACUCAAGCAAAAAGCAAGCGGAAAGAUAACAUUUGGAGAUGAUAACAAAGCCAAAACUGUUGGUAUUGGCGAUGUUGGUAAGAAUGAUCAAACUUUUAUCCACAAUGUUCUUCUUGUUGACAAUUUGAGCUACAAUCUGUUAAGUGUUAGCCAAUUGUGUGAUAGGAAUCUGUUUGUAUUGUUCAAAAAGCUUGAAUGUCUCAUAUUUGACUCAAAGUUCAACAUUAUUUUCAAAGGAAAAAGAGUUAAUGAUGUCUAUGUAGUGUUUCUUGAAAAAAUUGAUUCCUCACAUCUCAAAUGUCUCAAAGUAGCAAAUGAGGACCCAUGGUUGUGGCAUAGAAGGAUGUGUCACUUCAAUAUGGAUUUGCUGAAAGAAAUUUCUAAAAAGAAACUUGUUAGAAGUCUUCCAAAAAUUAAAUUUGAAAAAGACAGAAUCUGUGAUGCUUGCCAAUUUGGAAAACAAGUCAAGGUUUCUUUUAAACCCAAGAAAUGUGUUUCUACUUCAAAACCACUUGAACUUCUGCACCUUGAUCUGUUUGGUCCUACACAGACUGCAAGCCUUGGUGGUAAGAGAUAUUGUUUUGUGAUUGUUGAUGACUACUCUCGAUAUACUUGGGUAAUAUUCCUUGCUCAUAAAGAUGAUGCCUUUAAGAAUUUUACUUCAUUAUUUACUAAAGUACAAAAUCUGCUUAACUUGAAAAUUGUUAGGAUUAGAAGUGAUAAUGGGACAGAAUUCAAGUUCUGUGGUUUUCCAGAAUUUUGUGAUCAUAAUGGUAUUACCCAUGAAUUCUCUAUUGCUAGAGUCCCUCAACUGUUAUUCUUGGUUUUGAUGAUCACAAAAGUUCGUUGAAAUGUUUAUACAGACCAAGAAAGUGAACACUUUGAUCAGGCCUGAUGGAACAAGGAAAGCAUAUGUUUGAUUGACUCCAGUCUACGAUGCUUUGGAUGUGGCAAACAAGAUUGGAAUAAUAUAAACAAAUUUAGUUAUUGUUUUGUUCCGAUCAAAGAUACAGUCUUUUAAGUGUGACAAUUUUGUUAUAAUGAUCACAAAAUACUUUGAAUUGUUUAUCUAAACUUCUUCAAAUAUAAGUGUUGUUGCUUACCAAAGAAUCAGGUACGAAUAUGACAUGAGAUGCAAAUCAACCAAAAGAAGAAGCAAAAACAGGACACUCAUGUCGGACUGCCGAAAGGAAUCUGUCGGACGUCCGAAAGGAUAAAGAACAUCAAGAAGGAAGCUCUGUCGGACGUUCAUAAGGAAGCAUCGGACGCACACCUCGGACGCAUAUCAACCGCAUCGGACGUCGGAAAAAUUCCAAGAUGACAUGCCAACUCUCUGCCUACGAUCGGACGCUGUGCUGUCGGACGAUAAAGACGCAUCGGACAUCCGAACUUCAACUUGACUGUUUUCGGACGAUUGGUUCGGACGAUGAUUUGGUCGUCGGACGUCCGAAAGCCCCAACGGCUAGCUGACCCUUCAUCUGCCUUCUAUCCGUUGGAAGCUUUAAUGAAACCCAUUUCUGUUCCCCUUUAAAAACAAACUGUUCUGAACGAAGGAAGGACUUUUGCACACUUGGUUUACAAGAUCUCAAGAAAUAUUUUAGCUAAAAAAUAGUCUCCAAAGUUAGAUUUGUUCUCUAAGUGGUGUGAAUUUCUGGUGAGCUUUUCUCUUGUGGUUGAAAGUUUCAUUAGUGUAGCUUUGUUGAGGGUUAUCUGAAUGUUUGUAAAACUUCUUAGCUUGACUAAGUGAGGCUUAGGGCAAGGAGGAAGUGCUCCUCCAUUGUACAUCUAGUUGAUCAUCUUUCAUCAAAGAGAAGUUGCUCAACCUUGUGAUUGGUCUUCAAGUUUGAGGAGAGCUUGGUAGACAAUUGGUUUGAUUUCCUAUUUUACUUUUUGUUUAAUAAAAUUCUCAUUGCUUAUCUAUACUUGUUUCUUCUGAUCAAUAUUACUCUUGUCUUCUAAUCUACUUGGUUGAUCAUUACUAGAAAAGAAGGUAAAUUUUUAUUAAAGAAAAAGUGCAUAAAUUUGGUUAAGAUUUUAAUCAACCCAAUUCACCCCCCCUCUUGGUUGUCUUUGGGACUUACAAUUGGUAUCAGAGCUUGGUAUCCUUGAGAUUAGACUCUAACGGCUUGGAGUAAAGAUGACAACCAGUCAUGCUAUGUUUGUUGAGGGGCAAUCUGUUACUAGGCCUCCCAUGUUCAGUGGCUCUAACUAUGUUAACUGGAAAGAACGGAUGAUUAUCUUUUUGCAAUCUAUUGAUAUUGAACUAUGAUUUAUUGUGAGUGAAGGACCGCAUGAAUCUAACUUUCUUGAUGCAGAUACAGGGUUGCUUCGGCCAAAAACGAGAGCUGAAAUGAAUGCUCAAGACAGGACUAACCUCACAUUGAAUGCCAAGGCCAUGAACGUUAUUUAUAGUGCCUUAGAUUCAAAUGAAUCAAUUAGAGUAAAAGGCUGUAAAUCGGCCAAAGAAAUGUGGGAUAAGUUAAGAGAAAUUCAUGAGGGUGGUGAUAAUGUGAAAGAGCAGAAAAAGGCUAUCUUGGUCACAAAGUAUGAAUCAUUUAAAAUUGAACCUCUUGAGGAUAUUGACAAAAUGUAUUGCAGGUUCAAUGACUUGCUCAAAGAUCUCGAGGUGUUGGGCAAAGAGUACACCUUGGGAGAGAAGAACAGGAAAAUUCUCAAUGCAUUAGGCAAAGAAUGGGAAAAUAAAGUCACUGCAAUAGAGGAGGCUAAGAAUUUAAAUUCUGUGCCUAUUGAAUCUCUCAUUAACUCACUAACCUCUUAUGAAUUGAAAUUAAAAUCCAAAGUGCAGGAGGAAGAGGAUGCUAGAGCAAAGAGAAAUAUUGCUCUAAAGACUACUCAAGGUGAGGAUGAUCCAGCUCACUUGGAUGAUGAAGACUCGGAUGGUGAUGAUAAUGAUCUUGCUCUCAUCACAAGAGGCUUCAAGAGAAUCUUGAAUAAAAGGAAGUUUAGAAAGGGAGGACCUAGCAAUCAAUUUCAAAAUUAUUCAUCAAAUGCGAGGAACAAAGGAAAAUAAGAAUUCAACAAGAAGCAAGUGGACAAAUGCUAUGAAUGUGGACAGGCUGAAUACUAUGCAAACGAAUGCCCCAUGAAGAAAAUGAAAGAUGGGAAAGCUGAUCGAAAGCCAAGAUUCAACAACUUCCAGAUUACUUGGAAUGAAUGCAACUCCGAAGGAGAAGUUGAAGAAGAGGAUGAAUCAGCUCAAAUGGCCUUCAUGGCUAGCGGAAAUAAUGAGGUAACUUCCACACACUCUCAAUCUGAAAAUGAUGAUGAGGAAGAUGAUGAUCUUGAAUCAUUUGUUGAAAAACUGCAUAAUGCCUUGAAGGAAUCUUAUGAUAAAAACAAGCAGUUAAAACAGAAAAUGACUUUUCUCAUUCAAGAAAAUGCAAGUCUUUUUCAACAAAAUAAACAACUAAAGACUGACAAUCAAAGUCUUGUAAGAGCCGGAUGUAAUGUUCAAAAUGAGCUUGAUAGAAAGACAAAUAUUUGUGAAAUGCUGAAGGAAAGACAUGGUGAUUUGAAAAAAAGAAUGGACAACUUGGAUGAGACUUUGAAAGCAAGAAAGCAGGAGUUUAUCAAAAGGAACAUGUCAUCUACCCAUCCUACUACUUUUCAAAGAACAUUUGCACACAACAAAAAUGCACAUGGUUUCACAACAUAUAGAAGAGGCGGAUUGAGAUAUGUCAAACCAGUACAUGUUAAGGACUCUUCCAUUAUGUGUGGUUUUUGUUGUCAAAGAGGGCAUUUGAAAGGUGAUUGCUAUGUGAAAAGAAAUCUGAACAAAGGGAUGAAAUGCAUGUGGUUAGUUAGAUACAAUGCUAACUAUUGCGGACCCAAAAAUUAAAAUGGGUACCAAACACUUUCUCUUUUCAGGAAAAAUGCUCAAACAAGUCCAAAUGGUUUAUUGAUAGUGGUUGCUCAAGGCAUAUGACCGGUGAUCCCUCUUUGUUCAUAAAGCUGAAAUCAAAAUCAAGUGAAAAAGUGACAUUUGGUGAUGAUGUGAAAGCUAAGACAAUUGGAAUAGGUGAUGUUGGUAAGGAUGGUGAAACUUUUGUUCAUAAUGUGCUCUUAGUUGAUAACUUAAGUUAUAACUUGUUUAGUGUUAGUCAAUUGUGUGAUAAAGACUUGAAUGUGUUAUUUAAAAAGCAUGAAUGCAUUGUGCUUGAUUCCAAAUAUAAUGUUGUGUUCAAAGGAAAGAGGUUCAACGACAUAUAUAUUGUGGUUCUUGAUAAAAUUAAUUCUUCUAGCUUAAAAUGUCUUAAAACUUCAAAUGAAGAUCCUUGGUUGUGCCAUAGAAGACUUUGUCAUUUUAACAUGGAUUUACUAAAGAAAAUUUCGAAAAAGGAGCUAGUUAGAGGCUUGCCAAAAAUCAGUUUUGAAAAAGAUAAAAUAUGUGAUGCAUGUCAAUUUGGAAAGCAAACAAAAGUUUCUUUUAAACCAAAGAAGUGUGUAUCUACUUCCAAACCUUUAGAACUAUUGCAUCUUGACUUAUUUGGUCCUACUCAAAUCACUAGCUUGGGAGGUAAGAAAUACUGCUUUGUGAUUGUGGAUGAUUAUUCUAGAUAUACUUGGGUAAUAUUUCUUGCUCAUAAGGAUGAUGUAUUCAAGAAUUUCACUUCAUUGUUUGCUAAAGUGCAAAAUCUGCUUGGAUUAAAAAUUGUUAGAAUUAGAAGUGAUAAUGGAACAGAAUUCAAGUAUUGUGGUUUUCCAGAAUUUUGUGAUUAUAAUGGCAUAACUCAUGAGUUUUCUAUUGCAAGAACUCCACAGCAAAAUGGUGUUGUAGAAAGGAAAAAUAGGACUCUACAAGAGGCUGCUAGAACCAUGUUAAGUGAAUGCAGUCUGCCAAAGUACCUUUGGGCUGAAGCGGUAAACACUGCAUGUUAUGUGAUGAAUAGAAUCCUAUUGAGACCCAUUUUGAAUAAAACAUCUUAUGAACUAUUUUUUGACAAGAAACCUACAGUUGGAUAUUUCAAGGUCUUUGGUUGUAAAUGUUUUAUUUUAAAUUUAAAGGAACACCUUGGUAAGUUUGAGAAAAAAUCUGAUGAAGGAAUAUUUUUGGGAUAUUGCGAGAACAAAAGAGGUUAUAGAGUCUUUAAUAGAAGGACUCUUGUGAUAGAAGAAGCCAUACACAUAACAUUUGAUGAAUCUAAUGAUGACAACUCCAAACGUUCGUAUGAGGAUGAUGAUGUAGGUGCUCGCGAAGGAAUGGAAAAGUUAAAAAUUGGAGAUGGAGGAAAUUCUGAACCAGAAGCAAAGGAAGUGGAGAAUGAAGCUCAUGAAGAUCAAGAAAGGGAAGAUGAGGACAGAAAUGAUGAUCCAUUCAAAGAUCUUCCCAAGGCUUGGAGAUUUAGUCAAAAUCAUCCGAAAGAACUUAUAAUUGGUGAUCCAUCCGAGAAGGUAAAGACUCGUUCCUCUUCUAGAAAAUUGAUUGACAAUUUUGCUUUAGUUUCUCUUUUUGAACCCAAAAAUAUCAAUGAUGCUUUAAAGGAUGAAAACUGGAUUUUGGCAAUGCAAAAGGAACUUAAUCAAUUUGAGAGAAAUGAAGUUUGGACACUUGUUGAUAGACCUCAAAAUCAACCUAUCAUUGGCACAAAGUGGAUUUUUAGAAUAAAUUGGAUGAUAAAGGUGUUGUUGUAAGAAAUAAAGCCAGAUUAGUUGCUAAAGGAUAUGCACAAGAAGAAGGAAUUGAUUUUGAUGAAACAUUUGCUCCCGUAGCAAGAUUAGAAUCUAUUAGAAUGCUUCUUGCCUUUGCAUGCUUUAAAGGCUUCAAAUUGUUUCAAAUGGAUGUUAAAAGUGCCUUUUUAAAUGGUUUUAUUGAUCAAGAAAUAUAUGUGGAUCAACCCCCCGGUUUUGAAAAUACAAAAUUUCCAAGUCACGUGUUUAAACUAUCUAAAGCUUUAUAUGGUCUAAAACAGGCUCCAAGAGCUUGGUAUGAAAGACUAAGUGGUUUUUUGAUUGAAAAUAGUUUCAAAAGGGGUGUUGUGGACACCACACUUUUUACUAAGCAAGUGUUGAAUGACCUUCUUAUUGUGCAAAUAUAUGUUGAUGAUAUUAUUUUUGGUGCUACUAAUGAGUAUCUAUGUAAGGAGUUUUCCACCACUAUGCAAAGUGAAUUUGAAAUGAGUAUGAUGAGAGAAUUAAAUUUCUUCCUUGGACUUCAAAUACAUCAAACUCUUGAGGGAAUUUUUAUAAAUCAAGCAAAAUAUACCAAGGAAUUGCUGAAAAGGUUUGGCAUGGAGGACUCAAAGCAAGUUGGAACUCCAAUGUGCACUUCUACAAAGCUUGACAAAGAUGAAGAAGGUAAUCAUGUGGAUGAAAAGCACUAUAGAGGUAUGAUCGGAAGCCUACUCUAUUUAACCGCAAGUAGACCUGAUAUUAUGUUUGCUGUUUGCUUGUGUGCUAGAUUUCAAUCUUGUCCAAAAGAAUCCCAUUUGAAUGCUGUAAAAAGGAUUUUUAGGUAUUUGAAAGGUACAUUAGACUAUGGUCUUUGGUAUGCUAGAUCUAGUAAGUUUGCAUUAUAUGGUUAUUCGGAUGCUGAUUUUGGAGGAUGUCGUGUGGAUAGAAAGAGUACUAGUGGAACUUGUCACUUUCUUGGUAAUUGUUUAGUCUCUUGGUUUAGCAAGAAACAAAAUGCAAUCUCUUUGUCUACAACCGAAGCGGAAUAUAUUGCCGCUAGUGCAUGUUGUGCUCAACUUUUAUGGAUGAAGCAUACCCUGAAUGACUAUGGAUUGUUGUAUGACUGCAUGCCUGUGUUCUGUGAUAAUACUAGUGUUAUAAAUUUGACCAAAAAUCCUAUUCAGCAUUCUAGGACAAAGCAUAUAGAUAUAAAGCACCAUUUUAUUCGUGAUCUUGUUCAAAAAGGUGAAAUUUGUGUAAAUUAUGUUUGUUCUAAAGAUCAAUUUGCUGAUAUUUUUACAAAAACCUUGCCAUUAGAUCAAUUCAUUCAUCUAAGAUCAAAAUUGGGAAUAAUUGAAAAAUCAGCUUAAAAUUUUCUUUCGGACGUCCGAAAGAGGAUGAACGGACGUCCGAUGAUGUUCUUCAGCCAUUUUCUAGAUUGCGCCUGUUCGGACGCAGCUGUCGGACGCAGAAAUUCGUUCGGCACUCCGACAGUGCAACAGAUCAAUUUUUUAAACAACUUUCUUUCUCAUUUGCUUCAGACUCUUCCUAUUCUAUUUCCUCUCGGACGAAAACUCUCUCUUCCCUCACUCUCAAAUUCGUACCAUUUUGAAGCUCUCAUUCUCAAAUUGACUCAAACAAAACUUUUUCUGACUGAUUGUGAUUCAUUUCUCCUGAUCAUUUCACCGAAUCGCAUAACAUUUCACAAAUUCCCAAAUUUCCCUCAAAACCCUACUCUUUCAUAACUGCUCUGACAACUCUUGAUCAAGGCCUUUUUGUCCCAAAAUUUCUAUGCGAUUCACUUCCCUACUGCUGUGUGCAUCAUUUGCAUCCUUCAUUCCAUACAUUUCGCACAAUGGUGAAUCUAAGAUGAGGAAAGGUUACUGCCGGACGCAAGCAUCCACUCAGGGAUGAGGAUGAGGAUCUUCCUACUGUCAAACGGACAUCCAAAUGCUUCAAAAGGGGAGCUAUCAAGGGUCAAAUGUCACGGCCUACACCACAACCCUCCUCUCAGCCUGAAUCUGGACAGGGAACAUCUUCUCAACCGCCUCCAAAAUCAGCCCUUCCCCCUACAUUCUUUGAUGAUACAGCAAGAGACAAACACUCCUUGAUAUCCCAGAAAGGUGUCAUCCCUCAACGCACUGUAAACCCUUCUGAAUUUCGUCUCAUAGGUUUAGAACCCAUUCUGAAGUUGUUUGCUUUUCAGAAAUGGUCGCAUAUCAUUUCUAUGCCAAAUGUUUACUAUCCUGAACUGCUGCAUCAAUUUUUUGCUAAUCUUAGGAAAGGCUCUGACCAAACUGAAAUCUUUUCCAGGGUUAACGGGGUAGAUUUAAUCUUUGACUCUGAAAUUGUGAAUUCCAUUUUAAAUACUACCAUUGAACGUGGGUGCAAGGAUAAAAUUGUAAAUUUCUUUUCCUAUGAAGAGCACCCUAAUGCUGAUAAUCAUUUUGAUGGGGCUAAAAUGUUGACCUAUUUUAAAAGAAGUUUUUCCUCCCCUGCUGAUGCUAAACUGAAUGAUCUUACCCCUGUGAAUUUAAUUAUUUUUCUAUCAUUUCAAACCUGCUUGUGCCUACUGAUGGCCAUAGAACUGAUGCAAACAAAAUGGAGUUGUACCUCUUUUAUUGUUUUCGAGAAAAAAUUCGGAUUGAUUUUGGUUUUGUCAUGUGCAAGUUUUUACUUCGCUAUACCACUGACUCUCGCAGAAAACUAUCCUAUGGAAAGUUUCUUCAAAAGAUUUUUGAGUUUUUCAAAGUUCCAAUUUUAGGUGUUUGUCCCAAAGAAGAAGCAUCUUCUUAUGCCUUUACCAAAGGAUAUUUUGAAAGGAAAAAUCUUGUUUUUAAAGAUAAUAUGUGGUCUUAUAAGGAGGCAUCGUCCAGUGAACAUAGGUCUAAGGCUGCACAUGAUCCUUCAUCUAUUCCACUCACUCCCAUUCAUCCUAGGAAAUCUGCCACUAAGGCAUCUUCCUCCUCCAAUGAUGGAGUGAUUGAGUUUCUUCAUGAACUCAAACAGCAUGUUCUUCUUCUAGAACAUGGCCUAAUGCUCACCAUGUCCUCUGAGCAACAAACUGCCUUUCUAGACAAAAAGAACCUUCUUUUUUCCCCACCUGUGGUUGAGGAAGUCUCACAUGACAAAGAACCUCGAACCACUGAUCCAGGUUCAUCAGUUCCAGAUCCGAAUUCAUCAACUCUUGUGACUCCUCAUGGCCCUUCCACAUCAGACAAAGGCAAGGCACCAAUUGAAGAAACUGCUGAAGAUGAUGAAGAAACUAAUGAGGAAGACCUCUCUCAAUAUCAGCUCUCUCGAAGAUCACCUGGAUCCACAUAGUUCACUACUUAGGACAUUUGCAUUCUGUUUGUCUAUUUUAUGUGUUUGUAAUGUUCAACAUUUGUAAUGUUUUUCUUGUUGGUACUGUAUGUUUAUGUUAAGUAUUUUGAAUGAUGACUGUGUUUAUGGAUGUUUAAGUAUUUUGGUGCAAUGAAUUUGGUUUUCAUUGAUGAAUGUGUUUGUGGAUGUGUUGAUGUGAUUGGUUGCCCUUUUGUGAUGACAAAAAGGGGGAGAGGACUGGAUUGAUUGAUGAUUGAUGAUUGGUGUUGAUUGAUGAUUGAUGAUUGGUGAUGUUGGAUAUGUUGGAUUGAUUAUUUAAAUUUGGAUUGGCUGAUAUGCUUAAUUGUCAUAUUUUUGGAAAAUUGUUUAACUCGGAUGGGCAGCCAAGUGAGGGGGAGUUUUUCAAAAUUUUCAAAAUUUUAUGAUUCACUAAAUAAGGGGGAGUUCUUGAGAAAGGGGGAGCUUAUACUGCAAUCAUCAAAUUUCAUUUCAAACUUUUGUUUUGUCAUCAUCAAAAAGGGGGAGAAUGUUAUUCUUGGUUUUGAUGAUCACAAAAGUUCGUUGAAAUGUCUAUACAGACCAAGAAAGUGAACACUUUGAUCAGGCCUGAUGGAACAAGGAAAGCAUAUGUUUGAUUGACUCCAGUCUACGAUGCUUUGGAUGUGGCAAACAAGAUUGGAAUAAUAUAAACAAAUUUAGUUAUUGUUUUGUUCCGAUCAAAGAUACAGUCUUUUAAGUGUGACAAUUUUGUUAUAAUGAUCACAAAAUACUUUGAAUUGUUUAUCUAAAUUUCUUCAAAUAUAAGUGUUGUUGCUUACCAAAGAAUCAGGUACGAAUAUGACAUGAGAUGCAAAUCAACCAAAAGAAGAAGCAAAAACAGGACACUCAUGUCGGACGGCCGAAAGGAAUCUGUCGGACGUCCGAAAGGAUAAAGAACAUCAAGAAGGAAACUCUGUCGGACGCUCAUAAGGAAGCAUCGGAUGCACACCUCGGACGCAUAUCAACCGCAUCGGACGUUCGAAAAAUUCCAAGAUGACAUGCCAACUCUCUGCCUACGAUCGGACGCUGUGCUGUCGGACGAUAAAGACGCAUCGGACGUCCGAACUUCAACUUGACUGUUUUCGGACGAUUGGUUCGGACGAUGAUUUGGCCGUCGGACGUCCGAAAGCCCCAACGGCUAGCUGACCCUUCAUCUGCCUUCUAUCCGUUGGAAGCUUUAAUGAAGCCCAUUUCUGUUCCCCUUUAAAAACAAACUGUUCUGAACGAAGGAAGGACUUUUGCACACUUGGUUUACAAGAUUUCAAGAGAUAUUUUAGCUAGAAAAUAGUCUCCAAAGUUAGAUUUGUUCUCUAAGUGGUGUGAAUUUCUGGUGAGCUUUUCUCUUGUGGUUGAAAGUUUCAUUAGUGUAGCUUUGUUGAGGGUUAUCUGAGUGUUUGUAAAACUUCUUAACUUGACUAAGUGAGGCUUAGGGCAAGGAGGAAGUGCUCCCUCCAUUGUACAUCUAGUUGAUCAUCUUUCAUCAAAGAGAAGUUGCUCAACCUUGUGAUUGGUCUUCAAGUUUGAGGAGAGCUUGGUAGACAAUUGGUUUGAUUUCCUAUUUUACUUUUUGUUUAAUAAAAUUCUCAUUGCUUAUCUAUACUUGUUUCUUCUGAUCAAUAUUGCUCUUGUCUUCUAAUCUACUUGGUUGAUCAUUACUAGAAAAGAAGGUAAAUUUUUAUUAAAGAAAAAGUGCAUAAAUUUGGUUAAGAUUUUAAUCAACCCAAUUCACCCCCCCUCUUGGUUGUCUUUGGGACUUACAAACAAAAUGGAGUUGUAGAAAGAAAAAAUAGAACUCUCCAAGAGGCUGCUAGAAUCAUGCUUAGUGAAUGCAAUUUACCAAAAUAUUUUUGGGUUGAAGCCAUAAACACAGCCUGUUAUACCAUGAAUAGAGUUCUUCUAAGAUCAAUUUUGAACAAAACUUCCUAUGAGCUCAUGUAUGACAAAAAGCCUGUUGUCAGCUACUUCAAAGUAUUUGGUUGUAAAUGUUUCAUUUUGAACAUCAAGGAACAUCUUGGAAAGUUUGACAAGAAAUCUGAUGAAGGAAUUUCUUGGGUUAUUGUGAAAACAAAAGAGGUUUCAGAGUUUAUAAUCGUAGAACAUUGAUUAUAGAGGAGGCUAUACACAUUACUUUUGAUGAAUCUAAUGGUGACAUUUCUAUGAGUUGUGGUGAAGAUGAUGACACAGGUGUUCAAGAAGGACUAAAGAAGCUAGCAAUCAAUGACCAUGACUCUGUCUCACCAGAAACUGAUUCAAAGGAUAAUGAUGCUCAGGUCAGUCCUGUUGAAGAAGUGAAUAAUGGAGACACCACUACUUCUAAUGAUCUUCCAAGAGUCUGGAAAUUCGCUCAUAAUCAUCCCAGGGAGCUUAUAAUUGGUGAUCCUUCUGAAAAGGUCAGAACUCGUUCCUCUAGACACUUGAUAGAUAAUCUUGCUUUUAUAUCACAUAUUGAACCUAAAAACGUUGUUGAUGCUUUGAAUGAUGAGCACUGGAUUUUAGCUAUGAAAGAAGAGUUAAUCCAAUUUGAAAGAAACAAAGUUUGGACUCUGGUUGUCAGACCACAAGGCCAUCCUAUCAUUGGCACAAAAUGGAUUUUUAGAAACAAAUUGAAUGAUAAAGGGGAGAUUGUUAGAAAUAAGGCUAGACUGGUGGCUAAGGGAUACACUCAAGAAGAGGGAAUAGACUUUGAUGAGUCUUUUGCACCAGUAGCCAGGCUGGAAUCCAUAAGAAUGUUUUUAGCAUUUGCAUGUUUCAAGAAUUUUAAAUUAUUUCAAAUGGAUGUUAAGAGUGCCUUCUUAAAUGGAUUUAUAGAUCAAGAAGUCUAUGUUGAUCAACCUCCUGGUUUUGAAAAUGAAUCUUAUCCAGAUCACGUGUUUAAACUCUCAAAAGCUUUAUAUGGAUUAAAGCAAGCUCCUAGAGUAUGGUAUGAACGUCUGAGUGGAUUUCUGAUUGAAAAUGGUUUUAAAAGAGGCAUUGUAGACACUACAUUUUUUACAAAACAGAGCUCACAAGAUCUUUUGAUUGUGCAAAUAUAUGUGGAUGAUAUCAUAUUUGGUGCUACUAAUGAAAAAUUGUGCAAGGACUUUUCCACCAUCAUGCAAAAAGAAUUUGAAAUGAGCAUGAUAGGACAACUGAAUUUCUUCCUUGGACUCCAAGUGAUUCAAAACCAAGAUGGAACGUUUAUAAAUCAAACAAAAUACACCAAGGAGUUGCUAAAAAAUUUCGGAAUGGAGGAUUCAAAGCCUGUUGGGACACCUAUGUGCACAUCUACCAAACUAGACAAAGAUGAGGAAGGUACAAAAGUUGAAGAGAAGAAGUACAGAGGUAUGAUUGGAAGUUUACUUUAUUUAACUGCUAGUAGGCCUGACAUCAUGUUUGCUGUGUGUUUAUGUGCUCGAUUUCAAUCCUGUCCAAAGGAAUCACACUUGAAUGCAGUAAAAAGAAUCUUGAGAUAUCUUAAAGGAACCUUAAAUUUUGGCUUGUGGUAUCCAAAAUGUCAUGAAUUUCCUUUGUGUGGAUUCUCUGAUGCUGACUUUGGUGGUUGUAAAAUAGAUAGAAAGAGUACUACUGGUAUAUGCAACUUUCUUGGAAAUUGCUUGGUCUCUUGGUUUAGUAAAAAACAAAAUGCUAUCUCACUGUCCACUACUGAAGCUGAAUAUGUUGCUGCUGGUGCUUGCUGUGCUCAAUUGUUAUGGAUGAAAAACACAUUGAAUGACUUCGGUUUAGUAUAUGAAUGUGUACCUAUGUACUGUGACAACACUAGUGCAAUUAAUCUAACAAAAAAUCCCAUUCAACACUCUAGGACUAAGCACAUUGAUAUAAAGCAUCAUUUCAUUCGCGAUCUUGUCUCAAAAGGGAUAAUCCGUGUUGAGUUUGUUUGUUCUAAAGAACAGAUCGCUGAUAUCCUCACAAAAGCUCUUCCGCUAGAUCAAUUUGUGUCUUUGAGGACUAAAUUGGGUGUUUCAAAAAAAAUGUUCUGAGUCUUAUCUUUAUCGGACGUCCGAUGAAUUGGAACGGACGUCCGACAGUGUUCUUCAUCCAAGGUCCAGAAAAUCUCUGGCUCGGACGAUUGUGUCGGAUGCAUCACUUCGUUCGGACGUCCGACACUCAAAAAUGUGUCCUAUAAGGCAGUUACCCACUCUUCUCAAUUCAUUUUCCUUCAUAAGUCUCGGACGCGACCUUUCAGUUUCUCUAAAAUUUGAAAUUCAAAUUUCUCUCUCCUCAAACCAAGUUCCGAGAAAUUGACUCAACCAACUCCAUUACACCUCUCUUGCUCAUUAACCAUUCAUAAAAGGCAUUCCUAACACCUAACUGCCCCAAAAUUUCCAAUUUACAUACGAAACCCUAACCUCACAUAACCCUCUCCCUACGGCAUCAUAGUGCACUCUUGUUAGCUCUUACUGUUUUUUCCUUCUAUACACAACAUUCUGCAUUAAAAAUCAUAUCCACAUUGCAUCAUGGUUAGAAUGAGGGGAGGAUCUACUAGUGCCGGACGGUCCUUUAAGCUGAGGGAUGAAGACAUUGAAAUUGUUGAUCCACCUCCUGUGGCACCAAAAAGAAAGAAAGUGACUCGUAGUGAUGUAGAUACGGGUGCGCAACAACUUCAACCUUGGGUCAAGGACAACAUUGACGGUCCGAUGACAAGAUCAAGAUCCAAGAAGGUGGAGGAAGCUUUAAGAGCUUUGAUUAUUCACCAUACAAGCAAGGAGCGGGCUAAGUUUGAAGAAUUGAUGGACCAUGAAGUUACCUUGCUCACUUGUACAUUUGAAGUGCAAGAAUGAUCUCCUACUUGGUAGAUUAGUUAGUAGUUGUUUUAAGACUGUCUAGUUUAGUAGUUGUUAGGCGUUGAGUAUUUUAUUACUUAUUGGGCCUUAUCGGAAAGCCUUAAAGAGCUGGCUCUUUAAACUCUUUAUGCGGACCGAAUUUAUUCCAGGUUUAUGUGGGCCAGAUUUUGCCCUAGUUUUAGCCUAUAAAAAGGCACCUCUUGUAUGAGUAAAAGGGGAGAAUAUUUUACAACCAGAAAUCGUGAGGAAUUUUCCUUCAAGUUCUUAAUCGAACUUACUCUUGAAUUCUUGAGUUUAUGACUUAGGAUUCAAAUCUGACUUUAUCGAUUAGUUUGUUCCCUAAUCGUGGUGUCUCUUCAUCUAUCUUUAUUUGCUUAAGGUUGCUGAAUGCCUUUGUGUGUCAGAGGUCUUGAGUUCAUGAGAACAAUCGAGUUCAAUUUCCAUUGGGAGAAACGAUCCAACUCUGAUAAUUACAAGGUUGGGAGGUUCUAGGAGGGUCUUCCCCUAGGGUUGCUCAUCAGUUGGUAAUCAGAGCAUCAGGUUAAUUCUCUUUCAAUUGAAAUUGUUCAUAUCUUAUUAGUUUGUGUCUUUUGUCCAAAAAAAAAAAAAACUGUAGCGAUUACUGUUCAUCAUACUGUUCCGAAAUACUGUUCAUCGUUACUGUAGCGCACUGUUCACGUUACUGUUCAUCCGAGAGAAAAAAAAACUAUUUGGGUAUUGUCUUUUUGUGCUUUCUGUCCAACUUUUGUUCUUGAGUCUGUUAUACUUUUGUUUGGGUUGUUAGGGUUUAAAGACAAAAAAAAAAAAAAAAAAAAGAGUCACGUACCUUAUAUUGUUUUUUAGUGUCCAAGUUGCUAGAGUAUUGCUGGAAUUUUUCUUUUGAGUAUUGCUGAAAUUCUGUUUUGCCUAUUUCUUGAGUAUUGGUUGUUGUUCUUGCAAAUCCUAAACACCACAACGUAAUUUGGGGAAGUUCUUGAGCUUCUUGAACAAAUUUUUGAAGUUCUUGGACCACCAAGUCUUGUUUGAAAAUUCUUGAACAAUAAAUCAAGAACCAGGGCCUUCUUGAAAUUUGCAUAACCUUUCAUCCGUUUUCUUGAACUUGUUGGUGUGAUCUGAAUUUGUAUUCCUCGAAGAGCCGAAAAAAAAAGAAGAAAAAAAAAAGAAAAAAAAAGGAAGAAGAGAAGGAAUUGGCUCUCACACAAAGGAAAUCAAGUUCCCCAAAUCUUGAGUUUCCCAUUCUUGAUUGGUCUCCAAUUCUUGAUUAGUCUCCAAAUCUUGAUUGGUUUUCCAAAAAAAAAAAAAAAAAAACUUGAGUCUCCAAAUUUUGUUUGGUUUCCAAUUCUUGAGUCUCCAACCUUAAUUGAAUUCCAACAACCCCAAACAACCUAACCAGCCCCAAACACCCCCAAAUCAGUUUCCAAAACCAAACCUAAACCGCCACAAACACCAUUUACCAUCCAAAUACUGGCCAGAAACUCAGCAAAAACAUCCGCUCAAAAAAAAAAAAAGAGGUUCUAGCUUCGGGUAGUGUUUCUAGGAUUUACAAAAUUCUGCUUUGUGUCUUUUUACUUGCUUAUAGGGUAAUUAAUUCUGGAAUUUUUGUGAGUUUGAGUUGUUUUAAGAACUUUGAGAAGGAAAAUUGAGAGUGAGUGUGUUUCCUUGAGUGAUACACGAGUGCUUUGCAAGGUAGACUAGGAUACACUUGUUUUGCAGGUUUGACAAUAUGUCUCAAGAGGGGAACAUGCCUGAGCCCUCUGAAACCGACGUGUCACUCAAACUGGUGCUCCAAGCUCUUCAAAAACAAGUGGAGAGACAAGAAUUUGUGACGACACAACUAUCCGACAGGUUGGCUGCCAUUGAGAUACGAGGUACUGGAGAUAUUCCCAAUAGGGCUUCAAGUGCUCAGAGUGUUGAGCAUGAUGCAGAUGAUGAGGGGUAUCAUUCUAACACCUCAUUUCGAUCAAGGAAAAGCCACAGGGAAGCGAGGGAAGGUCGAGACCGACCUAGGAGAACCGAUGACAAUCUUGGUUCCAUCAAGACUAAGAUGCCUACCUUUCAUGGCAAAAAUGAUCCUGAAGCUUACUUGGAUUGGGUUAGGCGAGUUGAGCAAGUGUUUGAAGUCCACAACUACUCUGAAGAGAAAAAGGUGAAACUUGCGGCUAUUGAAUUUGAAGAUUAUGCAUCCAUUUGGUGGGAGCAAGUAUGUGCCAUAAGAAGGAGAAAUAGGGAACCACCAAUUGACACUUGGGCUGAAAUGAAGCAAGUGAUGAGGAAACGAUUUGUACCCUUCCAUUAUACCACGGACUUGUACAAUCGGCUCCAACGACUCACUCAAGGUUCUAAUUCGGUUGAUGAGUACCACAAACAAAUGGAAAUAGCGAUGAUAAGGGCCAAUGUCCAAGAGGAUCCGGAAGCAACCAUGGCGAGGUUCCUUAAUGGAUUAAAUCCUGAAAUUAGGAAGAAGGUUGAGCUUCAAGACCACUUUGAACUUCAACAAAUGGUGUCUUAUGCAGAGAAGGUGGAAAAGCAAGCCUUACCUCUAAAGACACCUAGUGGCCGAACCACUACAUCUUCUUCCACCCCUUGGAAAAGAAAUCAAUUGCCAACAUCCAGUGCUUGGCCAAGGCAAGGUAAUAGAGAGAGGGAAAACAAGCGGAUGGAACAACCGUCCCAUCCGAGUGCAACUUCUUCUAAACCAACCCCGCGGCCGACUCUUCCAGGAGCAAAUACAUCUACCAACCAGCCAAAGGCAUGUUUCAAAUGCAAGGGAAUUGGCCACCUCAUGGCUCAAUGCCCUAACCGAAGCAUCAUGUAUAUGAAUGAAGAGGGAAUGUGGCAAAGCGAAGGAGAGGAGGAAUAUGCGGACAUGCCACCGCUUGAAAAAGAGGGGAAGGAUGAUGACCUGGUUGAAAUAAAAGAGGACCCCGUGGCUCGAACUAUGGUGACUAUGAGAGUGCUAAAUGCACAAGCUCAAGAAGAUGAUCUCCAACGGACCAACAUUUUUCAUACAAGAUGCAAAAUUGGAGAUGAGGUAUGUCUCAUGAUCAUUGAUAGUGGCUCUUGUACUAAUUGCGUAGCUGCUGACUUUGUUGAGCAAAAACACCUUCCAUGGACUUACCACUCUAAACCCUAUAGACUAUCUUGGUUAAAUGAUGGAGGGGAAGUCAAGGUGACCAAACAAGCUUUAAUCGCUUUUUCUAUUGGUCGGUACAAGGACCAAGUUUUAUGUGAUGUAAUUCCUAUGCAAGCUAGUCAUAUCUUGUUGGGACGUCCUUGGGAGUAUGAUAGACAGGCUGAUCACAUUGGACUUACCAAUAAAUAUAAGUUCAUUAUGGACAACCUCAAAAUCACUCUUUCACCAUUGACACCUACACAAGUGUGAAGAACAAUUACAUUUAAGAAAAGAGAGAGAGAAAAGGCAACCGAAAGAAACAAAGAAAAAGCCGAAUGAGAGAGAGAAUGAGGGGAAAAAGAAAGUAGAGGCCGAGUUGAGUGAAAAAGGAAAUUCGAGUGGAAAAAAACUCAGUGAGGCCGAGAGCUUGAAAGUGAAAAAAAGAAAUUUCUAUGCAAGUGUGCGUGAGGUAGAUAUGGUUUUGAAUGCACAAAGUCUUCUCGUAGUACUUCUGUACAGGGAAGCUGAUUAUUCUUCUUUUUACACACUAGGCAUAACCGAUUCUCUUCCUAAUGCAAUCUACUCUCUUUUGCAGGAAUUCAAGGAUGUGUUUCCGGAGGAACUACCGAAAGGAUUACUUCCAAUUCGAGGUAUUGAACAUCAAAUCGACUUUGUUCCUGGAGCAAUUCUACCAAAUCGACCAGCCUAUAGAGCAAAUCCGGAGGAAACAAAGGAAAUCCAAAGGCAAGUCGAUUCCCUCCUUGAAAAGAACCAGGUUCGUGAAUCUCUUAGUCCUUGUGCAAUUCCCGUUAUUUUAGUAACUAAGAAAGAAUGGACUUUGAGAAUGUGUACAGAUUGUCGUGCAAUUAACAAAAUUACUGUUAAGUAUCGUCAUCUCAUUCCUAAGCUAGACGAUAUGUUAGAAGAAUUGCAUGGAGCAAUCAUUUUCACUAAAAUUGACUUAAGAUCUGGUUAUCAUCAAAUAAGGAUAAAGGAAGGUGACGAAUGAAAAACUGCUUUCAAAACGAAGUAUGGUCUUUAUGAGUGGCUUGUGAUGCCUUUCGGCUUAACAAACGCUCCAAGUACUUUCAUGAGAUUAAUGAACCAUGUUUUAAGGCAUUUUCUUGGAAAGUUCGUUGUUGUUUAUUUUGAUGAUAUAUUGAUCUUUAGCAAGUCUUUAGAAGAGCAUGUUGAGCAUUUGCGACUUGUUUUAAGUGCCUUGCGUGAAAAUAGGUUAUUUGCUAACUUGGAAAAAUGUGUCUUUUGCGCUCCUGAGGUUAACUUUCUUGGUUAUAUUAUUGGUGCAAAUGGCAUAAGUGUUGAUCCCACCAAGGUAAAGGCUAUCAUGGAGUGGCCGACUCCAACCAAUGUGUCUCAGGUAAGGUCUUUUCAUGGUCUUGCAAGCUUCUAUAGGAGAUUUGUUAAAGACUUUAGCACUAUUGCAGCACCUUUGAAUGAGAUAGUUAAAAAGAAUGUGGGGUUUCAAUGGGGAAAAGAGCAAGAAGAGUCGUUUAAUAAGCUUAAAAAUUUGUUAACUUCAGCACCUAUUCUUGCUUUGCCUAAUUUUGAUUUGAUGUUUGAAGUUGAAUGUGAUGCUAGUGGGAUUGGCAUUGGGGCUGUCUUACAUCAAAAUAAUAGGUCCUUGGCAUAUUUUAGUGAGAAGUUGAGUGGGGGAGCUCUCAAUUACCCUACUUAUGAUAAAGAAUUGUAUGCUGUUGUGCGUGCUCUUGAAGUGUGGCAGCAUUAUCUUAUGCCUAAGGAAUUUGUGAUACAUACUGAUCAUGAAUCAAUUAAAUUCCUUAAGGGGCAGGGUAAGUUGCAUAAAAGACAUGCGAAAUGGAUUGCAUUUAUUGAUUCCUUUCCAUAUAUCAUUAAGUAUAAGAAGGGAAAAGAUAACGUCGUUGCGGAUGCAUUGUCUAGAAGGUAUAUUUUGAUCACUAACCUGAGCACUAAGUUACUUGGUUUUGAGCACAUUAAAGACUUGUAUGCACAUGAUGCUGAUUUUUCUAAUGUGUUUCAAGCUUGUGAACAUGCUGCAUUUCAAAAGUUUUAUAGGCAUGAAGGCUUCUUGUUCAAAGAAAAUCGCCUAUGUAUUCCCAACUGUUCACUUAGGAAAUUACUUGUUAGAGAAGCCCAUGGCGGAGGGUUGAUGGGGCAUUUCGGUAUUGAUAAAACUCUUGACAUUUUGCAUGAGCAUUUCUAUUGGCCUAAAAUGAGGCGUGACAUUGCUAACAUUUGUGAUACGUGUUUAAAGUGUAAGCAGGCAAAGUCAAGGAGUAACCCUCAUGGAUUGUAUACUCCUCUACCCGUACCUCAUGCUCCUUGGACAGACAUAUCCAUGGAUUUUGUGCUUGGAUUACCAAGAUCUUCUACAGGUAUGGAUAGUAUCUUUGUUGUAGUGGAUAGAUUUUCUAAAAUGGCUCAUUUUAUCCCUUGUAGGAAAACAAAUGAUGCGCGCCAUGUUGCUAAUUUAUUCUUCAAGGAUGUGGUUAGAUUGCAUGGAGUACCGCGUACUAUUGUAAGUGAUAGGGAUGUGAAAUUCUUAAGCUAUUUCUGAAAAUCACUUUGGGGAAAGUUGGGAACUAAGUUGCUGUUUUCUACUUCUAGUUAUCCCCAAACGGAUGGUCAGACUGAGGUAACCAAUCGAACCCUUGGUGCUCUACUUCGAGCCAUUGUUCAAAAGAACUUGAAGAAGUGGGAAGAAUGUUUGCCUAUUGCCGAGUUUGCAUAUAACCGAACCACUCAUUCUACUACCAAUCAUUCCCCUUUUGAAAUUGUUUAUGGGAUUCAGCCGCUAACCCCUCUAGAUUUGUCACCUAUUCCUGUUAAUGAGUGUUUAAGCGCAGAUGGUAUCAAAAAGGCAGAAACUGUUCGGACCUUGCAUGAGAGAGUUCGAGUUCAAAUUGAGAAGAAAAAUGCGCAAUAUGCACAACAUGCAAAUAAGGGUAGAAAACAUGUUGUAUUCGAACCCGGUGAUUGGGUUUGGGUGCACAUGAGGAAGGAAAGGUUUCCAGCAUCUCGACGGACCAAGUUACAUCCAAAAGGCGACGGACCUUUUCGAGUACUAGAGAAGAUCAACGACAAUGCAUACAAAUUGGAACUUCCAAGUGAGUAUGGCAUAAGCGCAUCUUUUAAUGUAUUUGACCUAUCUCCUUUUGACUUUGAUACAGACUUUGAAGAUUCGAGGACGAAUCCUUUCGAGGAGGGAGAGAAUGAUGCAGAUACGGGUGCGCAACAACUUCAACCUUGGGUCAAGGACAACAUUGACGGUCCGAUGACAAGAUCAAGAUCCAAGAAAGUGAAGGAAGCUUUAAGAGCUUUGAUUAUUCACCAUACAAGCAAGGAGCGGGCUAAGUUUGAAGAAUUGAUGGACCAUGAAGUUACCUUGCUCACUUGUACAUUUGAAGUGCAAGAAUGAUCUCCUACUUGGUAGAUUAGUUAGUAGUUGUUUUAAGACUGUCUAGUUUAGUAGUUGUUAGGCGUUGAGUAUUUUAUACUUAUUGGGCCUUAUCGGAAAGCCUUAAAGAGCUGGCUCUUUAAACUCUUUAUGCGGACCGAAUUUAUUCCAGGUUUAUGUGGGCCGGAUUUUGCCCUAGUUUUAGCCUAUAAAAAGGCACCUCUUGUAUGAGUAAAAGGGGAGAAUAUUUUACAACCAGAAAUCGUGAGGAAUUUUCCUUCAAGUUCUUAAUCGAACUUACUCUUGAAUUCUUGAGUUUAUGGCUUAGGAUUCAAAUCUGACUUUAUCGAUUAGUUUGUUCCCUAAUCGUGGUGUCUCUUCAUCCAUCUUUAUUUGCUUAAGGUUGCUGAAUGCCUUUGUGUGUCAGAGAUCUUGAGUUCAUGAGAACAAUCGAAUUCAAUUUCCAUUGGGAGAAACGAUCCAACUCUGAUAAUUACAAGGUUAGGAGGUUCUAGGAGGGUCUUCCCCUAGGGUUGCUCAUCACGUAGUGGCAAAGUGAAGGAGACUGCCCAAAGAAAAUUAGUUACUCCAUCUCCUGAAUCAUCUGAUGAACAAAUGGAAGGGCAGAUCUCUGAAGGGAACAUUGCUGGUGGAAAUGAGGAACCAGAGCAGGCUACCCAAGGUGAUGAAACUGUCACACGGUCUUCCAGUAAAAGAAAAAGGACUGCAAAGGGGAAGAAAAAGCAAUCUGCUGAUCCCUCUGUUGAUCAGCAGAAUGAAGAAAACAUCACUGAGAGUCAGCCAACACCUGAACCCUCCAUCAGGAAGUCUCCAAGGAUAAGGACUGAGACUCAAAAUGUUGGUGCAUCUGUCACUCAAACCUCUAAAGGGACACGUUCUGGAACGAAUCCAGUAUCUCAGCCUGCACCUGAACCCCUUCCUCUACCAAAGUUCAUCGAUGAUGAAGCCAGAGACAGAUUUGAGUUAGUCUCUCAAAAAGGGUUCAUCACCCAAAGGCUCAUAAUUCCUUUUGAAUUUCGUAAGCUUGAUCUUGAACCUGUCAUCAAACUCUUUGAAUUCCAGAAAUGGACUCAUCUUUUGACCAUUCCUAAUGUUUUCUAUCCUGACAUGCUGUAUCAAUUUUUUGCUAAUCUUAGAAAGGGUACAUCACACACUGAACUCAUCUCUAGGGUCAACUCUGUAGACAUCAUGUUAACUCCUGACAUUGUGAAUUCUAUUAUGAAAACUAGUAUUGAACCUGGUUUUAAGGGAAAAAUUGCAAAUUUCUUUUCGUAUGAGGAAUUCCCUUCUGCCUAUCAUCACUUUUAUAAUGCUAAACUCAUGACUUAUUUUCAAACCAAAUUCAAUACCCCUGCUGAGGCAAGAUUGGAUGAUCUCAAUCCUCAAAAUCUGAUCAUCUUCACCAUCAUUUCGAAUCUGUUGGUGCCAACUGAUGGCCACAGAACAGAUGCAAACAAAAUGGAACUCUAUCUUUUCUACUGUUUUGUUGAAAAAAUCCGCAUUGAUUUUGGAUUUGUAAUGUGCAAAUUUCUGCUCAAAAUCAGCACUGAUAGUCGUACGAACCUUUCCUAUGGCAGAUUUCUGACCCCCAUUUUUGCUCAUUUUGACAUACCAUUUUCUGGCAAAUCUCCAAAAGACAGUGCUUCUUCAGUUUUCUCCAAAGCUUAUUUUGAAAGAAAGAACCUAAAAUUUUUUGAUGGGCAUUGGUGCUACAAAGAGACUGUGGCCGAGUCUAGAAGAAAAAAUUUGCAUGAAACCCCUGCCAUUCCUAGAACUCCCCAUGAUCAGUCAGGGUAUGUUUCUCCUUUCACCAUUCAUUCUAGAAAGUCUGCUAGUAAGUCCUUCUCUUCCAACUCUGAGGUCAUCUCCUUGCUUGAAGACCUCAAACAGCAUGUUAUGCUUCUUGAAGAUGGUCUCAUGAUGACCAUGACCUCUGCUCAACAAUCCUCUUUCCUUGAAAAAAGGAAUCUUCUUGUGCCCCCUAUACCUGAGACAAAUGAGACUGCUCAUCAGAAAGAACCAAGAUCUGAGCCCACAAGGCCAACUACUGGUAAUGAGACCACACCAGCUUCCAGUUCUCAGCCCAAGGAUAAAGGCAAGGCUCCAGUAACUGAGGACGCAUUUGAAGAUGAUGAUGAAGAAACUGAGGAAGAAGAGAACCCUGAACAGUACCGUCUGACCAGGAGGAGGCCUGGAUCAUCUAAAAUCACCAUCUAGGCACUACUAGGUCACUGCACCUAAAUCUAAGACUAUAGUUCAUCUUUUGCAUUACACUUUUGUACUAAGUGUUGAACACCUGGUCUGUGCAACUGGAUAUUUUCUACUCUUUAUGAAUGUUUUAACUAAGUGCUUGUUAUGAAUGCUUUGAAUGGAUGUUAUGAUUGGUUAUAUGUUUUUGAAAUCUGCUCAAUGAAUGAAUGUUUCUAUUUAACAUCUGCUACAUGAUUGAGUCCAAACUGAUAAUGUUUCUGAUGGGACGUACUGCUGGUUCCAAAACUGAUACUCAAUCUUGUGAUGACAAAAAGGGGGAGAAUUGGAAUUGGAUUUGGUUUAACACUGAUAGUAUAGAGUAACUAGUUAGGGGGAGACAGUCUCAGGGGGAGUUGUGCUGGAUCAGCACUGAUGAUGUGGAUUGCGCUUCUUCUGAUAUACUACUCAUGCACUUUGUUAGGGGGAGCUGUUAUAUUUUGUGCUCUAUCCAAUUGUUUUGUCAUCAUCAAAAAGGGGGAGAUUGUUUAUCUCAAUUCAUAUCUUUUGAUGAUUACAAAACAAUUGGAUGUUUCUAAUACCUUUUGUAGAGAUCCUUUUCAGAAAUGAACCAAACAGGUCUGUGGAUUUAAAGCAGAAAAAGAAGAUCAAAGAAGAAUGAAGUCUGCUGAGGAUGAUGUCGGACGCACAAAAGGAGGGUAUCGGACGUCCGACAUUCUUUGAGUAUCUUCAGACGAGUAAAGAACUCAGACUCGGACGUCCGAAGAAGACAAGCCAGGAGUUACUCGAUUACUGAUCAGGUUCGGACGCUCAACACCUGUGUAUCGAACGUCCGACAAGCGUUGCUGCUCUUCGGACGCAACACUCUGGACGCAUCGGCCGUCCGAAGGAAUUGAAGAAGAAAGUCCAAGUAUUCAUCCUACCCUCGGACGCAUGAUCGGACGUCCUAAGGGAUUCAAGAAAACUUCCAGAACUCAUUGAUCUUGUUCGGACGCAUAAAAACCAAACAUCGGACGUCCGACAGCACCAACGGCUAGUUGACUCUUCAGCUGCCUUUUACCCGUUGACAACAUUAAUUGAGGAACUUUCUGGUCUCCUAUAAAAAGAACAAAGUCAACCACCUCAAGACAACUUUGUACAUCAAGCCUACAUCAGAUUGUGAGUGAUUCGUGUGCUAGAAUACUCAAAAAGGAACAUUUGUACUCCUUGCAUGUACAAUCUUCGUGUAGUUUUUUCAAGUGUGACAUAGCUUCUUCAAUAGUGUAGCAUAGUGAGGGUUUGCGAGUGUUUGUAAAACUUCCUUGCUUGACCAAGUGUGAUUUGGGGCAAGAAGGAAGUAAUCCCUUCCUUGUACACAAAAGAUUGGUUGCAAGUCUAUUCAACUUGAAGUAACUUGGUAUAUAAAAGUGGUGUUCAAACCUUAGUUGUGUUUGAAGCUUGGUUUGUUUCUUUAAUCUUAUUUACUGCUUUUCUAUAUAAACUGUUCUUCUCUCCAUCUCACGAAUACCUGUGCUCUUGUGUUAUCUUGUUCAUUGGGAGGUAUUUGAGAAAAGAAAGGCUGUCUGUUAAAAAAAGGUAGAAUAUAUCUUAGCAGUUUUUGAAAGCCUAAUUCACCCCCCCUCUUAGGUUGUUUUCGAUCCUUACAAAGAAAGUGACAUGUACCACUUGUACUUUUUCUAUCUAUCCUAUAUCCACCAAAAUCAGCAUCCGAAAAAUCAUAUAAAGAAAAUUCAUGACAUUUAGGAUACCAAAGACCAUAAUUCAAGGUUCCUUUUAACUAUUUAAAGAUUCUUUUCACAGUAACUAAGUGAGAUUCCUUUGGACAAGAUUGGAAACGAGCACACAAGCAAACAACAAACAUAAUAUCAGAUCUACUUGCAGUUAAAUAAAACAAACUACCAAUCAUACCUCUAUAUUUCUUCUCAUCAAUUUUUAUACCUUCUGCAUCCUUGUCAAGUUUGGUAGAUGUGCACAUAAGUGUUCCAACUUAUUUUGAAUCCCCCAUUCCAAAUCUUUUGAGAAGUUCCUUUGUAUAUUUAACUUGAUUAAUAAAUGUACCUUCUCGGUUUUGAACCACUUGGAGCCCAAGGAAGAAGUUCAACUCUCCCAUCAUGCUCAUUUCAAACUCAUUUUGCAUAAUAGUGAAAAAAUCUUUGCACAAACACUCAUUAAUAGCACGAAAAAUAAUAUCAUCCAUCUAUAUUUGCACAAUUAAAAGAUCAUUUGAAGUUUGUUUAGUGAAAAGAAUGGUAUCCACAAUACCUCUUUUAAAACUAUUAUCAACUAAAAAAUCACUUAACCGUUCAUACCACGCUCUUGGAGCUUGUUUUAACCCAUAUAAAUCUUUUAAGAGUUUAAACACGUGAUUUGGAUAUGCCUCAUUUUCAAAACCAGGAGGUUGGUCAACAUAUAUUUUUUGAUCAAUAAAACCAUUUAAGAAAGCACUUUUAACAUCCAUUUGAAAUAAUUUAAAAUCCUUGAAACAUGCAAAUGACAAAAACAUUCUAAUUGAUUCUAGUCUAGUUACGGGAGUAAAUGUUUCAUCAAAAUCUAUUCUUUCUUUUUUAGCAUACCCCUUAGGAACAAGUCUAACCUUAUUUCUCACAACAACACUUUUGUCAUUCAUUUUAUUUCUAAAAAUCCAUUUUGUGCUAAUGAUAGGAUGGUUUUGAGGGCUUUCAACUAAUGUCCAGACCUUGUUCCUUUCAAAUUGAUUUAGUCCCUCUUCCAUAGCAAAAAUUCAGUUUUCAUCUUUCAAGGCAUCAACAACAUUUUUAAAUUCAAAAUGCGAGACCAAGGCAAAAUUAUCCAUCAAUUGCUUAGCGGAGGAACAAGUUCUAACCUUUUCGGAUGGAUCACCAAUGAUAAGCUCCUUCGGAUGGUUUUGAACAAACUUUCAAAUCCUUAGAAGAUCACUAGGUGUACCAACAUCCUUGUCAUUUUCUUCCAACGCUUGAUUCUCUUGAGGAUCAUCUUCUUUCGAAUUAUCUUCUAGUAAAGCAUUGUCUUGAUCAUGAAUUGUGAGUUUCUUAAGUCCUUCUUGAACACCUACAUCAUCAUCUUCACAACAACUUUUGGAAAUAUCAUCAUUAGAUUUAUCAAAUGUGACAUGUAUGGCUUCUUCUAUCGCAAGAGUUCUUCUAUUAUAGACUCUAAAAUCUCUUUUGUUCUCACAAUAACUCAAGAAAAUACCUUCAUCAGAUUUCUUGUCAAAUUUUUCAAGGCGUUCCUUGAUAUUUAAAAUAAAACAUUUGCAACCAAAAACUUUGAAAUAUCCAACAAUUGGUUUUUUAUCAAACAUUAAUUCAUAAGAGCUUUUGUUAAAAAUUGGUCUCAAAAGAACUCUAUUCAUUGCAUAACAAGCCGUAUUUACGGUUUUACUCCAAAAAUAUUUUGGCAAGUUGCAUUUAUUUAACAUAGUUCUUGCGGUCUCUUGAAGAGUUCUAUUCUUUCUUUCAACAACACCAUUUUGUUGAGGUGUUCUUGCAAUUGAAAAUUCAUGUGUGAUUCCAUUGUUAUCACAAAAUUUCGAAAAAUCACAAAACUUAAAUUUCGAGCCAUUGUCACUUCUAAUCUUAAUAAUUUUCAACCCAAUCAGAUUUUGAACUUUUGCAAAUGAGGAAACAAAUUUUUGAAGGCAUCAUCCUUGUGAGCAAGAAACAUCACCCAAGUGUAUCUAGAAUAAUCAUCAAUAAUAACCAAACAAUAUAUUUUACCACCCAAGUUAGCAAUUUGUGUAGGACCGAACAAAUCAAGAUAUAAAAGAUCCAAAGGUUUUGAUGUGACGACUGGAAAAUUUGCUCAUAUUUUCUUAAAAUUUCCUCUUAUUUUGAUUAAAUUACUUUAUAAUAUUUUUACUACUCAUUUACUCCCACCAUAGUUGUAAGAAAUAAUAGAAUUAAGAGUUUUGCUCUUAGUUUUAUAGUUAGGGUAAAUUAGGGUUUUCACGUAUUUUAGUAGUGUGAUUAAUUGUGAAGGUGUGUGUACUAAAUUUAGUCAUUAAAAGUGAGUUUUAGAUAAGAGGAAGUGUUUGAUUGGAAGUGCUAAUAAUAAGCUAGUGAACCAUAAGUAAAAACACAAGUACGUGCGAGUUAAAGAAAAACGGCUUGAACCGAUGCGCACCGUUUGCCACCGAUUGAAUACGCCACUUGAACACUACUCUAUUACCUUAAUAUCAUUGAUUUUAUUUCAGCUAAUUAACCCUAAAAUAUCCCUUAAACCAGCCACAAUCUUUUACCAAAGAAAGGGAGAAAAGAAAAAAAAUGAGAGGAAAUCUAGUUGCGACACUUGUCGGAAAUCUAAAAGAUGUUGACCAAGCCAACUUUCUUUCUUCUUAUCUUCCAUUUUGGCUCACUUUGCUUCAUUAUUUCUUCUUAUGGCCAAGAGUUAAGAGGAGAAAAAGAGAGAAUAAACACUUCAAUUUCAACCUUGAUUUUGGCCUUGUUUGAGUUGAAUCCAAAAAUGUAAACUAAUUAAACCUUCACUUUGGUACUUAGGAAACUUUGUGUGGUAAAAGUUUUGGAAGAAAGGGGUGUGAUUUUCACUUACAAGCAAGGAUUGGAAGGUAUCAUGAUUGCCUUUCCUUUUCUCUUCCUUAAUCUUGUUUAACUUUGGAUAGAAGCUUAUGAUCUUAAUUUAUGAUGGUUAAUUAGUUAGUUUUGAAUGAUAUGGUGGAAUGUUUAGCUAGGGUUUGAAAUUUUCAGUUGUGAUUAUUGUUGUUUAUUUAGUAUAUGAUGUUGAUGAGUUUGGAUAGGGACUUGGGGUAGUGAUUCAAGACAUGAAUGUUAUUUUUAAGUAUUGAAUCAUCAAAUUUCCAGCAUUAAUCAUGAAUCUGCCCUGUUUCUGACCUGCAUAUUCGUCGAUUUUAGAGGCCGAAUCAGGUCUAGGUCAAAACAUAAAAGUUGUAGGGAAUGGAGUUACUUAUCUGCCUGUAAAAUUUCAACUCGAUUGAAGCACUAUAGCUUGUGAAAUGACUAAAUUACCCCUGACUGCCCAAAUGCCCUAUUUCACAAGCAGCUUUCUGUUUUCUCUGAAAUUUCACAUUUUGACCUUGAAAAUGCACGAAUUGGGUGUCUAUGUCUUCAUAGAAAAUGUAUGUCUCUAUCUUAGCUUCAAAACAUCAUAAAAUUUACCCCAAUCCGAUAAGCAUAGCUUCAGUUGUGACCAAAAUGCCAAAAGACAUCAAACCUGCUGUUUAGCCAUUUGUCUUUAAAACUGGUUUUCGGUUGCAUUGCUAGACUUGUCUUGUAAUUGGAUGACAUUGAGCCUAAUUGAUGGGCUAUUGUGUUAAGAUUGUUUAUGUGUGAAUUUGGGCUGAGCUGAGGAAAAUAAUAAAGCCAUAAAUGAUUGAAAAAUAGCUAAAUACAAAGGGCAUGCUGCCCAAAUUUUCACUCGAGAAUUAGGCAUAUGUACUCGCAAAUUGAGCGACGAUUUGAGGUCGAAUUGGACUUGAUUUGUCUAGGGUAUUCAAGUUUUCUUUGAUAGAAGUAUAUAAGCUGAAAUUUCGCCGGAACUCGUAUCCUUGAAAAAAUGAAAGUAGUGACCCUUUAAAAAUACGAUUUUCUCAAUCUUUUAUAUGAAGUGCGAUUUCAAAAGUAUAAACCACUUCUUUAUCAAAACUAAAUGAGCGAGCAUGAAGUUUCUAGAGUUUGAUAAGUAACUUGAAUACUACUUAAACGAGUUUCAUUUACUUGAUUUUCUUGAAGCGAAACUCCUAUGUUUCGAACUCUAGUUGAUUUUAAACUUUUGAAUAAUAUUUUAUCGCAGAUUUGGACUCCAUCCAAAGAGUUGCACCUGAACGUGACCUUGAAAAGUACUAGACCUUUGGUGAGUGCUUCCAAGUACAUGUUGUAUUUAAUACUUGCUUUUACAUGUUUAUUUAAUGUACUUGGAUAAUAGUUGACUUGUUUGGACGGACAACUGUGUAUUUUAUUGCACUUAACCUAACUCAACUAAACACGUGAUAUCUCAUUCAUACUUGUAUAAGUAACUUGAUUUGCAUUAACCUGUACUUGUAUUUAUACUUGUGCUUGUAAGUGUUGAGCGGCAGUAUGUACUACACUCAAUCCGAGUAGGAGGUGCCUCUCCUUCCCGUCUCCGUACUUUUAUCUUGAUUCAGUCGAUUGGAGAUGUUAUUUCAUCGACUUCUUGGGGACCCCAAACCCCACUGGCUAGUUAAUCGAGUCGAACCGGCAAGGGUUUGGUUGAUUAGAUAACGAACCAUGGGUAUCUAGUUUUGUCGAGUGGAGUGUUAUCUUUUCGACUAAUCGGUAUACUCGAGUAUUACCACUAGUGUUUUGUUGGUGUUCGGGCCUGGUAAGGGGGUUGAAUGGUGGAUGGAUUGGUGACAAUGUUAUUCUUGGUUUUGAUGAUCACAAAAGUUCGUUUAUACAGACCAAGAAAGUGAACACUUUGAUCAGGCCUGAUGGAACAAGGAAAGCAUAUGUCUGAUUGACUCCAGUCUACGAUGCUUUGGAUGUGGCAAACAAGAUUGAAAUAAUAUAAAUGAAUUUAGUCAUUGUUUUGUUCCGAUCAAAAAUAUUGUCUUUUAAGUAUGUCUAGUUUGUCAUUCUUGGUACUUUGAAAUAUUUGUCUAACUUUCUUCAAAAACAAGAGUUUUUUUGUCUAUCCAAGAAUCAGGUUCAAAUAUGUCAUGAAAUGCAAAACAACCAAAAUGAGAAGCAAAAACAGGACAAUCAGGUCGGACGGCCGAAAGGAAACUGUCGGACGUCCGAAAAGAUAAAGAACAUCAGGAAGGAAGCACCGUCGGACGCUCACAUGGAAGCAUCGGACGUCCGGAAGGAUCGGACGCUUGCCAUCGGACGCGCAUCAACCACAUCGGACGUCCGAAAAAUUCCAAGAUAACUUGCUAGCUCUCGGCCCAAGGUCGGACGCUGUGCUGUCGGACGACAAAAAACUCAUCGGACGUCCGAACCUCAACUUGGCUAUCAUCGGACGAUUGGUUCGGACGACGAUUCGAUCGUCGGACGUCCGACAGCCCCAACGGCUAGUUGACUCUUCAGCUGCCUUCUAUCCGUUGGAAGCAUUGAUGAAGCCCAUUUCUGGAUCCCUUUAAAAUCAAACUGGUCUGAACCAAGAGAGGACUUUUGCACACUUUGUUUACAAGAUCUCAAGAGAUAUUUUAGCUAGAAAAUAGUCUCCAAAGCAAGAUUUGUUUUAAAGUGGUGUGAAUUUCUGGUGAGCAUUUCUUUUGUGGUUGAAAGGAUCUUUAGUGUAGCUUUGUUGAGGGUUUUCUGAGUGAUUGUAAAACUUCUUGGCUUGACUAAGUGAGGCUUAGGGCAAGGAGGAAGUGCUCCCUCCAUUGUACAUCUAGUUGAUCUUCUUUCAUCAAAGAGAACUUGCUCUUCCUAGUGUUUGGUUUUCAAGUUUGAGGAUAGCUUGGUAGACACUUGGUUUGACUCCCUAUCUUACUGUUCUGUUUAAUAAAAAUUCUUAUUGCUUAUCUAUACUUAUUUUUCUGAUCAAUAUUGCUAUUGUCUUCUAAUUUAUUUAGUUGAUCAUUACUAGAAAAGAAGGUAAAUUUUUAUUAAAGAAAAAGUGCAUAAACUUGGUUAAGAUUUUAAUCAACCCAAUUCACCCUCCCUCUUGGUUGUCUUUGGGUCUUACAAUUGGUAUCAGAGCUUGGUCUCCUUGAGAUUAAGCUCUAACGGCUUGGAGUAAAGAUGACAACCAGUCAUGCUAUGUUUGUUGAGGGGCAAUCUGUUACUAGGCCUCCCAUGUUCAGUGACUCCAACUAUGUUAGCUGGAAAGAACGAAUAAUUAUCUUUCUGCAAUCUAUUGAUAUUGAAUUAUGGUUUAUUGUGAGUGAAGGACCGCAUGAAGCUAACUUUCUUGAUGCAGAUACAGGGUUGCUUCGGCCAAAAACGAGAGCUGAAAUGAAUGCUCAAGAUAGGACUAACCUCACAUUGAAUGCCAAGGCCAUGAAUGUUCUGUAUAGUGCCCUAGAUUCUAAUGAAUCAAUUAGUGUAAAAGGCUGCAAAUCGGUCAAAGAAAUGUGGGAUAAACUAAGAGAAAUCCAUGAGGGUGGUGACAAUGUGAAAGAACAGAAAAAGGCUAUCUUGGUCACGAAAUAUGAAUAAUUUAAAAUUGAACCUCUUGAGGAUAUUGACAAAAUGUAUUGCAGGUUCACUGACUUGAUCAAAGAUCUCGAGGCGUUGGGCAAAGAGUACACCUUGGGAGAGAAGAACAGGAAAAUUCUCAAUGCUUUGGGCAAAGAAUGGGAAAAUAAAGUGACUGCAAUAGAGGAGGCUAAGGAUUUAAGUUCUGUGCCUAUUGAAUCUAUCAUUAACUCACUAACCUCUUAUGAGUUGAAACUGAAAUCUAAAGUGCAGGAGGAAGAGGAUGCUAGAGCAAAGAGAAACAUUGCUCUAAAGACUACUCAAGGUGAAGAUGAUACAGCUCACUUGGAUGAUGAAGACUCAGAUGGUGAUGAUAAUGAUCUUGCUCUCAUCACCAGAGGCUUCAAAAGAAUCUUGAAUAAAAGAAAGUUUAGAAGGGGAGGACCUAGCAAUCAAUUCCAGAAUCAGCCAUCUAUCGCAAAGUAUAAAGGUAAACAAGAUUUCAACAAGAAACAGUUGGACAAAUGCUUCGAAUGUGGACAGAUUGGACAUUAUGCAAACGAAUGCCCUAUGAAGAAGAUGAAAGAUGGAAAAGCUGAUCGAAAGCCAAGAUUCAAUAAUUUUCAGAUUACUUGGAAUGAAUGCAACUCCGAAGGGGAAGUUGAAGAAGAAGAAGAAUCUGCUCAAAUGGCGUUCAUGGCUAUUGGAAAUAAUGAGGUAACUUCCACACACUCUCAAUCUGAAAGUGAUGAUGAUGAAGAUGAUGAUCUUGAAUCCUUUGUUGAAAAACUGCAUAAUGCCUUUAAGGAAUCUUAUGAUAAAAACAAGCAGUUAAAACAGAAAAUGGCUUUUCUCAUUCAAGAAAAUGCAAGUCUUUUUCAACAAAAUAAACAACUAAAGACCGACAAUGAAAGUCUAGUGAGAGCCGGAUGUAAUGUUCAAAAUGAGCUUGAUAGAAAGACAAAUAUUUGUGAAAUGCUGAAGGAAAGACAGGGUGAUUUGAAAAAAAGAAUGGACAACUUGGAUGAAACUUUGAAAGCAAGAAAGCAGGAGUUUAGCAAAAGGAACAUGUUAUUUACCCAUCCUACUACUUUUCAAAGAACAUUUGCACACAACAAAAUUGCACAUGGUUUCACAACAUAUAGAAGAGGUGGAUUGAGAUAUAUCAAACCAGUACAUGUUAAGGACUCUUCCAUUAUGUGUGGUUUUUGUUGUCAAAGAGGGCAUUUGAAAGGUAAUUGCUAUGUGAAAAGAAAUCUGAACAAAGGGAUGAAGUGCAUGUGGUUAGUUAAAUACAAUGCUAACUAUUAUGGACCCAAAAAUUAAAAAGGGUACCAAACACCUUUUCUUUUCAGGAAAAAUGCUCAAACAAGUCCAAAUGGUUCAUUGAUAGCGGUUGCUCAAGGCACAUGACCGGUGAUCCUUCCUUGUUCAUAAAGCUGAAAUCAAAAUCAAGUGGAAAGGUAACAUUUGGUGAUGAUGUGAAAGCUAAGACAAUUGGAAUAGGUGAUGUUGGUAAGGAUGGUGAAACUUUUGUUCAUAAUGUGCUCUUAGUUGAUAACUUAGGUUAUAACUUGUUUAGUGUUAGUCAAUUGUGUGAUAAAGACUUGUAUGUGUUGUUUAAAAAGCAUGAAUGCAUUGUACUUGAUUCCAAAUAUAAUGUUGUGUUCAAAGGUAAGAGGUUUAAUGACAUAUAUAUUGUGAUUCUUGAUAAAGUUGAUUCUUCUAUCUUAAAAUAUCUUAAAGCUUCAAAUGAAGAUCCUUGGUUGUGGCAUAGAAGACUUUGUCAUUUUAACAUGGACUUACUAAAGGAAAUUUCGAAAAAGGAACUAGUUAGAGGCUUGCCAAAAAUCAGUUUUGAAAAGGAUAAAAUAUGUGAUGCAUGUCAAUUUGGAAAGCAAACAAAAGUUUCUUUUAAAACAAAGAAGUGUGUAUCUACUUCAAAACCCUUAGAACUCUUGCAUCUUGACUUAUUUGGCCCUACUCAAAUCUCUAGCUUGGGUGGUAAGAAAUACUGUUUUGUGAUUGUGGAUGAUUAUUCUAGAUACAUAUGGGUGAUAUUUCUUGCACAUAAAGAUGAUGCCUUUAAGAAUUUUACUUCAUUGUUUGCUAAAGUACAAAAUCUGCUUGGGUUAAAAGUUGUUAGGAUUAGAAGUGAUAAUGGAACAGAAUUCAAGUAUUGUGGUUUUCCAGAAUUUUGUGAUUAUAAUGGCAUAACUCAUGAGUUUUCUAUUGCAAGAACUCCACAGCAAAAUGGUGUUGUAGAAAGGAAAAACAGGACUCUCCAAGAGGCUGCUAGAACUAUGUUGAAUGAAUGUAGGUUGCCUAAAUAUCUUUGGGCUGAAGCGGUAAACACUGCAUGUUAUGUGAUGAAUAGAAUUCUCUUGAGACCUAUUUUAAAGAAAACUCCGUAUGAGCUGAUUUUUGAUAAGAAACCUACAGUUGGUUAUUUCAAAGUAUUUGGUUGUAAAUGCUUUAUUUUGAAUCUAAAGGAACAUCUUGGUAAGUUUGAUAAAAAAUCUGAUGAAGGAAUAUUUUUGGGGUAUUGUGAGAAUAAAAGAGGAUAUAGAGUUUUUAAUAGAAGGACUCUUGUGAUUGAAGAAGCUAUACAUAUAACAUUUGAUGAAGCCAAUGAUGAUAAUUCCAAAAGUUUGGGUGAGGAUGAUGAUGUAGGUGUUCGAGAAGGAAUGGAAAAGCUAUCAAUUGGAAAUGAAGGAAGUUCUAAACCAGCAGCAACUGAAAUGGAAAAUGAAGUUCAUAAUGAUCAAGAAGAGGAAGAUGAAGACAAAAAUGAUAAUCCACUCAAAGAUCUUCCCAAGGCUUGGAAAUUCAGCCAAAAUCAUCCAAAAGAGCUUAUAAUUGGUGAUCCAUCCGAGAAGGUAAACACUCGUUCCUCAUCUAGAAAAUUGAUUGAUAAUUUUGCUUUAGUUUCUCUUUUUGAACCCAAAAAUAUCAAUGAUGCUUUAAAGGAUGAAAACUGGAUUUUGGCUAUGCAAGAGGAACUUAAUCAAUUUGAGAGAAAUGAAGUUUGGACUCUUGUUGAUAUACCUCAAAAUCAACCUAUCAUUGGCACAAAGUGGAUUUUUAGAAAUAAGUUGGAUGAUAAAGGUGUUGUUGUAAGAAAUAAAGCCAGAUUAGUUGCUAAAGGAUAUGCACAAGAAGAAGGAAUUGAUUUUGAUGAAACAUUUGCUCCCGUAGCAAGAUUAGAAUCUAUUAGAAUGCUUCUUGCUUUUGCUUGCUUCAAAGGUUUCAAAUUGUUUCAAAUGGAUGUUAAAAGUGCAUUUUUAAAUGGUUUUAUUGAUCAAGAAGUGUAUGUGGAUCAACCCCCCGGUUUUGAAAAUACAAAAUUUUCAAGUCAUGUGUUUAAACUUUCUAAAGCUUUAUAUGGUUUAAAACAGGCUCCAAGAGCUUGGUAUGAAAGAUUAAGUGGGUUCUUGAUUGAAAAAGGUUUCAAAAGAGGUGUUGUGGACACCACACUUUUUACUAAGCAAGUGUUGAAUGACCUUCUUAUUGUGCAAAUAUAUGUUGAUGAUAUUAUUUUUGGUGCUACUAAUGAGUAUCUAUGUAAGGAGUUUUCCACCACUAUGCAAAGUGAAUUUGAAAUGAGUAUGAUGGGAGAAUUAAAUUUCUUCCUUGGACUUCAAAUACAUCAAGCUCUUGAGGGAAUUUUUAUAAAUCAAGCAAAAUAUACCAAGGAAUUGCUGAAAAGGUUUGGCAUGGAGGACUCAAAACAAGUUGGAACUCCAAUGUGCACGUCUACAAAGCUUGACAAAGAUGAAGAAGGUAACCAUGUGGAUGAAAAGCAUUAUAGAGGUAUGAUCGGAAGCCUACUUUAUUUAACCGCAAGUAGACCUGAUAUUAUGUUUGCUGUUUGUUUGUGUGCUAGAUUUCAAUCUUGUCCAAAAGAAUCACAUUUGAAUGCUGUAAAAAGAAUUUUUAGGUAUUUGAAAGGUACAUUAGACUAUGGUCUUUGGUAUGCUAGAUCUAAUGAGUUUGCUCUAUAUGGUUAUUCGGAUGCUGAUUUUGGAGGUUGUCGUGUGGAUAGAAAGAGUACGAGUGGAACUUGUCAUUUUCUUGGAAAUUGUUUAGUCUCUUGGUUUAGCAAGAAACAAUGUGCAAUCUCUUUGUCUACCACCGAAGCGGAAUAUAUUGCCGCCAGUGCAUGUUGUGCUCAACUUUUAUGGAUGAAGCACACUUUGAAUGAUUUUGGAUUGUUGUAUGACUGCAUGCCUGUAUUCUGUGAUAAUACUAGUGCUAUCAAUUUGACCAAAAAUCCUAUUCAUCAUUCUAGGACAAAGCACAUAGAUAUAAAGCAUCACUUUAUUCGUGAUCUUGUUCAAAAAGGUGAAAUAUGUGUAAAUUAUGUUUGUUCUAAAGAUCAAUUUGCUGAUAUUUUUACAAAAGCUUUGCCAUUAGAACAGUUCAUUCAUCUAAGAUCAAAAUUAGGAAUAAUCGAAAAAUCAUCUUAAUUUUCUUUGGGUCUUCGGACGUCCGAAAGAAGAUGAACGGACGUCCGAUGAUGUUCUUCAGCCAUUUUCCAGAUUGCGCUUGUUCGGACGCAGCUGUCGGACGCACAACUUCGUUCGGCCGUCCGACAGUGCAACGGCUCAUUUUUUAAAACAACUUUCUUCCUCAAUUGCCUCAGACUCUUCCCAUUUCAUUUUCUCUCGGACGAAAACCCUCUUUCUCUCACUCCCAAAUUCGUACCAUUCUGAAGCCCCCAUUCCCAAAUUGACUCAACCAAAACAUUUCCCCAUCGUUUGCGAGUCAUUUCUCCUGAUCAUUUCACCAAACUGAUCUAACACUUCGCAAAUCCCCAAAUUUUCCUCACAACCCUACUCUUGCAUAACCGCUCUGUCAAAUCUCGUUCAAGGUGUUUUUGUCCCAAAAUUUCUGUGCGAUUCACUUCCCUACUGCUGUGUGCAUCAUUUGCAUCCUCCAUUCCACACAUUUAGAACAAUGGUGAAUCUAAGGGGAGGAAAAGUUACUGCCGGACGCAAGCAUCCACUCAGGGAUGAGGAUGAGGAUCUUCCUACUGUCAAACGGACAUCCAAACGCUUCAAAAGGGGAGCUAUCAAGGGUCAAAUGUCACGGCCUACUCCACAACCCACUUCUCAACCAGAAUCUGGACAGGGGACCUCUUCUCAACCGCCUCCUAAAUCAGUCCCUCUCCCUCCAUUCUUUGAUGAUGCUGCGAAAGACAAAUACGCCUGGAUAUCCCAGAAGGGUGUCAUCCCUCAAAGAACUGUAAACCCCUCUGAAUUUCGCUCCAUAGGUUUAGAUUCCAUUCUGAGUCUAUUUGCUUUCCAGAAAUGGUCACAUCUCAUUUCCAUGCCCAAUGUCUACUAUCCUGAUAUGUUGCAUCAAUUUUUUGCCAACCUUAGGAAAGGAACUGACCAAACUGAGAUCAUGUCUAGGGUAAAUGGGGUAGACAUACUCUUUGAUUCUGAUACUGUGAAUUCCAUUUUAAAUACUACCAUUGAACGUUUAUGCAAAGAUAAGGUUGCUAAUUUCUUUUCCUAUGAAGAGCUCCCUACUGCUGCAAAUCAUUUUGAUGGGACAAAAAUGUUAACCUAUUUCAAAAGAAGUUUUUCCUCACCUGCUGAUGCUAAGUUGAAUGAUCUGGCCCCUGUGAAUUUAAUUGCUUUUACUAUCAUUUCAAACCUGCUUGUGCCCACUGAUGGGCACAGAACUGAUGCAAACAAAAUGGAGUUGUAUCUCUUUUAUUGUUUUCGAGAAAAAAUUCGGAUUGACUUUGGUUUUGUCAUGUGCAAGUUUUUACUUCGAUAUGCUACUGACUCUCGAAGAAAACUAUCCUAUGGAAAGUUUCUUCAAAAGAUUUUUGAGUUUUACAAAGUUCCAAUUCUAGGUGUUUGUCCCAAAGAAGCAUCUUCUUGUGCCUUUACCAAAGCAUAUUUUGAAAGAAAAAAUCUUGUUUUUAAAGAUAAUCUGUGGGCAUAUAAGGGGGCAUCAUCUAGUGAACAAAGGUCCAAGACUGUACAUGAUCCUUCACCCAUCUCACUCACUCCCAUUCACCCUAGGAAGUCUGCCACUAAAGCAUCUUCCUCUUCCAGUAAUGAAGUAAUUGAGCUUCUUCAUGAACUCAAACAACAUGUUCUUCUUCUAGAACAUGGUCUAAUGCUCACUAUGUCUUCUGAGCAACAAACUGCCUUCCUAGACAAAAAGAACCUCCUGUUUCCCCCCUGUUGUUGAGGAAGUUUCCCAUGACAAAGAGUCACACCCCACUGAUCCAAGUUCAUCAAUUCCGGACCCUGGUUCUUCAACCCCUGUGACUCCUCAUGGCACCUCUACAUCAGAUAAAGGCAAGGCACCAGUUGAAGAGGCUGCUGAAGAUGAUGAAGAAACUGAAGAGGAGGAUCUUGACCAAUAUCAGCUCUCUCGGAGGACACCUGGAUCCACUUAGUUCAUCAUUUAGGACAUUUGCAUGUUGUUUGUCUCGUUUAUGUGUUUGUGGUAUUCAACAAUGAAUAUGUAAUGUAAUGGAUAUUUUAAGUUUCUUUUGGUAUGUUUUGAUGAAUGUUUAAGUUCUGUUUUGAUGGAUGUUUAAGUACUGUCUUGAUGGAUGUUUGUUUGUCUAUUCUAAUUGUGUGAAUAUAAUGAAUUUUUUUUUGGUUUUCAUUGAUGAAUGUAUUUGUGGAUGUGUUGAUGUGAUUGGUUGCCCUUUGUGAUGACAAAAAGGGGGAGAAUGGAAAUGGUAUACUAAUUGAUUGAUAUGUUGGAUCUGAUGAGGAUUUGAUGAUGUUGGAUAUGUUGAAUUGAUUGAUGGUUUAAUUAAAUUUGGAUUUUGCUGAUGGAUUGAAUUGGUGAUAUGUUGGUUGUGAGUUGCUUAAUUGUCAUGUUUUUGGAUAAUUGUCUAAACUCGGUUGGGCAGUCUAGUGAGGGGGAGGUUUUCAAAAUUUUUAUGAUUCACUAAGGCAGGGGGAGUUCUUGUCUAUUUUGAAAGGGGGAGUUUUCAUUGCAAUCAUCAAAUUUCAUUUCAAACUUUUGUUUUGUCAUCAUCAAAAAGGGAGAGAAUGUUAUUCUUGGUUUUGAUGAUCACAAAAGUUCGUUUAUGCAGACCAAGAAAGUGAACACUUUGAUCAGGUCUGAUGGAACAAGGAAAGCAUAUGUCUGAUUGACUCCAGUCUACGAUGCUUUGGAUGUGGCAAACAAGAUUGAAAUAAUAUAAAUGAAUUUAGUCAUUGUUUUGUUCCGAUCAAAGAUAUUGUCUUUUAAGUAUGUCUAGUUUGUCAUUCUUGGUACUUUGAAAUAUUUGUCUAACUUUCUUCAAAUACAAGAGUUUUUUUGUCUAUCCAAGAAUCAGGUUCAAAUAUGUCAUGAAAUGCAAAACAACCAAAAUGAGAAGCAAAAACAGGACAAUCAGAUCGGACGGCCGAAAGGAAACUGUCGGACGUCCGAAAAGAUAAAGAAUAUCAGGAAGGAAGCACCAUCGGACGCUCACAUGGAAGCAUCGGACGUCCGGAAAGAUCGGACACUUGCCAUCGGACGCGCAUCAACCACAUCGGACGUCCGAAAAAUUCCAAGAUAACUUGCUAGCUCUCGGCCCAAGGUCGGACGCUGUGCUGUCGGACGACAAAAAACUCAUCGGACGUCCGAACCUCAACUUGGCUAUCAUCGGACGAUUGGUUCGGACGACGAUUCGAUCGUCGGACGUCCGACAGCCCCAACGGCUAGUUGACUCUUCAGCUGCCUUCUAUCCGUUGGAAGCAUUGAUGAAGCCCAUUUCUGGAUCCCUUUAAAAUGAAACUGGUCUGAACCAAGAGAGGACUUUUGCACACUUUGUUUACAAGAUCUCAAGAGAUAUUUUAGCUAGAAAAUAGUCUCCAAAGCAAGAUUUGUUUUAAAGUGGUGUGAAUUUCUGGUGAGCAUUUCUUUUGUGGUUGAAAGGAUCUUUAGUGUAGCUUUGUUGAGGGUUUUCUGAGUGAUUGUAAAACUUCUUGGCUUGCCUAAGUGAGGCUUAGGGCAAGGAGGAAGUGCUCCCUCCAUUGUACAUCUAGUUGAUCUUCUUUCAUCAAAGAGAAGUUGCUCUUCCUAGUGUUUGGUCUUCAAGUUUGAGGAUAGCUUGGUAGACACUUGGUUUGACUCCCUAUCUUACUGUUCUGUUUAAUAAAAAUUCUUAUUGCUUAUCUAUACUUGUUUUUCUGAUCAAUAUUGCUAUUGUCUUCUAAUUUAUUUAGUUGAUCAUUACUAGAAAAGAAGGUAAAUUUUUAUUAAAGAAAAAGUGCAUAAACUUGGUUAAGAUUUUAAUCAACCCAAUUCACCCCCCCUCUUGGUUGUCUUUGGGUCUUACAGACAAGUUGGGUUCUACUGGACUGGUUACUUUACUUGAAAGUUGACGAAGAGUCAACUACUACAUGAUCAAGUUAUCUCGGAGCUAUUUUGAAAUAGUGGCAGUAUCCUUUCGCUUGAUAUGUUAAAUACCAGUGCUUGGCUUUACAAAACUUUAUUACUCAUUUUCUUGAUUUUAUGUGCUCGCUAUUUUGAUACAUGUGAUUUACAUCAUGGUCAACUUGCUAUUUGGGUUUGCAUGAAGUUUUGGAGCCUCCCUGAGAUUUAGCUCAUUCUAUGAGAUUGUUUUCCUUACAGGGGAUAUGAGCAAGGGCGUGGAGACUGGUACAGGCUAGUAUAGUCUAGUUUUUUUGAAUUUUUACGAUUGUACUUGCGCUAGUGCUCGGCUAGGGUUGAAUAUAUCUGAAAUUCAUAUCUUUUGUCAUAAUUGGAAUUGUACGAAUGUUUGGAAUAGAAAUGAAUGUACAUGUACGUUCCAAGUUUGGGAACUGUUAUUUCCUUUACUCUUGAGGUUGUAACCUAUUUUAUUUGAAAUAAGUGAAUGAGUCCUGGCGAGAGUUGGGCAGGCGGUCCGCUAAAUCUUAGGGUACACCCUAAGGGGAGGUGGGGUCGUCACAUUUGAAGUAGAAACACAUUUCUUGGGUCUAAAAGAAACUUUUACUUAUUUUUUAAAUUGACAAGCAUCACAAAUUUUGUCCUUUUCAAACUUAAUUUUUGGCAACAAAUUCCUUUUUAAAAAUUUCUUUUAACAAAUCCAUAUUGAAAUGACAAAUCCUUCUAUGCCACAACCAAGGGUUUUUAUUUGCAACUUUAAGACAUUUAAAACUAGAAGAAUCAACAUUUUCAAGAAUAACCAUAUAGAUGUCAUUCAUUCUUUUUUCUUUGAAAAUUAUACUAAACUUUGAGUCAAGAACAAGACAUUCAUGCUUUUUGAAUAACACAAACAGAUUUCUAUCAUAUAAUUGACUAACACUUAACAAGUUAUAACUCAAAUUAUCAACAAGGAGAACAUUGUGAACAAAAGUUUGACCAUUCUUUGUUUGACCAUUCAAAAAGGUUUACCAACAUCUCCUACUCCAAUUAUUUUGGCUUUGUUAUCAUCUCCAAAUGUCACUUUUUCACUUGAUUUAGGCUUGAGUUUGAUGAACUGUGAUGGAUCAUUGGUUAUGUGCCUUGAACAUCCACUAUCUAUGACCAUUUUGAUUCUUUAAUGAUAUUCACCAAGUUCACCUAUACAAAAGUUCACAAGAUAAUAUUUGGUACCCUUUACUUUUUGGAUCCUUGAGAAUUAGCAUUAUAUCUAACUAUCCACAUGCAUUUCAUGCAAUUUCUCAUUUUUUCCCUUACAUAGCAAUUACUCUUCAUGUGAUCAAUUUGACAACAAAAACUACAUACAGUCAGCGAAAUACUUGCAUGGACAGGUUUAACAAAUCUAACUUGCCUUUUCGUAUAAAUGGUAAAUUCGUUUGUAUUAGAAUUCAACCUAUUCUCAUGAAUGUCGAAAUGAGGUUUUGAUUCAUUUCUUUGAAAACAGUUUUGUUUCUUGUGUUGAAGCAAUUCAUUUAGACCAUCAAUUCUUCUUUUCAAGUUACCUUGAUCCUUUUUUAACAGAUCACAAAGCUUUAUUUUUCUAUCAAGUUCAAAAAAUAAAACAGUCCCAUUCUUUUUGAAGUAGUCAUUUUCAGCUUUCAACUUUUUGUUUUGUUAAAAAAGAUUUGCAUUAUCUUGAAGUAAAAAACUAAUUUUCUGUUUUAGUUCCUUGUUUCUAGCAUAAGAUUCUUUCAAGUUAUCAUACAAUCUCUCAAUGAAAGAUUCAAUAUCAUCAUCAGAUUCAUCAUCACAACAAGAUGAGAGUUGCAAGUAGUUACUUUAUCAUCACCAAUGGCCAUGAAAGCCAUUUGAGCAGAUUCUUCUUCCUCUUCAACAUCACCAUCCGAGUUGCAAUCAUUCUAUGUGAUUUGAAAGUUGUUGAACUUUGGUUUUCGUUCAACUUUUCCUUCUUUCUUCUUCUUCAUUGGGCACUCACUCAUGUAAUGCCCAAGCUGGCCGCAUUCAAAGCAUUUGUCAGCUUGUUUUUUUAUUGGUCUCUUGCUUUCCUUUGUUUCUUGCAUUGUUAAACUAAUUUGGAAAAUAGUCGCUAGGUCCAAGCCAUUUGAGCAGAUUCUUCUUCCUCUUCAAUAUCACCAUCCGAGUUGCAAUCAUUCUAUGUGAUUUGAAAGUUGUUGAACUUUGGUUUUCGUUCAACUUUUCCUUCUUUCUUCUUCUUCAUUGGGCACUCGCUCAUGUAGAGCCCAAGUUGGCCGCAUUCAAAGCAUUUGUCAGUUUAUUUUUUUAUUGGUCUCUUGCUUUCCUUUGUUUCUUGCAUUGUUAAACUGAUUUGGAAAAUAGUCGUUAGGUUCUCCUUUUCUAAAUCUCCUUUUGUUGAGGAUUCUUUUGAAACUUCUUGUGAUGAGAACAAGAUCAUUGUCAUCAACUUCCAUAUCUUUACCAUCCAAGGAAGCUGAAUCAUCUUCAUUUUGAGAUGCUUUUGGACCAAUGCCCCUUCUCACUUUUGCAUUCUUUUCUUCUUGCACCUUAAUCUUAAAUUUCAGCUCAUAAGAGAUUAGAGAAUUAACAAGAGAUUCAAUAGGCAUAGAAUUCAAAUCUUUAGCCUCUUCAAUGGCGGUCACCUUACUUUCCCAAUCCUUGGACAGGGCAUUUAAGAUUUUUCUAUUUUUCUCACCUAGGAAGUAUUCCUUUUCCAACAACUCUAAGUCUUUAAUGAGGUCAUUAAAUUUACAAUACAUCUUGUCAAUAUUUUCAUCAGGUUCCAUCUUAAAUGAUUCAUACUUGGUAACUAGGAUAGAUUUCUUUUAUUCUCUCACAUUUUCACUUCCUUCAUGGAUUUCUCUCAGCUUGUCCCAAAUCUCUUUAGCAGACCUACAACCUUUGACCCUAAUGGAUUCAUUUGAAUCUAAAACACUAUACAACAUAUUCAUAGCCUUGGCAUUCAAGGUGAGGUGGGUUCUAUCUUCACCAGUCAAUUCAUUUCUGAUUUUUGGUUUUGGUCUAUGAGUAACUUCAUCUAUUAUAAAGGUAUCAUAUGGACCUUCAUUAACAACAAACCACAGUUCAAUAUCAAUAGAUUGCAAGAAGAUAAUCAUUCCUUCCUUUCAACUCACAUAAUUAGAUCCAUUAAACAUUGGGGGUCGAGUGACAGAUUGUCCUUUAAAAAAUAUGGUAUUGUUGGUUGUCAUAUUUACUCCUAAGCCGAUUGAACUUAAUCUCAAGGAGACCAAACUCUGAUACCAAUUGUUAGGAGCGAAGACAACUUAAGGGGGGUGAAUUAGGUUAUUUAAAAACUAAUCAAAUUAUGAAACACUUUUUGGCUCAAUAUGAAAUUUACCCUCUUUUCUAGAUGAUCACUUAAUGGUACAAUUAAUAAGAAAGCAAGAUUGCUUAUGAGUAGAAGAGAUGAGCAGUUUAUAUUUGCAAGAUAGUAAGUAGUAGGGAAAGAAUAGCGAAUCAAAUUUCAAACUCCUCUUGAGUUUGAAUAUUACUUUAUAGAGCAAGCUUCUUCAAGUUGAUCGAAUACAACCAAUCUUUGUGUACAAAAGAAGGAUCACUUCCUCCUUGCCCCAAGCCACACUUGGUCAAGUUAGGAAGUUUUACUAUCACUCGGAUAACCCUAACAAAACUACACUAUUGAAGUAUUUUUCGCACAUAAGAAAAGUUUAUUCGAAAUUUACACAACUAAGAGUACAAAUCUUCUUUGAAGAGUAUUUUCACACUAAAACUACUCUUGAUCUUUCGUAUUGUCAAUGUGCAAAAGUUCUCUGAAAGUAGUUGACCAUGCACUAUUUAUAUAAGACCAAAAAGUGUCUCAUUAAUAUUUCCAACGGAUAAAAGGUAGCUAAAAAGUCUACUAGCCUUUGGGAGUAUCGGAUGUUCGGUCCAUCCAAAAUUCGCAUCCGACAAUAGGCAGUGAGUUGAGGAAAUUUCUUUAAUUCUAUCGGAUGUCCGGUGUCCCUGAUACUUGUGUUCGAAAGCAGAUGAUCAUUUUGAGAAGUCUUCUUCAGUGUUUUCGGACGUCCAGCACCUACACCGCUUUGCGUCCGAAGAUCCACAUACUGUAUCGGACGGUCGGUGCUCUGAUGUUUAGCGUCCGAACGAGGUCAGUGAGCUAAAGAAAAUUUCUUGAUUCCUUCGGACGUCCAAUAGUGGAGUUCUUCAUGUGUCCAAAGUUGCACAAUGAUUAUCGAACGUCCGGUCCAAUUUCACAAGCGUCCGACAGCUUUCAGCAACCUUUAUCUCUUUCAAUUUUCACUUGAUCUUUGAAUCUGAUUUGUUUCAUGGCUGAAAGAAUUUCUUGAGGAGAUAUUAGUAUCAUCCAUUUAUUUUGUAAACAUCAAAAGUUAGGGACUAAGAUUCACAAUUCUACCUCUUCUUCACCUACUUGAAACUUAAGUUUGCCAUUUUUAACAUCAAUAAUAGUACCUAGUGUUGUUAGAAAUGGUCUAUCAUGUAUGAUUGGCAUAGGCAUGUUUUCUUCCAUAUCUAACACCAUAAAAUCCACGGGAAUAAUAAAUUUUUACACUUUGAUCAAUACAUUUUCCAAAACUCCCAUUGGAUAUCUAAUAGACUUAUCGGCUAAUUGCAAGGUAAUAUUGGUACGUUUAAGCUCAUGUCAUCCUAGUUGUCUAGCCACGGUCAAAGGAAUUAAUGACACACUUGCAGCAAGAUCACAUAAUGCUUCCAAAAAUUCAAUGUUACCGAUAGUGCAAGGUAUAAAAAAUCUCCCCGGAUCUUUCAAUUUUGGUAACAGCUUGUUUUAUAUGAUAGCACUGCACUCUUUAGUUAAUGCUAUCAUUUCACGAUCCUCUAAUUCCCUUUUUCGUGUCAUGAUCUCCUUGAGGAACUUGGCAUAUGAAGGAAUCUGUAAAAUAGCAUCAACAAAAGGAAUAUUACUAUGCAAUUGUUUGAAAAUUUUGACAAACUUUUCAAAAUUGGUCGGCCCUCUAGCCGACGUUUCUAUACAUUCCGGUCAAUUGGUCCAACUGCCCCUCUAGCCGCUCGAAUCUCUCCGACGUACCUUUUGCCAAUUUUUCCACAGCAAUCUCCCAAUCCAGUUUGGUAUUCAUCUGUUAUUGCCUUGGUUGGAAUCCCGGUGGAUUGGUCGGCCUUUGUACAUUGCCUUUAUCUUUUCACCCAAAAUUGGGAUGAUUUCUUCACCCCGGAUUGUAGGUAUUGGAGUAUGAGUUGUUUUGAAUAUUCCUAUUAUAAUUAUUGACAAACUGAGCCUGCUUGUCGUCUUGGAUUAUUUCUUUCAUUAGCCCAUUGAUAAUUGUUUGCCGUCAUUUCUUCUAUCAAAUUUUGAGAUUUUUGAGGUGAUUUUGCCAUCAAUGCUCCACCUAUGGCUGCAUCGAUAGUAGUUUUGAUAGAAAAGGAUAAACCAUUAUAGAAGACUUGUACAAUUAGCCAAUCGAGAAGUCCAUGAUGUGGACAUUUCUGAAACAAAUCUCAAAACCUUUCCCAUGCUUCAUAUAAUGGCUCACCAUCAAAUUGACUGAAACUAGUAAUAUCCAUUCUAAAUUUAGCCGUUUUACCAGGUGGGAAGUAUUUAUUCAAAAACGCCCUAGACAAAUCAUCCCAAGUAGUGAAAGUUUUAGGGGCAUGAGAAUGUAGCCAAAUUUUAGCCUUAUCCCUCAAUGAAAAUGGGAACAACUUUAGCCUUAUAGCAUCUUCCCUGACUCCAUUCAUUUUGAUUGUAUCACAUAUCUCCAAAAAUGUGGUUAAGUGUGCAUUGGGAUCCUUUACGGCAUUACCUCCAAAUUGAAAUUGUUGUACCAUUUGGAUUAAUGAUGGUUUAAUUUCAAAAUUAUUAGCAUUUACCGUCGACUGUGCUAUACUUGUUAGAGAUAUUUGGGUUCCCGGUAGAGCAAAAUCCCUAAGAGCUCGCCUAUUUGCUUUAUUUUCUGUCAUUUCUUCUUCAAAAGGUAGCUCUAUCUCAACUCCCUCUAUUUGUUGUUGAACAUCCUCUUCUUGUCGUUCUUGUGUAUGCCUUCUUUGUUUUCGUAGUGUCAUUCCAAUUUUCGGAUCAAAAGGUGCUGCUACCCGUAAAACCCAGUGCAUACACUAGAAUAAAAAAUAAAGAGAUUAUAUAGAAUCAUUUCACAAAACUACUAGAAAUGGUAAUUUAACUAGAAACAAAGUUUAACUAACUAAUAUAAAAAAUGUCUAAAUUAAUAAAGCUUGUUAGGCCCUAAUAUUGCCACUCCCUGGCAAUGCUGCCAAAAAAUUGACGGGUUUUGAAUAUGAGUACAAGUUUAAUUCCAAAAUAUACCCAUCUUGACUGCAAGUAUAUAGGUCAUAUUAGUAGUUUAGGGCAAAUAUUAGGUCGAUCCCACAGAGAGCAACUUUACAAGCAUUAGGUCCCUACUUACUCUAUUAUUUAGACUAAUAACCGAUUUAAGCAAGAGAAUUAUAAUUACUACUAUCUUACUAGUCUUAACUAGAUAUUUGCAAGGAAACAAUAGAGAAAAUUCACUAAAUUCUUGAGUCUAGGGAUAUAGAUUCCAUUUAUGGCAUAAAAAGAUAGAAAUAAAUAGAUUUACCUCUUGUUACAACUCUUGUUUAACUAUGGAUUCAUUUUCAAUAUUACCAAAUCUCAUUCUCAUAAUGAAAUGGUGUAAACUAGACUAGUUUUCCCUAUUCUCAUGGUAAAUAACUAGAUCUACUUUUGUUUCUUUCAUGAAAUGCAAGUUUAAUCCACUUAAGUGCACCUCUAUUCUCAUGAGUCUACUACUCAAGCUCUAUUUAUGUUGUUCCAUCAUUAUUACCAACUUUCAUUGAAUAAUAACAACUAAAAUCUUGUUAUUGGUGAUCAAGCAACAACAAGUGAUAAGCAUGCAUAAAUAGACAAUUUAAUAUAAGAUGUAACUAGUGUAGAUCAUAUUCACUUCAUAUCAAGCAGCUAUAAGCUUCAUCUACUCCCUAGAUCUAAAAAUUUAGCUACUCAUAUAAUAUGUAACAAGAAAGAGCAUAGUUUCAUUGCAUGAACACAUAUUGAAUCACAAAUGAAAGAUAGAUAAAGAAAGCUUAACCAAGAUUAAUGAAGAAGCUCCCAAUGAUCUUCUAUUUCUUCAACAAAAUGAGUUGUACGAUGAAAUCUCCAAUUGUUUUCACAAAAGUUCUACAUAUAGAAAAUAAAACAAGACUAACUACUAAGCUCUCAUCCUCAAAUCUGAUGAGAACUAUCUCUAAUAUGUCCUCUUCUCCCUCUCUAAUGAUUCUAACAACUCUAGUGUUUAGAGAGUCAAAAAGUGGUGUUUUGACAAGACAUCAAUCUCAUUUUUUUCUUCCAAAAGGUUCCUUGAAUACGUGUAGCCGAAAUUCUUGUCUGGAGUUAAACUAGAAAGUAGUGUGAAAGCAGAGCAAGUGGUUGAGUAAAUUGCAGAAAUCAAGCUACAAUACGUGACUAUGGAAUACGCGACUUCAACCCACGUAUUGACAAGUCGCGUAUUAUUCUCUGUGAAUCUGGCAUCAUUUCAACUACAAUUUUCUCAAUGAUGAAGGCUGCACUAGAUCUUGUACAAAACAUAAAGGUUGUAGCCCUUUGAGCUAGCUUUCCAAUGCUUCAUGAAUCAUCCAAUUUGGAGCUCUGUGGACCGAGAUAUAACCAAAAUAACAUCAACUGGUCAGAGCUCUAUUUCAGCACUCGACCAUGCACAUGCACUUCUGUAUUUUGACUUUUUGACAAGGAAGACAACUGAACUGGAUUUCAAUGGCUUCAUAUCAAAUGUAUAUCUAUCUCUUACCUUCAAAAUAAUAUAAUAAUCACCUAAAUCCGAUGCUUGUAGCUCAUGAUAUUGCCGAAAUACCACCAUGUAUCAAAACUGUCUACACUUGCAUUUCUUCAUUUGAGUGUUUUGCACUUCAUGUCUUCUUAAAACCACUUCAAAUCAUCGAUAAUUAUCCAAUUCUCUUCUCAAUUCAUCCUAUUUGAUGAUUGAAUCAUUAAACCUACAAAACAUGAAGUUUUCACCAUUAAAAUCCAUAAAAAUGCAAUCUUUACCACUUAAACUACAAAAUGCAUUUUUUUCACUAAAACCCUAGUUAUCUAGCUAUGAAACUAAAUAAAACACACCAAAACUAACUAAUAAAACUCACUAAAAAUACGUAAAAUAUACUCUUAUCAUCAUAUAAGCUCCAACUCUCUAUCUUGCUCCUUAAUUGUUCAUCCAAAUCUAACUACAAGUACAAAAUGGAUAAACUACACUAACUAUACUAUACUAAUGAACUAAACUAAUGAACUAAGAAAAACUAAUGAAGACUACAUUUUGGUACUGUUUCUAGCUUUCCCAAGUUAUAAAAAACGUUCUCCAAGGCCCCUAUUUAUAGAGGAAUUCAAAUUACAAAUGAGUGUUAAAGUUGAUGUGAAAUGCAUCUUGAGAUUUCCAAAAUAUUCUUCUAUAAGUUUCCAUACUUUUCUUUAUAGUUACGGCCAAAAUUCUGAGCUAGAAAAGCUGUGUGAAUGCAGAACAAGUUAAGAUGCAACUUGCAGCUUUGUUUGAAGAAUACACAGGCAUGAGGACGUGUAUUGACCAGCACUUUGCCUUAUUGUUGGUUUCCUCAUUUCUGAUUAGUCUUCAACUUUACUCUAUUUUUGUACCAAAUUUCACGGCUAUUUUCUCGAUGAUGGAGGCUGAACUAGCUGUUUUGCAAAACAUGAAAGUAUGAGUUAGCUUUUCAAUGCUUCAAGAAUCAUCCAAUUUUGAGCUCUGUAUAUUGCUAAAUGAUCAAAACAUCCUUGACUAGUCAAAACUCUAUUUCAACUUUCGACAACAAAAAUGGCCGACUAUAUUUCGACCUUUUGAAUAGGAAAAUGCAUGAACUGUAUUUCGAUAUCUCCAUAAGAAAUGUAGAGCUAUAUGUCAGAUUCAAAAUGUUUUAAGAAUCACCUCAUCCCAAUACUUGUAGCUAAAGAUAUAGCUGAAAUACCAACAGGUAUCAAGCUGUCAAACUCCCUUUCUUUUAUACUUGAUUGCAUUUCAUCUUUUGAACAUUUAGCACUUCUUAUUCUCUUUAAAUCACUUCAAAUUAUCAACAAUCAUCCAAAUAUCUUCUCAAUUCAUUUCAUUUGAUGAUUGAAUUGUUGAAACAUACAAAAGAUAAAGUUUUCACCACUUUAAUCCAUAGAAACGCAAUUUUUCACACGUAGGCUGCAAAAUGUCAACUUCACUUGAAUCUUAGUUAAUUAGUUAUAAAAAUGAUUAAAACAUACCAAAUUAAAUAAUAAAACACACUUAAAUCACUCAAAAUACACACUUAUCAAAGAAAGACCAAGGACAAUCUGGGGCCAUUUACAAAAAGUCAUCGCCGGAUUAGAUGAGAGUAUCGGGGGCCAAAUAAUGAAUUUCGAAUCAAAUACCAAACCGGAUACCCGUUAGAAGGUUUGGCAAGAGAAAGGCUGUUAAACAAUAUACGAUGUUGGAUAGAUAGAGUCAUCCCGGAUAAUCACACCAAAUACUUGUUAGAGAGUUUUCAAAAGAAGGAUGUUCAGUAGUAUAUGGCGCCAGAUAGUGAAAUUUGCUUCAAAUGCCGCCCCAGAUAUUUGAGCGAAAUAAUUUUGUGAGUUGUAUAACUUGCGCAACUUUCAGUCAACUUUUCAACUCUCUCUCCUAUGACAGCUAUGACGAUUUGGCAGCAGCUUUUUGGACUUAAGACAUUAACUUUUGCCACUUUUUGUCAACUUUAUGUCAUUCACUUUAACCUUUUUGACUCUUCAAGACAAAAGAGUCUUCUUGUGGGGGAUUGAAGAGUUUUGAAGAUUAUAAAUAGAGGGGCUUAAUUUUAGUCUUAGAAAAACUUUUGGUUGUAGUUAGUUUUAGAGAGGAAAGAAGUUUUGGAGCAAAUAAGAAAGGCAAAAGAUGUUGUGUCUUACCCUUUGAGGCAAGACAUAAGCUCUCAGCAAAUGUAGCUCUUUUCACCUUUUCAUGUUUCAGUGUUGGAUUGUGUAGGAUAAUUUAGUUGUUGUCCAUCCAUUUUGUGUUGGCUUAACAAGGAGGCCGAUGGAGAUGAACAUGGAGGGACUCGAGAUACUCUAGUGACAAGAAUUUUUCUUCUCUCAAUCUUUGUAUCUUUGUAUUGGAUUCUAAAUUUUGUUAAUGCAAGUUUGGAUAUUAUGUUAUUGAUGUAGUUAAUGCAAGAGAAACCUUUUCUCUUGACUCUUCAUCUAAUAAUUGAAGAAUGGCCGUGGCAUUUACUUCAACUAUUUUGCGUGGGAUUUCUUCAAUAGAGAUAAACUAAACUUUUCGUUCUAGUUAAGGAACAAUUGAGGAUUUAAUUUAGCUAAAAUUGUGAGAUCGAAUUGACUAUAUUUAUUUCUUUAAUUUACUGAUAUUCGUAUGUUCCCUGAUUUAAUUUCUUAUGGUUAUUAUGUUAUUUGAAUAUCCAGGGCCCAGUGUUUAAAUUAAUCUAAUAACCUAAAUCCAAUUAGUGCAGUUAAAUCUGUAAUUGUUUAAUUACUUUAAAAUAGUGGUAACUGGCAUGAUUGACUUUCUGUCAGGGGGGUAUACGGGCUAAUUAAAAUAACUCUCGUAGCGUGUUAUUUGGUUAGAACAUGGCUUCUCUAAUGAUUAAUGCAAUUGAAAAAUUGAAUUCUAAGGUCAUGCCUAGGGUUAUUUUAUGAUUAGAGUAGUGGUUAACGAUCAUAUAUUAAUCACCAAUACAGUAAGGAGAAUUUGACUGUCAUCGCUUUUGGCAGUUAUAACUUGUUUAUCAAUAAAAAAAUUUUGAAUUAUUAUUGCAUCAAUGAUCAAUUAAAUGAACUAUUUCCAAAGUUAUUUCUUGGCUACAGUUUAUCUAUUAUUACUUCAAUUUUAAUAAAUUGUCAUUUAAUUUUCAUUUAUUUAUUUUAUUUGAGUUAUUUCAUUAUUCUCAAUUUUAUAAAAAUUCCCCAUCCUCUGGGCUCUAAAAGAAACGAAUUUUCUCUAGUGCCUGUGGAUUCAACUCUGUUCACUGCUAUACACAAAAAUUUGUAUUUUAUUUUAGUAGGCAUUUAUUAUUGCACAAACUCGAUACCUGUCAUAAAAACAAACCAAAAACUAAGUAAUAAAACAUAUUAAAAAUAUGCAAAAUAAACACACUUUGUUCAUCUCCUAAUGGAUUUAUUUCCUAAGCAUGAGUUUUGCAACCCCUCACAUUGAAUCUCAAUGAUUGAUUUCAGUGCUUAUAAAGGCCUCUAUCUUUUCUCACGUUUGUUUCAUAGUCUACUUAUAUUGGUUUGCUAUUAAUUCUAACUAGACAUUUACUAGUCAUGUAGAAUUUAUUCCUUCUUAUCACUUAAUGCAUAAGCCUUAUUAAGCAUUAAAUUUAUCAGUUACAACCAAAAGGCAAAUGCCUCGCAUUUCAAUCUUUAUUGUCAGUACUUAACUUAUAUUAGCCAUUCAUACUGAUUUAUUUUAUUAUAUAGCUUCUAGAAUGUUAAUCAUCAUGUUCUUACCAUUCAGUGGCAGAUUUAAGGUGGGGGGCAUGGCCCCAUUGUCCCCCUUAAAUUCCUAUAGUACCCAUAGAAUUUUGAUAUAAUCUUAAAUGUGUCUCCGAAAUUUUCUUAUGAAAGAAGUGAAAGAAUUACGUGGUCCUCUAAGUUGAUUCAUGAACUAAUAUUCUAAAAGAAUAUGUGGGACACAAAAUUGCAUUUGAAGUAAGCCAAAAACAAGCUUUUCAUUUCAACUUGUUGGUGAAAUUUUUUUUUUUUUGCUUAAAAAACUAGAAAAAGAGUAGGUAAAAAAAUUUAGUAUUACUUUACUUUUGCCCCCACUGAGAAUUUUUUUUGGUUCCGCCACUGUUACCAUUAUCUAGAUUAUGAACUUCUAUCCUUUUGGGGAUAUUCGUUAAAAUUGGAACGAUUCUGAACUCCUCAAAUAAUAGGUUAUCUACUAUGAACCUUUGGAAUUUGUUUCAGGAUUACCGAGGACGCAAAGGGGACAUGAUGCCGUUUGGGUGAUCGUUGAUCGAUUAACCAAAUCGGCCCAUUUCUUGCCGGUGAACAUGAAAUAUUCAAUGGACAAAAUGACCCGACUGUACAUGGACGAGAUAGUAAGGCUACACGGUGUUCCUGUGAGCAUCGUCUCCGAUCGGGAUCCACGGUUUGUAUCUCGAUUUUGGCAGAAGUUUCAAGAAAUUCUGGGGACUAAACUCAAUUUGAGCACGACCUAUCAUCCUCAGACGGAUGGCCAGUCGAAACGGACCAUUCAAACUCUCGAGGACUUGCUACGAACUUGCAUUCUGGACUUUGGUGGCAACUGGGGACAGCACAUGACCUUGGUGGAGUUCGCGUACAACAAUAGCUUCCAUUCGUCGAUUCAAAUGGCUCCGUACGAAGCUCUCUACGGACGCAAGUGCCGGUCACCGAUUUACUGGGACGAAGUUGGCGAAAAGAAAGCACUGGACCCGGCAACUAUUCCAUGGAUGGAAGAGGCUCACGAGAAGGUCAAGUUGAUACGGCAACGACUUCAAACAGCUCAGAGUCAACAAAAGAGCUACGCGGAUAAUCGAAGAAAAGACUUGGAGUUUGAAGUUGGAGACUACGUAUUUCUCAAGAUCACACCCUUACGAAAUCUCACAGCGGGCAAAGGAAAGAAACUUCAACCACGGUACGUCGGACCCUACAAGAUCCUUCAGAGGGUAGGAGCGGUCGCGUAUCGAUUGGAACUACCGUCCAGUCUCUCUCGAAUCCACGAUGUAUUUCACGUCUCGAUGCUAAAGAAGUACCAUCCUGACCCAUCCCAUGUAUUGCAACCGGAGGAUAUCGAAGUAGAUGAAUCACUGGCCUAUGAAGAGAAACCGGUCCAAGUGCUCGAUCGAAAAGUCAAAGAGCUCAGAAACAAGCGGAUUCCGCUAGUGAAGGUGCUAUGGAGAAACCACGGAGUUGAGGAAGCUACCUGGGAGAUGGAAGAGGAAAUGCGAAAGAAAUACCCAAACCUUUUCGGGAAUUAAGGUGAGAAAUUUCGAGGACGAAAUUCUUUUAAGGGGGAGAGAGUGUGAGAACCCGUAAAACCCUAAUUAUUUUCCUAGGGUUUAACCGUUUGAAUAGCAUGUUUUCUGCGUUUUCUGGCUUAGAAAUAUUUUCUUGGUGGAUUUUAUGAGCAAAUAUAGUUUUUAGAUAAUUUUUCUAGUAUUGAAGAGUUUUUGAAAAAUUGAGGAUAAAUAACGGACGUGGGACGGACGUGGGACCCACUAGUGCGAAAAGUUCGGAAAAAUUCGGCCAAUUAGGUUAAAUUCUGGAUGCUGUGUGAAAUUUAUCGGGUGCUAAGAGAUAAGUAGAGUGUGUGAUAUGAUUGAUGUGAGAGGAAAAAGAAAAGAUAAGAUUGCAUUUAAUGAGGUGACACUUGUCACCAUUAGAGUGGACAUGACUUAAGAAACACUAUUCAUUUUUUUGACUUUUGACCCAUUUGAUUAAAUAUCUUUAAAAUUCACAAAAAAUUACCAUUUCUUACCUCUUGUUGGCCGGCCAUCUUGAGCAAGGAAGGAAGAAGAAACUCUUCAAGUUCUAGCUACUACUUGGUGCAAAUCACCCAAAAACAUUUGCUUACAUCCAUUUCUACUCCAUAAAAUCUUUCUAGUUGGUGAUAGUGGUUGGUUUGGUGAAGUUUUCUUGAAGAGCUAAGGUGGUCUACAACUCCUCUUCUCUUGUUUCCUAGGUAAGUGAUGAUUAAACAUCCUACUACACUUAAUGAUGCUUAAAUGGUGCCUAAUGGGACCUAAAGUGAUGGAUUAUGUGAUUUAUUUCUUGAUUUGAAGUGAUGUAGUGAAGUUUUUAUUUUUUUGGGGAAUUUUCUGAUUUAAUAUGAAUGUGAUGUUGUGAUCAUCUAUGAUGGUUGAUAAUGAGGGGGAAAGACUCUAGUAGGUGUGAAUUAGGGAUAAUAGCAACUAAUUUUGGCUUUGGAGUGAAUUGUGAAAUGUUAGGGUUUCAAAACCCCUAAUUCUGUCCGGUUUUGGAUCAUAGGGUUAGAGGCCGAAUUGGACUUUGCUCAAAACAUGAAAGUUGUAAGUAUUGAUGAGUUGGAAGUGCCUGCAAAAUUUCAGAUCAUUUGGAUUAGUGUAGAGUGAGAUAUGUCGAUUUUACUGUUGCUGUUCUGGGUUGAUCAGAAUGCGAAAACUGCACUUGUAAUUGGCCAUUUUGACUGGGAUUGGUUUGGAUUUUAUUGUUGGUGUCUUCUGAUGAAAUGUAGCUUGAUGUCCUAGAUACCAUAUGCCUUUGGAAUUUCGGCAUUUGGACCUGUAUAGACUGAGUUGUGUUAAUUACAGCAUAGUGUGAUUUGUAAACCUGGAAUUACGGUUCUGGAUUUGGUAUUCUGCAUUUUUGACCUAGUUGUGCUAGGAUUUGGACUGAGUGGCCUUCUACAAUAUUGUAGCCCUGUUUCUUAGCUUCGAAACGGUGGGUCUUACACCCCAUCCGAUAACCGUAGUGAAUUUGGUGCCAUUACCGCAUAUUGAGGUCAAAUAUGGUUUCUUUGUUAAGGCUUAAGCUUAAGCCAUUUCUUAAUUUCUGGUUACCAAUGAUGCUUAUUUAUGCAUAUAAACCCUAUUGGGGGUUAUGAUUGGCAUUGCUAUAUGACUCGUUAUCGAGUGUCAUUGCAUUUGUUUGCAUGAUUCUAGGGCGUGACGGUAGUGCUCGACGGAUUGGUGACCACGGUGUAUGAAACAUCACUUACGUGGUUGGUGAGUAUACUACUCACUUAAAUGUUCUAAUGUGGCUUUGCUAUAUGUGGUUGUGUUGCCUUGAAGGCUUAUUUGGAUAUUGUAAUUGAUUAAGGUGAGGGUGUACUUGACCGCCCUCACCCCUUUUGAUCGUAUCACUGAUUGUCUACCGUUUCACUGUCUUACUGAACUUGAUAUAUGAGUUAUUGCAUUCCAUUUCAUGGAAACUGAUUUGGUGUGGUUUGGACGAAUGUCCAACGACCUUACUGUAUCACUGAGCUCAACUCCGUUAGGUAGUCAAUUGGAUCGAGCCGGCGAGGGAUUGGUCGUGAUAAUUGAUAUGCCACGGGGACUGUACUGGGGAAUCUUGUAGUAAUGAGACUCUUGAUUCCGGUAAACUCGAGUAUUACCAAAAUGACUGAAUGGAGUGCGGGCCCGGUUGGGGAAUGUUGGGUGGAAGGAAUGGAAGUAAAGAGUUGUCUACGGUUGGUUAUUUUUUUACAUUGACGGAGGGUCAAUGAGGUUGGAUCAAGAAUAUAUGCGAGGAAAUGGGCUCUUGAGAGCCGUCCGUAUCCUUUCACUGAUUUGAUUUACUUCUUACUUGCAUACUUGAACUGAACGGUUAUGCUUAUGUGAUAUUAGUUGCUAUGGUGGUAUUCUCACUGGGCAUUUAGCUCACCCCGUUUCUUUUGUUUUCCUUACAGGAAUAUGACUCUUUUGGAAUGAAUUUUGUUAAAUGGUUGCCGAAUGAACUAGAUGAAUGCCUCUUUUGGUAUUGUAUAUAAAAUGGGACCCUAAAUGUAUCAUUAGGGCCGUUUUCACUUUUGUUUUGGCAACCCACAUAUGUAGUGACUUUUGUAUCACUUUUAAAUGCCAUUGUGGCUUGUAAAUGGUUAAUGUUAUGUUGUAUAUGUAUUUCGGUGUUUGGUUGGAUUUUGGGAUGGUUCGGUUACUAUUCAUGGCCGACCCUGGAUUUCAUUUCUUUUAUUUUGGGUUAUUUUGCCCUUUUGCCUUGUUUGCGCGCAUUAUAAGUUUCAGAACGUGAUAGAUCGCUUUAUACUGCACCGUUAGUCCUGGCGAGAGUUGGGCAGGCAGUCCGCUAACCUCUUUGGUUCGCCUUAGGGGAAUGUGGGGCUGUCACAGGUGGUAUCAGAGCCUAGGUUUGAACUAGCCUGGGUGUUAUAGGACUGCUUGAUUUGAGGAUUUAUUGUUUAUGGUCUUUAAACUUAUUGAUGCUUAUUUACACUUUUGGUGUAGGAUGGACAGAUCCAGUGGACCUAGUGAUGGCCCUGCGGGCAAGCGACCCCGUGUAGCGCUCCCGAUGAUUAAGUACCAGAUCCGGCCAAAGGGGGCCGUUCUACGUUGGAGUCCGGCUAAUCGCCGUAGACACUGCGAGUGCCGCCACACUUAUGCUUACCCGAAUGCAAACGUUUUGGCGGUUGUGAAGGAAAGGAAGGAGCUGGCAAAAGCUAUUGCCAAGCUUGAGGCUGAGGUGAAUCAGUUGAGGGCGGCCAACGAGGGGCAAGCUAAGAGGAUCGAGGGUCUGAAGUACGAUGUACUAGAGGCUGAGGAUAGAGUUGAUGAUCUCUGUGCCCAGCUUAGGGAGGCGCGUGAGCGCGAGUCUAAGAGGGCUCGAAAGGUGAGGAAUCGAGCCGCUGCAAUCCUGAACCUCUGUUCGGAGGUAGUGGAGGGAGUGAGCGACGAGGACUCCUGUGCGGGGUCCGAGGCGGGGGAGGAGUCUACCCCGUCGCCUGGGUCCCAGAGCCCAGCGACUGACUAGGCCUUGAUUCUUAGGCUUUUUUUUGGAUAGUUGGUGGUUUUGUAUGUACAUAGGGAUAGGGAUAGAGCCUUAGCUAACCGUUUUGGAUGUUGGGUUAGCUACGUGUAAAUCUCUUUUGAUAGGCCAAUCCUCGGGGGGAUCGUUUAUGUACGUACGUGCCUUGGCCGUACUUGACUUGACUGAUUGUAUAUAUGUGUGUGGCUUGAUCUUGUCUGGCUUGUAUAUAUGUGCUUGUGAUCAUGUUUGAAAUGUAUCAAUAUGUGUUAAUGUGAAAGUUUUGCGUAUUACUUACGUGCUUUGUUACUGCUUUGGUUUAGUGCUUUUGCCUAGACCGAGUGAAACUUAUGGAAGGUACACGGAGUGGCCGGGGACGCGGGCGCGGUAUUAGACAACCCGCACCGGUUAGGGAAACGGGGGAAACCUCUACUGGACCCAAUCCUGAACCGCAGAUAUAGCCGCUGCUAUGCAGCAAAUGACAAACCUACUGGCACAAGUAGUGCAACAACAGGGCCAGAACCCAAAUUCUAACCCCGGAAACCCUGGCCAUCAUAUUGAGAGCGAAGAUAGAGCUCUAGAACGUUUUCAAAAGUUUUCCCCGCCAAAGUUUGUUGGGGGACCUGACCCUGACGUUGCUGAGAAAUGACUUGAGAAAAUGGUUGAUAUAUUCGCGGCCCUACACUACCCUGACGAACGGCAGGUCACUUUUGCCGUGUUCCAGCUUGAGGGCGCGGCCCGUUCCUGGUGGAACGUAAUUAGACAGAAAUGGGAGCGGGAGCAGACACCCAGGACUUGGGUGAACUUCAUCCGAGAAUUUAAUGCAAAAUUUUUUCCUCCUCUAGUCCAGGAGAGGAAGGAGGACGAGUUUAUAAGGCUUCGCCAAGGGACUCAGACGGUGGCGGAAUAUGAGAGUCAAUUCACCCGCCUGUCCAAGUUUGCGCCGGAGUUAAUCAUGACUGAGCAACGACGGGUGAGGCGCUUUAUCCAGGGUUUGAACGUUGAGAUCCAGAAAGACCUCGCGGCGGCUCAAAUCACUACGUUUAGCGAGGCAAUGGAAAAAGCCCAACGAGUUGAAAGUGCACGGCUGCAGGUCCGAAACUUCCAGGCUAAGAAGCGUGGUUUUCCUGGGAGUACGUCUGGAUAAGGUGAGAGGAGUACUCCCUCGAAAUUUGGACGAGGAACGGGUGGUGGCCGACAAUCGGGUUCAGGCAGAGGGACUCCGUUUAGGGGUGGUCAAGCUGGGCGAGGACAGAGGGGAAUUGCUCAGAGUGGCUCGGCUUCGGCACCUCGCGGUCCCUGUGGGCACUGUGGGAAGGCAAACCACACUGAGGAUAAUUGCUGGAGGAAAUAGGGUAAGUGCCUGCGGUGUGGAAGUACGGACCAUCAAUUAGCUACUUGCCCGGUCCAGAAACAAGACGGAAAGGGGAGCCAACCAUCGUCGAGGGCCAAUAUUGGACCAGCGAAGGGAGAUGGGUCCAAACCUAAGGUGCCGGCUAGGGUGUAUUCCUUAGAGCCCCAUCAGGUUCCAGAAUCUUCUGAGGUUGUAGAAGGUACGAUCCCUAUUUUCCACCGCUUUGCCAAAGUUUUAAUUGAUCCUGGUGCCACUCAUUCGUUUGUUAACCCUGAUUUCAUGUGUGGCAUCGAUAUAAAAUCUGCUAGUUUACCAUAUGACCUAGAAGUUAGUACACCUACGGGAAAUCAACGUUUGGUGACUAGUAUGGUUUAUAGGGAUUGCGAGGUAUGGGUAGGUGAAAGGAGUUUUUUAGGAGACCUGAUUAGCUUGUCCAUUAAGGGGUACGAUGUGAUUCUGGGUAUGGACUGGCUAGCCAAAUAUAACGCCCAACUGGAUUGUAAAACGAAAGUAGUAGAGUUUCGCAUUCCUGGUGAGGCAACUUUGAGAUUGGAUAUAAGGGGUAGGUUAGCCUCAUCCGCUCUAAUUUCGGGCAUUCGAGCUAGGAAACUGAUAAGUCGAGGGGCGCAAGGAUUUUUGGCCUUUUUAAUUAAUACCCCUACGGAUAAGUUAAAAGUGGAAGACGUGGCCAUAGUGAGGGAAUUUCCGGAUGUAUUUCCUGAUGAGUUAGUAGCCUUACCUCUGGAAAGAGAGAUAGAAUUUCGAAUAGACCUGUUGCCUGGAACCGCACCUAUCUCGAAAACCCCUUACCGAAUGGCGCCUGCAGAACUUAAGGAACUUAAGUUGCAAUUACAAGAUCUUUUGGAGCGGGGAUUCAUUCACGAGAGUGGGUCUCCUUGGGGAGCUCCUGUCCUAUUUGUGAAGAAGAAGGACGGAACCUUGAGGAUGUGCAUUGAUUACCGGGGGCUGAACAACGUAACCAUCAAGAAUAAGUAUCCACUGCCUCACAUCGACGAGUUGUUUGACCAGCUGCAAGGAGCAGUGGUCUUCUCCAAGUUGGACCUCCGGCAGGGAUACUAUCAGUUGUUGAUUAGGAUGGAGGACAUUCCGAAAACUGCUUUCAACUCAAGAUACGGGCAUUACGAGUUCGCCGUUAUGCCCUUUGGACUGACCAAUGCUCCCGCCGCCUUUAUGGACCUAAUGCAUCGGGUUUUUAAACCCUAUCUAGACCGAUUUGUCGUGGUGUUCAUUGAUGACAUUUUGGUCUACUCUAAGACACGCGAGGAGCAUGAGGAGCAUUUGAGAGUGGUGUUGCAGACAUUGAGGGAACAUCAGCUGUACGCCAAGUUUAGUAAAUGCGAGUUCUAGUUGGAGAAAGUAGCAUUUUUAGGUCACAUGAUCUCCCACGAAGGUAUUUCGGUGGACCCGGCGAAGGUAGAGGCCGUGACAAAUUGGAAGAGGCCAGAAAACCCCACGGAAAUUCGCAGCUUUCUAGGGCUAGCUGGAUACUACCGAAGGUUCAUUAAAGAUUUUUCCAAAUUAGCAGGACCUCUAACUGACCUGACGAAGAAGCAUGGCCAGUUUAUCUGGAACGGCCGAUGCGAAACAAGUUUUCAGGAAUUAAAGAAAAGAUUGACCAUGGCUCCGGUACUGGUCUUGCCAAAUGGAGUGGACGGGUUUGCGGUUUAUGCGGACGCGUCGCGAGAAGGCCUGGGGUGCGUUUUGAUGCAGAACCGGAAUGUGAUUUCGUUUGCCUCUAGAAAAUUGAAGCUUCACGAGCAGAACUAUCCGACUCACGAUCUGGAACUAGCUGCAGUUGUCUUUGCACUGAAAAAGUGGAGGCAUUACCUAUAUGGGGUGACUUUCGAAGCGUAUUCGGAUCACAAAAGUCUUAAGUACCUUUUCUCCCAGAAGGAAUUGAACAUGAGGCAACGAAGGUGGAUGGAAUUCCUGGAAGAUUACGACUGCACAAUCAAUUACCAUCCGGGAAAGGCAAAUGUGGUAGCAGAUGCUUUGAGCCGUAAGGUGCAAGUAGCAGGGUUGAUGAUUAAGGAGUGGGAUUUAUUAGAAUCCGUGUGCGAGUGGAGACCCUGUCUUGGGAGCCAUAAGGUGAUAUUUAGUAAUGUUAGGGUGACCUCCGCUCUACUGGAACGCAUAAAAGAGGCACAAAAAGAAGAUUUAAUGGUACGGAAGUGGAGCGAGAAAGUGGAAAAGGGAGAAACUACGGACUUCAAUUUGAGUCCUGAAGGCAUUUUGAAAUAUCGAAACCGAAUAGUGGUACCGAAGGAAGAAUCGUUGAAAACGGAAAUUCUGGAGGAAGCUCAUCGGUCCAAGUAUACAAUCCAUCCGGGCAGCAGCAGGAUGUAUCAAGACCUGAAAGGAACCUAUUGGUGGGACAAUAUGAAGAGGGAAAUCGCUCAGUACGUGCAGAAAUGUCUCAUUUGCCAACAGGUGAAAGCAGAGCAUCAAAAACCAUCGGGUUUGUUACAACCCUUGGAGAUACCCGAAUGGAAGUGGGAAAACAUCACAAUGGACUUUGUUUCAGGAUUACAGAGGACGCAAAGGGGACAUGAUGCCGUUUGGGUGAUCGUUGAUCGAUUAACCAAAUCGGCCCAUUUCUUGCCGGUGAACAUGAAAUAUUCAAUGGACAAACUGACCCGACUGUACAUGGACGAGAUAGUAAGGCUACAUGGUGUUCCUGUGAGCAUCGUCUCCGAUUGGGAUCCACGGUUUGUAUCUCGAUUUUGGCAGAAGUUUCAAGAAAUUCUGGGGACUAAACUCAAUUUGAGCACGACCUAUCAUCCUCAGACGGAUGGCCAGUCGGAACGGACCAUUCAAACUCUCGAGAACAUGCUACGAACUUGCAUUCUGGACUUUGGUGGCAACUGGGGACAGCACAUGACCUUGGUGGAGUUCGCGUACAACAAUAGCUUCCAUUCGUCGAUUCAAAUGGCUCGGUACGAAGCUCUCUACGGACGCAAGUGCCGGUCACCGAUUUACUGGGACGAAGUUGACGAAAAGAAAGCACUGGACCCGGCAACUAUUCCAUGGAUGGAAGAGGCUCACGAGAAGGUCAAGUUGAUACGGCAACGACUUCAAACAGCUCAGAGUCAACAAAAGAGCUACGCGGAUAACCGAAGAAAAGACUUGGAGUUUGAAGUUGGAGACUACGUAUUUCUCAAGAUCACACCCUUACGAAGUCUCACAGCGGGCAAAGGAAAGAAACUUCAACCACGGUACGUCGGACCCUACAAGAUCCUCCAGAGGGUAGGAGCGGUCGCGUAUCGAUUGGAACUACCGUCCAGUCUCUCUCGAAUCCACGAUGUAUUUCACGUCUCGAUGCUAAAGAAGUACCAUCCUGACCCAUCCCAUGUAUUGCAACCGGAGGAUAUCGAAGUAGAUGAAUCACUGGCCUAUGAAGAGAAACCGGUCCAAGUGCUCGAUCGAAAAGUCAAAGAGCUCAGAAACAAGCGGAUUCCGCUAGUGAAGGUGCUAUGGAGAAACCACGGAGUUGAGGAAGCUACCUGGGAGAUGGAAGAGGAAAUGCGAAAGAAAUACCCAAACCUUUUCGGGAAUUAAGGUGAGAAAUUUCGAGGACGAAAUUCUUUUAAGGGGGAGAGAGUGUGAGAACCCGUAAAACCCUAAUUAUUUUCCUAGGGUUUAACCGCUUGAAUAGCAUGUUUUCUGCGUUUUCUGGCUUAGAAAUAUUUUCUUGGUGGAUUUUAUGAGCAAAUAUAGUUUUUAGAUAAUUUUUCUAGUAUUGAAGAGUUUUUGAAAAAUUGAGGAUAAAUAACGGACGUGGGACGGACGUGGGACCCACUAGUGCGAAAAGUUCGGAAAAAUUCGGCCAAUUAGGUUAAAUUCUGGAUGCUGUGUGAAAUUUAUCGGGUGCUAAGAGAUAAGUAGAGUGUGUGAUAUGAUUGAUGUGAGAGGAAAAAGAAAAGAUAAGAUUGCAUUUAAUGAGGUGACACUUGUCACCAUUAGAGUGGACAUGACUUAAGAAACACUAUUCAUUUUUUUGACUUUUGACCCAUUUGAUUAAAUAUCUUUAAAAUUCACAAAAAAUUACCAUUUCUUACCUCUUGUUGGCCGGCCAUCUUGAGCAAGGAAGGAAGAAGAAACUCUUCAAGUUCUAGCUACUACUUGGUGCAAAUCACCCAAAAACAUUUGCUUACAUCCAUUUCUACUCCAUAAAAUCUUUCUAGUUGGUGAUAGUGGUUGGUUUGGUGAAGUUUUCUUGAAGAGCUAAGGUGGUCUACAACUCCUCUUCUCUUGUUUCCUAGGUAAGUGAUGAUUAAACAUCCUACUACACUUAAUGAUGCUUAAAUGGUGCCUAAUGGGACCUAAAGUGAUGGAUUAUGUGAUUUAUUUCUUGAUUUGAAGUGAUGUAGUGAAGUUUUUAUUUUUUUGGGGAAUUUUCUGAUUUAAUAUGAAUGUGAUGUUGUGAUCAUCUAUGAUGGUUGAUAAUGAGGGGGAAAGACUCUAGUAGGUGUGAAUUAGGGAUAAUAGCAACUAAUUUUGGCUUUGGAGUGAAUUGUGAAAUGUUAGGGUUUCAAAACCCCUAAUUCUGUCCGGUUUUAGAUCAUAGGGUUAGAGGCCGAAUUGGAUUUUGCUCAAAACAUGAAAGUUGUAGGUAUUGAUGAUUUUGAAGUGCCUACAAAAUUUCAGGUCAUUUGGAUUAGUGUAGAGUGAGAUAUGUCGAUUUUACUGUUGCUGUUCUGGGUUGAUCAGAAUGCGAAAACUGCACUUGUAAUUGGCCAUUUUGACUGGGAUUGGUUUGGAUUUUAUUGUUGGUGUCUUCUGAUGAAAUGUAGCUUGAUGUCCUAGAUACCAUAUGCCUUUGGAAUUUCGGUAUUUGGACCUGUAUAGACUGAGUUGUGUUAAUUACAGCAUAGUGUGAUUUGUAAACCUGUAAUUACGGUUCUGGAUUUGGUAUUCUGCAUUUUUGACCUAGUUGUGCUAGGAUUUGGACUGAGAGGCCUUCUACAAUAUUGUAGCCCUGUUUCUUAGCUUCGAAAUGGUGGGUCUUACACCCCAUCCGAUAACCGUAGUGAAUUUGGUGCCAUUACCGCAUAUUGAGGUCAAAUACGGUUUCUUUGUUAAGGCUUAAGCUGAAGUCAUUUCUUAAUUUCUGGUUACCAAUAAUGCUUAUUUAUGCAUAUAAACCCUAUUGGGGGUUAUGAUUGGCAUUGCUAUAUGACUCGUUAUCGAGUCUCAUUGCAUUUGUUUGCAUGAUUCUAGGGCGUGACGGUAGUGCUCGACGGAUUGGUGACCACGGUGUAUGAAACAUCACUUACGUGGUUGGUGAGUAUACUACUCACUUAAAUGUUCUAAUGUGGCUUUGCUAUAUGUGGUUGUGUUGCCUUGAAGGCUUAUUUGGAUAUUGUAAUUGAUUAAGGUGAGGGUGUACUUGACCGCCCUCACCCCUUUUGAUCGUAUCACUGAUUGUCUACCGUUUCACUGUCUUACUGAACUUGAUAUAUGAGUUAUUGCAUUCCAUUUCAUGGAAACUGAUUUGGUGUGGUUUGGACGAAUGUCCAAUGACCUUACUGUAUCACUGAGCUCAACUCCGUUAGGUAGUCAAUUGGAUCGAGCCGGCGAGGGUUUGGUCGUGAUAAUUGACAUGCCACGGGGACUGUACUGGGGAAUCUUGUAGUAAUGAGACUCUUGAUUCCGGUAAACUCGAGUAUUACCAAAAUGACUGAAUGGAGUGCGGGCCCGGUUGGGGAAUGUUGGGUGGAAGGAAUGGAAGUAAAGAGUUGUCUACGGUUGGUUAUUUUUUUACAUUGAUGGAGGGUCAAUGAGGUUGGAUCAAGAAUAUAUGCGAGGAAAUGGGCUCUUGAGAGCCAUCCGUAUCCUUUCACUGAUUUGAUUUACUUCUUACUUGCAUACUUGAACUGAACGGUUAUGCUUAUGUGAUAUUAGUUGCUAUGGUGGUAUUCUCACUGGGCAUUUAGCUCACCCCGUUUCUUUUGUUUUCCUUACAGGAAUAUGACUCUUUUGGAAUGAAUUUUGUUAAAUGGUUACCGAAUGAACUAGAUGAAUGCCUCUUUUGGUAUUGUAUAUAAAAUGGGACCCUAAAUGUAUCAUUAGGGCCGUUUUCACUUUUGUUUUGGCAACCCACAUAUGUAGUUACUUUUGUAUCACUUUUAAAUGCCAUUGUGGCUUGUAAAUGGUUAAUGUUAUGUUGUAUAUGUAUUUCGGUGUUUGGUUGGGUUUUGGGAUGGGUCGGUUACUAUUCAUGGCCGACCCUGGAUUUCAUUUCUUUUAUUUUGGGUUAUUUUGCCCUUUUGCCUUGUUUGCGCGUAUUAUAAGUUUCAGAACGUGAUAGAUCGCUUUAUACUGCACCGUUAGUCCUGGCGAGAGUUGGGCAGGCAGUCCGCUAACCUCUUUGGUUCGCCUUAGGGGAAGGUGGGGCUGUCACAUUGAACACUUGAUUCACUCUCAUCAUUCAUUGCUUUUCUAUAAAUUUCUGGCUUAUUGGUUUUCGGUUAUAAAAGAACUAUUACAAUAUAUACCUGACACAUAAAUAUACCUAGCUUCUCAUAAGUUACUACUUCUAGCAUUUUUCCCUCUAAAAUUAAAAAUUAUAUCCCAAAACCCACAAAAUAUUAAACUUAUACACUUAUAUUGUAAAUCCAAAAGUACGGAGUUUCACAACCGAUAUUUGUCGUGUUAAUAUCUACAACUAUUAGACUUAGUGUCCAUAUUAUAUUAUGGAGUUGAAACUAAUUACUAAACAUGCCCUGAAUCCGUAGUUCGGAGUUUGAACAAGAGAAUUGCAACAGAGGAUAACGAUCACGUGCUAGUAAGCUUCAUUCAUUUCGAUAGAGAUAAUUAUGCCUACUACGGAUAUCUUGACUAAGAAUUUAAUUAAAUAAGAUUCAAUUUGUUCUUUCUUCUUCUAUUUUUUUUUCAGUUAAUAAAUCUAGAAGUAGACUGGAACCGAGGGCAGAAAAAUCAAAACUAUACAAGUUAUCACUAGCUGAGAAAAUUCAAAUGCAAUUAUGGCAAUUGAUUCGUUAUUCUUGUCGUGGGGGAACAUGUACAGACAUGCACCUAUCACAUGAGGAGGAAAUUGAGAUGAGAGUUUUCAGCUUGAGGAGAGUAGAAGUAGAAACUAUAAAGAAUGUCAAGCGUGACGCACCUAUGCCAUUAAAAUUAUGCAAGUUGGGCUUUACAACUUGCAUGUCAUAUACUUCCAACGUUGAAUAGGCAACCAUUUCCGUCUAUGUCCUACUUUGAUUUCUACCUCCCAACGAAACCCUUCAGAUUUCAUGCACAAGGCUUUAGCUGACAGCUCUUGACAAUGGUCCUACAUUUUCGAUCUUAUCAUCUAUCAUCUACCGGUGGAAUUUGAUUGGUGUUCUGUUCGCACUUGUGCUCCUCCUUUCCUCAGAUUGGUGUUCUCUUUCUCUUUUCCUCAAUUUGCUUGGUAUCAUACAAAAGCGUAAGGGAAUUAUGAAUAGUUUACCUAAAAAUGUUCCAUAUACACAAACGCUAAAUGAAUUAUGAGCUAAUUUGAAUUAUUGACAUGAAUAAAAAAAACUCCAACGCAGUUAACGAUUUAAAAUGAUUGCAAGCUUGAAUUAAUGUAUGGAAUUUUUGUAUAUUCAAACAGAAAGUGCUAAAAUUGCACACAACUUGCAAUGAGUGCCUCUUUCAAGGCCAGGGAUAUUUUCAGUUAGUAAUAUGUUGCAUCGAAAACAUUUUGGUAUCUGUGAAUGUGCAAAACCCCUGUGCUUCCAACUGCAGCUGAAGUGGAAUGCAUGUGGAAUAACAAGCAUGUUUUUUAAAAUAUAAACAGAACAACUCAACCAAUACAGAAAGGAUUUUCAUAUGAUGACAAGGAACAUCUUACACAAUAGAAUACCCUAACCUAAAAAUGUUACCAAGUUAGAGGACGUCUAACUUAGCUGAAGGACAAAGUAGUAGUUGUGAAGGUCUUCCUUUAUUUUGGCAGCUCUCAAGACAGGAUAUUGUACACCAAACCCUGAUUUUGAUAAAUGAAUAGGAUAGAGUAAUAUUACAACUACUCCAAUGUAGAAGAUGAAGAAAGCUGUUGGUCAGCAAGAUUUUGUGAUAGAAUUGGAUAGAUCCAAAAAACAAAACAAAAAAAAAGCAAAAAAUUUAUCAAACAAGGAAGAGAACAUAAGAGCAGAAAUUUGAAAUACAAAUGCUACAUUCUCGAUUGUGUCAAUAGUGCGAUGGUUAUCCUUUUUGUACUUUUGGCUGCUGUCCAUUGAGGUCGAAAAUAUAUUCGGCAAAUAGUAUGUGUGCAAGAAAGAUACGACUAAUCAAUAACUAAAUAAAUGAGAAAAUAUUUAGAAGAUUUUAAACAAGGUAAUUCUGAGAAAUAAAAAUCAAUAACUAAAUGAAUGAGAAAAUUUUUGACUCUACAUUGCUUUAGUACUAUAUGUAUUGGUAAUGCAGUUGUAUGCUUGGUGCUUAAAUUGGAAGAUAUCUAUUUUUGUGACUGUAUCUUUGUUUGAAUUCAAGGCUUCUGGAGUUUGUAAUUACUAAUUGAAUACAUCAUGAAAUACACAUUACUAUUUAGUUAGUUUCAACAUGGCCUAGUGGUAUAAUUUCAAGAAAUGUACAAUUGUAAUCUUUUAUUUAUAUAUUUAAAGUGAAGGAAUAAGUCUGACAGGCUGAUACUGAACAAGAAUGCUCAAAUUUUCCCUGAGUUUUGAUUUGAAUUCAUUUAGUCAAGAUGCUAGGGAAAUUUGAAAUCAAGAGAACAAACCUUUUGUGUUUUUGUUGACAAGGAAACCCUCAGCCGACCGUGCAAGGGACUCAAGAGAAAAAACUUUACCAACUAAUAAAACUAAUUGAUGCUUUCUUCUAGUAGACUGUAAACCCACCAAGAGUAUACUUACCUAGAAGUGCAUUUAACAUAGUAACCAAUAUACUUAUGCUGAAUAUAUUAAGAAAAAUAUGAGUAAUUAAAGAGACACUGGAUAGAGGAAAAAACUGUAACAAAGAUUUGUCCACAGCCAUGCAACUGUUUUGAAACUUCUGAAAGAUCACACUUCAGUCCAUUGCCUGAUUAGACCAUCAAAGUUCAAGUUGACAAAGCCUUUCAGAAUUCGGUCAAAAGAAGUGGCUGAACUGUUAGUUGAUCACUCUUUAUGUACUGGAGAGGAUAUGGUUGUUAAGGCGAUUAUAUAUAGAAUUGAUAAGAAAGAAUGAUGAGCCACAGAUUGGUUAUCUAUAAGACGGUGGAUAAGGCUGAAGAAACAAUCAAGGUGGAAUUCAAGGACAAGAAAUCUGUAUAUGUCAUUUUCGGAGGCAAUUGAUGACGGCUGGAGUGGAUAUGUGUACAGCCUUCUCUAUGUCGUAGGAUUUUUUUUUGAAUCCUGAAAAAUUUCAUACGAAUAAUUUCUACACAAAUUCAGAAGUUUCUAGCGGCAUUUUGUCUUGCAUUGUCCAAUGAGUUCAAGUUCCUGGUCUUCAAGGUGUAUUAACUUCGCAAAUUAAAGAGUAUCACACGAUAAAGGGUACCUAUGGUCUACGAAUCACUAACAAUUUGCUAUUCAAGUUGUAUGCCAGACAUAUAAUGUGAUGUAGAGUACGAUCCAACGAGGAACUUGGCUAAGAAUUAAUUUGCAGAAGGAAGGAAAACAAUAGGACGAGAGAGCCUGGCUGCCCUGAUGCCUGUGCACUACAACCUGCGACUCUGAAAUUUCAAUCAAGAUAUAGCACCUAAUUUGAGAAUUAAUGACAUUGACCCAUGGACUAUGGCUAAUAACUCUGAAAUUUCAUUUAUAGUUGUCAAGGAAUAUGGCUAAAACCCACCUUUUGCAGCAAUCUUCCUUCACCCAAUGAAAGAUUUCUGGAGGUUAAAGUUCAGCUCCUAAAGCUCUUCUCCAGCUCACCAACCAACAGAAGAAAUUAGUUUUAGUAAAAGUUGUUAAAUUUUGGCACCAAGUUUUGAGGGUAUGUAGGUAAAUUUGUAGAUGAUAUUUUGCUUCUAAAAUAGUGUUUAAAAAGCUAUUUCAGUGAGGUAUUACGGUGAAUUUGUCCUUGAUGAUAUUGACAUUAGGUCCCAUCAACAUCAAUAAAAGUCAAUCUGAUGUUGGAAACUUGGAAACAAGAAGGGUUCUAGCUAAAGUAUUAGAAACCUCAGGAAAUUAUCCCUAAAAUAUUUCCUCCACACAAGACAUAGUGUUCCCAUCCUAGUUCUUAUAAAUAGGGCUUUAGCUCAAUGCACUUGUCACUAGAUAUCAACAAAUUUUGCACGUCAUUUAUAUUUUGAGUGUGAUUGUGAUCAAAUGGCGUCUUCAAAAAAUUUGCUCUUUCUUUUUGGUGUUCUUUUCGCACUUGUACUCCUCAUUUCCUCUGAUGUAACAACAGCAGGUACCCUGUUUUUUUUUUCUUUCUCUUUUAUAUUUUUGGCUGCACCUGAACACUCAAAUGAAUGAAGCCUAGCAGACUUAUUAUUGGGAAGUGAUCAAAUUAACGUCAAAUUAAAUACUUCUAAUUCUAAUUUAUUGAGUAGACUAUAAUGCAAAAUGAUUCAUAUCCUAGUCGCAACAUCUUAUAUGCCUAGACUGUUCUGUUUAAUCCACAGUAUUCUUUUCUUUGCAUAUAUCUUGCAAAUUUUCCGCCUGGCCAGUCACCUUAUUUUGCAGCAUAAGGUAAAUCUCCUAACAGUUAGUCUCCUUAUGUGUUGAAACAGAUCAGGAGACCACGAAGGCCACUGGUGUCCACGAUGCCAGCUCAGGUGAGGCUCAUCAGUAUCCUGUAGCCGGAUAUGUUUGCGCAUUUGGUUGUUGCCGCAUUUUGGGACGUUAUUGCUUUAGAUGCUGUCCACCUGCUGAGAAGACCCCUAAUGUUGAAUUUGGAGAUGAGGUUAAAAAUUAAAGCUAAGUCAAUAAGGAUGUGAGAUCCGUAACACCUAUAUUAUUACCUUAAUAUGUUGUGUUUGUCUUGAUGGUUGAUUUCCUCUAUGUGUAAAAAGACUCGUGGAGCUUCUCUUUGACUUGGUGUAGAAUCAACAGGGGAGGCAUGUAAUGAGUACUCAGCUCGACUGCCCUUCUUGUGUUGUUGUCAUGUUGAAUAAAUAAAUCUACUUGAUCAUCUACGACACUUGAUGAUCUCUAUCUCAGUUACAUCAGAAACUUCUGUACCUUGGACUUGCUAGAAUUUAGUGUGAUUGAUACAAGACGUGCAGAAUGUUCAAUAUAUGUAUAUACGUGCUUCUUCAUCGUCCCAUGUCUUUACAGUGUAAAAUAAUUCAGUAAACCCAAUCCUGUUCCUUCCUGAGAAAGGAACUAAAGUCCUUUAAAUGGAUAUUUUGGAUGCUAUCAAGGGUUUGAAUGGAUUGCCAUUUAGAGAUCUGAAUGUUGGUCUUUUCUCUUUAUCUUUGCUCAAGAAUUUUUUUUGGUGGAAAUGCUUUACUUAUACGAAUUUUCCUAGUCAGUGAAUAUUUUUAUUAUACUUGCACAACACAAUGUUUAUAUGGAUAACACAAAAAAGCUUCUGUAGUCUGUAUACUUCAAAAAUAUUCAUAUAUACUUUUUAACUAGCCUAGAAAAAUACAUAAUAAAUUCUUGAUGCAUUAUACUUUAAAUUUUAAAAAAUUUUAAUUCUAACACUUAUCAAUGACUCCACAUGUUAAUUUGUCUUCCAACUCAAUAAUUAGUAGUAGUUAAUUUUCAAAGCUAACUGACUCCAAUAUUCCUGAUGCGUGGGGAGUUUGAACCUUAAUUAUUUUCAAAUUUUAAAUAUAAUCCAAACUUUCACUGCUGCAAGUGCACAGGUUGUACACGAGUAUAGGGAAUGCUGGAGUGUCAACCCCAAGGAGAAGAUUGUCAAUUAUUGGAGUGAUUCGAACUCCUCUAUUAUUUAGAUUGUCACAAUUAAAACAAGUAAAUCUAAUUUACAAAUAUAAAAGUAGUAAAAUAACAAGGAAAUGUGCCUAGGGUUAUAUAAUCUUUAACUACUCUUACAAGUGAAAAUAACCCAUUAAAUGAGUUGAUUAUCUUGACUAACUCAUGGCUAAUUUUCUAAUAUAUGUGACAUUCGCUUUCGCUAAUGUACCAACCAUACAUAUAACUAUCCCUCACCUAUGUUUAGUGAUAAAGAAACUAUCUAUAAACUCAUAGAAUCUAUGAAGUUAUUUGUUAAAGCCACAAAGGUUUUUUCCUCCUUUCGUGAGAAUACUCCCUAAGUUGAACACUUCCACGAACUAAUGUUAAAUCACAACUUUCAUUGAUAAAACAACACCUUUAGAUAAUCACCAUUAAUGAUCAAUUAAUCGUGAUUGUAAUAACAAAAGUGUUAAAUAACUUGCUCAAGAAUUAAGAUGGAAUAACCAAGAAAAUAUCACUAACAAGCAUAAAUAGUUUAUCCAUCCCUAUGCAUACAAACUAGCAAAACGUAAAUGAAACAGAAAUAACAACCAAACAUGUAUAUUCACUAAAUAUGAGAAUCAAUAUAAGAAAUAAAGUGAUAGGAAAGAAGUCACCUUGACACAUGAGUUCCAAAACUCUCAAUCUUCAUCUUCAUCCUCAACUUCAUCUAUAUUUAGUUACAAUACAAGAUGGAUAAAACUAACCUACACUAAGCUAAUUAACUAAUGAGAAUAGUGAAAGUUACAUUUUUUGUGGUAGUUCCUAACCUUCAAAGGUUAUGAAAAUGAGUUUUGAAGGCCCCUAUUUAUAGAAGAAAUUGCUCCAAAUAAUCAUGUUUCAAGUUGUGCAAUUUGUGCUUUCGAAUCUCCAAAAGUUAUUUCUUGAAAUCUCCAAUAUUUCUUCAGUAGUUACCGCUAAAAUUUGAUUAGAAAAAUAAGCUAUAAAAGCUAUGGAAAAGCUAUACAAGGCCAUGAGAAAAUACAGGUAAAGACCCUCAUUUUAACUCUUGUUUUGCCUCCUGUUUUGCCUCCCAUGUAUUUUCCAUGUCAUUUCUGGUUUCAUCCCAAUCCGAGGGUCAAAACAUUGGUUACUCCUCAUUUUAGCCCUGAUUUUCUCCUCAGAAGAGUAAUUUUGUAGCUUUUGUCAUUCCGAAUCGUUCUCAAAUCAUCUCUGACAUCUUACUUGUAUUUCACUUGAUUCGAAAUAAACAUGAAAGACCAAAAUCUACAAAAACAACAUGUUUUGCACAUUAAACCAUUCAAAUACAAGUUUCGGUUAUUAACUGCAACUUGAAGAAAUGUUUGCUUAAAAUGAGUAUUUUUCAUCCUUAAAGCCCUAAAAACAAACCAAAAACUAAGUAACAAACAUAUUAAAAAUAUGCAAAGUAAACACUGUUCAAUUCCCUCACUUUCUUCAUCUCCUAAUGGAUUUAUUUCCUAAGCAUGAGUUUUGCAACCCCCAACAUUAAAUCUCAAUGAUUCAUUUCGGUGGUUAUAAAGGCUUCUAACUUUUCGCACGUUUGUUUCAUAGUGUACUUAUUGGUUUGCUAUUAAUUCUAACUAGACAUUUACUAGGUCUUGUAGAAUUUAUUCCUUCUUAUCACUUAAUUCAUAAGCCUUAUUAAUCAUUAAAUUUAUCAGUUACAACCAAAAGGCAAAUGCCUUGCAUUUCAAUCUUUAAUGUCAGUACUUAACUUAUAUUAGCCAUUCGUACUGCUUGAUAUUAUUAUAUUGCUUCUAGAAUGUUACUCGUCAUGUUCUUACCAUUAUCUAGAUUAUGAACUUCUAUCCUUCUGCGGAUAUUCGUUAAAAUUGGGACGAUUCUGAACUCCUCAAAUGAUAAGUAUUCGACUAUGAACCUUUAGAUUUAACUCAAGUUCAUCAAUUAUUACUUUCAACACUUGAUUCAUUCUCAUCAUUCAUUGCUUUUCUAUAAAUUAGUCUGGCUUAUUGGUUUUCGGUUAUAAAAGAACUAUUACAAUAUAUACCUCACACAUAAAUAUACCUAGCUUCUCAUAAGUUAUUACUUCUAACAUUUUUUCCCUCUAAAAUUAAAAAUUGUAUCCCAAAACCCACAAAAUAUCAAACUUAUACACUUAAUGUAAAAGCCAAAAAUAUGGGGUUUCACAAUCUAUAUUUGUUAUGUUAAUAUCUACAACUGUUAGAGGUAGUGUCUAUACAAUACUAUGGAGUUGAAACUGAUAAUUAAACAUGCCCUAAAUCUAUAGACUGUAAAAAUUCUAAAUUUGCUUGUAUGCUCUAUGGUUUCAAUGUUCUAACCUCCAUGGUUAAUUUGAAGUUUGAACAAGAGAAUUGCAAUAGAGGCCAACGAUCACGAGCUAGUAAGCUUCUUUUUUUUUUUAUUAAUUAGAUAAGAAAUCAAACUAUUACACAAGCCUAAUUUUCCUAAUUGAAGGCAUUCCUAGUUUAUCCAGACGAAUUGCUCCACGAGCCAUAGGUGGAAAUGUAUUAAAUGUCUCAUAUAUCCUGAGUUGCUGCUGUGGAUGAGAUACACCCACGUUGGACAGCACAUCAGCCACUGUGUUUGCUUCUCUGUAACAGUGGGAAAAUCGAUCUGGAUCUUCCAUGAUCUGCCAAAUCUGCCUAAUAACCCGUCUAAUGUGCCAAGGACAAUGAAUGCGAUGCUGGAGAAUGCCAAUUAAUAACAGAGAAUCAGAUUGCACAUUGAGAUUCAAAAAACCCCUAUGUGCACUGAUUUGGAGACCAAUAAGGAGGGCACGAGCUUCUGCAAGGAGACAUGUCGUUUCCCCAAAAUAUGCCGAGAAACCAAUCAAAGGUAGACCAUUUGACUCCCGAAGAACUCCACCGCCUGCACCCACUCCUGGAUUACCUUUAGAACAUCCAUCCGUAUUAAGUGUGAGCCGACCAGAUUCCUUUGUUUCCCAUCUUACAAGUUUAUAUGUAAACCCAACCUCCGAUGAAUUAGGCCAGUCAUACAAAUGAUAAAAAGAUGGUACUCGGAGAGGUUUUUUUAAAUAAAUUCCCACCAUGGAUUGGAUUUCGGAGAAAAUGGCAUGACAAAUGGCAAUCGACCUCAUCUGAACAUCGUCAAACAUUGCUUUAUUUCUUGCCUUCCAGAUAUGCCAACACACAAGACAGGGAAGAACCCGUCCAAUAAACCGACGUAUCUCAGAAUCGUAUGAUUUCAACCACCAACCCACUAUGCGGAGUCUCAAAGAUGACGCUGACAAAUCGAAUCCACAUGCAGCUCCAAAAUAAUUCCAAAUUGUUGAUGCUAUAUUGCCAUUUGAAAAUAAAUGUUCGAUUGAUUCCUCAGAUGGCAAUGGACAACAAAAACACUUUGAUGGAAGAUGGAAACCAAUGUUACGUAAACUGUCGGGUAUUGGCAGUCUCCCCAGCAAAAGUCUUAACAUGAAGAAAGAAACUUUCAAAGGAAGACAAGGAUGCCAAAUUCUAUCAAACACCAUUGACGUGUUACGGGCUUGCCUAAUAUCCCGAAAGGCUGAAGCUAGAGAGAAAUUUCCGGAAGAAGUAGGCAUCCAUAUGACUUCCGCUUCACCCCCCUCUUCGGGGACUGGGUGGUUUAAAAUGGAGGUCACCAUUUGACUUGGCAGUGACUGACAUAACCGACUCGUAUCCCAAUGUCCAUUACUGAUAAAGUUACUAAAUGAUAAGUUUGGGAUAACCGUCGCUUGGAGGAAUAAUGCACCAUUACCCAACCAAUUGUCGUA